UUUGAUGUUGAUAGCUUGGAGAUAGCUUGAUUUUGAGACUCGGACAUUUUCAGUCGAUCCAGCAGGUUGUGCCGCAGCCGAGGGAGUUCCGUACUGCCAGGAAUUGCACUAGAGGUGGGUUAUCAUCGGUGUCGCUCCUAAGUGCAUGUUUAGUCGACGUGUAUAGUUCGGUUCUUAUAUAUCAUGCUUUAAUUCAUCGAUUCGCAUUUUGGAUGUAAUAUGAAUAUAAAAGCAUGCUGAAAUGAAUGUUUAUAUUAUACAUGUUGGACUUGAAAUUGACUUAGGAGAAAACCUGCGUUUUGACCCGUCAUAUGCUUAAACUACCAGAUUUAGCUCUAGGAGGCGAAAUUCGAUUGUAUCGUUGCAGUAUUAGUGCGAUGGAUACCUGGGGUAGUUUAGAUGGCAUUUACGCUCGUGCUGAGGUGCCGAGCUUAUUUUUCAGCAGAGUGUAGGCUGUUUCGGGUCGUUGGGUGCCGUUCGGGUUAGCGGUGGACCCAGAUUCUUGUUUUGGUCACAGAUUGUGCCGAGGGCACGUGGGUUUGGUUUGUAGACCUGUUUUGACCAUGUUUACUUGGCUUUGGCUAGUUGGAGCCUGUUUGAGCUCGACAGAGAUACGCUGCAUACUCGGUUGGGUAGCGCCCACGAGUGCCACUCCGGAGUCAGGCUUUGUGCUUUCGCGUUGGUGUCGCUCAUGCCAGUUGGACUCGCUCUCCACGGACCAGUUGGUGUGGAUAGAGCUGGAUAGUCGCAACGGGGCAGGGACGGGUGUAUUCACAGUCUCUGGGACGGGUAUGCUUACAGUCCCGAUUAGAUUGGGUCAGGUUGGAUAUUUUCUACAGUUGGUUAGUGUAGAGCAUAAUAGUGUAGUGUUUGAUAGCGGUAGACUUCAUUCCUGCAUUUUACUACUAUUCUUGCUUCCUUCUGUAGACUUAGUAGGUGGACCGAUGUUGUUUUGGGCUGUACCCACUGAGGACUACUUGUUUUUACAGUAGUUCUCACGCCCAGUUGUAUCUUAUGUUUUUGCAAGCACAGGUUUCCGCUGCUGCGCCUUCGCGGGUCAGGAUCGAGGCAAGGGCGUCGCGAGUUAGAGCCCUACCCGACGUACUGAGCUAGAGUGUGCUCCUACUGCAGGUAGAUUUUUGUUUCGAUUUAUGUACAUAGUGGACUUAACUCGCUGUGCGAGUUAACUUUGUAUUUUGGAUCUGAACUAUGUAUAUGAAACUCAGUUUGUUAGCUUCUAUUCUCUCUAGCAGCUUCUCUACUACUGUUCGUGUAGUGUUUGAUUUACAGGUACAGCUAUCGCUUCGUAUACAGGGGAAAUUCCUUUGUAUACGGCGGAUUGUCGGCCGGCCCGGAAAAAGUGUAAUCGGGGCGUGACACAUACAUACCAAAUUAUUUUAAUAUUGUAAAAUUUGGUCUUCUUUUUUAUAUAUUUUUUUUAUAUACAAUAGCUUUACUUAUUUUUAAAUAUUAAAAUAAUAAAAGUAAUAUUUUUUUUUUUUUUCCUUAACUGCACAACAGUUAUUUUUUUUCUUAUUUUUUUUUCCCUUCUUUCUUUGAUUGAGGUCUAUUCAACUUUUAUCGUUCUCUCUCUCUCUCUCUCUUUGGGUUUUAAGUUUCUAACGAUCUCUCGCGCGUUUUACUUUUAUCCAUUGCAGGAUGAUGCGCGUCAUAUGAAAAGAGAGGUGGAGGCGGAGUUAUUUUCUCAUUUUUAUUUAAAUUUUUGUAUAAUAUUUAGGUUUAUUUAUACAUCUUUAUUUACAAUUAUUUUACAAAAUUUAAGUUAUAUUUGAAUAAUUCGAAAAUAAUUACGUGUUCCUGAGCUUUGGAUAUGUUUGGCUUCAUGUAUUAUAGACUUGUCUUCUUCUUUGUAGAGUGUCAGGAUUUAUUCGGAGUCGCUUCUGGACUUCGUCAUAGUAUUGAAAAUUUCGGAGCGCAUAAAUAUUUACCCCUAUCGCAAGAAAUGCUCAAUAAUUACUUUUGGGAGGUAUGUUUGAUAUUUAUAUUUAAAUUUUUGAUUGAUUUGUUGAAAAUAAUCGAUAUACAUACAUGACUAAUUAUUCACAAUAAUAAUUAUUUUUUAGUUUAAAAGAAUCAUAAUAUGUAUCAUACUUCACAAGUUCUAAAAAAUUACUUUUCAAAUUUAGUCACUUUAAAUCCUUCAAAAAAUAACCUUACAGAAUUAGUCAUUAAGAAUUUGAAAUAAAAUUAAUUUUCUUCGCCAUUUCAAUAUUGUGUAUUAAAAAAUAUAUAAAUAAUAAUUACGUUAAAUUUUUAAUGGAUUUGAGCCUUUUUACUUUUUCAUUUUAAAAUCUUUUCAUUUUAAAUUAUUUACUUACAAUCUAUUAGUAUAUCAUGAUAGUAUUUAUUUUAAUUUGAUUCAAUAAUUUUUCUAAUAAAAGCUUAAUAUGUAAAAAUUAAUAUAUAUUAUAUAAAAAAUGUAAUUAAAAGAUAAAUUUAAAAUCCGUGCAUUUCGCGGGUUAGUUGCUGGUUAAACUUAAACUCACGAAUCGAAGUUAUUUUCAUAAUUAUACUUUCUACAACUGACACAUAUUCAAUCCGAUAGAAAAAUGGAUCAUCAUUUUGAUGGUAAUAGCUGCAGGAACUGAAAUUUCAAAUGUCAUGCAUCUGUCGUCACAUAAACCUACCAUUUAGAGGGUGUCAGUAAUAUUCAACUCAAUAAAAAACUUUUUGUCGCGACUGCACAUGAUUUUAUUAUGCACCAUUUAUAAAAUUUCGAAGUCCAAAAUGUCGUUGACCGACUCAAAUUAAACAAAUCAAAAAUUUUGAUAAUAAUACCAAAAUUUUGAAACAUCGAAUAACUAAAUCCAAAUGUUUCGUAGUUCAUAUAAGUUCCUUAUAAAAACUGCAUGAUAAAAUCAUGCGCCUUUAUAAAAAUUUCGAUGCCCAAAGUAUCGUUGACCGAUUCAAAUUAAAUAAAUUAAAAAAUUAGAUAAUAAAAUUAAAAUUUUGAAAAAUUGAAUAGUUAAAUCCAAAUAUUUUCAUACGUCAUGUAAGUUCCGUAUGUUUUUUUUUUAUUUUCUAAUAAAAAUAAAUGAAUUUAUUAUAAAAGUUGCAUGACGUGUACGGAUACGCCGGGUACAGGAAAAUAUUGCUCCGUCCCGUUUCGCGUGCUAACGGAGACUUGACGGCGACCGUUUGUGGGGCCCACACUAUUUCUUUUUUUUUUUUUCUUUUUAAAUAUUCUGUCUCACGAUGGGCAGGCACUAAAGUCCUGGCCAGUGAUAUUCCGGCAAGUAAAGUAUCUCUCUCUCUCUAUCUCUAAUUAAUUAAUUUGGAUAAAAUGUUUAAAAGUCCCUGUAUUAUCUCAACUUGCAAUUUUGGUCCCAUGGUCCUUUUUUUUUUGGGAAAAACUUCAAAUACCACCCUGUGGUUAUCACACUUUCUCACUUUAGUGCCCUGUGGUUUUAAGUGUAUCAAUUUAGUGCCGUGUGAUUUUCUUUUUAUCUUUUUAUUAUCGAUUCCACUAAUUUUUUUCGUUAAAUUAGUGACAAAGUUAAAACUAUAGAGUACUAAAGUAAAUAUUCGAUAAAUCUAGAUGGGGUAUUUGAAGUUUUUUGUAUAUAAUCUAACGAAUGAGAUGUUAACGGAAAAACUGACGAAAAGAUAAAAAUGAAACCAUAGGACACUAACUUAAUACACUUUAAACCGCAUGGUACCAAAGUGAGAAAGUGCGAAACCACAUGGGUGGUAUUUAAAGUUUACUUUUUUAAAAGUAAAAAUGUAUAGAACUUAUCCUAACUAUGAACCAUUUUAAAGCGUAAACUUCAAAUACCAUUCCUGUGAUUUCGCACUUUCUCACUUUAGUACCCUAUGGUUUAAAGUGUAUCAAGUUAGUAUCUUGUGAUUUUAUUUUUGUCUUUUCCUCAGUUUUUUCGUUAAUAUUUCGUUAAAUUAUAUACAAAAAAUUUCAGAUACCCCACAUAGGUUCAUUGAAUAUUCACUUUAGUACGAUUUAAUUUAACUUUGUUGAUUUAACGAAAAAAAAUAGUGGAAUUGAUAAUAAAAAGAUAAAAAUAAAACCACAGGACACUAAAUUGACACGCUUUAAACCAUAUGGUACUAAAGUGAGAAAGUGUGAAACCACAGGGUGGUAUUUGACGUUUUCCCCAUUUCAUCUAAUUUCUUAUUAUAAUUAGUUUGUAGUCGCGAGAAUUGCAUAAAUUAUACUAACUAAAUCUGUAAAAAUAAAUAACGUGUUGAAAUUUUAAAGUCACGAAACCGUUGGCUGACUUAAAUCAAACAAAUUGAAAGAUUGGAGAGUAAAAUUAAAAUUUUGAAAAGUCGAAUAUAAAAAUCAAAAUAAUUCAUGGCUCAGAUACAUUCUCUACGAUUUUAUCUGUUUUUUCUUUUCUUUUCUUUUCUUUUUUUGAAGAUGUCGGUAGGCCAUUUGCAUGCACACGCACAUCGUGCUCAAAGCCUGAUUCGAUUUUGAGUCGGUGAUUGUUAAUCUCUGUAUAUUUUACUUAGAUACUUGGAUUUUGAAAAAAUUAAUUUUCAUUAUAAAAUAAACAAUUUAUUUCUACUCAUUUAAAUUGAUCGUUCAGUUAAAUUAAAUAUAGUUUUUUUUAUUAAAUUUUAUAAUUUUACUAGCUUUUAGUUAACAAAAAUGUAGAUUCCAACAUCCCCUUCCCCAUGGAGUCUUUUGUUACCACAAAAUCUCUGAUUCAAAUGAUUAAAAUAACUCAAAUAAAAUAACAAGUGUUCAGAUAAAUAGUAUAUGGACCGACAUCAGAAUAUUGAUGGUACAGGGACUAUCCACACAUUUUAUCCUUCAACAAUACAAAGAACCUAAUACUCACAUGUGAGGCUAAGUAACAAUUAUAAGUUAAUCCCCCCAAGUUGCAUUAUUUAUUUAUUUAUUUAUUUUGUGGUGGGGUGGUGGAGAGUACACCAGAUGAACUGUACCCACUUUUUUUUUUUUUCCCCAUUAUAAUAAUCUUUGUGGGUAGGGGAAUAUGAUAGUGAUUAGCCUCUUAAUUAUUUGUGCUCUUAUUUUAAAAAAAAUAUAAAUUUAAAAUUAUUAUUAUUAUUAUUAUUAUUAUUAUUAUUUUCAGUUCAAGAUGUUUAUAGGAUGCUCUGGAUUGUGAUGUCCAGGUAGGAAGUCAAUUGCAGGGAAAAAGCCAAGGAAAAAGUCACCACCAUUAAUUAGCUUGUGCAUUUGUAGGUUCAAUUAAUAAUUAGUUUAAUUUUUAAUUAUUAUUAUUAUUAUUAUUUAUUUUAUUUUCUAGGGUUUCUCAUUGCUUGUUGGUGUGGGGCAGAGGAGCAAGUUAGGGCAAGAGGGGGCAGUAUUAUAUCAAGAGGUGGAAUCACUCAUUGGCAUGUGGUGAUGCAAUUAGAAAUAUAUAUAUACAUAUAUAUAUAUAUAUAAAUUAUAAAUCAUUACCUAUGAAUAUAUGUAUUAAAAUAAUAAUAUUAUCGGUAUCUCAAAAUGUACCCUAAACUAGAACUGUUGAAUUUGCUUUGUGCGUGUAGCAACCAGUUAGUCCGUUACUUUUCAGAAUAGACAGAAAACUUAUUUUAAAGUACAUUAUUGUUAACUUCUGAUCACAUUUCUUAUUUAUCAACUGCUGUAAAACUCUUGAUUAAACAAGACGAGAGAUAUGCCAGACAUGUUAAGACAUUCAAAUAGGCCUUUUACACAUGAAAUCUGAAUAGUUAAGUCACCGACUAAUACUCAAAUGUAUAAAACUGACUCAUCAACUGCAUUCAGUGUUUAUUUAGUCAAUACUUGGAGAGAGAGAGAGAGAGAGAAUAAUUAUUAAUUAGGAUUGUGGUCUCCUGGGAAUCACAAAGGGGCAAGAUUCCUUAAUCCUCUCCAUCUGCAUUAAUUAAGAAGAGAAACUUGUGUUGGGUGUGUUGAAGAAGUCCCUUUCAGGGGCCAAAGGGGAGCAAGAGCUUACUUGUCCUCUUUGGCAACCUAAAAUUAAGAAGGACAAAAUAAAAACAAAAUUAUAUAAUAUAAGAAAAAGAAGUGGAAUGGUGGAAGGAACUUGUUGUGGAGUUGUUAGCAUGUUAAGAGUUUGGUGAAGGCCAUUUUUUGCCAAUAAAAUUCAUGUGUUUAAUUAAGCUUAAAAUUUUUAAUUUGCUUGCUUUUUUUUUUUUUUUUUCAAGUGCAAUAUGUGCUACUUAUUUUAUCUUGUUUUUGUCUACCAGUUAGAAAUGAUUUACAUGAGCUUAUAUGUGUUCAACCAAUCACAAGGUAGUAGGGUUUUUUUUGCUUAGUUCAUGUUCAUGUACCCACUAAAACAUAAAUAUUUUUUUUUCUUAUAUAAUUAUAGAGUCAGACUAAAAUACUUCGGUCCUUUCAAACGAUGAAAAAUCUGAAUUGACGAUCAGCAUCGUCAAACACGACUUAAGCUAUUUGAACUUUUUAGAAAUUAAAUUUUAUAAUUUUAAAAUAUCUUUUGUUCUAGCUUUAAAUUCAUUUUAUAUUGGACAUUAAAAAUUUUAAAUUUUUAGACCACUCGAAUACUAGACAAAUACUAUAAUAAAACUACAAAAUUCAAAACCUAAGAAGUUCAGAUAGUCUCGAUUAAGUUUGACGGUGUGGAUCAAUAAGUCAAAUAAUUUAUUGCCGGAAAUUAAAUAAUGCGAAACUUAACGACCUCGUUUACUUCCAGAAGUAUUGCAGCCUGACUAAUCUGUAUUUACAUGCAUAUGUAUGCUCCUUAAUUGCGCAAGUUGCACUGUAAAUCGUUUCAACAAUUUGAUUAGGUAUUUUCGUGAAAAACAGUUUCGUUUAUUAUUAUUUUUUUAAUUUUUUAGAUGCUAGUAGCAAGAAAAUAUGAAUGAGGAUCUACUCAUCUAGAUAUUAUUCAAGUGUAGCCAAAUGAUAUAACAUAUUAACAUGGCUUAUUUUCUUCUAGCCUCUAACAUAGAGAGCUUAAAAAUUUGAACCUUUAUGUGUAAUAAUAUUAUCCAUGUUAGAAUAAUAAGGGAUAUAUACUUAUUAGGGGAUAAUAGGAUACUUAUAGGGCAAUAGGAACACUUGUAGUCAAUUUUUUGUGUGCUUAAUUAGUUUCAUAUAUAUUCUAAUUUGGACAUUUUUUCCCCUAAAAUUUUCCACUAUAAAGUGUAUGAUUAGGGCUAAAUUAAAAAUGUUAGCAUGACAGCUACAUAUAUACCAUAAUGUUCUUAAUAUGAAUUUUUUUUUUCCCAAAACACACUUAGUGAUUAUAAUAUUUUGGAACUAACAUUAAUUAUGAAAGGAGAAUUAAUCCACACAUUGCAUUACAACUUUGGACACUAAAAGUGAUUCAAUAAGUUAUAUGAAGAUUUUUUUUUUUUCUUGUUGUGGUUAAUGUUAGCAUAGGUGUGAAUAAUAGAAAUAAUUGGGCAAGAUAUAGAGUAAUGCCAUACACCUAAUAUGAUAAAGCUUAUAAUAAAAAAUCAUGGACUGUUGCCUUUUCUAUUAACACAUAAACCGAAAGAGAAUUAUAAGUAACUCUAAAACCUAAAUCCUAAACCCUGAUUGAAAUCAUAAAUAUGUACCGGUAGUUAAUACUAGAAAACGUUUAUUUUUUCUGCGGGUGGUAAUAUGUUUAUGCAGAAAAACUAUUUUCUUUCUUUGAAUCAUAAAAUGUGUUUACUUUGACUUGAUAUGAUUUGGUAAUCUAUCAUUUUAACAAUUCUAGUUGCUUAAUCAAAUAAAUUGAAUAAAAUUUUCAUUUUGCUUCCAAGAUAGUACAAAAAAAUAUUUAGUAUUUUUGUUACUAUCAAGAAAUAUGAUUAUAUAAAUGUUCAAGAAAUAUGAUUCUAAUUAUGCUCUUUUAUGAGAGUUCAAAUGUCAUAAACUAUUAGAUAUGCUCAUAUCCAUAACUUUUUUUUAAAAAAAUUUUGGUAACCUCAUGAUUCACACUUACCUAUUAAUGGAAAUUAAAAUUAUUGUAGAGUAUGAUUAUAAGUAGUGAAGUGUAGCUUUAUUCCAAUAAUAAUAAAAGUACUUUGAUACUAGAGAGUCAAAGCCAUUGUAUAAAAGAUAUUAUUGAAAUAAAUCACAUUAUUGAAAUAAAUCACAACUCAUAAAAAAAAAGGUUAAAGUGCAUGAUUUUAUAUUCAUUUUGAUUAUCUCAUAAUCCAGAGAAUAAUAUACUAUUUACAAGAGCAUUUUAAGAUCAUCUUUUAUUGGAUAAACAAAAUUUAGAGAAUCUUUUUUGAUUUGCUUUGCAUAAUUUUAAUCAAUCAUAUGUUAGUUGUAUGCAAGUCUUGUACACAAGAAGAAGAAUAUUUAGAUUGACAUAUAUGACUUUUUGAAAGUAAUAUAAAAUAGUCCCAAAAAAUAAUAAAUAGGAUAAACAAUAAAUUUAUAUACUAAGAUAACUCAACAUAUUUUUCUCAUGACUAAUAGGAUAUAUAAAGAAUCUUCUUUCAACUAGAAACAAAUACAGUGCUGUAAAAUAUAAUGUUGAGUUAAAAAUGUUUGCAACAUUUUAAGUGAGAUUUAAGUUUGAUUUUUAGGGUAAAACAUAUAGAUCGUUCUGUGCAAAAAGUUAUUUAUACAAUAAAGUAAGUUAAUUUAGAUAAAAAGAUACAGAACUUAUCUAAACUAUAGGCCAUUUUGAAUCGACUAUUUAACAUUUUAAAAUUUCAAUUUUACUACCCGACCUUUCAUUUUAUUAAUUUGAAUCAUUCAACGGUACUUUGACUUUAAAAUUUAAGCCAAUCAUUUACUUUAAUAAAUUUACAGUUACGAGAAUCGUAUAAAGUAUACUAACUAAAUGUGUAAAGAUAAAUGAUGCAUUCGAAUUUUAAAGUAAAAAAUACUGUUGACUGACUCAAAUCAAACAAAUUGAAAAUUGAUAAUAAAAUUAAAUUUUGAACAAUUGAACAGCCAAAUAAAAAUAGUUCAUAGUUCAGAUAAGUUUUGUACUUAUUCAUCACGAACUUACCCAACCCGAAUCCUAUUUGAUGUAGCGGUCGCAAAGGGUCGGUAAUACCGGUUUCGGGCUGGGUUUAGCUUCGUAUAAUUGUGUCUAUGUAGGUCGCGACCCGAACCCGACUUGGACCUGUUUCGAGUAAUAAAGAGAAGAGCGAACUGAAACCCAAGUGGGUCGGAUCCUGAGAUGAAACCUGACCCGCCAACCAUUUAAAUUUUGUAAACAAUGUAUUAACCAAUGAAUCCAUCAAGCACUACUAAAUCGUAUCCAAUCCAAUCCAACUUGUCGACCCGUCAAACCCGACCCAACCCAAUCCACCAAUGAAUCGACCUAACCCGAACGAGCCUAUCGAUUGAUCUAUCCGAUUUGUUAACCUGGUAAGUUUAGGUUGAUCCGACCCAACUCUGCGAACCCUGCCCUUUUCAAUCAAGUUACAGUAAUAAAAAAUUAUUCAAAAUCAGCUCGAAAAUCAUUCGGGUUUAUGAGCUUUUUCGACCCGACCCGAUUAGAUUUUCAAAAUGGAUGAUCCGAAACCAAGCCAAAUCGGAUGCUGUAUUUUUUUUGGGGGGUUAAUUUCUUACAGGUCCUUACAAACAUAAUGAAUUAUAAAUACAUCCCUACAAAGUUCAACUUUUAUAUGUUGUCCCUGCAAAAGUUCUAAUAUUUUUAAAUAUGUCUCUCUGGUUUGUUACCGUUAAAACACUAUUUAUUUUAUAAGUGAAUGAAUUUUUUGCCAUCACAAAUAUGCCUCUCCAAAAAUUCCAACUAUUAAUUAAAAAGAGGUAAAAAUAUCAAUUCACAUCAUUAACUAAAUAGAGUUAAGUAUUUUAUCUAUGGUUAACUAAUUUUUUCUAACCGAUCAUAACGGCAGGGACAUAUUUGAAAAGAUCAUGACUUUUGCAAAGACAAUCUAUAAAAGUUGAAGUUUAUAAGGAUAUAUUUAUAAUUCACUGUAUUUGUAGGGAUAUAUAUGAAAUUAACCCUUUGUUUACUACCCCUUUCACCACAACCUUCCUCCAAUGUACUUUUUUUGGUAUUAUGAUACUAGGCCUAACAUGGGGUUUCAUUUGCAUGGCCCAUUUAUGGCCCAUUGUUAGCCCAAUAUUUCUUUAUUUAUAUAUCCUUGUGUGUAGUUUCCCGUUUCCUUUAUGGGCCGAGGCAUAUUUGAAGCGGAUUAAUUUUUAUCUUAUUUUUUGCUUCUACUUCUCAUUCCAUUUAGAGGGGACUGGACGGAACGGGAGCGAGUUUUGGACGGAGUCCCCCCACCUCCCACUUCAUUUCUUAGCAGAUCGUGACAAAGUCAAAGCGAAUUAUUAUUAUUAUUUUUAUUAUUUUUGGGCCCAACUUAUUAUCCUAUUCAGGACAGAUCAGGGUAGUAGCUCCACCGAUACAAAUCUAUGUGCAUUUCCUGGUCCAAUCCAAUCGCUCACUAUUAGAGAGAUAGGGGUGGAACUGGGCCUGGGCCUAAAAGAUGCGGCGCGAUUGGCCAUGUAUAGGCCGGGCUUUGGAUAUCAAAGUUAUUACUUUGGGUCUAGGCCUAUUUGGACAUGUCCAACCCCGGCCCGGACUCGCUCCGAAAGCCCGGUAUAUUAGUUAUCAACAUAAGAUACUUAAUAUUCAUAACAAGUGAUAAAGUGCUUGGUGGUUGGUAUCUGAGGUCCCAAGUUCGAAUCUUAGUUAUCACAUUUCAAGCUAAGUUUAUUUCUAAAUGAAAUAAACGAAUUGAGUAGCGUCUCAAAACAUAAGAUACUUAAUUUUUUAUGUAUAAUAUAUUUACCCAUAUUAGAAAUGAAUGAUAAGUAUAGUAUUAUUAAGAUAUAUAUUAAUAUAUACGAGAAUAUGUUAUACAGAUAACUAAAUAUCUAGUUUCCAUUUGAGGAUAUAUUAUAAAUAGGGAAAACUUAAAUACCCUCCUGUAGUUUCGCACUUUCUCACUUUAGUACCAUAUGGUUUAAAGUGUAUCAAGUUAACAUGUGGUUUCAUUUUUCUCUUUUUAUUAUCCAUUUUGGAGUAUUUUUUUCAUUAAAUCAGUGACAAAGUUAAAACUAAAGGGUACUAAAAUGAAUAUUCGAUAAAUCUAGGUAAGGUAUUUGAAGUUUUUUAUAUAUAAUUUAACGAAAUAUUAAACCACAUGGUGCUAAAGUGAGAAAGUGCAAAACCACAAAGUACUAACUUGAUACACUUUAAACCACAGGGUACUAAAGUGCAAAAGUGCGAAACCACGGGGUACUAACUUGAUUCACUUUAAAUCACAGGGUACUAAAGUAAGAAAGUGAGAAACCACAGGGGAGUAUUUAAAGUUUUUCCUUAUAAAUAAGAGCUAGGCUGGUAUACUAUCGGUAGCACAGAGACCUACGUGCUACCAGUUAUUUUCAAUGAUACGGCUUCCAAAUCGAUCGCGUUAGACUUGAUUUACACUAUUAAAAGUAUUUGAAAACUAAAUUUCAUAAUUUUUCCACAUCAUUUGGCUCAAUUCUAGCCCUAAUUAGAGAACAGUAUUUUAGUAUUUUAUAUUUAAUAUUUAGAGCUUGAACUUACAUAUUUAAAUUUUACCUCUUGUAUAUUCGCAAAAUACCCUUCUAAAAUCCAAAUACCAUUAAUAAACCCUUGAAUUAGGGGUAUAUUUGAAUUUCUUUUUGCAAAUUAGUAAGGGCAUUUUAGUCCACUAGAAAUAUAUUAUAUAUUUUUAAAAUUUUGAAAAGCAUAUUAGAUAUUAUGCCUUAAUAAUAUUUUAUUUCAUAUAUGAUCUCUAGAUUUUUUAUUGCAAUAAGAGAGGCCAUUUGCCAAUUAGGGGGUCUCCUUGUUAGGGGAUUUAUUAAAGCAAUAAGUUGGAUUAUGAAUAACUUAAUGAUAUAUGCCUUUGAGUUAUUAAUUAAUACUAAACAUAUUUUAGUGACAAAUUUAGAGACCGCGAAAUGCAGUGGAUACUAAAGAGGUGCAAACAAUAUUGUCAUGCUCAAAAACUCAAUUUUAAAAGUUAAUUUCAUUAUUAAAUAAGUACUAACCAUAGUUUUUGUAAUUACGUCACUAAUUUUUACUAUUUAUUGCAUUUAAAUUCGUCUAAGGCUUCGUUUGUGAUUGCGGGGAGAUUGCGUUACGUGCGGUGAGAAACUACAGAUGUGAAAAUACCCUGUUUGUUUCAGUACGUAAUAUUGCGUUCUGCAUAUUGCAGUUAAUCGGUUACGAUAUAUUUUCUGCGGUCCCAUCGGAGAACGCAGAAGUAUUACAUUCUAUCUAAUAGCAUUACAUUGAACUCAAUACCAAACUAAGCCUUAGUAGAAAAAUCGUUAAAUCAGAAAAAAUUUGCCACGUGGUAUAGUUUAUGGUGGAUUGUUGGCGCUAAACAUAAAUUUUAAAAACUUGAGGUAUUAAAAAGAUUCAACAAAUUCACUUUAGAGUGUACUUGGUUCAAAGUCGGAAUCGGUAUAAGAAUCGAAAUGAAAAUAAGUCGGAAAUGAAAUCGGAAUGAUUCAUUACCUCAUUUUGUUUGGUUCGCCAUCUGAUUUGGAAUUGAAAUGAACUAUUUCCAUUGUCGGUGUUUGGUUUAGAUAGUUAUCAGAAACGAAAUUAAAUUAAUAUGCUGAUUUUAUCUUUAUAAUAUAUUAGUUUAAAUUCAAACUGGAAAUUAAAUAUUAAAAAUUUACAUCAAAAUUUUAAAAUGAUGUCAAAAUUUCAAAUAUAUUUAAAAAAAAUAAAAUUUGAAAUUGAACGGAUAGUUCAAAAUAUAAAACUAGGUUCAAAUUAAAAUUUAAAUUUAUAAAUAUAAUUUUUAAACUUAGGUUAAACUUACAUUUGAAAAGCUUAAAAAGGUUAAAUUUAAUCUGAACAUAUCCAUUUCGCUCGAAUUCAAUUUUCAAUCCGGCCUCUUAAGCCGGAUUGAAAAAAAUAGGUAAUUGGGGGAAUCCCAUUCACCUGAAAUGGGAAUCAGAAUAAAAUUUUCACAUAUCAAAUACGGACAAACGGAUUUAUCCAUUCCGAUUCCGAAUCCACGAUGAAAAAUAGACGAACCAAACACGCCCUAAAGUGUACAAACACAGCAACUCCCAGCAGUUUCAACAUGACUUGAUCCAAUCGAGUCUCCCACCUUUUCGAAUAUGACUCGGCCUAAUCUGGCUUUCCGUUACAGAGCAGAAUGCCGACAUCUUGUAAUAACAGUUUAAUGCUGGCGUGACGGUUGGAGUUAAAAUUAACGACGUGGUUCUGGAUGUAAAUUUUGUCAAAACAAAUAAUAAAUGUUAGUAAAUCUGUUGUUGAUUAUUAUGAUGUUAAGAUUGGGACAGAAAAGUUUGAGACAAACAAAUAUUUUAAAGGAAAAACUUCAAAUACCACUCCUAGAGUUUUACACUUUCUCACUUUAGUACUCUGUGAUUUAAAGUGUAUCAAUUUAGUGCCUGUGGUUUUAUUUUUAUUUUUUUAUUAUCGAUUUCACUAAUUUUUUUCGUUAAAUUAGUGACAAAGUUAAAACUAAAGACUACUAAAGUGAAUAUUCGAUUAACCUAAGUAGGGGUAUCUGAAGUUUUUUUUUAUAUAAUUUAACAAAAUAUUAAUAAAAAAACUGACGGUAAGAUAAAAAUAAAAAAACAGUAUACUAAUUUAAUACAUUUUAAAUCACAUGAUACUAAAGUGAAAAAGUACGAAACACAUGGUGGUAUUUGAAGUUUACCAGGAUGAGUCACACGGCUCAGCAAAUUGCUUCAACGAAAUCUCGCCGAAGAGCUACUCAAUGAACGGUUGGGAUUGAGUACAGUUGUACAAUUAAGAGUGGAUCACAAGGUGGUCCACGGAUAACGACGUGGACCCGGUUCAGGGAAUAUAUUAUAUAGCUCCGCGAAAAUAUCUCCCGCCACGUGGCAUGCAACAGCCAAUGAGGUCCAUCCGAUGACGGUGACCCACAAAAAUCACACAAAACCCUUCUUCAUUAUGAAACAAACACUCUAAAAAUAAAUUAAGUUAUUAUUAAUUUAAAAACCAUCACUAUCACCUUUUGUACGUAAAAUUGUAUGGAACCCCUUUGAGUAUUUACUAUUUCGAAAUUAGGUGUCAACUUUUAAUUAUUUUAUUAAGACUCAACUUUUUGAUUUUUUUAAAAUUGAUAAUUUUACUAAAUUUAAUAAUAUUAAAUACUUUACAGUAAAAUAAAAUUAGACUAAUUUUAUAGUUAGUGACUAAUGGUAUUAUUAAACUUCAUAAAAAUUUUAGUGAACUAGAUAUAAAAUUCAAAAAAAUAGAAUUUGAAGGAAUUAAGAUAACAAAAUUCCUAACAAUAGGUUCUUGCGGCAUGAGUAUCACUUCUGUAAAAAUAAGACAAAAAAAAACCUAUAUUUUGAUUUUUUCAAUAUACUUGAGGACUUUUUUAAUUUAAAUAUUUAAAAUUUAAAAUUUAUCAAAUGUCCUUGUAAAAAAUUAAUUUGGCCAAAUAAGCUUAUUUUGUUCAAACAGUUUAUCUUUUUUAAUGAAAUUUAUUAUUUUUAAUGAAAUUUAAAAGACGUGAAUAUGAUGAAUGAUUCACUAUUUUUUUCACUAUUUUUUAUUUUUUAUAUAUAAUCUUAACAAUUAUAUAAAGAUAUUGACAAAUUAUAUAUAAUUCUAACUAUCUAAAAUAUUUUAACAAUUUAUUCACAUAAAUCUAACAAGAAAAUAAGAAUUCUAUUAAUCCCAGGGACUAUCCCGACAUUUUCACCCUUUGUAUAUAUAUACAAUACCACCCCCACCGAUGUUCGAUUCUUAUUUGUAUUCCUCGCCAUCUCCUCUCUCUCUCUCUCUCUCCAUCUCUCUCUCUCUCUCUCUCUCCCCCUCUCCUCGACGUGGUAGGGAUCGGGAGCUCCGCCGCGGGAGGUGGUGGCGAUGUCGCAACCUGCGGCUGUGGCGGCGGCGGCGGCGGCGCCGCCGCCGGGGGCGGGGCGGCCGGGGAGGCCGGCGCAGGGCGGCUUCGGGCAAACAGUGUCGGGGAUUGUGCGGAUGGCGGUGUUCUGGUACUUCGCCUCCAAGUUCUUCUCCCCCAAGAGGCCCUCCGAACCCUCGGUGCUCAUCUCCAACCUCUUCCAAAAGGGCGAGACCCUGGUGAGUGUCCCAAACCCGUCGCAGGAUGAUCUGAGCCCGUGAUUUGGUACUUGGAUUGAUCGAUCCGAGAUCUUAGGGCAAUUUGUUCUGUUGUUGUGAUGGAUUGGGUGUGGGUGAUUGAUUUGAGUUUGUGGGAAUUGUAGGGAAUGGGAUCGUGAAAUCGUUUUAGUAUGUGGGGUUGUUUGAUUUGGAAUCUCGAUCUAGUAUGGGAAUUGCUAGGGUUUUAGGUAGGAUUAUAGGAUUGUUGAGAAAAGUGCUGAUUUUGUGUGUGUCGUUUCUUUGUUCAUUUGUAUAUAUAUUUUUUGGCCAUAUAAGCAUUUGAAAAAGGUAGCUAUUUGUGGCUAAACUCAGUUCUCUAUGUAGUUCAGAAGUGUAUGGUCUUUAUUUUGAAUAUUGAUGAACCCAUCAGCAAGGUUAUAUGCCUUAUGAGUUUGAACUUUGGAUUGCUAUGCUGAUGAGAGAGAAUCUAGUUGACAAGUUUUUCCCUAUUUAUCAAUCAGGGCUAUGAUCGUAGGUUCUGAGCUCAAUCUUCAUGUUGCAGUUAGUUUAGGCAGGUCUUGAGACUCUAAACAAUCACCUGAAAGAAGAAAACUUAAGACUUGAUGGAUUUAAGGACAAGCUUUUACUAGUCCUCCAUGUUAUGUGAGAAAAUGUCGUGAGGCAUUGUUUGAUGUUUAAGUGUGACCAAAACUUUGUGUACUUGAUAUAAGCAUUGCAUUACCAAAAUACCCUGGUCAGGAUGUUGGUAGGAAGAUCAGAAGAGAAAGGAAGAGGUUUUUUAGUAGAUGUUAUUUAGUCUUAAGGCGUCGGAAAGAGACCACCUUUACAGCCUUUUAUGUAUGUUAAUAUUGCUGAAUUUCAGCUGUGUCUUGGAAACUAGCUUGACUGAGACCCUGCUUGUAAACUCAGUGAAGCCCAAACUGUGAGGCGGUUACUUGAUUUUUGGGGUUCUUAGAAAAAGGAAAGGGGGUAGAAAAUUGAUGAAGCUUUAAAGCUUUUGAGUCUUCGGGGAAGUUUGAAGUUAUAUCUUUAGAUUUGAAUUGAGUUUGGUGAAGCCAUAGUUGAAAGCAUUUCUUAUCGCACCUAAAGGCAUUUCUUCUCAAAUGAUUCUUGAAGAAGGAAGAAAAAAAUAAUAGUAAGAACCUUUUUAAGAUAUAUUUUAUCAACAUACCAUUUAUGUACACUGAGACCAACUUAGAGUUUGCCUAUCUGACGGAUAGUGUUGAAAUGGCUUCAGAUGCACAAGUCAGUGCCCACAGAUCUCAUUUUAAAACACUUGUAAUUUUCUACUAUUUAGACUAUUUUGCCACUUUGGCAUCAUACAAAUUUCUUAUAGGAACUCAUCUGGAAUUCUUUCAUCAAUAAGUAUGUAUUAAAUUGCAGUGUCUCAGCGCCGACAGGCACUUGCUUGUUAUUUACCUUCGUGUAUAUAAUUUACUUUGGACACAUUUUGAAUACUGUAUAUUGUAACUAUUUACCGUCAUUGGUUGAUAUGUUAAUUGCUUCUUCCUAUCUCAGGAUAUGUGGCUAUAUUUAUCUGAAAAGGAAACGUUCAACGACUUCAAUGAUGAAGAGGCCCUCGUUUGGCAUGAGACAAAUGUGCCAUAUGCUAUAUGGGGACCUGCUAGCACCAGAUCUCAUUCAAUGACAUAUUAUCCAUCGGAGGUAAUGAUUGAUAGAUCGCACUGUUAUGAGUAUCUUACCCCUAUACUUUUGUGAGUAGUUCAAAAUGGUUGAGGAGUUGAGGGGGUCAUCCUACACUUUUACCUUUCUCUUAAAUUUAAAGUUAUAAAUUAAUUUUCAACUAUUUGCAUUAUGGGUAUUGUAGGCCUUGAAACAUAAUGGGAGCCUCUAUGCGCAUGUUUUCUUUGCCCGCUCUGGCUACCCAGCAGAUCCUAGUGAUCCUGAGUAUGAUCCGAAAUCUGCCUUUGGGAGGACACAUCGUAAGGAUUAUUAUUAUUUUUUUUAAGGCUAUCUCCUUAUGCAAUUAGUGUAAUUUUUAGUUACCUUAGCUUGCUCAAUUUUCUCUUUUAGCUGUUGUGGUGUUCCUGCCAAAGUCGAAAGUGGACAAAAGGAAGAGCUUACUGGGAGAUUCUAAGAGUUCAUCGGAAGAGGAGCCACUUCCCAAGGUUUCCCUUACUCUUAUUGCUCUCUUUGUUUUGCAUUCAGCUGUCAUAUUGGCUUUUCCUAUUUUGUGGCUCUAGUAUUCUUUGAUUGCUGGCUGUACUUUUAGUAGCUUUGUUCUGCUUGUCUCCUUCGUUAAUCUGUUUUUCAAAAAAAGUUAAUUAUAUCGUCACUCUUGUGCUUGAGGAACAAAACUGUCUAUCCGUCUUUCUUCUUUGUUUUGUUGUUAGAGAUGAUAUAACCCCAUCAUUGUUCUCACAGGAUGAUGAUACACAGCUUGAAGCUAAAGAUGAAGGUCCUUUAGAAUUUGUUUCAUAUUGGAAGCCCAAUAUCACCAUUAAUCUCGUUGAUGAUUUUACCCGGUAUGUUUUCAAGGAACGGUUACUGGUUUUCUUGCUUAAAGAUGAGUGAACUAAGUGAUCAUGUAAAAUGCUGCACCAAUCUUAUUUUGAUUUGUUGUGUCAACACAUAUUGUAGCAUUUUCAUAAUCUGUAAAUAUCGACCUAAGUUUAUUCUGCAGUAGUAUUCAUUCUUGAUGUUUUGAUUCAUUCACUUAUAUUACGUUGUCUUUUUGCUACUCUGAUUACUUGUUUGAUAUCCUAUCAGUUUUUCUUUUUUGAUUACAAAUUCAGGUACCCUCAUAACAACAUUCCUCAAACGGUUGCUGGUCGUAUCCUUGUACCUCAAUACCUUUGUUUUAUAUGCAGCUAGACGGUAUUUCUUUGGAAUUUCACUAUCUACGUAUUGAUAGUGAAAUACGGAAUAACUGUUUUGUUUGCUAGCCAUCUUAAUCUUGAACUUGUGUAUACUACUUUUCACUAUAUGUAUAAUAAUUACCCAAACUUUCUUCUCUUGUUCGGUUUGUUUAUCUGCUAUUAUUUCCUUUUGUGUAUACCAUACCAUAGCCCUCACUUAAAGCUGUCAGAAUCCCCCCAUACAAAAAAAUAAAAUAAAAAAAAAUGCUGAGAGGAAAAUUGAAGUCAGACAACUUAUUUAAACUCGGUUGGUCUUUUUUCCAAUCAUUUUGGUAGACAAUUUUGUUUUUGACGAAUUAGUAAGUACAUAAUACUAGCACACAUGUUUGUAAAAAUCUUGUAUAUGAUGCUUUUAAAUGUUUGCUCCCUUCUUGAAAUUGCUUUUUAAUCAAUUUUUAUGAAAAUUUCAUUUGUAUAUAAUGUCUGAUAUACAAAAAUGAGAACUAGAAAAGUUUUCCUUUACAUUAGACGGGCAGAUUUGAAUGUGGACCCAAUAACUGGGAACUACUAUCCGACAGUAUACUUCAAUGAAUUUUGGCUUUUGAGGGAUAAAUUGAUUCCACUCAAUGAAACAGUGAAGGAAUUGCCUCUUAACCUCGAACUCAGUCCAAUUAGUAUGACCAAGUGGCAGUUAUUCUUACAGAUUGAGCAGUCAUUCCAGGUUCAUCGCAGUUAUGGAAGCAUGCUUGAAGGCGAGACCGAUGAACUUAAGGUAUGAUUCAUGGUAAAUUGUCCCUUUUACUUGUAGAGGGCCAAACUUUUGCAUCUUUCUGCACAUAAACCUUAUUGUUCGUAAGGAUGCCAUAUCAAAGAUAAUUAGCAUGUUGUCCUUACAAGUAAUGUGGAGCCCUUUGAUAUAUUAGGUAUAUUAGGGGGCUUUUUGGGCUACUAAGUCUACGCAUCUUUUUUUAUUGUAAAAAUAGGCAUCCAAAAUUUUUAUUUAUAAAAUUAGGCCUAAGCGGUGAAUGGUUUACUGCUUUAAGAAAGCGGUGAAUCAUCACCGCUUUCACGUAACUUACAUGUUUUCCACAUCCAAAUUUCGAGAAAUGCGUAGUACUAAACUCUAAAAAUAAUUUAAAUAUUUUAAAGAAAGUGGCGAAUGAUUUACUGCAUUUAGAAAGCGGUAAUUCAUUCCAUAGUUAGUUAAUUCGGAUCGGCAAAAAUUCAGUAUGGGUAUAAUUCAAAUAAAAUUUGUAUCUUAAUUUUUAAAUUCGUUGAAAAAUACGGCUUAAAAAAUGGAUUCGCCAAUUAUUUGGAUACGCGAUUUAUACGGAUAUUAUACGUUCACCAAUUAACAAUUCAGGAUAAAAAAUUCGGCUAUUAAACUAAGCUAUUUUCUCUAGAUUUUUGCUACUAGCAUACAUAGUUGUAAAUUCUUAAAAACAUAAAAAAGAGAGCUACAAAAUAAAGUAGAUUAAGUGAAAAAAGCAAUAGCAAAUUUUAUUGUCGUCUCUAUCUUCAUGUUUUUCAUGAUCCACAUAUUUCGGAAGUUCAUGAAGUUUUUCAAUAAUUCGUGAAUGAUUCGGCAAUAAUUCGGCAAUAAUUCGGAAAGGAAUUUUAUCCAAAAAAUUUGUGCCUUUUUUUGGCCGAAUAGUUCAGCAUACGCGAAUUAUUCGCGAAUAAUAAAUCUAACCCAAAAAUUCGCGUAUUAUUCUGAUUUUUUGGGAAUAAAUCGUGUACGGUCCGUUUUAUUCGAAUUUUCAAUAAUUCGCGAAUUAACUAUGAUUCAUUCACCACAUAGGACUACUUUUGUAAAUAAUUUUUUUGCAGACCUAUUUUUAUAAUUAUAAUAUUCUUUAAGCCUAUUAAUAAAAAAAAAAUCUACAUUAGGUAACUUUACCUGCCACACUAAUAGGUAGUUGUGUAGCAUUAUCUUCAUUGAAAUACCACACUUUUGGAUAAAAGUCAUUCAGUUUCUUCAUUCUACAAUUUCAGUACUAUCACUUAGUUCUUGAUAUCAUUUAGAAAGAUACAAGUUUUAUGUCAUUACAUGUGAUAAAGUUGUACUUGCCGAAAGAAAUAGUAUUAUGAAUUUAAUUACUUCAAACUCAUUAGUUCUAGUGGAUAAAAGAAUGACAUAGGGUUCUGAAGAGCUGGGAUUCUAGAUUGAGCCUUUAGGGUCAGAUUCUUUAGAGAAGUAGAGUAACUUUUGUUUGACAAUCUUUGAUUUCAUACUAGGAGUAUGAUGGAGAACACAUAUUGAUUUCUCAUUUUGUGAAAUAAGUACGGGAAUGACUUAAAACAGUGUUUGAUCUCUUUUUGUUGGGACAAUGAAGUGGUAAAAUGAAAAAAAAUGCAGUGGCACUUGUUUCAAUUUCCUGAACAAUUGGAUAGACUGAUAUGGUUUUAUUUACCUGAUUACAGUAUUAGGCCUAAGUUCAAUGUUAUACAUGUUUUAGUCCUCAUGGGCCAGGUGUGGUAUGCCCUUUUAUUAUUUCCGUCCCUUGAUAGUGAGUUGUGUUCUAUGUCUGCCCAUUUAUGUUAUCAUUUUUAUCACAAAUGCUUGACAUGGUAUUUAACUUGCAGAGGGUGUUCUUGGAAGGAAACCCAUACCUUUUGGUAGUAACAAUGGUCGUUUCCCUACUGCAUUCUGUGUUCGAUUUCUUGGCUUUCAAGAAUGGUAUGAUGAGAAUGCUUAAUUAUAUGUUUUUGACCCUGUUUUAGCUAACCGACAUAGUGGUAGUAAAUAAACAAUUAAUUGGGUUCUUUUAUCCAGAUAUUCAAUUUUGGAACAAGAACAAGUCUAUGGAGGGGUUAUCUGCUAAAUCAGUGGUUGUGAGCUUUAUAUGUCAGCUGGUUGUUUUCCUUUAUCUCCUUGACAAUGAGACUUCAUGGAUGAUCCUUGCAAGUUCUGGAGUCGGCUGUUGCAUUGAGUUUUGGAAAAUUGGGAAAGCCAUGCACAUUGAGGUAUGUUCCAUAUAGUUGUGUAACUCUUCAGUUUUCCGAUAUCGGAUAUAACAUGUCGGCUUGCUUGCACAGCUUGAAAGCUAGAGAUACAAAACCAUAUAGGAAUUAGUGAAAAUUCAGUGGCACUGUUGGUUCUAUAUUUGUGCAACUUUAUAUUAUCAAUAUAUGUCCCUUUAUUUAUUCAAUUUAGCUAUCUUGUUAAGUCGAACAAUCCAACUACAAAGGAUUAGUGGGAGAAAGGAAUAGAUAGGGCAUGCAGAUCUGUUGGGGCUACUUAUUUGGCAUAUUUCCUUUUGUUUAUUGGAGGGCCAUUCGAUGGUCGUAGAGAGCCACGAAGAGGAGCAAAACUUGAUGAUAUGUAAUUACCGUUUUCAUUAUAACAAUCAGAUAGUAGAAAUUAUUGCUUAUUUAUGUUGGUUCAUUCUUUUCCUUUGUCUCAACUGCCACACUUUAUUACUUUAUAGCCUUAAAUUUAGGAGCUUUCCUGUUAUUGGCAAAGAUUAGUUUGAAAUUAUUUGUUUCUCUCUUCUUAUGCUUAGCAUUUAACUUCUUUGACCUCCAAACCAGAUUGACAGAAGCGGAAAGAUUCCCAUGUUAAGGUUCCGGGACCAUGACUCAUAUGCGAAGAAUAAGACCAAGGAAUAUGAUGACAUUGCAAUGAAAUACUUGUCGUAUGUUCUUUUCUUCCUUGUGGCUUGUUCCUCCGUCUAUUCUCUCAUGUAUGAGAAGCACAAGAGCUGGUAUUCUUGGAUACUCUCUUCUCUCACUAGCUGCGUCUACAUGUUUGGUAAGCCCUUGUUCAAACAUUUUAUCGUGUAUUACAUGCCUACUUUUUGUUUAGGAGAGAAAAGUUCAAUUUAUACAUUCCUACAUGAUUUGCAGGUUUUAUCAUGAUGUGCCCGCAGCUCUUCAUAAACUACAAGCUUCAGUCGGUGGCACAUAUGCCUUGGAGACAGAUGACAUACAAAUUCCUCAACACUAUCAUCGACGACCUUUUCGCUUUUGUCAUCAAAAUGCCGAUGCUUCAUCGGCUCUCUGUUUUCCGAGACGGUGAGUAAUAUAUUCCCAUGUAGUGGACCUAGUAGUCGGGGCUUCUCGCAUUUGCUAUGGUGGCAUGGGUUCAAGUAAUGAAGAUAUCCUCUUAGAUCCCUGCUUCUUUGAGCCUCACGCACUUGAUGCCCUAAUCACUAUCUCAAAUACACUCUCCAAUUUGUGGGCAGAUUGUGCAGUUUCUAUUGUCUGUUUUUUUCUCUGGUUUUUAUGUAUGUCUUUUCUUCUUUUUUUUUUUCUGGUGUACAGAUGUAAUUUUCUUGAUAUACCUAUAUCAGAGGUGGAUAUAUCCGGUCGAUAAGAAGCGAGUAAAUGAGUUUGGUUUCGGAGGUGAAGAUGAAGACAAGGGGAAAGAGAACCUUCUAACAAACGAAGCAACAGCAGCUCAAGAUGGUGCCGCGACAUCCGACGCUGCGACGUCCGAUGAAAGCAAGAAGACCAAGUGAUCUCAGAGAUGAAACUUUUAAGGGACUUCACUUCGCUGCAAGAGUCUGCAGACUCAUUCUAGUAAUGUUUGGAACUUCAUUUCACUGCACGAGUCUAUAGACUCAUUCUAGUAAUGUUUCUCCGUGGGCCAUUGAUGCAGCCCACUUCCUGCUGGGGCCCAUCCCUGCUAUGCGCCAAAAUUUUUAUGGUUUAAGUUUUAGAUGAAAUUCGCUGAAAUUGCAUUGCUGACCAUAAGAGAAUCAUGCAAUUAUUUUACACUAAUAACAGUUAGGUUUUGGUGUAUGGUUUUGUUUACGUUAGAGUGUGAUAACACUGGAUUAAAUGUAAUGACGUUUGAGUCAUGACUUAAUGUUUUAUUCUUUCGGAUGUUGCGGUGGUGCGGGCGACCGCAGUCGGCGGUUUCUCCUUUCGUUUACUGAAUUUGGAAUAUGAAGUUUUGAGUUGGUUUCGCUCUGAGUUAGGAAUUUACUGGUUGGAGCUUUAAGAUUGUAUUUGGCUUCUGUUAAGCAUGUCACAUCCUUGGUCGAAUGCGAGCUUUGCACUACGCCGUCGACCUCAUCUGCUCGCUGUUUAAUCUUAUGUUUAUGUUAAAUAAGUUUGUAAAUCUUAGAUGCAGCAACCAAGUUGGCGGGGAUUGAAGUAUGAGAUGGUGUUGUGAGUGCGAAGAAUAAAUUUUUCUCGCAGGUAUUACAGUCCAUAAUUUUCAAAUCAAUCUCUCUCGAUCUUGCAGUUGCUUUUAAUAUUAGUUCGUGUGAUUUGUUUCUAUUAUUGUAUGCGGUGUUUACGUAUUACCAAUUGUAUCUACUGUUAUUCUUAACCGGUGAGAGAACGUUUGUUCUCAUUUGCACAUUUUUGGGAGGAUUAAGCGCAGGGGAACUUUUUGAAUUUGUUUCUAUUUUGCAAAUAGCUAUCUAAAAUUUAAGAAUAUUAUAUUCGUUAUCUAAACUUUUAAAAUUUUUUUUUAAAAUAAUUAACCUGCUAAGUUGAUACUUCGUCCGCGACUAAUUUUCAAUCCUCAAUAGUUAAGAAAUAAUGAAAAAGUUAUUUUUUAGAGAUUGUUGAAAAAUCGAAUAAGAUACCCGUGAUUAAUUUUACUCAUUUUUUGACUUAAGAAGACCUUAGUUUGCUGUGGAGUAAUAAUAAUGAUAGUAAUAGUAAAUUGCACACCAAUGUGCAUUGAUUGGUAAAUGUCAAAUCAUAAACCUUCAAAAAAAAAAGAAAAAGAAAAAAAAGAAUGAAUCGAGUCACUUUAACUUUGUUCUCAACCUUAUGGUCAAAUUUUAGUACAAAACUUUAACUCAUUUAGCACCAACAACGUACACUAAAGAGUGGGUGCAUAUCUAAUCAAUUUGACUUAGUCCUCUACUCAAUAGUCAAAAAUUUGGCACACAAAUUAAAUCACUGCAACCCACAUCAUCCCUUUCGAAUCUUUUUUUUUUUUUUUUUUUCAAGUUUCUAACCCCAUAAAACCAAAAGUAUAUUUCAUAAUAGUUAUUUUAUGUAGAAUUAAUGAUAAAAAAUCAAGGCCUUUUUGCAUAAAAAAUUCAUUUAUUUUGGGCUUUUGCAAAAUCGGAUCACUUUUUUCGUUUUUGCAGAUUCGGUCCGUUUUUUCAGUAAACUGACCAAAAUACCCUUAUUACUUUUUCUCUUUCCUCUUUCUCUCACCUCUUCGUUUCUUCCGUUAUUUUUUUUUUUCGUUCUUUUUUCGAGCCCGCCGCCGAGCCCCUCCUCCGCCUCCGCAAGCCGAACCCCUCCUCCUCUCCCCCGCCGCCGCCGCCGAGCCCACCCCCACCGUCGUCUCGCCUCCUCUUUCUCUCUCCUCUUUCUCUCUCCUCCUCAAGCCCCUCCUCACCUCCCCGUCGCCCUCCUCAAGCCCGCCGCGAAGCUCCGCGUCCUCCUCCUCCGCUUCCACAAGCCGAACCCGCCGCCACGCGAAGCUCCGCCGCCGAGCCCCUCCUCCUCUCCCCCGCCGCCGCCGCCGAGCCCACCCCCACCGUCGUCUCCGUCGCCGUCGCCGUCGCCGAGCCCACAUCCCGCCCCUUGCCGACCGCCUCGUCACCCUCCAAUCGCCUCGUCACUCCCCUUGCUGAGCCCUCGUCACCCCCACCGUCGUCUCCGUCGCCGUCACCGUCGUCUCCGUUGUCGUCGCCAAGCCCACGCCCCAUUAAUGGUGUAAUGGUGCACCAUUGCACCAUUACACCAUUAAUGGUGCACCAUUACACCAUUACACCAAUGCACCAUUCCACCCUUACUGUUGUCUUGGUCGCCGUGGUCGUCGCCGAUUCCACUAAUGGUGCCCCUUUCCGACCGCCUCGUCACCCUCCAAUCGCCUCGUUACUCCCCUUGCUGAUGUCCUGGUGACCCCCAUGGUCGUCUCCGUUGCCGUCAUGGUCGUCUCCGUUGUCGUCGCCAUUCCCAUGCCCCAUUAAUGGUGUAAUGGUGUACCAUUGCACCAUUACACCAUUAAUGGUGCACCAUUACACUAUUCAUGGUGUAAUGGUGUAAUGGUGCACCAUUACACUAUUUUUGCAUGGUUGUACCAUUGUGCCAUUACAUGGAUGCACCAUUACACCAUUUUUCAUGGUGUAAUGGUGUAAUGGUGCACCAUUACACUAAUGGUGCACCAUUACACCAUUACACUAUGAAAUUACACCAUUAAUGGUGUAAUGGUGUAAUGGUGCACCAUUACACAAUGAAGAAGAAGAAGAAGUAGCCGCAGCGCGCCCGCGUGCCCGCCCGCCGCCGCUGCGUGCACCGGCCCCGCCGCCGACCCAGCCCCGCACCGCCGUUGCGCGCCCCGCGCCAGGAGCAGCCCGCGAUCAGCGCCUCCCUCGCCGCCGCCGUCGUCGGCCCGCGGCCCGGGGGCUCAACGUUGGCGCCGAACUCCAGCAGUAGCUGGACGAGGUCCGGCCGGCCUUGCGCGAUGGCCGAGUGCAGCAGGCCAACGCCGGACGCGUCGACGGCGUCGGCCGGGCGCCAAUCCGGGUCGCUCCGCUCCAGCCGCCGGCGAUGAGCUCCGCAGCCUCUUCCUCCGCCGCACCGUCGACAGCGACGACGACCGCGGCGGCGGACGAGGGGCUCGGCGACGGAGACGACGGUGACGGCGGCCAUGGGGCCGCCGCCGCUAUGGCCGUGGGCUCGGCGACGGCGACGGAGACGACGGUGGGGGUGGGCUUGGCGGCAGCGGCGGGGGAGAGGAGGAGGGGUCGUGGGCGGUGGAGAGGAGGGUGAGGAGGGAGGCAACGGUGAAGAAGGAGGGUGAGGAGGGAGGCGACGGUCCGAUCCGUCUCUUUUUUUUUGGCGAGAAAAAAAAAAGAACGACAGAAACGAAGAGGAGAGAGAAAGAGGAAAGAGAAAAAAUAAUAAGGGUAUUUUGGUCAGUUUGCUGAAAAAGCGGACCGAAUUUGCAAAAACGAAAAAGGUGGCCCGGUUUUGCAAAAGUCCAAAAUAAGUGGAUUUUUUAUGCAAAUUGGCCAAAAAUCAACGAUCUUCAGGAAUAUUAUAGUAAUUUCAAAGAGAAAAUAUGGUGAAAAGAGAACGUCACCAAAAAAAAUUCAUUUUGCUUGACCAAUUAUUAGUAAUCCUAGAUGAAAUAGUUGUCCUCUCGGAGACCUUUUCGAAAUAAAGAGAUUACAAAUGAUAUAAAAUAAAUUUAAAUUUUAUAUGCACCGCCGGCUAGUAGACUGAUUGACUGGUAUUUUAUACUCAAAAAGUUAUAAGUUCUGAAUUUAAAUAAUGUUUCGAUUGUGAAUACAGUAAAUGCGUGGUGUCUGCUGACUUCUUUAAAAAAAAAAAAAACAAAAAAAAAAGUUAAGUGGAGGUGCAUAAGAGGUGAAAUUCUAACCUACUUUAACCAUUUGUUGACAUAAUUGUGUCCAACAAAAGCUCAGUAUAUAUUGCACACCCAACUAAGUCCAAAUUUCGGAGCUAAGUUUGACAACCUCAAUUCAGUGGCUCCAAUAAGUUUUGUAUUGGAUGAGAAAUUUGAAUCUUUGGCACUUUCUCUCUUUUGCUUGUCAAAGCAAAGGACAAGGAGGUGAAUGGUUCAGAAUAUUCUCUCUCUCUCUCUCUCUCUCUCUCUCUCUCCUUUUUUUUUUUUUUUUUUNCCCCUUUUUUUUUUUUUUUUUUUCCCACUUUUAUUGAUGUGUUACUUAGGAUCCCAAUAUCCAAGGUUGAGAGGCAAGUUCAUGUCUUUCAUGUCUUUCUAGGUUAUUCUACAAGGAUGGAAAUCAAACCUAUCCUUUAAUUUAUUUUAUGUCAUUUUUUUUUGACAUAAUGGAACACUGGAAGGUAUUCACUCACUCAAAAUAUUGUCAAACUCUUUCGGCGCAUGUUUAAAAAUAAAACAUCUUUACGGUGACAAGUGUUGGUUUAAAUGGGCUAGCAUUCUGCCCUAUGGCCGGAGGUCAUGUUGGGCCAAGUCACGUUCGAAAUGGCGUGAGGCUAAGUAGGCCGAGUCAUGUUCGAAGUGGCAUGAGGCCGAGUGGGCCGAGUCACAAUUGAGACCCGUGGGCGCUGUAUCUGAACGGUUUAAGUGAAUUGGUUGCGUAUUUCUAACAGCUCGAGCUUUUGAGAUUAAUGGUUAGCGCCAACAAUCUGACAAGUAGUAUCAGAGUCAGAGGUUACGGGUUCAAUUCCUGCAUGCUGCAAAUGUGUGCAGAUACUGGAGGGGAGAUUGUUGGCUUAAAUGGAUCAGCAUUCUGCCCUGUGGUGGGAGGCCAUGUUGGACCAAAUCACGUUCGAAAUGACAUGAGGCUGGGUAGGCCGAGUCAUGUUCGAAGUGAUGACAUGAGGCUGGGUAGGCCGAGUCAUGUUCGAAGUGACGUGAGGUCGAGUGGACCGAAUCACAAUUGAGACCCAUGGGCGCUGUAUCUGUAUGCUUUAAGUGAAUUUGUUACGUAUUUCUAACAGCUCAAGCUCGAGCUUUUGGGAUUAAUGGUUAGCGCCAACGAUCCGACAACAAGAACACUUUCCUUUUUACGUGUAGAUACCAGUAUUUAUAAAAUUCGAUUCUGCUAAUCUAUAGUUAUAAAUUGCAACUUCACACCAUUUGCGAUGCACAUUUGAAGCAAAACGUUUCUGUAUAUGAGCAGAGCGAUGGGAACACUUUUCUUCUGUUAAAUAAUCACAAUUUUACGUCAUUUAAUCUCUUCUCAUCUUAUGUUAUUUUCACAUGAGAUCUUAUAUUUAAAAUAUUUUCUCUUAGGUGGAAUCUAACCUACUCUAAAAUUUUGAAUCAUUGCAAAGAAUUUUUAAUCCCUUUUCAGAAAAGGAGAGAGUCGGCAACAAAAAUAAAUAAAUAAAUAAAUAAAUAAAGCACUUUAAGUUGAUGUUACUUCAUUGAAGCUCUUUUUUUAGUGUGUAAUCUUAGAAUGGUGACACGGCCGACACCCAAAGUGGGUUUAGGUUGUUGCCACAUCAUAGUUGAUUAACUCAAUUGGACUUUUAUAUCUUUAAUUUAAUUAUUAACAUCACAUUUUUAACAUUUUAAAUGUUUAAUUCAUUUUGGAGAGAGAAAAGAAAAAUUGUAGUAGCCAUGUGAGUAGCAUUUUAAUGCUCAAAUAGUCUCAUAUAUAUUGAAUAGAUUAGCUAGGGAUUAUGAUGGGGUAUUAGAGUAUACAAAUAAGUAUAUUGUGCCGGUACUUUUGGCCCAACGAAUUAUUAUUGCCAGCGUGUCGGGUCGUUAUAUUUGGUAUCAGAAUCGAAAACUAGCCGAAAAUAUAAGAGCUAAGUGCUAUAUAUGAUAAAAUGCUAUACCACUAGUUUGGUGGGAGCCACAUCUUGAACUCGCUUAAACUCGCAGAAUUCAUCUCUAGAAUCUCAUAUUACCUGAUAAUUCUGAUUUACACGUGUGAUUGGAUUUGGACCCGAUGAGGAUGUCAAAAUCUUCUAAAUUAUCAGAUUGACUGUACGUGUGAUUACGAGGCCGUCAAGAUCUUCUGAUUGGGAAUAUAAGAGGCCACGAAUUCUAAUAUAUAAUAGUAACUGUAUUCUAAAUUAUUAUUAGAAUUUCUCAUUCGACGUAGGACUAUUGUAACAUCAUACUAAGUUGGUGUUAAUUGGUUUGAGAAUUAUCUAGUGCGAAUUUUAUCUUUAGACGCUAUCUCACCAUUAUAUUUGAUUACAGAUAACAAAAAGAGGAUUUUCCAAUGAGGAAAGUGGAAAUUCCACUCUAUCCUGUGACUAAUUUCACUUGGAGAUUUAAUAAAACCCCCAACAUAUAUGGUGGGAGAGUCUAGAUAUUAGCUAUUAUGCAUACUUUAUUCCUUAUCCAAAUAAAGAUUUCCUUUUCUUUUCUUUUCUUUCUUUUUUUUUUUUAAAGAAUACAACAUCCAUUCCAUCAUAUGAUAAAAAUCAAGGCCAAGUAUAUGAAAGGUAAUAGCUUAAUCAUUCAACCUCAACCAUAUAUAAUACAGUGUGACUUUGCAAUGUGGAAACCCCACAAUUUUGGAUUCUUCAAAGAUCUCAAAUUUGAGGACCAUGGCAUGAUCUAGGGUUGGUGUUGAACACCUCAAUUGACAAGUUCCAACUCAUGUUGUUGCCCAUGGCCACCAAAUCCUAGAUUUUUCUAAUAGAUCUAUAUUGACAUAUAAAAGUAAUAAAACUAAUACAAACUAAUGUUUAAAGAUCAUAAACAGAAUAAUACAUAACUCACAAAAUGUUAUAGAGAAGAAAUUUUUUAUCAAUCUGUAGAAGUGAAAAGUCCUGCUACGAUAUGGAUAUCAUUAAACUGAACUUGGAUAAUUUGAUUGCUGCUCCUGUAUUGUCAAGCACCCUCCUGUAUGGUGUGGAACAGUUGGUAAUUCUUUACCAGCAUACACGUGAGUAGGUGGCAGAGCCAGUAUUCCUGUAUAUAGAGUUCAUAUUGACUUUCUAUCAAAGUUUGAUUAGAAUUCUAUAUAAUUUAAAUAGAUGAAAAAUGAAUAAAAUAUAUCAAAUCAAGCAGUUUAAUAUCGGUUAGAAUUAACCUUAUUUAUAGUAAAUCCAUAUUUGAAUACGAUUAAUUGAGCCAUAUUUAUAAAAAUCCUAAUAUUUUAUGCAUAAAAAGAUGAUGAGAACUAAUCUAUGAUUAAUCUAUGAUUUAUUAGGUUAAUAAUACUAGUGGGUACUGAAUACAAAAAUUAAGAAUACCAUUCUAUGAUAAUUUAAGUUUUUGAAAAAAAAAUAAUUAUUUCACAUAAUUUAACACAGUAUCAAAGCUCGAUAUUCUGAGUUUAAAUCCUGUCAGCCUUCUCGUCUUAUCACCAAACCUAGUUGUGCAUUGUGAACUAAUUCCAAGAAUAACCUAGCAUUUAAUAUUACCUAUUUACUUAUUUAUUUAUUGGAUAUUCAUUUGCUUUGACAAAGUCCAUCUACAAAUUGAAGUGCUAAUGGUGCUUGACAUGCCUCUUACAAUACCAUGAUAAAAGUGGAAGCCAACCCUAAAUCCUGAUUUGCGACCGCCACUUGUCGGCAUUCGACUUUUAACACGUCGAUCAUACGAUCGAUUACAAAACUGAUAUCGUAAUCAAUCAGAAAGCAAUCAGGACCAAAAACUUAUGAAACACGAAGGAAGGCGAGAAAAAGAAUAAGCACUUUUGGAAAGCUAAAGAAAAUUAAACAUAAUGCACCACUUUUGGGGUGCUAAACAUAACCAAAUUAUCCACUUAGUUUCUGACUUUUUUCUCUAAAUAAGCAAAGGUAAUGGAAAGUGUUGUUUUUUUUGGUCGGCAAAAACAAAGCCCAAGAAAAAUAAAAAAAACAUUUCCCAAAAGAAUGAGAUCACCAAAGUCAAACAUUAGGGUUGACAUGUAAAGCUAGGGCAAUGAUGGAACAUUUUGGUAGCACACCACCACAAAGAAUUACUAAUAAAAAUUUAAGAGUAUCUACACUAGUAAAUAAGUACAUCUUAAUAUGUCUCAUGUAUUAAUUGUACUUUCAAAAUGAGAAUCUAAUUUUUUUAGGUUAUAUUCUAUAAUAUUUGAAUGAUCUACAUAUUAAAAUUUAUAAAUUUUAAAUAUCAAUUUCUCAUGUAAUACAAUGCAGAUCUUCUCAUACGCUUGCGCUGCACAUUUUAAACACUACCAAAGAGCUCAAAUUAGAAUCUACUGUAGUGUUAGGCUUGUAUAUGAAAGUCGGUAACUUUUUAAUGCUGGAUCUAUAUUAUUGGUUUUUACGACUACCUAAGUAAUAGUUUUUCCAAGCUUGUUUUAGUGCAACCAAACUUUUUAGAUGUUAUAAAUCAUAUAUUAUACUUUAAUUUUUAAUAUAAUAAUAAUGAAGUAUCAGAUAUACAAGUACAUCAGGUGCAGACAAUAAUUUAAAGAAAGAAAGAAAAUAAUGCCCCCACAAUUUGGAGCUCAUUGUUAUCCUAUCCAACAAACAAAAAGGCAUGCAUGUUAAGCCUAACACACCUCCAUUAAGAAUAAAUUAUUCUAGGGUUUUGUUGUUACUGUUAAAUAUAAAAAAUGUUUAAACACCGUUCUCUAACAGCUUAAGCUUUUAGAGUACAACGGUUGUUUCACAUGGUAUCAGAGCAGGAGGUCCUGAGUUCGAGUCACGCCAGGCUCCUAACAUAUUAAUUUCCUCCCAUUUAAUUCAAGCCCACGUCAUGGGCCAAUUAAAAAGUCUCGAGCCCAGACGUGAGGGGGAGUGUUAAAUAUAAAAAAUGUUUAAACACCGUUCUCUAACAGUUUAAGCUUUUAGAGUACAACGGUUGUUUCACAGUUACCCCUUCUUGGAAUAUAAGAAAUGCAUAACACUAUACAUGGUAGUUGCUUGGGAUUAUAAGCAACCCCACUACUAUUAUUAUGGUUAUAUAUGUAAGUUUGGUGUGGUAAAAAAGCAAAGGGGAUAGUGGUGUUUAAGUUUCUACACAUAGCUAACUUGUGGAUCUCUUCCUAUGACACAUUUAUGACUUUGGAUUUGCAUUGAGAAUAACAUUCAAAAUAAAAAAAAAAAAAUUAUUAAAAUAAGAUAAUAAUGGAGUAUAAAGCAAAAUGCUUUGUUGAGAAAUUAAUGUUGUAUACAUAGUUUGGAUUUGUUGUUCUUUGACCAUGUCAUAGGGGAGAGGUGGAAGAGGCUAUUCAUUAAUCUUUGUUCUUUCCCUUUGCUUGUAUAUUGUUUGUGACCUGUGAGGGGCAUGGGCUUAUAGGAACCAUUUGAUUGUGUUUGGAUGGAUUAGAUCUCUUUACAGAGGGCUUGUUUGGUUCUGCAGAAAAAAAAAAAAUUCAGAAAAUAGUUUUCUAACCAGAAAAGUUUUGUUUGGAUGUUUGGUUCCCAAAAAAAGUAAUUUUUUUAAAAAAAGAUUUCAAAUUUUACGGAAAAGUCUUUUUCUUUUUUCGUUUUUUUCGUUUUUUAUUUGGAGUAAGAAAACUAUGAAAAUGAUGCUUUUUAUAGAAAAUCGUUUUAUUCUGAAAACAUUUUUUACGAUUUUUCGAGGAACCGAACAAUCCCGAGUGUAUUUAUAUAUUGAGUAAUGGUUUAACCACUCUCUUUUACAUGUUUAUUGGUGCAAAUGAUAUAGGUAAAGUUAGGCCUCGCUUGGUAUCAUAUUUAUUUUUUUAUUUUUUAAAAAUGGAAUUUUGUAUAUUAAAAUAUGAAUGAGCAGAGACUAAAUUGUAAGCAAUUCUUUCAUCCAAAGUAUUUAUUAGGUAACAAAAAAAUAAAUUUUUUUUUUUUUUGCUUUCAGAUUUUUUUGAAAAACAAGAUAUUAUCUACUAUUUAGCUGAAUGCAUUAUAAGCUAGCCAAUUAUAACAAUAAAAAAAAAAGCUUUUCUCAAACAAUCAUAUUACAUCGAAUUAUUUUCUAAAAUUUUACUGUGCCCAAAGGAUUAGCGCGACUCCCCUGUUGCAAUCCCAAACACCAUUAGAACCUUCCAACAUGAAAUUUCUAUGACAACAGAUCUAGAAUCGACGCAACACGAAUCAUUCUAAACAGGAAACAUUUAGUCGCAAUCGCAAACUAACCCAACAAUUCUGACCCGACUAACCUGAUCGCUGAAUGCAAAUACUAACCUAAACCGGAUGAACCAUCAGACCCAUCCUACAAAAUAUAUAUAUAAGUAAACGAGAGUGGACACAACAUUUUUUCGGUUUCUAUUUUGUACUGUGAGUCACCCUUAUCCGAUUUUAUUGGCUGUGCCAUUUUGGGCCCACUUUUUUCGACCCACUCAUUGGUGCAUGCUCCUAUUCAAACCCUAGGGCCCACUGUGGUCCAAAAUCUGCGGCUGAGGUGGACCUGAGCCUCUCGAUCAAAGGGCCAUGAUUGCACCAAAAAAAACCUCCUCACCUAUAGCAUAAAGGUUGGCCCCACUGCUGACUUUUCAAAGUCAAAAUCUUAUAUUCAGUGCAAAAAAAAAAAAAAAAAAACCUACUAGGCCCACUAAGAGGUGCACAAGUGGAAUUUUGCAAUGUGGAAAUUCUUAAUUUAAGUUACAGCUGCAUUUAUUAGUCGUAAAGCACUAAUAAAAUCACCACUGUUUAGUGCAAUCAGUAAAUAUACUAAUAAUGAUUUUACGGCAAGUUCGACGGUCUUCUUUUGAAAAAAAGAAAAGAAUAAGAAAAUAUCAAGCGAUUUCAAAAUAUUGAUAUAUUGAAACUUAUGCAAUCCAAAAAGUCAAGCAUUUUACUCCGAUCUAGUUAUGAUUAUAGUCACUUAUUUGCAUUUAUAAAUCCAAGAUUUGCGCAUCAUCAACUUACAUUACCAUUUACGAACAUAUCAUGCUUAUAUACGAGAGCUAUCAACUUAGGGCCUGUUUGUUCCACCGAAAAUGAAUCCCUAGAACAAGUGGUCAAGGGCUUGGUGGUUGGUACUCAAGACCCAAAUUCGAAUCCUAGUUGAUUCACAUUUCCAGCUAAGUUUAUUUUUAAAUAAAAUAAACGCAGCGGGUAGCGUGCUACCUAUCUCUCUCAAAAAAAAAAAGAUUGAAAUGAAUUUUGGGUUAAAACCCAGAUCGAUAAAAACUAUUUUUCUUAUGCUGUUUGUUUCAUAGCUAUUGAUGUGAAGUUUUUUUUAUUUUUAUUGCUUGUUUGGCAGAAAAUGAAUGAUGUAAAAUUAUAAUUUAUGUGUAAAUAGUAAACAACUUAAUAAAUAAUAAACUAUAACAAAACAAAUAAAAAUAAUAUAACUAUAUUCCUAUAUAAUUAAAAGAUUUCAUCUAAAACAACUAGAUUUUUUUUUUAUACAUAAAUUAUAAUAAUACAACAAUAAAAUUUUAAAGUAAUAUAUAUAUAUAUAUAUAUACUUAAUUAACUAAUCAAUUUUUAUCGUACUUUAAAUGAACAAACUAAAUGAAGGAAAUACUAAAACUUAACUAAUCAAAAUUUGUCCUAUUUUAAAUAUACAAACUAAAUGAAAGAAUAAUUAGUAUCAUAAUUAAAUAUAUUUAAAUAUAAUUAGUAUUACUCAAUAUAUUCUUUUAUUAUUUUUUCUUUAUUUCUCUUCACCAUAAUUAACUUCAGUUCGGAGUGAGCCGACAUUAUAAUACACUAUUUGGGAUAACAUGAGUUGCGACCGUAUCUUUAUUAUGGCGAAAUAAAUAACGAACAUGAUGAUUUACGAUCGAAAAUAAUUUCACUCGUCGCCACUUUCACCCAAACAUGCAACAAGGCCCUUAAUUAGUGGCGACAUAUCACUAAGAAAAGUAACUUUAUACUUUUUAUAUUUUUCUAGUCCUGGAUCGGGGACGUGAUCCACUAAAACUCCUCUCAACUGAAAAGUUUAAAUCGAAAAGUUUGGGCCUACGACACUACAUUAACCUUUUUUAUUUUCUUCUUGUUAUUUUUAGGAAUCUUGACCAUAUUUUUCUUACGCGACUAUUCUGUUUAGAGAAGCAACAGCUCAGUGAAUGAAACACAAAUAUAUAUAUAUAUAUAUAUAUAUAUAUAUAUAUAGAGAGAGAGAGAGAGAGAGAGAGAGAGAGUAGGACUAUUAUAUAUAUACUUUUAUGAGUAUUGAUCUUUUUGUAUUUAUAAGAUUCUGGUCAUUGGAUAAAAGAAUGUGCGGUUAAGAAAAUAGUGGUUCUAGUUAGGGUGAUAGUGGUGCCGUAGGGUUGAGUGGUUGCCUGGUUGGUUAGAUGAAUAGUAUGAUCUAACAGAUGAAAAUGGUCAAAAUGGUAAAUUUAACGGCCAAAAAUUUAUGAGUAUAAAGAGGUCUAUACUCAUAAGAAUAUAGUAACCGAAUUAUAUAUAUAGAAUUAGGCUGGAAUACUAUUNCAGCAUCUUUAACUGACGAGGACCGACCCGUUCCGGCUGGCGUGUUCCGUGUAAUGCUUGCGAGUGGCGGGCCCACAUGCCAGUGGCGCCGUAUAUUUAAGAUAUUUUUGUAAAUCAACUAGUAGCAGCUUACAGUUUUUAAACAAAACCUGCUCUCAUUUUGUGGAAAAGUCAGAACAAUAAUAAUAAUUAUAAAUUUUAAUUUUUUAAAUUUUAAAUUUUAAAAAUAAAAAUAGGGAUAGCAUCCCUAUAUAUAUAUAAUUGGGAUGGAAUACUAUUAAUGGUAUUUGAGCUCUUUUGCUAUUGAGUUUUUAAUUCUUGGAUGAAAAAUUAUAGAAUUAGAAUUAUAGUGGUCCCUCAGGGUUUAGUGGUGGUCCUCUUAGGGUUAAGCGAAUGGUUAGUUGAAUAGUAUAAUCUAAAGAGUGAAACUGAUUAAAAUGUAGAUCUAAUGGCCACGAUAGUAAAAGAGCUCAAAUACUAUUAACAGUAUUCCAAUUCAACUCUCUCUCUCUCUAUAUAUAUAUAUAAAUAAAUAAUUAUUUAUGUACCUCUCAAAAUAUCCAAAAUGUGUUGUAUUUAUAAAACUAAUCUAAAAGUUGUAUAGCAGAUUUUUUUUUUUGGCUCUUUUCUAUUAAUAAGUUAUUAUUAACUUUGAGGGAAUAAAAUAAAUAUACCAAAUAAAAUAUUCAUCCUAAUGAAGUACUAUAUUAAAAAAACAUAUGUAAGUAAAUUAUUAGCUUUCUUUGUAUUUUUAUCAUAUCAUUAAUCUUGGCUGUUUAAUCAAUGUAGGGCCAACUUUUGCACUCCCAAGCCACUUGCAACACAAUGUAUAUAAAUAAUACAUAUGUAGAAUUGAGCUAGAAUAUUAUUAAUAGUAUUUGGGCUCUUUUGUAAAUCGAUUUUUUAGUCUUGGAUCUACACUUUAAUCAAUUCCAUCCUUUAGAUCAUACUAUUCAACCAACCACUCACUCAAUCCUAAAAGGACCACUACUAAACUUUAGGAGACCACUAUCAUUCUAACCCUAUAGUUUUUCAUCUAGCAGUUAAAAACUCGAUAGCAAAAAAGUCCAAAUAUUAUCAAUAAUAUUUCAGCCCAAUUCUAUAUACGUAUAUAGAAUUGGACUGGAAUACUAUUGAGGCUGAAAUACAGAAAACCCCCCUGUUAAAAUUCGAUUUUUUACUUUUUCUUCCUGUGAUUUAAAAACCUACAUUUUCUCGAUUUGUAAAAUAAAAAGUGUGCACUUCAUCCUCUACAGUAAGUGAUCCGUUAGGGUUCCAAUAACCACCUCUCCCCUGUGAUUGGGCUUUGCAGACUAAUAAUUAAUGUCACAGCAACAAGCUCUGACCCCCCAACAUAUGCCCCCACUACAUUACACUUUGUUCACUGCUAUAAUACCCUUGCUUUAAUUACCACCAUUGGCUAAAAUUAUAUUGCACCAACCCAUCACUUCACUUCUCUCUUUCUCUCUCUCUCUCUCUCUCUCUCUCUCUCCACCAACCCUUCACUUCUCUCUCUCUCUCUCUCUCUCUCUCCACCAACCCAUCACCUGUCUCUCUCUCUCUCUCUCUUACAUACACACAAUAGUUGUUAACUUCAUUCUCUCUUUCCCUGUUACAACAUUAAUUUGUUCACUUAUUUACUCUUUCUCUUGCUCUCUCUCUAUAGAUCUCCCACACAGUUAUUCUCUGCAUCUGCUGAUAUGUGCAUUUGUGCAUUGUAUGUAUCUAUUUUGUAUCUGAUGAUCUGUGCGUCCGUGCAUGAUCUAUAUAUUCUGUAUCCGAUGGUAUGUAAGAAAAUAUGCAUCGUGCCUGUUCCAUCACAUACUUUCAAUUGAAUGUCAGCUUAUAUAUAUAUAUAGAUAAGAAAAGCAAAGGAACUUAUUGGGACCGACUGUCCCUAGAAUAAGUGGCAAAGAGUUUGGUGGUUGGUAUCCAAGAUUCAAGUUCGAAUCCUACUUGAUUUAUAUUUCCAGCUAAGUUUAUUUCUAAAUGAAAUAAACGAAUCAGAUAACAUGCUACCUUUCUUUCAAAAAAAAAAAAAAGGAACUUAUUGGGAGGGAAACUAUAUAUUGUUGCAUGCCUUUUUUUUAGCACUAAAAUUUCGCAAAAGAAUUGUAUUUUGAUGAUUGAAUUUGAAGUUUUUGAGACAAGGAUGUGAGUAUUUAUAAAAAAGCGUAAACUUCAAAUACCACACCCAUGGUUUCGCACUUUCACACUUUAGUGUCCUAUGGUUUAAAGUGUAUCAAGUUAGUGUCCUGCGGUUUCAUUUUUAUGUUUUCGUCAGUUUUUCCGUUAAUAUUUCGUUAAAUUAUAUAUAAAAAAUUUCAGAUAUCCCACCUAGAUUUAUCGAAUAUUCACUUUAGCAUCCUUUAGUUUUAAUUUUGUCACUGAUUUAACGAAAAAAAUUAAGAGGAUCGAUAAUUUAAAGAUAAAAAUAAAUCCAUAGGGUACUAAAGUGAGAAAGUGUGAAACCACGUGGACGGUAUUUGAAGUUUUUCCUAUAAAAAAAAGUUGAAUCGGACUUUCUACUUUGGUAUUAAACAAUAAUAUUUUGAUAUUUUAUAUCAUAUAUUAUGUAAUCAAAUUGAAAUAGUAGAUGUUUUCUCAUAUUUUGAGUUUAAUCAUCUAAUUAUAGGUAUGAAAAUGGUUGCAACUUAUGAAGUGUAAAAAUAACCCUUUUUGAAUGAAACAUUAAGUUGUUAAAUAACAGUAUUUUAAUAUGUUAAAUAUAGUGUAAUUUUCCAUGUUUGAGCUCCAUAUAAAUUUUGGCGUGGACUUGAAUUAAAUAGUAAAAAUUAAAUAAAACUAAAGGAAAAAAAAAAACUUAAAAGUUAUGCCGUCGUAUGCCUGAUACUAUACAAAAUUGAAUAUCUCUAAAAACUUAAGCUGCUAAAGAAUAAUAAAAGUUUAGAAUUUUAUAUUUAUACAUUGGCAAUUGACAUUGAAAUAAUGAAGGGGUGGAUAGAGACAAGGUACAAAGAUAUAUGAAUCCACAACCAUAACUUUUUCUCAUUUCUCUCUCUCACCAACCCAUCACUUUAGUCUCUCUCUCUCUCUCUCUCAUCAAAAUAGUAUAAAUAACUGAAUCAACCUGCCUUGGUUUUACCCCAAAGUCCUAAUGAGAAGGAGAACAUCACACUUUGUGCAGUUGAUUGUGAGCUCAUCAGCAAGAGAUUCACCACCCCCCCUACUAAAUCACAAGAAAAAAGGAGUGGUGGUGGUGGUGUGAGAGAAGGAGAAAAGAUGGAUACCCAUACAAGAGAGAGCUUCAAAGGGGAGUGCUCUAAUUUGCUUGCUGAGGUUUCUGUUGAUUGGAGGGGCAGGCCCUGCAAACCUAACAAGCAUGGUGGCAUGAGAGCUGCAAUCUUUGUACUAGGUCUCUCUCUCUCUCUCUCUCUCUCUCUCUCUCUCUCUCUCUCUCUCUCUCUCUCUCACUCUCUCUCUCUCACUCUCUCUCAUUACAAAACCAUGAUGAGAUUACUAUGGCUUAUUGCAAGAGCUCAACUUCAGUAGCUCUGACUAAGGUCUCAUUUGGAAAUGCAUUCUUCGAAAGCAACUGCUUUAAUGCUUCGAAACCACUUUGGAGCUUCGCUCAUCCAGUAUUCAAUGGAAGCUUAUUUUCUACUUAAGAUCUAGUUUGGAAAUGCAUUUUUUUUUAAAAAAAAAACUACUCGCUCUCGUGCUUCAGAAUCCAAUGCUAUGUACAAACAUAUAGUACUUUUGUUUGACUACUGUAUUUGCAAAGUUCAAAAAGUAUUAAAGUGGUUGCGUUUGAAAAACGCAUUUUGAACUAAGCUAGCUUGAUAUAUAGCUAGGCCUAAAUUAUGUGUUCAAAUUAAGUCAGAUUCAUCCUCUCUUUUUAGGUAUCCAAGCAUUUGAGAUCAUGGCAAUUGCAGCUGUGGGGAACAACCUAAUCACAUAUGUGUUCAAUGAGAUGCAUUUUCCUCUAUCAAAAUCAGCAAACAUAGUGACCAACUUUGUUGGGACCAUCUUUCUCCUGUCCCUGUUUGGUGGGUUCCUCUCAGAUUCUUACUUGGGGUGCUUCUGGACCAUGUUGAUCUUCGGAUUUGUUGAGCUCUCAGUAAGUUUUUUUUUUUUUUUUCCUUUUUUCGUAAUGAUUUUUCUCAAAUGUUACUGAUGAGUCGGUACUUUUAUGUGGCAGUAGAUUAGUGGCUCAACUUUUUAGAUUCGUAACAUAAUUCGGCUAUCACUUCGAAAUGCUGACUCAUUGAGUAUUAGUAAUCAACUUUUAGGACUAAAAAACUACCCCUCAACUAUAGGAUCACAACACAAAGUUCUGAAAGAUAUAUAGAUGCCAUAACAUGCUUCUGAAAUUGCUUAUUAGUUAAUCAGAAUCAUACAUCAUAAUUAAUCCUCUACUAAAUGAUCAUAUUGGUCCAUAAGAGUGACACAUUUUAUCAAAUUUCUUCUAAAAAUAAAAUAAAAUUUCUUUCUAUGUGACUUACUACUCCAUAAUAGGGCUUCAUACUACUAUCAAUCCAAGCCCAUCUCCCCCAACUGAGACCACCCCAAUGCAACAUGCUAUCCCAAGAAGAUCACUGCACUGAAGCCAAGGGGUUCAAGUCCACAAUCUUCUUCAUGGCCCUCUAUUUGGUUGCUUUAGGGAGUGGGUGUUUGAAACCCAACAUGAUAGCCCAUGGAGGAGACCAAUUCAAGGAGGAUGAUGAUCCAAAGCACUCAAAGAAGCUCUCCACUUACUUCAACUCAGCUUAUUUCAGCUUCUGCUUUGGGGAGCUCAUAGCUCUCACUGUGCUGGUUUGGGUCCAAACCAGAUCAGGGAUGGACAUUGGUUUUGGUGUCUCAGCUGUUGCUAUGGCUCUGGGGCUCAUUAGUUUGUGCUCUGGGUUCUUUUUCUACAGGAAUAAACCUCCCCAGGGUAGUAUAUUUACCCCAAUAGCAAGAGUAAGUUACUCUCUCCUUAAUUAUAACCUCUUUAUUUAUUUAUUUAUUUAUUUUGCUCAUUGAUUAAUAGGGUAAAAAUAUAGGCUUUUUUUAAGCUCUUAAUUUCAGGGAAUAAUAUCAGAAACACAGUAUUUAUAGAGGGUGUUAUUAUACCUUUAUUUUUAGUUUUUUCCCUGAAUAAUAGUGCAUGUUGUGUAAGAUUUAGGGUUAAUUUCUACUUAUUUGGUGGAUGCUUGAGGAAAAUGCUAAGGAUAUAAGGUUUGUAUAAAGCAAAAUGAGCAACUUCACAUUUAGAUUUUUUUGCUAUUCCCUGGGCAUCAUUAAAACAAUUUACUCUUGUUUUGUUGGUGAUGUAGGAUUCAAAGAGUGGAAGGAGUAUUUUGUUGAUUAGUCACUGUCCUUAGUCAAAAAGGUUCCCUGGUUUUAUUCAAAAUAAAAGUAUAGAAUAAUGGUCAUCACUUUAUACUACACUUGUUCAAGGACUAAUUCUAUGAUUGAUUGCAACUUUACUCUUAUAAUUUAAGUCAAUAAGGCCAAUAAUUCAUGCUCAAUUCUAUGUCUAUUUAGAUUACAUUUUUGAACUACUUAAUUUUUUUUUGUCUAUUAGAACCUUUUUGAACUACUAAUUAUUAUGUCAUGAAAAGAAUAUUAGAUCUUAAAUUUGUCCUCAUGUGUCCUUGUGCUUUUUCUAGGCAUCUUGAGGUUAGGUAUAUAUGAUAACAUAUCUAACUACUUUACUCUAGCUAGUGGUGAUGUAUGCACAUGUUUUUUUUUUCUUUUUCCUCAAUUGUUUUUUUGUGUCAAUUGUUGUUUGUUUUCUUCUUCAUGCUUUGUUGUUUGCUAAUGAUUGUUGAAACCAAUCUUGUACUUUUCCACCAAUUUGAUGUGUGUUGUUGACUUGUUAAGAUAUUUAAUACAAGGGUCAUAUAAAUCAAUUAUAAGGAGCCAUUUUGAUCAGAUCUUUUGAGUCUAAUAUAGUUUCUCUAAUCUGAGAAAUUUGUAGGUCUUUGUAGCUGCAUUUACCAAGAGGAAGCAGAUUUGCCCUUCUAGUACCGAAAUGCUCUACCGAAGCGAGAACACGAAUGCACCGAACCGUGCUGUCGGAAGCUUUCGCCACACAAACAAAUUCAGGUGAUUAGUGCACCUAUCAAUCAUCUAGACCUAAUCAGAAAUGACCAUCAAACUAGCAAAGACCAAACUGUGCCCUUUAUCGUGAAUACAAUCGAGAAAGUUAAAUUGAAUGUAAAAGCUAAGAAUACAACACUCUCUUCUUUCAAAUCAACCUUCCAUUUCUCUUCUCCGUCAGUUUCUCGAUCUUCUCAUUAGCGACCCGAGAUACCUGGUAACAAUCGUUGAGAAAUUCGAUAAAACCGUAUACGAGAGUCGAAGCUUUUCGCGUUUGCUUACGCAUGCCGUCAUUUCGGUUCAAUAUUUAGGUUCUUGGACAAAGCAUGCAUCAAAGUUCAGGAUGGUUCCAACAUGAAUGAGAGCCCAUGGAGACUCUGCACUGUGACCCAGGUGGAGCAGGUGAAAACCAUCCUCUCAGUGAUCCCCAUCUUCGCAUGCACCAUCAUCUUCAACACCAUCUUAGCCCAGCUCCAGACAUUCUCAGUGCAGCAGGGGAGCUCCAUGAACACCCACCUCACAAGAUCCUUCAGCAUCCCCCCUGCUUCUCUGCAAGCAAUUCCCUACCUCAUGCUCAUCCUUCUGGUCCCCAUGUAUGAGCUCCUCUUCGUGCCGACCGUGCGAAGGAUCACGAAAAGGGAGUCGGGCAUCACUCCGCUGCAGAGAAUCGGGGUCGGGCUCUUCACGGUGACCUUCUCGAUGGUGGCGGCCGCGCUCGUCGAGAGGAGGAGGAGAGAGGCUGCUGUGGGGUCAGAGAAGCAGAUGAGCAUAUUCUGGACAGCCCCACAGUUCCUCAUCUUUGGGCUGUCUGAGAUGUUCACUGCAGUGGGGCUUAUUGAGUUCUUCUACAAGGAGUCACUGGGUGGGAUCCAAUCCUUCUUGACAGCAAUGACCUACUGCUCCUACUCAUUUGGCUUCUACCUGAGCUCUCUGCUGGUCUCACUGGUGAACAAGAUCACAACUAGUGGGAGCAACUCAAAAAAAGGGUGGUUGAGUGAUAAUGAUCUCAACAAGGAUAGAUUGGAUCUCUUCUACUGGCUCUUAGCAGGGCUCAGUGUGCUCAACUUCUUCAACUAUAUCUUUUGGUCCAAAUGGUAUUCAAAUACCCCCCCAUCAAGCAGUUCACAGGGUGGUGGUGGCAGAACCCUGAAGGACAAUGAAGUUGACAAUAUACAUGUGUAGAAAAUGCAUAGAAUCCCCUCUCUGUACCCUCUGUUUUAUGUGUAGCUUGUAAAGUACAAAGAUACUAAUAUAGACCAGAAACUUUGGGGAAUUUUAAGUUUCACUUCUUAGAAGGAAACAGGGAACUUAAGAAACAACUCGAACUCAAUCUAGUGUGUAUAUAUAUAUAUAUAUACAUAUCGACAAAUAUAAACGUAUAUAACCACAACCGAUAACUACCACUUUCACAAAAGACACCAUCUGGAAAAUGGAUACCCAAAUAAGCAAACAAACAAACAGAGAUUUUAGCUUUGUACUGUAUACAUGUAGCAGAUCCAUUAGUACUGGCUGGUUCCAAACAACUUCAUGUUGGAAAACAAAUAUGUAACCGGUUUCAAGGGAGUUUCAACAGUCGUAUUCGGGUCAUUCAAACCGCUAUAUACACAUGUUUUAUCUAUGAUUCUGUGCAACAACAACUUCACAAAAAAUGCCGUCUAAAAUGGGAAACCUGAGCCAAUGAAACCAUAGAAGCAAACUCGAUUUUGAGCAUUAUGGUCUGCUGAUGAUGCGGAGACUAAAGGAUGUGGCACUUCCUACUCCCGGCGAGCUGUCUGAAUUCCUCGUUUUCUCUGUAAGCCUUCUCCAGGCUAGCUUUGAGCUUUUGAAUCUCGUCGUCGGAUUUUAUCCUCGCUUCAGUAGCGAACUUCUCCGCUUCCAAUCUAGCAGCUUGCUCUUCAGCCAGCUGUCUCUCGAGCUUCUCGAUAGUACUGUUUAGUUUCUCUUCUACCUAUAGAAGGAAAUAAUUGGGAAUUAGGGUUUCACGAAUCAUUGCAUGUAGUAGAGAUAUAUACGCAUAUAACUGUAUAGAAUUAUCCGAUAUGUACACAGCCUCACAGUAACAGAACUUUCCCGUAUACAAUACAGAAACUUAGUUUCUAGCAAACAAGCCUAGAGCACUUCUCAUAAUUCAAAACCCUCCUCUCCGCAUGAGUUGGUGACUCCCCAACUAAAAGAAGGAUGAUUUUGUAGGAAGUUGCAUCUUCGAUGGGUAUGUAGACUAUUUGGAUUUUAUAGGGGUAGAUAUAUGUAAAUAGAUGAUUUUGCAGGGAUAUAUAUUUUAAAGUACCUGUUUAGUACUAUGUUAGACUAAAGAGUUACGCUCCAAAUAUUCAAACCCGAAUUACAAUAAUAUAGUACACCUAUACACUUCAUUAAAAAGACUAAGCCUGUGAUAGUCUUGGAGACAAAUUUAAGAUCCAGCUAGAGGCUUAACCUGCGCAAUCAACAACACUAAGCACACAUAUAUUCAUAAUUCCAACAAUUCCUUUUUUUCAACCAAAAAAAAAAAGUGGAAAAGUCAUGUAUGUGAUUAGGACAAUACAUGGGAACAUUAAUGAGACUAAAGAGUGAUGGCAUUACACAAAGACAACAUUGAAUCACCGUACAGGCAUUAAAGUAAUUGCUUUCAGCAAGUCUCAAAUCCAAUUCUCAGCAAUAAACUCUAUUUUUCUGAAGCUGGUAAUAUUGAAGAACAUUAAACAAAGUAGAUAAGCCAGCAAGAUAAUAUCAGUUUUAAAUAUUUACCAUCUUAGUAAUCCGUGUGAGCUGCUCAUCAUAUGACUUAUAAAUCUCUUGCUUCAAAUCAUUUAUCUGUUGUUCUGAAUAACCCUUCAAGGAUUCAACAACUUUCUCUUUCUCAAGCAAUUUUGAUGCCCCAUCCUGUAAUGAAAAAAAUAUGAUCAAGUAAUACACCUACGCAGAUCCAAUAUUACAUCAACAUUUAGACCAAAAGGUGCGCACUACCUUAAGCUCAGCAAAAAUCUUAUCUGAAAAUGGUUUUCCUCCGUUACUGCUUAACACCAAGUCAACAAGACGAAACAAUUCAUUGACUUGCGCAGCUUGCACAGCCUUAUCCUUGGUCUUGUUAUUGAAAAGUACCACUCUGUUUUUACACAACUGUAUAAUUUUCUGCAGAGAAAAUACUACAAGAAUUACAUGAGAGAUCAUUGGUGCUAUUUAAGCAUACAAAGAAUUAUCUAGUUAUGCCAGUUCUUAUUUUUACAUACUCUUCUUCUCAAGCAUCUCAGUUCUUGAUGCUAUAUUUCUUGAUCAUGUAGUAGUUACGUGGAGAUUUUACAUGUAUGCCCUGCUAUCUCUUUACACGAAAAUCCCUUAAAAUCUGAUAUUUCAUGUGUAAACCCUUUAAGUCAUAGGUAAAAAUUCAGGUUUUGCAGGAGAAUCUUAGCAAAUAGAUAGUUUUGCGGAGUUAUAUAGAAUAAUAUCUCAAUACAUCGAGUGAGAAAAAUCAAACAAAAAGCGGUUUUAAAACCAAACCUGCAAAGGUUUGGGGGCAUGAUCGACAUAAUCCUUGAAGGUCAUUCCAUCUUCUUCAAGAUCAUCUCCACCAGUAAAAACAACAAUCAUGUGGUCGACAAUUUUCUCACCAAAGAAAGUCUGCAACCUCUCGAUAGUAGUCUCUUCUUCUUCUGAGAAGCGUGCUCUAAUAGAGAAAACCAUAAGCACCGCAUGAAUGCCGUCCUUGGCCAUAGUAAUGCAUUUUACUAUCUCUUUGCCAAUAAACUCGGAUCCACCUGACCAAUCAAAUAGUCCUGCAAAAGAUAAGAAAUAUAAGUAGGUUUCACGGAAUGCUGUACAUUUUCAGCAUUUACAAAGGGUCCUAGCUCCCAGAAUAUGAUAUAGCAGGCCCUGAAAUCGUGUAGCAUCUUGGGCAUCUUUUCAAGUCUCAUUCCCUUCAUGUCACAACUUGAGAUCUUAUGUUUUCUACGUAAAGCCCGCAUGAGUAAGAACGUCUUUCUUCUGGGGUUACUAUCACAAUUGUGAUAGUUUCAAUAAAGGCGACGUUUGUUGUUCAAUUAAAUAAAAAAGAAAAACAUUUCACUGAACAAAAUUGUGCUGGACCACAAGGAGCUAUGUUAAAAUUUAGAACUAGUAAGAGAUGAAAGACGCAUUGCAUGUUCAAAGACUCUACUACAGGAUAAGUAUAGUCUCUACUCGUAAAUGCAUGAUACUUGAAAGUCGUAAUAUCUAAUUAGAGUACUAAACUCUAAGGUUAGGCAAUAUUUUCAGCCAAAAUCUUAGCGUACCAUAAUUAACCAAAGAGCAAGAAAUUAUACGUAAGGGAUGAGGACAUCCACGAUAAACAUGCGUACCGGGGGUGUCAAUAACAUUAACCAUACGUCCAUCUCCUAAAGUGGUGCUCUCCAUUUCGCAAGUGUUCGUCACGCCAACAGGGCAGUUUUUCGACACGAAUGCCUUCCUCCCUAGAAUGCUGUUUCCAGUCGCACUUUUACCGUAGCCGAGUUUUCCGACGAGAACGACAGUAUUGGCGAUGUCAUACACGGGAUCCCAGCCAUCAUAGCACACGCCUCCACCCAUCAUGCAAUCACAAGCGAAAAGACCUUUGAAAAAAGAUCAGCAAAGGGUUAGAAACUUAGAAUAGUCGUUUUACGCAACGGCGAUUACAUAGAAUUCACUGAUUACUUCUACAGAUCUCAGAAGUUACAUGGAAAUUACUAACAACAAAGGUAUAUUGAUUUGACAUUGCCAAAUUGCUAAUAUAACCCAAUGAAAUAUACCUCCUGGAUACAAACAGACACUCCACUCAAAUUUCUUGUUAUGUAGAGAUCCCUCAACUAUUUUCCUUUUGAUUGGUAGCCCCUUAAUGUUUUAUAUUCUUUUGAUUUCAUCUAAUAAAUUGAAGAUUUUUUUAAAAAAAAAAACCUAAUAGUGAUUCUUUUAACUUUUAACUGUUCCAAAUGCUUUUUUAAUUCAAUAUGGAAAAAUAAUUCACACCAAGACAAUGAAAAGUUGAGGUGGGUAUCAACCCAGAAAAAAACAAAGUUGGGGGAACUAUUUCAAAAUAGUCUAAAAGUGAGGGUGCUUGAUACAAUAUUUCCCAAAAAUUUAGGAGUAACAUAUGACAUGCAAUAAUCAUGUUUGUUCUAUAUAUUUGCAUAAAUGAAAUUUUAAUUUCAUAAAAACAUGCUGAUAUUAAUAAAUUAACCUUUUCCUCUACCCAUCACUCAUUCCCGCUUAAUUUACCACACCACACAUAUAAAAUAAAUAAAUAAAUAAAUAAAAAGAAAAAUUCUUAAAAGUAAGAAUCUAUAAAAGCAUGAGAGAAUAAAGUUGGACUAAAAAUUCGGAAAAAAAAAUCGAAAAAAAGAGAAAAAUUCGGAGAAUAAUCCAUUGUAGCUCAAGAAGAAGAAUCCGAGUGUGAAGAGGGGGUAAAAAUGCAUCAAGAUCUCUCAACUAUAGGCCAUAUUGAAAUGACCCCCUCAACUUUAAUUUUUCUACUAACACCGCCAUAAAUUCAAAACUCUACCAAAUUUGUUGUCAAAAUUAUCAAACUCAACAAGAAUUUUAACUUAAUCAACUACAAUAACACAAAUCAAGGAAAAUUACAACUUAGAAGCAAUAUCAUCAAUCAAGAAAAGCAAAUUCGAGGAACGUACAUCAAAAUCGCGUGUAGUUGAGGGGUAACAGAGUACAUUUUAACCUAAAAAUUUCAAAUCAACGACAACUGAGACCUCAAACAUGAGAUUCUCAAAAAUGGAUAAAAAAAAACUCGAAAAAAUUCGCAAAAAAUCCCGAAAACAGAAGAAGAGAAGUGGGAGAAUUACUCGCUGUAGCUCCGAAUCAGAUCGAAUAGAUCAAUACAAAGAAAAAGAUGAUGAAAUCGCGAGGCGAAUGCGACGGGAACGAAGAAGAAGCAGCAGCAGCAGAGACCGACGAAGACGAGGCGUGCGAGGAGAGUUAUCUAAAAAUGUAUAAGAAUUUGGGUAAAAUAUAUGGAUGGUCCCUGUACUAUUUUUGUAUUUUAACAUAAUCCUCUUCGUUGCUUACAAAAUAAUAAUUACACUUUGGUCCUCAAAAUGAAAAUCUAUAGCUGCACAAUAUUUUUAUUUCUUAAAUUCUAAUUUUUAUUAUAAAUUUUAAUUCAAAUUUUAUAAAUUAUUACAACUAAAUUUUAUAAUUUAAUUUAGUUAACUAAAUACUGAUAUAUCUUAAUUAUAAAAAUAAUUGAUAAUAAUGAGGUAAUAAUUAAGAUGGCAUCUUACUAUUAUAACAUCAACAUGUUAAUAUUUAGUUAAUAAAUUGAAUUAUGUAACUGCAUUAUAAUAAUCUAUAAAAUUUAAGUAAAAAAUUACGACUAAAAUUAAAUAAAACAAAAAAAAAAUUAGGGAAUAAAAUCAAAAUAUUUAAAUAUUAGGUAGUUGUUUUCAAGGACCUAAUAUAAAAUUGACUCCCUAACUAAUUUUAAUCAGCCCUGUUUAAAAUGUAUGGACACCCCCUAAAGUUUAACAAAUUUUGAAAUUGAUCUUCUAAAUUUCUUUUUAUUUGAUUUGCCCUCGCUCUACUUACUUAUUGUUUGACUUACAUCUUUUUCUUAAUAAUUUUGAUAAUUUUAUUAGAAUCAAAAUAAAUGCCCACGAGAGAUGCGCAUAAUUAAUAAUUAUUUUAGUGUAAAGAAAAAAUUAUGUGCAUCUUUUCGUAGGUGAUUGAUUCCAACAAAAAUCUCAAAAUUGUUAAUGGAAGGAGUAAAAUCAAACGAUUAAUAAGCGAAAAGGAUGCGAUUCAAAUAAAAAGAAAAUCCAGGGGGUUGAAUUGCAAAACUUGUUAAAGUUUAGGGGGUGCCUAUACGGUUCGGAGUCCGGUUUGGUCCGAAUCCGAACCGGUGCGGUCUAAAUUCGAACCGGAGUGGUAAUUUGGAAAUGUGAACUCAAUUAACGGCCCACUCCAAACCCUAACCCCGAACUCGAUUUCGUCGCACGAUUCCUCGUCCUCGCCCUAUUCUUCUUCUUCUUCUUCUUGUUCCUCUUGCGCUCUUCUCCACCUCCUCCUCCCAAAUUCUCUACCCUAAUCGACCUCUUCGCUCGAUGCAGGAUCGGUAAUUACUCUACUCUUCUUCGCUGAUUUGAUCUCCAGGUUUUUUUCUCUUUUUGUAAGGUAAUUUAGCAGAUCCAAUCAAUUCUUUUUUUCCCUUCUUUUUUUCAUUUUUUCGGUUAAUUUUUGUUGAUCUUUGCAUGAGGCAAUAGGGUUUAGGAGCUCAAUUCAUUGAAAAGUGUUGUUUGUUGUGAGAUUUUAAUCUGUGUUGCAGUUAAGGAUGGAAAUUUUUGGGGAUUGAACUGUUUAAGUGACAAAUUCGGGGACUAGAUCGAAAUAUCCCUGCAUUUUAACUUUUUUUUUUUUGUAAUUUAAUUGUAAAUAGAUUCGAAAGGUUAUUUGAUAGGUUCAAGAGAGCUUAUUUAAUGUAUGAUAAUUUAUGUUAUCGAAAAACUAGCGUGUGAGGAAUCUUAAAGGAGUUAAAUUUUAGGGUUUAUUAGUGAAAUAACAAGAACUAUGAUAAAAGGAGUGAGAAAAAACCACCAAAUAUAUGUACUGAUUAUAAGAAUAUAGUAUGUAGUAUAUUGAUAGAUAUAGAUGUGGAUUUUUUUUUUUGGAUGUUUUCUCAUGGAUACUACGAGCCUAAUAUGACUCGAAUAGUAUCCAUAGAACAUUAGCAUGAACAUAAGAUGCGGGACAUGCCAUAACUCAGAUGCUUUGAAUCAUCAGCUUCGUAAAAAAAUGGGACGUGGACAAGGGAUAUCAUAGUUUUAAUGAGAAAAUGUACAUUUCGUUAUUUUUAAGAGAAAUAAAUUCACAUUAUUAUGCCCUCUCCUAUAGGUUGUUACUGAUUUUCCUUAAACGUGUAAUAUGUAAGACAAAAGAAUAAUUAUAUGAAUAUAGAUUCUAGUGAAUAUAUUUAAUUUAAAAUUUUCAUCAUGCAACAUAAAUAGUACAAAAUUUAUUUGACAAUCACUUAUUGAACACUUUAUGGAACGUAAUUGGAGAAAUAACUUCUUAUAUUUUGAUGCAUUUGCCUAUAUUGGAUAAAACUGCAUAGACGUGCUUUUUCCUAAUCUCUUGUUCUUUUGAAUAACAGUGUCAUAACGCAGUGACCGUGAAGGAAAUAAAAAAAUCCAGCUGAAAUUGCAGCCAAAAAUGCAGUCCAGGAAUCGAGUUCCGGUAGACGGAGCAAGGUCAGGAUCGGCGGCGGCACUUGGUAUAGCAUCAGGCCGAAUCUCCCCCUUCGGCCGGAGCCGUGGCCAUGUCAACUUCGCACAUGGCAACACCAAGCCCUUCUAUCCCCCUCCUCCUCCUCCUCAUCGGAAGUUUGAGAUUCUUAUGGAAGCUGGCCGCCUUGCUGCUGAGUACUUAAUCUCGAAGGGCAAGCUCCCCCCUAGCUCGCUGCCCGUGAGCUGGCCCAGUAACAGUAUUCCCGACCAAGUCGGUUGCCGAACUUCAGCUCUAGAUCGGCUUGGGAACUCGGGGCCUGCCGAUGUGGGCCCAUGUCGGAGAGGAUUCAAUGAUGAGUACAACCGCGUAAAUUCAAGAAGAAAUGGCAGAGGAAGGCGGAAAUUUGGGUUCUACAAUCGAAAUUAUUCGGAUUGGGGUAGGGAGAGAGGAAGGAAUAAUGGGCCGUGGAUGGAAAGAAGUGGUAGGGGUUAUUCUGAUAGUGUGGAGGACGAAGAAGAAGAAGAUGUUGCUCCCGGGUAUAGUAGAGAUCGUAGAGGCGGGAACGAUGAAGUUGGGAGUAGUGUUUCAGGAGUAGCUGGGCCGUUAAAGGGUGAAGAAGUAACUGGUGAAGUUAUAGGAGAAUCAGAUUUUGAUGAUACGGGAUCAAAGGCUAGCUCUUGUAGUGCUAGGAAAGACCCACCUUUGGAGGGGCAGGGUGAUGUUAAUAUGAACAAAGGGAUGGAUGAUGAUGAUAAUAAAGUAUUGAACUCGGAUGGGACGGAGGUUAAGAGCUGCGAGAGCAGCGAGUUGGAGAAGAAGGAUUCAAAAGAGGAAGCUUUGGACGGUAAGGCUCUUAAUUAUGAAGACGAAUCAGUUAAUAAACAUGGGAGUGGUUUACUUAAAUACUGUGGGUUUGCUAAAGUGCCAACUAAGCCACGGUCAGCAUUGGCACAUAGAAAUGUAGUGGUUGAUCAAGGUCCGACUGAGAUGGUAUUAGAUGAGGCUCACGCUGAGAAUAAAGACCAGAAAGAUAGUUUAGAUUGCAAAACAUCUUCCAAUUCUGUUCUUGCAAGUGAGACAGUAGAACAAGAUGACCCACAAAAUGGAUCUACUAAAAGUAACCCAGAUAAUGAAACAUCUAUAGCGAUUUCCGAAACAAAAGAGGGGGAUAGCAAUUCACAGCAUUGCCAAAUGGAAGAAGGUAAAGGGGUGAAUGACUUGUCUCCAUCAAGAACAUUUCAAGAGAACAAUAAUGUACGAGAUGAAGAGAUGACCGAGUCAGAUGAGCAAGAGAAAGCAGGUGGGCCUAAUUUAUUUCCUAGUGCCGGAGCUGAACCCAUUGAUAAGAUGGAAGAAGUGAAGCGGAAUAAUCGGCCCACUUCGUUUAAGAUCCGCGAUCUUAACCUGAUGGAAAGCCCGGAAAUUACCGAGAUACUUGAUGAUCAUGAUUUGGAACAUCAAGCUGCUUCUGGCGCUUCUUUGGAAUCUCCGAAGCAGCUGCCUGUAGAUUUUGGUCUGUCUGUUGGUAAAAAUGCCAAGGACACAAAUGGCUACAACCGGAUCUCAAGUGAUGAUAAAGUAAUUCAAGUAAUUGAUCUUGAAGAUGAUUCCCCUGUAGAAAUCAGUGCUUGUGAUUCUUCAAAGCCUAAGUGAGUUUCUUUUGCAACUCAUACUGUUUUUUUGUUACUGCCUUGUAACUCCUGUCCACUUCAUUAGUGAAUGGUUCUUUUUUUUUUUCUCAAUUGUUAAAAUGUACAUGAACAUACCUGGACUAUAGCGCAUUAUGAAAUGGAUACUUUAAAAUUUUUCACUUUACUACCUGAUCAAACAGUUACUUUGAUUUGAGUACUUCUCCAUCGGAACUUUAUGGUACUCUUUACCUUUUUUGACAGUUUAUGUAUUCUAUAGCUUAUAGGGAAGUUCUGUUUCUUACUAGAGAAAACAAUAAAUUCUUACAGAACUUGAUGGAAUCUUCUGAAAUCCCAAUAACUGUAUAAUCAGAUAGCAAAAUCAAUUUUGUUAUUCAAGUAAGGUUGUACAUUUUUAUCUUUUGUUAAAUCUUUUCAAGUUUUAAGUACAAACUAACAUACUUGUAAAGCAGGAAUGAUGGGAUAUACCCAAAUAUGGAAAAUAUGCUGCACCAGGACGGGCCUCGGGAUGUGAUUCCUGGUAUUCAGGAUGGCUAUAGUCUUGCAAUUUCUGAUUAUCUUGGAGCUGAUAUUUGCCCAACAAUACAAGCAGAUCUUCAGGGCGGAAUACAUCUACAUGGUCCAGAGGUGAGAGCGAUCGCUUUGUCUUUAUAUUCUGUACUCCAUAAACCGCCGAAUGGCUUUAUACCUUUUUUCAUGAAGUACUGUUCCUGUUGCUGGGGAUAGCUUUACAUGUAAUAAAGUGGCCGUGCUUGUAUUAGUCAACAAAUAACUGAAUCUUUACUCGGGUUUCUUCUGCAGGGGUUUCCUGGUGUGGAUGAUCCAUUUUAUGGAGGUCUUGGAGAUAUAGGUACAUUGAUAUGUAGCCCCUUUGCAUUUCCAAUUAUCAUCUUAAGUUGUAGCUAACUAAUGUCAUUGAGAUUUGUUAUUAUUGGUUAUAUACCCACUACCUGCAUUUCUUUUCCUAUGAAGGAAUAUUAAGGACUCUGCAAAGUUGAUCAAAACAUUUUGCUAAAAUCUUUCUAUUUACAGGAAAAUAGCAAACCCUCAUUCUUCUAAGCUAGUGUUCUACAGAGAAGAUCUGGUUAGAAAAUACCAUAAAAUUACCAUGCACGUCUUUUUUAUAUGAAAAAAUCUAAUAUCCUUAGUCAGGGUAUGGCAUCUGCUAGAUAUGUUUCUUUUAUAACUUUAUUUGUCCUUCGUUUUCCAAAGAGCGGAAAAGAUGGAGUAGAUCUAACUUUAGGUUCGCUUAUAGUUGAGGGGAUCUCAGUACAUAUUUUUACCUAAAACUUUGUUUUAUUAUUCCUCUCUAACUAGGAUGUUAGUUUCAUCAAAAGUUGACAUGAAACUGGAGCGGUUAUUUCCUACUAUCCUUAAGAGAUAAAGAUAAUUGUUAAUGAUUUAAACCUUUGCAUUUCUUGUCAGAAUUUAAAUGGCAUUUAAUUCAUUUGCAGGUUUUAUGGAGGUCUGGGACCAGCCGCCGCAGGAUUAUGAGAAGUUCUUUUGAUCAUAUUCGAGUCGAGUCCAGCACCGAAUCCUACUUACUCGGGAAAAUGUUAAUUUGGAUAAGUGAAGGAAAAGAACAAGAAAAUGUCGAAUGUAGAGAAAUAAAUAGAUUUCGCCUUCUGAAUCGCGGUGUUGUAAUUCUCCUCUCUUCAUAACAAGCAUCAAAAUGUUCAUAACAUAAUCUUGCUGUUCUGCUGGAUGAAGCCGCAUCGUAUUUUAUGAUGUACGACGUACGUUGACUAAUGAGAUCCGGGUUGUAUGCUUCUCUGGUGUUGAUUAUCUUUUGUUUCUCGACUCGAAGGAAUCGGUUGUUCCUGAUAUAUAAUUGUUAUAGUUGAUUUAGCUAGUUUUGCAAGAAAAAAAAAAAUUUUCUUUUUUUUUUACAUGUUAUGGGGGUUUUACUUUUAGCUCUUGUGGCCUCUGCAGAUAUGACUACUGCUAUAUUUGCUUUGUACUUGAGAAACAAUAAUGAUUAUAAAACACUCAAAAAGAUAAUAUUGGGUGACCAUAUGUAAAAUGUAGAGCUCUCUCUCUCUCUCCCUCUCUCUCUCUCUCUCUCUCUCUCUCUCUUGUUUGUUUGAUUCAAAUGCAUUAAUAUCUUGUUUGCUGUAUCUUCCUUGUUUGUGCAAGGAAUAUGUAGCAGUUGGUUCUCAGGAAACUAUGGAAAAUAUGAAAAUAUGUUUGCUGAUAACUCUGUUUUUUUUUUUUCCCCAGAAAAAAAAAUUCAUAAAUAACUUUACAGGUGCAAUGCAUUACAUUAAGCAAUUGAAGUAAUUAAGGUGGGUGUAAAUUUUAUAUAGGGACAACUUCAAAUACCACCCUUAUAGUUCAGCAUUUUCUCAUUUAGUACCUUAUGAUUUAAACUGUAUUAUUUUAGUACCCUCUGAUUUCGUUUUUUUUUUUUCGUUAUCCCUUUUGUUAAUUUUUUCGUUAAAUUAAUAAGAAAGUUAAAUCUACAUAGUAGUAAAGUAAAAAUUUCGUAAAUCAUUGGAUACUGAAGUGAAUAUUCAAUAAACCAUAUGAGGUAUCUGAAGUUUUUUUCUAUAUAUUUUAACGGAGGGGUUAACGGAAAUAGAAAAAUAAAAUUACAAGAUAUUAAAGUGAUACACUUUAAAUCAUAGGGUAGGGGGGAUAUUUAAAGUUUGAGGACUGGAAUUAAAUUAUCUAAACGAUCAGGGACUAGCUGUGCAAUUUAACCAAAUUAUAUAGUGCGGAUCGAACACGCGACUGAGACCCCCACCCCCUCUCUCUCUCCUUCCUCGCCGGAGCGCCGCCGUGGGACGCCGCAGCAGCUACGGUCGCCGCCGCCGCUCCUCCGCCGCCCCGAUUUCGAGUCAGCUUCGCCGGAGGGCUCCGUUGGACCCCUCAAGGGUUCGAUUCGUCUCCCAAUUUGAGGUAAUUUGGGGAAAUUUCGGUGUCUUAGGGUUUUCAUGAUCGUUUCAUGUCGGUGGAUUGAUAUGUGACUGUGUUGGGUUCCUUUUUGGAUCGAACUGGUUACAAGGAUACUUGUUUUUAGAUUAAAAAAACUUCAAGCAGCCCCUUGCGACUAUUGCACUGUGUUCCUCUUUUAGUUUCUGUUUUAGUAAGGUUUAGGUUAUAAAUUUUUGGAUCUUGGGUAGAAUUGUAUUUUUUUGGAAUGUCAUCCAAUCACACUGACUACAAUGUUAUUUCAACCUGCGUCACAUUAUUCAUAUACGAAUUAGAAAAGUUUUUUUUUUGGAUAAAGGAGUAAUUUUUAUGCUCAAGAUGCUCAAUUCAUGGCAAACUGGUCCCUAAAUCAUCAGAUUUGGUUAUACUUAUUGAAAUCCUCCGCAAUCAUCAGAAAUCAUGCCUCCAAAUCUCUAAUUUGGAUGAUUCGUAAUAAGUUGUUAGUUUUUCGCAAGGAUCUGUUAUUGAAAAGAUAUCUAUGUUCUGCACUUUUGUAAGCCACAAGAUGGUAGAAUAUGUGGUUUAUCACCUUGUACUCAAACAAUGUAGCUUUUGUUACUAUCUGUUUUAUUGGUAUGUUAUUGCAGAAAACUUAAACAGAAAGAACAUGCGACAAAAUGCUAAACUUUGGCCACAGGGAAGUGAACUGCAAUAUCACAAUAACACAGAAUAAUAACAUUUUAAAGACUUUGAGAUGAGCAAGCGUUCUACAGAACUUAAAGAGGAGCUUCUUGAAUUGUUUGAAUUUUUCUGAAAACAAUGUUGCAUGUGAUAACAGCUACUUUGAUUUUAGGCAAAGAUAAAGAAUCGUGGAGAUAGUACAAGCAAGCGAUGGAGAAGAAAUACGGGCUCCAGCUUCGAAUCCCAAAAUCGCAGUCAAAGCCGACAGCAUCGAGGCCUCCUGCUCCUCCGCCGGCAUUUGCUUUCGGCGGUGAUGAUGAGGACGACGUUGAGAGGGAAAUCUCUCGCCAGGCCUCCAAGAACAAGGCCCUACAGAAGGUAAAUUUGAUCUUUAGUUCUCCUUAUUAUUGUUAUCAAUCAUUUGGAGAAUUGACGAUUUGCUUCCUCCUCACGGACCUCUUCCAAUUUUUGCACUUUGGAAAAAUCAUAAAGGUAGAGGAGCAGCACAAGAAGGCGCUUGAAGAGGAUCCCUCGGUCUUCGACUAUGAUGGGGUAUAUGAUGAGAUGAAGGAGAAGAUCGUGCGCCCCAAGAUCCAGGACAAAACUGAGAGAAAGGUUCUUUUUUCUUUUUCUUUCACAAUUUCCUAGUUUUACUUUGCUUGCGAGAUGCAUAUCUAUGUUUACUAUGCAGAAAUACUUUUUAUCAUAGAAGAUGCAUAAAAGUUUCAUGAAAUUGGAUAUAGUGUGAAGAAUGUAGAAUUCGUUUGGCAAAUGUCCCAAACAGGAAUUGUGCACCAUCUAGAAGAUGUAUGCACUUUUUUUGCCUUUGCAGAGUGCUGGUUGGCCACCAGAGCCUGUUCAAAUCAUUCAUAGGAGGGUGGUUCCAUUUGUUUGGGCAUUGGACUUUCUGAUCAAGUUGUUGCAUCCACUUGUAUAGUGUAUACAUGAUGUGAAAGAGAGAAGGAUUCAUUGAAAGUCUCAUCUCAGAGCCCGGUGCUAUUCUUAUUUCGCAUUGCUUGUUACUGCUCUUCAAUACCUCAUUCAUAGCAGGGUAGUUACAUUGACAACUAAGACGAAUAGUUGCGAGUAAAAAAUAUUAGCAUUUUAGAGUUCUUUGUACAGAUUGUUUGAUAGUUUGGAACCAGGCAACAUUUUUGUUUAAAUUCCCUGAUCUCUGUCUUUAUCCUAGGUUUAAUUUUUCAUACAUUUGUUGGUUAUUUUGUACUGUGUGUUUUAGGAUUUCCAUUUGUUGGUAUCAUAACCUUAUAUGGAUGCCUUUUCAUGCAUCCUCUGAUGGCAUUUAUUCUUAAUUGCAGUCAAAGUAUAUUGAAGUACUUAUGGACAAAGCAAAACAACGUGAGCGUGAACAUGAGAUUAUCUACGAGAAGAAACUGCUGAAAGAAAGGAGCAAGGACGAUCACCUCUUUGCUGACAAAGAGAAGUUUGUAACAAGUGCCUAUAAGAAAAAGCUUGCUGAGCAGGCAAAAUGGUUGGAAGAAGAGAGGUUGCGGCAAAUUCGUGAGGAAAAGGAGGAUGUAAGUGUUCUAAAUUUUUUUUUUAAUCAAUAUUUUCCUAUUUCUUUACCAUGUGGUUUGUGCUUCCCGAAUGGAUCUUACGGAUGCUGAGCUGUUUGUCGUGCUUAAAGCUGGUCUUCCAUGCUUUAAUCAGCACAGGAAAUAUAGAAGAAUGUUUUCACUGUUCUUGUUAUACUUAUGCAUCGCACUGCAAGAUGACAACUACUCCUGUUAGCAGUUUCCUCUCGCAUAAGCUCUGUUUCUCUUACAUUGUAAUACUCUAACUCGACCUCGUCUCUUUUGAAAGGUAACCAAGAAGAAAGAUUUGAGUGACUUCUACUUUGGUCUCAAUAAGAAUGUUGCUUUUGGUGCUCGAUUGAAUGAGGACCCAAAGCCAACACAACAUAACGAAGCAAAUGAUAGCACCCAGGAAAGUCAAGCAAGCAAGCAGGAUGCUAAGGAAUCUCACCAUUCUCCUCAACGUAGAGAGGAAGCCAAUAGAGAACCUAAAAUGAUCGACCGUGCUAAGAACAGUUCUGAAGAAGUUGUAGCGGAGGCUGUAUCAGCGGUCCCUGCAGGAAGUACCUCGGUGGAGGACAAGAUCAAUGUUGAUCAAGCAUUGGCAUCUCAGGCGACAACCGCUGAGCAUUAUAAAAGGAGCGAGGAUGCAUUGGCUGCUGCGAGAGAACGGUUUAUGGCACGAAAGAGAGCUAGAGAACAAUAACUUGGAGGUAUAGGCAGGAUUUUUCUUUUUAUCUUUUUCUGUAUUAAGUACGAACUGAUCUUCUAAUGAAAGUUUUUCGUCAUAUCGACGUAUUAACCCCUGCUUGAUUAUCCAUUCACUAAUAUGUAAUAUAUCACUGUGAACUUUGAAUUUUCCUUCUUGCUUACAUGCACUAACAAAAAGUUCCCUCUACAGCUGCUAGAUUGUUUUUUCAGGGUUUUAUGUAAAAAUCCUUUUUCCAGAUUAUUUUGUCAUUUGAUCUGAUUCCUUUCGUGAUCCUUUUUACAUUUUUCUUUAGUUAUUUCAACAACAUAUGUGAUUUGAUCUUUAUUAACUAACAUAAUGUCAAACUUUCGCCAGGGUGCGAUAUGGACAUCAUAUAUUGUGACUCGAGUCACUUGGCGAUCCGACAUGCUCGAUUGCUCGACUGUAUAAACAAUCAUGAUCCAACUACUUGUACUUUAUGAGAAGAUACAGGACAAGUGGAACUCAGAUGCGAAACAAAUACGAGUGUGUAAGCCGGUUUUGAGCACCGAACCCUGUAUGUCGAAAGUGAUGAAAUAAGUUAGAUUUUAAACAUUAUCAUUGCCCUUUUUAAAUUCCUUGUAAUCUCCUGUAAGUUGAUUGCCUGUUGUACAGCAAGUAACUAGGAUCUCUUUAUCGCAUAUUAUUUAGUGAAAAAAGAAAGAAUACUAUAAUUUGCUUUAGAAAACUCCGCAGGUAAAAUUACGGGUAAUCUCCAAACUUUUGAUGAAUCACAAUUUGGUUCUCGAUCUUUCAAAUGCUUUGCUUAGUUUGAACAAAGGCUUGUUAUCUUACUCCCCACUUGCAUCAACAAAUCUUUUUGUUGCUUUAGUGGUAUUGUGCUCAUGAAGUAUAUACUUGGUGUUAUAUAUUUUGUUAAUACCCUUGAUGACUUUGUGAUUGAAAACAAAUAGUUGGUGUGUUUUCCUCUCAAUCUGAUGUGGUUUGGAUGUGUUCUUGACUCAUUAAAACUGGAUUAGAUUAGAUAAGAUGGUGGAAUAAGUAAUCAUCCCAUUGUUUUCUUUUUUUAAUUAUUAUGAGUUGUGUGAAUGCGCCGCCUUUGAUUGGCCCACUCUGCUAUUAAACUGGGGAUUGUUUGGAUUAAACUGUCUCAAUGUAGUCCUCAAGUUCUUUUUUUCAUUCUUUGUGUUUUUUGGACUUUGUCUUUUUAUUUUUUUUAUGUGAAAAGUAUGAAAGGGAAAAUGUGGAGCUUAUUUAUAUUUAUAUUGUAAUUAGUGAUGUAACAAUAACUAAAGUAUUACAUUAUCGUCACACCAACACUAUAUUAUUAUUAGAAAAAAUUUCAAAUACCGCCUCUAUGGUUUCACACUUUUUAACUUUAGUAACAAUAACUAAAGUAUUACAUUAUCGUUACACCAACAUUACAUUAUUAUUAUUAGGAAAAAUUUCAAAUACUGCCCAUGUGAUUUCACACUUUUCCACUUUAGUGCCUUGUGCUUUAAAGUGUAUUAAUUUAGUGACAUGUUUUUUCAUUUUUAAUUUUUUAUUAUAGAUUUCAUUAAUAUUUUUUAUUAAAUUGAUGAUAAAGUUAAAACUAAAAGAUACUAAAGUGAAUAUUCGAUAAACUUAGGUGGGGUGGGGUAUAUAAAGUUAUUCGUAUAUAAUUUAAUAAAAUAUUAAUAGAAAAAUUGAUGAAAAAAUAAAAAUGAAAUCACAAGAUACUAAAUUGAUACACUUUAAACCACAGGGUACUAAAUUGAGAAAGCACGAAAUCACGGGGGUGGUAUUUGAAAUUUACCCUUAUUAUUAAGUUAGCUAAAUUAGACAACAAAAUUCGCUUGUAAUAGUUCAAAAUAUUUGAAUCUACAAUAAUAAAAAUUUAAAAUUUUAAAAAGUAAAUUUACAAAACCAAAGCGGCGUAUGCGAACCAAAAAGUGUACAAUUUAACAUUAAAAAAAAAAAAAAAAAAAAAAAAAAAAAANNNNNNNNNNNNNNNNNAAAAAAAAAAAAAAAAAAAAAAAAAACCCCUUGGGAGACCAAAACGGGUGGCUGGCCCGUGGUUCUUCUUCACCGACCCGCCCCGGUAAAAGGCGAACCCGGUUUUUUCUCCCACCCCCGGUUUGUCCCCCCUUGAGAUUCGCGUUACUUUAGAGAAAUUCGUUCCUGCACCAGGUGCAUAUGUACACUUUACACCGCACGCCACCUAACCGUCGAUCUCAAUAUUCUACGGCUCAUCCAACCGUCCAAUUUUGAACGAGAGAAUCUACCCAGCAUGGUGCGCAGAUGUACGGAUGCACCAGGUGCAUGUAAUUAUUCCCAAAAGUAAAGUUUGGUGUGGGAUGAGGAGUCGGGGGCGUGGUACUAUCACGUUUCCCAUUACUAACUCACAAUUUUCAAAAAGAAAGUUUUUUUUUUUUUUUGUUCUUUAAAAGUAAAUUUAGAUUCAUGUUUAAAAUUUCGGAUACUAAUGAUCAAAUAAUUUUUGGAUAAAAUUUUGGCUCCUUAGAUUUUUAGAUUUUUAGACCCACAUUUCCAUUAAUACUUGCGCUCAAAUUAAACUUUAUCCUAAAUACUCGAAAACUACAAUAUAUAUAUAUACCGGUAUACUUCUGGAAGCACAAAAUUCUCCGUCUUUUUAAGUCGUUUUCGAUAUUGGGACUUUCAAAUCGACGAUCGGCUCCGUUGGAUUUGAUCUAGAGUAUUUAAAAUACCUAGAAAAUAAAUUUUGUGAUUUUUCGAUACCAUUUGCCUAGUGAUCGAAGAGGCUCAAAAUCAAUGACCGUGGUGAGCCGUUUGCAAGUUUAACGGUGUAGAAAUAUUCAAAUUAUAUAAAAUUUUGAUAGAAAAUUUUUUAUACUAUAUAAAACAAGAUCAAUAUUUUUGAUCUAAAAUUUUAAUGUCAUAUGACCAUAUUUUGUAAGAUUUUUAUUUUCAGGCAUGAAUUUUGAGCCCCUAUGACCACUAGAUAAAUAAUAUCGAAAAAUUACAAAAGUUAUUUUUUAGAUACUUCAAAUAUUCUAUAUUAAGUCUAAUGGAGCCGAUCAUCGAUUCAAAAGUCUCAACAUCGAAAAUGAUUUGAAAACACAAAAGACUGUGUGCUUCCAAAAGCAUAUCUGAUUCACUCUAUUAUUUAUAUAUAUAUAUAUCCCCAAUAGUUUCCAUAUCUCUAUAUGGGGAAACGCUAUCUAAGAUAAACAAGACCACAAGACGACUAUAUAAAGUCCCCAAAGUGAAUAUAUGAUCCUUCAAUAUAUACCCAAAAGGAGAACCGAUCUUUUUUGUGCACAAAAGGAAAAAAUAAAGGUACAACAUUCCCUUUCUCUUUUUUUAAUUACUUAUUUUCCUAUAAAUUAGUGUAUAUAAAUAAAUAUAUGUGUUAGCUUUGGUUUUCAUAGAGCUUCUUCUUCUUCUUCUUCAUGUGGUAUUUUAGGAUAAGUUAUUAUUAUUAUUUUUUUAUUUUGAAGAUGUUUUAUUGAUUUAAUUUAUUUACUCUGAUGGGAAUUUUACCAAUUGCAUAUUUAUGUGAUACUAUUUUUUUUAUAAUCAAAAGAAGCUUUUUUGGUUCUCAUUUGUGGAAGAGACUGCUAGAAAAGGUGCCAAUUUGUAAGAUGCAAAAAAGUUGACCCUCUUUUUUUCUUUUUCUUUUUUUCGCCUCAUUUUAAUAAAUAAUAAUAAUUAUUAUUAAAAUUAUAAACUUAAAUCAAAAAAGAAACUAAAAACUAAAACCCUAACCCUAAAUUCUCCCAUAAAAAACCCACCCCACCUCCCCACUUUAUCUCCUCUCUCUCUCUCUCUCUCUCUCUCUCUCUCUCUCCUCGCAUCGUCUCUCUCUCUCUCCUCGCCGUAAUCUCAGAGGUAUCUCUUCUCCACGUCUCUCUCUCUCUAACUCUCUCUCUCAAUCUCUCUCUCUCUCCUUGGAUAGGUUGGGGUAUGGUUAGGGUUUCGUGGGACGGAGAGAGAGAGAGAGGACUCUAUUUGGGCUGGGUCGGGGAAAUUUGCAUGGAGAGCCCUCAAAUAUAGACGUUUCGGUAAUAGCCUCAUCAUUUUUUUAUAAAUAUACUAGAUAAUAUUGGGCUUUUAUCGGGCCCAUGUACUAGUGGGCCUUUAAUUAGGCCCAUUUAAUGAUUGCCAUGGAGACCCCUCAACUAUAGGUGUUUGUGAAAUAGGCUCAUCAUAUUAAUUAAUUUUUAUUUAUUUACUUUUUUUCUUUUAGUUAGUUUUGUUUACUGGGGAAGCUGUUAAUCUUAAUUCUACUUUUCAAUCAAUUAGAGUUUGAAUUUUUAGAACAAAAUAAGUUAAUUAAGAUGAAAAAUAAAAAAUUGGCAUGUGAUACUUCAUCAAAAUUUUCAUUUAAUCGCUUUUAAAUAUUCAUAAAAGGAAGUAAUUUGAACUAUAAAUUUUUCUAUGUGCCUUUGAGGUUUCAAAUCAUUUUUUUGCUUAGUAAUUAUUCUAAUUCGAGUUGCCGAGUUCGCAAAUAAUUUAUUUGUUUAGUAAUUGUUCAAAUCAUUAUUUGUAUGAGCAUGCAACAACUCCAUCAUGCCUUUAUAAGCUUGCAUAAUUGCAUCAGGGGCUCAAAAAUUUUUGGCCAUUUUUUUAAAAAAUUUUCUAAUUUGUUUUUUUAACUUGUUUUCAAUUUAGGAUUCAGUAUCAAUGGCUUGUACUGCAUAUAGUGUCGGAAAUUCGCCGAGAUUGGCGGGAACUCGAGCCACUAGGGCUUUUUUCAAGUAUAAUAUCAAUGGUGGAUCGAGUUCUUCGGUCUCUUUUACCGGUUAUCGGACAUGGAACACCCUAUCCUCUUCCUACUUGAAAGAGUGUUAUGUGUCGUCUCGUUGGAACUUCGUCGUAAGGGCUUCGAGGAAUGGCGGACAGCGUUCUGGGGAAUCCGUGCUUUCGGAUAAAGGCAAUGGCAAUGCGAAGGAUUCCGGUAAGAAUCAUCAAUUUGUAGAAAUUUUACGAGUUCAUAUUAAGUAUUGAAUGAUGAAUUGAUGAUGAUGCGGUUAUUUUGUUGUGCACUGUGUUAUUGAAAAUGAUUUAGAUCGAAUUUUCUUGUAUGAAAUGUAGAGGUUGAGAACUUAACUUGAUUGCCGAUAUAUUUUACUUUUCCAAAAAUCUAGAACUGUUGUGGCACUGGCACGGCACGACAUGACACGGCACUUACCCCAAAAUCUUGAACUGUUGAGGCACUGAUACGACACGGCACUUUUCCCAAAUCUAGAACUGUUAAGGCACCGGCCUGGCAUGGCACGGCAGGACGGCAUGCAUCGGCAUACACCAUAUUUUAUAUGUUGACGGAAUUGGCAGGGGCGGCACGGGCUCAUCAGCACCAGCGGACGUGCCGGCUGUGCCAGACGACGCAAAUUGGCACGGCACUCCGUGCCUCUCGCGCUACAUCUUUCUCUUUGGUUUCUCGUUUUCCUUUACAAUCCAUGUCCACUUACUAUGUCCUUUGUAAUGUUACACGAAAGUAGCGGUAACAGGAUCUAUUCGACAACUUUUCAUUAUACUACGCAAUUCUUAUUCAAUUCAAAUAUGCUCUAAUAAUCACUGUUUAGUGGAUUCUUUUUGGUAACUGUUUUUCAAAAGUUUUCCUUUCUGUGGCUUUUAAACAAAAUUGUCCAUCCUAUUUUUCAAGUUGUCGGUAAAUGGAGUUACAAAGGCUUGAAUUUGCUUUUUUUUUUUAAAAAAAAAAAACCAUUUUAGCAUUACAGCAAUUAUAUCUAUUCCUUUGCUAUUGUACAAGAGAGAGUGGUGGUGUUGGUCAUCGGCGGCGGCGGAAGGGAGCACGCUCUCUGCUACGCCCUGCAGCGCUCCCCGUCGUGCGACGCGGUAUUUUGCGCGCCGGGCAACGCGGGGAUCGCCCAAUCCGGGAGCGCGACCUGUAUCUCCGACCUGGAUAUUGCCGACAGCGCGGCUGUGAUCACGUUCUGCCGCACCUGGGGAGUUGGGCUCGUGGUGGUUGGCCCGGAGGCCCCUCUAGUCGCGGGCCUCACGAACGAGCUUGUUAAGGCCGGGAUCCCCACCUUCGGCCCAUCAUCGGAGGCUGCGGCACUUGAAGGUUCGAAGGACUUCAUGAAGAAGCUGUGCGACAAAUACGGAAUCCCUACAGCAAAGGUAACAUCUCUAUCUACUUAAUUCUCGAACUGCGUCAUCAUAUAAGCGUACAACGCAUGUAUAGUUUGGAAUUGCAUUUUCGCUUUGAUGCUUUAGAGGAUCCAAAAAAACCCAGGAAACAUUUUAGAGCUCCUCUCCUCUUCCGACGCUUCAAAAUGAGUCGAUAUCUGCUUCUUACAACAGCAGAAGCUCCGUACAUGUUUACUGCUACUUUUUGGAGUAGAGAAGUUAUUUCAUAAGCCAAAUCAAACUCGCACUUUGUGAUAAAAAAACGACGGCUUCUUCUUUAUUUCUGCAGUAUCGCACAUUCACGAACCCUUCUGAAGCAAAACAAUACGUCGCCGAACAAGGAGCCCCAAUUGUCAUAAAAGCCGACGGAUUAGCCGCCGGGAAAGGCGUCAUCGUUGCAAUGACUUUAGACGAAGCCUAUGAAGCCAUCGACUCGAUUCUCGUCAACAAUGCGUUCGGCUCGGCCGGUUCGAGAAUCAUCGUCGAGGAAUUCCUCGAGGGCGAGGAAGCUUCUUUCUUCGCUCUGGUCGACGGGGAAACCGCUUUACCUCUCGAGUCCGCGCAAGACCACAAAAGGGUCGGCGACGGCGAUAUCGGUCCGAACACGGGGGGGAUGGGCGCGUACUCUCCCGCGCCGAUAUUGACGAGGGAGCUCCAAUCGGUAGUUAUGGAGACGAUUAUACUUCCGACGGUGAGAGGCAUGGCGGCCGAGGACUGUAAGUUUGUUGGCGUGUUGUACGCCGGGCUCAUGAUCGAGCGGGAAUCCGGGUUGCCGAAGCUCAUCGAGUACAACGUGCGGUUCGGCGAUCCGGAAUGCCAGGUUCGUAAUCGUCGAGGUUGAAUUUCAAUGCAGUUAGCCGUCGACAACAUAAAAGUUUAAACUUGGCGCCAAAAUUGCAGGUUCUAAUGAUGCGGUUAGAAUCCGAUCUAGCGAAGGUUCUCCUCGCGGCUUGCAGAGGGGAGCUCGGCGACGUCUCGCUGAAAUGGUCGCCCGGAUCCGCGAUGGUGGUGGUAAUGGCGAGCCGGGGCUAUCCGGGCGCGUACAAAAAGGGCACCGUGAUACGAAACCUCGAGGAGGCCGAGUUGGUGUCUCCGGCGGUCAAAAUAUUCCAUGCAGGGACCGCGAUAGACUCGAACGGCGAAUUCGUCGCCACGGGGGGUCGCGUUCUCGGGGUUACUGCGAAGGGAAAGGAUUUAGAGGAAGCGGCGGCGCGAGCUUACGACGCGGUCGAAGCGAUCGAUUGGCCCGAAGGGUUCUACCGGCGGGAUAUCGGGUGGCGCGCGCUCAGGCGGAAGCAGAACACCGGUUUCGCCGCCGCCGCGGCGGCGAAAAAGAAUGCAUGAAAAUGUUAGUGAAAGCAUUGUAUGUGUGAGCAGAAGCAAUAACUGGGAAUGGUAUCAAUGGUUAUGGUACAAAUUUUUGUGAAACAUUGGCUCUUGAGUAUAAAUGAAAUGUUUAAGUUAUUGAGUGUUGUAGAUUUAAACUUAAUCCUCUCUUGAGCACUUUUUUAAUUUGAUUUUUUAUUUAUUUAAUUUACUUUUUUAACUACUUGGUUUCAAUUUGUCUUGAAUACACUGCAAUAUUUUUGGUUUUUCUUUUUUGUUUCUUUAUAAAGUAUACGGAUGUACACUUGUGAUAGGACUUUUUUAUAAAAUAACCCUUCAAAAAUUUGUAAUUUGAAAAAAAACUCUCACAAAAUUUUAUUUGAAAAACUAAUUAUUCUUUUGUCACGUGGACGCCACGAUUAGAAAUUUUUUAUAAAAACGGUAAAUCGUAAAUAUUAAAAAGUAAGUUGAAAAAUGGAAUAAAAUUCUGGUAAAAUAGAUAGUAAAUAUUACAUUUUUGUUUUUUUUUUACUUUAAAAAAUUAAAGAUAAUAAAAAAUAAAAAAAAUAGACUAUGGAAUCUUUUUUUUUUUUUAGUGAACCUUUUCUUUUCUUUUCUUUUUCAAACUAACCCCCCAACCAGUAAUAAAUUCAUCAAAUCAGAUAAAUUAAAAUGUAUGGUGAGCCCCUCAACUAUAUUCCAUUAGAAAGUACUCCCUUCCGACAUUUCUUUCAAUUUUGUAGCUUUUUAAAUUAAAUAACCUUACUAGAAAUAAAUUUAAAUUAGUCAAAUUUACUGAUGAUUUUAAUCACUUUGCAAUAAAAAAAUUUAAAAUAAUCAAUAACCGAUAUUUAAUAAAGCCACUAAAUUCAAUUAAAAAACCUCAAGCGGAGGGGCCCAUAUCAAAACGACCAUAGUCGAGGGGCUUUUCACAAAUUUUACCAAGUUGUCAAGUGUGGACAAUAUGGGGGUACUUUUGUGGUUACGUAGCAAACUAGCAAUGGCUCUUCUUCGCCCGUGAUUGACGCUUUGGACUCGGAACACCGUACACGCCUCUCUCCCAAACCGUCCGAUCAGUGAUGAUGCCUCCGUGGGAUUUUAAUAUUUCGUGGACCGGGUGUACCACUGCAUCUCAUACACCGCCCUCAAAAUAUUUUAUUAUUAUCUUUUAAAUUUUGUGAACCCAAACUAGUUGUACCAGGGAGAAACUAAGCUACCGUUUGGUUAAGGGUUAAGAAAAAACUAGUUAUUCCAGGGAUAGGAUUAAAUUUAGGGUUAAGGUGGGGUUAAAGUAUUUUUGUGUUUGGUUGAAGAUUAGAGUUAAGCCAGGAUAGUGAAAAAUAGCGUUUGGUUGGAGUAGGUGGGAUAACAAGGAUAAUGAGUUAUUAUGAAUAAAAAAUAGUGUUUGGUUAGAGUUUGGUGAGUUAGGUGGGGUUAGCUAUCCCGGGAUAACCCAUUUGAGGUGGGGUUAGCUGGGGUUAGCUAACCCCACCCAUUUUUAGAAGUGUUUGGGAAUAAAAUUAGAGUUCAGGAAUUAUUCCACCCCUUAACCCCAAGCAAACGGAGGCUAAGGGACGGACGUCUCAUCGAUUUUUGGUAAUAGUGCUGUGAUAUGUCCGUGAAGUAGUACUACCCUGAUAGCUUUGCGAGUGUUGACCUUAAGGACAUUCAAGUCUAUGAUUGCUCAUCUACCUUGGGCUGGAGGCAGAGAAAGAUUCUGAGAAGAGCAAGACGAAACUUACACUAUAGUGAGCGGAGUAUUAGGGAUCUGAAGAACACCCUAACUAAUCUUCGAGUUGAAAAAUGACUAGAUGUUAUCUGUUGGAGGUGGGACCUAGGCGAUAGAUUCACAACCAAAUCAGUGUAUUCGACUAUCAAGUGCGGGGGUGUCAAUGAUGCCGCAACGCUUGUCAUAUGGAAACCGAAAAUUUCAACUAAAGUUAAAAUUUUCUUCUAGCUAGCACUUAAAAGAGACUACCUACUGUGAAUAAUCUUCUCAAAAGAGGGUGGUCAGGAUAUAAUGAAGGGAAAACUUCAAAUAUCCCCAUUGUGGUUUCACUUUUUUUCACUUUAGUACUCUGUGGUUUAAAGUGUAUCAAGUUAGUACCCCGUGGUUUUGCACUUUUUCACUUUAGUACCCUGUGGUUUAAAGUGUAUCAAGUUAGUACCCUGUGGUUUAAAGUGUAUCAAGUUAGUACCCUGUGGUUUCGCACUUUAUCACUUUAGUACCCUGUGGUUUCACACAUUAUCACUUUAGUACCCUGUGGUUUAAAAACCACAGGGUACUAACUUGAUACAAAAAUAAAAACCACAGGGUGCUAACUUGAUAUAAAAAGAAAACCACAGAGUACUAACUUGAUACGCUUUAAACCACGGUACUAAAGUGAUAAAGUGAGAAACCACAGAGUACUAACUUGAUACACUUUAAACCACAGGGUACUAAAAUGAAAAAGUACGAAACCACAGGGGGGUUUUUGAAGUUUUCCCUAUAAUGAAUGCAUUUUGUGUGGUGCUGAGCUCAAUACUGUAGAUCACUUGCUAGUGGGGUGUUUUGUUAGUAAGUUUCUUCUUUUCUCGCAUCUUGGGGAGUGCCUCGUCUAUCUUUUUAUUGAAGAUAUCAACAUCGUCUGGGGGCCACUGCUAGAGAGGCGUCCACAGAGCGACGCUCUGAAGACUCUGACACUGGUGGCGGCCACUUGGUGGAUGGUCUGACGCAAUAGAAAUAACACUAUUUUCAGAAAUCUACCUAGUGAUGUUUCUCUAACAGCUCAUCGUAUUGGAGUAUUGGCAAAAGAGUGGGCCAAACACUGUAGAGCUAGAUGACGUAUAUUUUUUGGUUAUGAUCUUGUCUUGACGUUUUCGUUGGUUUUUUCUUAGUCUUUUUUUCGCGAAUCACUGUUCUUUUAUUUUUCCGCCUUUCUGACGCCCUGGCCGUCUCACCUUAUGUAGCUAAAUUCGUUUGUUUAUUGAAUGAAGCAGAUAGAGCACUACAUUUUUCUCAAAAAAAAAAAAAACUAAGUUGGGAACCUCCCUAUUUUUCUUAAAAAAAAUCCUUAAAGAGUACUUAAAAUUUUCAAAAACUAAAUUUUAUAAUAACUAAAUUACAGAAAACCCCGUUAUAAAUAUUUGUUUUUUCACCUUUUCUUCUUAACCUUUAAAAACCUAUUUUUACCCUUACAACAUUUCAAGUUGUUGCAUCUUGCGCCCCUCUGUCAGCGUUUAUAUCGAAAAUAUCUUUCAAAAUGAUAAAAAUACAUUAAUAAAUUAUUUUUUUUUAUAGCAGAAGUAAAGAUAAUUCGGUCAUUUUGCCUUCUUCAUUAAUGUCGUAUCCUUGAGAAAACAUUUAUGAAAUUUUAAGAGGGCAAAAUAUAGAUUUUUAAAAGUUAUGAUGGGAAAGUAAAAAAACUGGUAUUUAUAGGGAUGUUUUCUGUAAUUUAGCCAUUUAUAAUUUUUUGAUAUUAUUUAUCUUAUAAUGAAAAGUUUUCAAAAUUGACAACUUUUAACGAUUGUUAUAAGAUAUUUGCUAGUUUAACUUUAUAAAAUAAUCAAAAUCGGUUAAAUUUUUAAUUAAAAACUUUAUUCACUAUUAAAUAAAGAUCAGUAACUCUAAUCUUAAACAAUCUGGUUCUCUAUUUUUAGAAGAUUGUUCGAUUUUGACUAUUCAUUUUAUGUCCACUUAAUAAAUUUUAUAAUUUUUAUAAAUUUACAAAAAUUUGAUUUUUAAAAGUUUUAAAUACUUUAAAUUAUGUUUAAUGGUAUGAAUCGUCGGUUCAGAAGUUCAUUAAAAAUAUUUAUAAGUACAAAAAAUUCUAUACUAAUCAAUAUCAAUCAUGAAAGGGGAACCCUAAAGCUAGGCUUUCCGAAAUUUGCUAGUCCCAUCCUUGAAAAAAAAAAAUAAAGGGGAAAUAGAAGAUGGCUUUCGGGGAGCCCAAAGGUCGUGCCCCAUCCUUGGAAAAAACAAAAGGGGGUUUCGCGUACCAUUCUUAGUGUCGAUUCGCUUUCUCCUCUCUUGACUCAGUUCCGUUGGCUUGCCUUCUCCUCUGCGGCUGCAGCGACGUUUCCGACCGGCAUGGCGGCUGUCUCUUCCCCUUUCCCUCCGGCAUGGCGUCUGUCUCUUUCCUCCGGCAUGGCGUCCUAUCGCUUCCAUACUUUUAUUAAUGUUUCGUCCGGGGUGUCAGGUCUGCUGGCUUGCCUUUUCCUUUGUAGCCCAUCGGCAUGGCUGCUAUCUCUUCCCCUCCCUCUCUCGGUAUGGCGGUUGUCUCUUCUCCCAUCUCCCUUUUUUUUCCUCAUUAAUGCUCUGUCCUGUUGUUGCCAUGCUUUCAUUAAUGGCCCGUCCGGGGUGCCAUGCUGGCAGCGAGGAUCACCUUCUCUCCGAUAAAAGCAGCCGUCCUUGCGGCAUGGCGCUCAGGUGUUGGGGUGUCCUGCGGGCAUUUUCUUUUCCCUCCCUCAUGCGGAAUAGCGGUUGUCUCUUCGCCCCUCCCCAUUUUUCCCCUCAUUAAUGCUCUGUCAUGUUGCCUCCAUGCUUUCAUUAAUGGCCCGUCCGGGGUGCCAUGCUGAGGGUCACCUUCUCUCUAGUGAACGCUGCCGUCCUUGCAGCAUGGCACUCGGGUGUUAGGGUGUCAUGCCGGCAUUUUCUGUGCCACCCUGCACACCUUGAUUUUGUCCUUUCUGCUUUGUUGUCUAUAUAAAUAGUGAUUGGAUGCUGGGGUUUUUACUCCUCUUCUGCGAAAUUCGUUGCUUCUCCUCCUCUUACUUUGUUGCUUUCUAGUAUUGUAACUUGGCGAUUGGCGCUCGGUGGUGCUCUGUGCUGGGUAGAAAACCUCGAAACCUCAAGUGCUUAUAUAUACAUAGCCCUGAUUGCUCCUGUGCUUACUAUUUGGUCUUUCCUGAUGCAUGCGGGUGUGUUUGUUGCACUUGAUGGUUGCGAAACGGCGGGAUGAUUGCAAGGACUGCCUUUUUGCAGUGGUGGACUAUUGGUUUUCUCCUUUUUUUUUAAAUUCUGCCUUACAUUUUUUUUCCCUUCUGUCCUCUAAUUUUUUCUUUUUGGCUACUAUCUGUCGUUGCAUGUCUUUGGUGGUGACAAUAUGGCAGAACAAUUGCGGGGGUUAGUUUCUGUAGCCGCCAGAUUAUGUAUUUUAUCCCCUUUUCCUUUGUUAUUGGUGUUCGGUUUAUGAUUUGUUUUGCUUAUUUUGCUCUUUUUUUUUUCCUGUGCGGUGAUGUCAGCUGUAGUAGUCAGAAUUAGUUUCCGAGAAUUGUUGCGCGAUAUCUGCCACCGAUUAUUUGUGGCGGUGCCGAUAUAUGGUGUUCCUGACAAAUACAAAUGGUUACUUAGUGUGUAUGCCGAUGUUGAGAUCUCUAGGGGAGAUUCAAUUACUGAGUCGAUUCAGUGUUGGGGUGCAGCUUCCUUUACUGUUGAUGAGGCAGAGGAAGAUAUUGCGCGUUGUGUUGUUACCAAAUUACAGGAUGAAUUUUCGUUUGAGGUGAAGGAUACUAAUUUAGAUGAUAGAAAGUUUUACGAGAAUCUGUAUGACCGAGUUUCUGUGGAUUAUCUUGCUCUCCACAGUAAUAUAAGUGCUUAAAGAGCGACUACGACCUCUUAAAAGGCUACUAUAAUAGUCUGCUUGCUAAGAAAGAGCACUUUAUUUCUGAGCAGAAUGAGAUGGCUGUUAAUUUAGAAAAAUGUGUUUCGUUGCUCAAAUAACUCGGAACUGGUGCAAAUGGUCCGGGUAAUAGUGAGGCCUUUCUGACGAAGACCCUGCAGCACCAUGGGGGUAUUAUGGAAAAUGAUGAAAAACUUUGAAUUGAACUCCUUUUUUGGGUUUUUGCUUUUGUUCUUUACUUUUUUUUCUAUGUUCUUUUGGUCGGUUUUUUGAAAAGGCCUUUAUUUGUAAUAAUAUAACAGUCCUACUCAUUUUUACUGUAUCACUUAAAUAUUAGGUACGUUUUAUUUUCGCUUUACGUUGGUAGUGUCGCUAUUUUCUUUUUUUUAAAACUAUCACGUGCCAUGCACGUGUGUUGUGUAUCGUUGUUUUUGAUAAAUAUAUCAAAAAGAAACCUGAACUUUAUCUAUUUUACAAAAACACUCAUAAAAUUUUUAUUUGCACAAUAAGACUCCCAAAAUUUUGUCAAAUAGUUUAAGGCCCCUUUUGUCAAGCGAAGCCGCGGAUUGAAUGGCCGCUUUGAUCGCAUAUCUCGCAUAUAAUUUUGAAAAAUUUUAAAAAUCAAAUAAAUUUAAUUUUUUUCUUUUAGUCGUAUUUUGGAAUAUAAUGAAUUCAAUCUUUAAUUUUCAUAAUUUUGUAUUUUGAAUUUCUAUAAGAUUAUAUGCGAUACAAGCAUUUCAAAAAUUAUAUAAUUAAUAACUUCGAUCGAGGAGAGGAAUCUGUUACACUAUUUGAUAACGUUUAAAUAGGUUUUUUUUGCCAAAAUUUAAAAUUUUGACAUCUUUUCAUCAGAGUAGUAAACGUCAGGGGUUUUUGUACAUUUUUUUCCCCUUAAUUUUGAACUCUUCAGUCCCUUUCACAUAUUACCCUUUGGAAUAAUUGUUGACUUUUACUGUUAGGUAAAAGUCAUUUUACACAAAAGGGUAUUAAAAUAGUUCUUUUAUAAUAAUAUUAAUUUUUUAUUAGGGCUAAAAUGUAUGGAGACCCCCUCAAACUAUACUAUGUUUGAAAUGGAUCCCUCUUCCACCGUUUUAUUAAUAAUUCAGUUUUAUUUUCCAAACUAAUUAAAAUUAUUAAAAUUGAGAAUAUUAUCAGUAAAUUUUGAUAAAUUAUCCAAUUCAAUUGAGCAAAUUAUUUAUUUAAUUUUAAAAAUUAAGAGUUAAGGAGUCUUAACAAAAGAAAAUAAAUUUGGCGAGGCUAGUUUCAAAUAUAUUCUCAAUUAAAAGUUAAAAAAUUAUAUAAAAUUUAUUCGGUAUAAUUUUGUUUAUUACUAAAACGUAAUUAAAAUUAUUAAAUGUAAUAAUACCUCAACUACUAUAUUUGAUAAAUUUUAAUUAAUUGAUUAAAAUUACUUGAUUCAAUAAAAUAAAAAAAAGGUAAGAUAUAACCAUUAAUAAGGGAAAAUAGUUAACGGGUCCACAUCAAAAUAUGCCUUAGGGGAGGGGGUAGCUUACAAAGUUACUAGUGAAAAGCCCUUAAGUGUGACAUAGAAAAGACAGGGACUAUUCGUAUAUUUGACUCAAUAAAUUUGGACUAAACCACCGUUAAUGGUGAUGUGUAGUAUGCUAGUAUAAAGACGAAGAGGAAUCGAAGUUGGGCUCCCAUUGUUUCCGCGUCCCAAGCCCUAGAAAUCUUGGGUUCGCCCCCACGACGAUCUCAACACGAUCUAGGGUUUCACUAUCUUCAGCUUCUCCGCUGCGUCGAUCGGUGUCUAGUUCUCUAAUUUGAGCUCGAUCGGUGUCUAGUUCUCUAAUUAGAGCUCCUGAUCGAGGGAUUUGAGGUAACCCUUGUUACUCGCUCAAAAUCUGUGAAAUCUAUGGCAAAAACCGUGCUUUUCGAUCUUAAACAGCGAGAAAUGGUGUAUAAUUUGGUGACUUUGAGCUGGAAUUUUCGGGUGAUUUCUAGGGUUCUGGGAAUUGGUUGAUCCAGUGGGAUGCGUGGGAGAUGGCGCUCAAGGCCCCGCCGCUGAGAGCUGCUGAGGUUGCGAUCGGAUCGAUCGGGAUAGGGUACGAUCUCACGGCCGACAUCCGGCUCAAGUUUUGCGAUCGGAGCUCUUCGCCGGAGGAGGAUCCGUGCUUGAUCGAGCUCGAUCGGAGUGAGCUCCAUGAGAUCGUUCUCCCCGGAGGGUUGAGUGUUCCGAAUGUGCCCAAAUCGAUAAAGUGUGAUAAGGGGGAGAGGAUGCGGUUUAGGUCGGAUGUUUUAUCAUUUCAGCAGGUAUAUAUAUAUUUUGUUGCUCUUUAUUUGGCAAUUCUUUUCAUAUAGCCACGUUAAAUUUUAUGUUCUAGUUCAAAACAGAUAUCUUUGUUUUUGGGUGAUAUGGCAAAAGAUUAUGGCCUUUGAUUCCAGUGAUAGGUUGUUUGAUGAAGUGCUGUUUGAGUACUGCUUAGCUUCUCUCCACAUGUAACGCCCAAUAUGUAACGCCCAAUAGUCCCACAUUGGAUGGGAUACUGAUUUCGAUAAGUUUAUAUGAGACCUACCCGCAAGUUAUAAUAACUGGGUUUAAGCAUUUUGGGCCGGUGGUUUGGGCCCAAUGAGUUAUUGUUGCUAGCGGGUUGGGUCGUUAUAAUUGGUAUCAGAGACGAAUACCAGUCGGAAGUGUGAGAGCUAAGUGCUAAACCCGUAGGAGCCACCUCUAGAAUCUCACAUAAUAAAGGGAGUUUGUAAUGCGUCUCUCUCUUUAUAGGAGACCUACGCGCUAGUUAUAAUAACUGGGCUUAAGCAUUUUGGGCCCAACGAGUUAUUGUUGCUAACGGGUCGGGUCGUUAUACCGCAGCACAAUCAGAAUCUCUAAAUUAAAGCUUCUGCUUUGUGGCCUCAUGGCCUCAGAAUUUAAUUUUUUGCUUUCCACUAUAGCAAAAGCUCUAUAUUAUGUUUUCGUUUACUUACGCAGAAGCAGAGCAGUGUCAAAAAGAUGUAAAACCAGGACCAAAAGCUUUAGCAUCUGUCACUCACAGGUUUUUCAUCUGUACAUGCCGGGGUCAUGAAAACUAGAUUUUAUUUUUUUUUUAAUGCAAAAAUGCUCCUUUAUCAUUUGACUCUGUCUGCUUGAAUUUGAAUUGGCCCGCCGUCAAUUUGUGCAGAUUUACCUAGAUUUGCAUCUACCUAGUCUUCAAACAAUAUAGCUAUGUAGAAAUGUAAAAGGAGCCUCGAAGUCAGCCUCUAUCUGUGGUCUAGCCUGGAAUAAUUCUAACGAUUUAUGGACUUUAGAGUGGUUUGAAUGUUUUCGUGUUGGGACUUUGAGUGACAUAAGCAACACUAUUCGGUUUCGUUUGUAUUAAGUGAGAACCAUCUUUUUAUUCUUCCAUCUUUUUAAUGAACUAUGUGUUUCUAGAUAUACCAUAAGUACAUAAUAUUGUUAUAAUGUAGUUAGCAAAGAUCUCACCAUAACUGCAACUAUCAUAUGACAACACAUGCAAGAGGGUAGCAAAUAAAACCACACGGUUGAUUUCAUGACUUAUAUUGAAUAAACUGAAGUCUGUUAAAAGUAUGUAAUAAUCUUGUUAGAGUGUGAUCAGAAGUUUAUCAUUGGUAAUUUAGGUCUUUUAGUUUGAUACUUGGACAAUCUAUUAGCUAUUGUAUGUAGAUCUUUUAUUUGAUUCUUACUAUUAAUAUAUCAUCUACUGUAUGAUUACUAUGCUGUCUUCAAAUGGCAUCAUUUCAUUUAUGAAUUGUUCUACGUUGAUAUUCUUUUGAUUUUUCUUUGUAUAUCCUGGAUUUCUUAAAAUCAACAUUUGUUGCCGUUGGAUUUCUGCAGAUGUCAGAGCAAUUUAACCAGGAAAUUUCUUUGUCCGGCAAAAUUCCUUGUGGUCUCUUCAACCAUAUGUUUGACUUUUCUGGUUGUUGGCAAAAAGAUGCAGCUAGCACCAAAACUCUCGCAUUUGAUGGAUGGUUCAUUACCUUAUACACUGUUGCACUCUCAAAAGCUCAGAUUGUACUUAGAGAUCAUGUCAAGCAAGCUGUUCCAUCAACAUGGGAUCCUGCUGCCUUGGCAAGGUUAGAAACAUAAUUUUGCAAUUCAUUAAAGAAAGACUAGAGUUGUAUUGGAAAACUAUUUGUGUGAAACUGUCAUUUGGUAACGUUGUGGUGGGAUCCAUGAAAGUUUGUUGCGAACUGCAUGUUUCAGUUACAUUAUUUUGAUGAUUCAUACACAACAUGCAUUAGUUCUUGUGAUCUUCUCUUGGACAUACUCCUGAGAACCAGUGCCUCUCUCUCUCUCUCUCUCUCUCUCUCUCUCUCUCUCUCUCUCUCUCUCUCUAAGUGCCUCUCUCUCUCUCUCUCUCUCUCUAAGAUCUAAAUAAAGAAGCAAAGUUUCUGGAAUAAAUUGGAUUUAUCUUCAUUGUUGUAGAACUUCGGAUCUUAUCGGUUUCCAUUUUUCACACAUCCAGGUUCAUCGAAAAAUUUGGUACACAUAUCAUUGUCGGUGUGAAGAUGGGAGGAAAGGAUGUAAUUUACGUGAGACAGCAACACUCCUCGACCCUCCCGCCCGUCAAAGUUCAGGAAACGUUAAAGGAGUUGGCAGACAGGAGAUUUCUCGAUGUAAAUGGACAAUACGACAUUACUUACAAAGAUCCUUGCGGAAAGGAUAAGGUCCUUUCCCCCUCAUCUAUUAUCAUUUUCUUUUUAUCUUGGUUAGUUCUAUCUUGGUCAGUUAAGGCUACUCGAGGACUAUUUAUAUCUACACUUAUUAUUUACUUCAUGUGAUGCCUUUCAGAACUGCCGUAUUGCUAUAAUUUGAGUUUCAUUCCCUGUUCCAAACCUACAGAAUAACCGAUAACUUGUCUUGCAGUUUGAUUUCAGAGAGCAAAAGCUGAGGUUUGUUGCUUCCAACUCAUCGAGCUCUUACACUUCAAAGGAGGUAUCUUAUAUUGCAUUUGGUAAUCUUUUGCCAUCUUUGUUUUGUUAAAAUUGUAACAAGAGUUGAUGGUUUUACAAUGUUUACUUAAUUUCAGGAUUUAAUGAUAAUAUUCAAAAGGAGAGGUGGGAAAGAUAGUAAUGAUAUAUCCCAUAACGAGUGGUUGAGCACUGUGCCUUCUGAACCCGAUGUUAUCUCAAUGUCUUUUUUGCCGAUUACUUCUCUCAUGAAUGGGGUUCCUGGUAGUGGAUUCUUAAACCACGCAAUCAACCUAUAUCUACGUUGUAAGUAUGAAAAUUUAUCUGUAUUCUGUAUAAACUUGGGGGUAAAUCAUGAAUUUUCAUAUACACACCCCUCAAAAGCGUAGUUUCUUGCCAAAUACCCAUAUCAUAAGUUGGUUGGUCAUCCAAUAGAACAUACAUUUGUAAGUGAGGAAUAUUGCGAUAUAGAAGGGUAUGUAUGUAAGAAAUCUAGUUUUCAAAGGGUGUAUGUGAAAAUACAGAUUUUAGAGGUGCAUAUCUGUGAAUAGAUGAUUUUAUAGGAGCUAUAUUUGUAAAACCAUCUGAAUGAUUUUAUAGGAGCUAUAUUUGUAAAACCAUCUGAAUGAUGUUUUUGAGUUGUUGUUGCUAUCUGCUUCCUUCUUCUGUGUUCUCUGGCUUGUUAUUUACAAACUUGUUCCUGUCUCUCAGACAAGCCACAGAUCGGAGAACUUCAUCAAUUUUUGGAGUUUCAGUUGCCGAGACAAUGGGCGCCUGUCUAUGGCGACUUACCCCUUGGUCCUCAUCAGAGGCGGCAGAGCAGUGCGGCUCUACAAAUCUCCUUCAUGGGUCCAAAGCUUUAUGUUAAUACCAGUUUAGUAAGUACAAACAUUCAAUUUUACUUGUCUCCAUCUCUGUGAGAAAUAGUUUUAUUUACAUGUGACUGUUUGAAAUGACUUACUCCGAUCAUCAAUACACUUGACAUCAUUAUAGAUGAUUAUUACUUGUUAGCGCAAUUUACGAGUUGAAUGUUAGAAAAAAGAAAAUUGGCAUUAUUAUAUUUUUUGAUGGUGUUUCUCGAGGAUAAUUUCUUUUACUUGUUUCUUCGUCGUCAGUAAUUUCAUAAUCCAAUUUUUCUGAAUUUCGUUCAAUACAGGUUGAUGUAGGCAAGAGGCCCGUUACCGGCCUCCGCCUAUACCUCGAAGGCAAAAGGAGCAACCGGCUCGCGAUCCACCUCCAACACCUCUCCUCUCUCCCUCAAAUGUUCCAACUCCAAGACCACCCCAACAGCCAAAACCCGAACGAACCCUUCGACCGAAAGUACUUCGAACCUAUCCAGUGGAAGCACUUCUCCCACGUCUGCACGGGCCCUGUCGAAUCCGAUGACAACUUAGCCAUCGUAACCGGCGCCCAGCUGCACGUCGCCCACCACGGCUUCAAGAAAGUGCUUUUCCUCCGCCUCUUCUUCUCAACAGUUCUAAACGCCGCUUCCGCCAAGAGUCCUGAAUGGGAUGGCUCGCCGAACCUGUUCCAGAAGUCGGGGCUUAUUUCGACAUUGAUCAGCACACAUUUCUCUAUGGCUGCACAAAAACCGCCCCCUCGGCCCACAGAUGUGAAUAUCAACUCGGCAGUUUAUCCAGGGGGCCCGCCGGCCCCCGUGCAGGCGCCGAAGCUGCUUAGGUUCAUCGAUACGACAGAGAUGGCGCGAGGCCCGCAGGACCUGCCAGGUUAUUGGGUGGUCUCAGGGGCGAAGCUGCAUCUAGAGAGGGGUAAGAUCUCUUUACGUGUUAAGUACUCGCUCUUGACGGCUAUACUCCCCGACGACGACUAUUUGUCGGUGGAGGAUGCAUAAGAGGGUUGGAUAUUGUAUUACUGUAAUAUAGCAUCUCCUGUCUAUUGUGAUCUCCCUGUUCUUGAAGAACAUCAAGGUAGAAUCAUAGCCUUGUAGUAUUACUGCAAUCUUCUUUUUACGGUGUACGAUCAGGCUUUAUUCUUGCAGUGUGUAGUGUUGUUUGCUAAUGUGCCUAGUUUUCCGAAAGUUACUGCUAGCAUUGUUGGAAAGAAUGUAUUAUUUUUUCGAUAAUUAAUUCAAUUGUGUGAGAAAUAAUUGCCUCCACCUGCUUCGAUAAAUCAAAAGAGACAAGACUUUUUUGUGGUUGAGAUAGCUAAGAACGUACAAACACAAUAAACAAUUUUUAUUUGGGUGUGUGUGUGUUGGUGGUUAUAUUUUCACUUGUUUGAUCUGAAUGAAUGCGGUGGGUCAAAAGCCGUACACCAACUAACUUCAUUGAACUAGUCUCACAUUUUUAGAGCUCCAAAAAUUUGAAAGGGUAAUCUGAAAUUGCUUCUAUAUAUUUAUACAUCACUUUACCAAAUUAGGCCAAAGUAUGCUAAGUAGCAUUGGCAACCUUCUUUUUAAAAGCGUCUCAUGGGUUGCUUUUGCCGUGAAGGUUUUCAUUGCCAUUUUGUGGCUUUGAAAGAGUGGAGAUUAUAUAUUAGCAUAGAGCUACUAUACUAUCGGAAGCAUAAAAUAGUUGGUGCUUCUGAUUUUUCAGCCUUUAGAUCAACCCUAUUGAUCAUUUCUAACCAUUGGAUUAAUAUUAUUAAUCAAUGGGGACCACUCAACCCUAGGGAGGCCACUCAAUCCUAAGGGGACCGCUAUCAUCUCAAUCGUAAAAUCUUUAAUCAAAGGGCUAAAACAUCGGAAACACCAACUACUUUAUGCUUCCAAUAACAUAGUAGCUCUACACUAUAUAUAUAUAUAGUCUAGUAUUAUACUAUUGAUAAUACUAAGCACUUGAUGCUAUCGAGUUUUUCGCCAUUAGAUCUACCUCUUCAAUUAUUUCCACCCAUUAAAUCAUACUAUUCAACCAAUCACCUACUCAACCCAUGGAGCCACUAUCAUCUUAACGUAUAUACAAUUAGGCUACUAUACUAUUAAUAUCACCAAACGCUUAGUACUAUUAGGUUUUCGGCAUUUAGAUGAAGGGAUGUGUAGUUAGGAUAAUAGUGGUUCUUUUGGGUUACGUGGGUGGUUGGUUGAAUAGCAUAAUCUAACAGGUGAAAACGGCGAAAAGCUUGGUAGCACUAAGUGUUCGGUGUUAUUAAUGGUAUGUCUCUCUUUAUAUGUAGAGAGAAAGAGUUUCACUGCUAUACUCUUAUGAGUAUAAAUUUCUUUGUACUCGUAAAUUUUCGGCCGUUAGAUCUAUCAUUUCGGCUAUUUCCAUUCAUUAGAUCAUACUAUUCAACUAACCAUCCAUUUAAUCCUAGGAAACUAAUAUCACAAUAAUCGUGAUUCACUAUCAUCCUAACUGCACAUCCCUUUAUCCAAUGGCCGAAAAUUUAUAAAUACAAAAAAAUCUAUACUUAUAAAAAUAUAAUAGCCCUGAUCUCUCUCUCUCUCUCUGUAUAAAGCUCUAGUGAAGUAUUGUUUAAGUUAGGAAUUAAGUAAUUUGGAUUCAUAGCCAUUGGGCACUCCUACAAGGUCAUCAAAUCAUAUUGUGCGUGAACUUGAAAGUUUAUGAGAUGCGCCGUGCAUAGAUUCCAUGCGAGUCCCAGAAAAAUGUGAAAAUAUUAGAUCUUUUGAGUUCCGUAUACUCUACACAUCCGUUUUUAGAGUUCUUGAAAAAUAUACAUACUCUAUAUUAUCAUUAUCCCUAAUAAUUUCCAAAUUAGAAGCUCAAAAUUAAAGCAUUCACUAAAGCUCAAAACUUUUUUUCUUAUAUUCUAGUACAAGUUAAAGCAAAAGCUAUACUAUAAUUUUUAACAGCUAAUUAAUCCUUUUAAUUAAUUUAUUUAUACUUUUACAAGACAACCUCUCUCUCUCUCUCUCUCUCUCUCUCUCUCUCUCUCUCUCUCUCUCUCUAUAUAUAUAUAUAUAUAUAUAUAUAUAUAGAGUAAGUCUCCUGCACUUACGAAAGUACGGAGACCUCCGUGCUUGUAAGUUGUUUUCGAUGAUAGGACAUUCGAUUUGACGAUCGGUUCCGUUAAGUAUAAUCUACCAUGUUGGAACUAUCUAGAAACCAAAUUUUAUAAUUUUUUGACAUUAUUUACCAAGCGAUCAAAAAGUCUCAAAAAUGACUAUUUUAAUGGCCGAUGUAGCACGUUUUUAAGUUCAACGGUGUAGAAGUAUCCAAAUUACAUAAAAAUUUAAUAGAAAAUUCUACGUAACAUCAGUAGCAAGAUCAAUACUUCCGAUUUAAAAUUUGAGUCUUUUAUCACUAUUUUUUAUGAGAUUUUUAUUUUCAGCAGUUCAUUUUGAGACUACUCGUUCACUAGACAAACAAAGUCAAAAAAUUAUGAAAUUUGGUUUUCAAAUAGUUCUAAUAGUGUAGAUCAAGUUUAACGGAACUGAUCGCCAAAUUGGAUGUCCCAUCAUCGAAAACAACUUACAAGCACGGAGGUCUCCGUACUUUCGAAAGUAUAGGAGCCUAGCUCUCUCUCUCUCUCUCUCUCUCUCUCUCUCUCUCUCUCUCUAUAUAUAUAUAUAUAUAUAUAUAUAUUAGGCUGGAAUGCUUUUAGAACUACAUAGUCUUCCGUACUUUCAAAUCAUUUUUGAUAUUAAAACUUUUGAAUCGAUAAUCGGCUCCGUCAAACUUAAUUUAGAGUAUUUGAAGUACCUAAAAAAUUAACUUUCAUAAUUUUUCAAUAUUAUUUAUUUAAUGAUCAAGAGGGCUCAAAAUCAACGACUGAAAAUAAAAAUCUCACAAUUAUGAUGAUAUGACACUAAAAUUUUGGAUAAAAAAUAUUGAUCUUAUUUUAUAUAGCAUAAAAAAUUUUCUAUCAAAAUUUUUAUAUGAUUUGAAUAUUUUUAUACCAUUAAGCUUGCAAACAGCUUACUACGACUAUUAAAAUUACUGAUUUUGAGUCUCUUCGAUCAUUAGAUAAAUAAUAUUAAAUUUUUUUAAAAUAUUUUAAAUUAAAUUUAACUAAACUGAUCGUGAAUUCGAAUGUCUUCAUAACAAAAACGACUUGAAAGUACAAGAACUUCUGCGUUUCUAAAAGCAUUUCAGCUUAACACACUCUCUCUCUCUCUCUCUCUCUCUCUCUAUAUAUAUAUAUAUAUAUAUAUUGUACACGGUGGAAGGGUGUAGUUUCUUUUUACCAGGGCCUUGCACACUUGGGGCCUUCACACUUCGAAACACUAGGGUUUCCGAUCCGAGCGGGGGGGAAUGGAGAACCUCGUCGCCCUCGUCUCCUCCUCCGCCGCUUCCUCCACAUCCCCUUUCCUCGUGGGCGCUCCGAACCCCUCCGCGAUCCCCGCCGCGCGGCGGCGCCCCUCGCCGCUGCAUCCGUCCCUCCCCCUUCCGGCGAGGGGAAGAGUCGGCGGCGCCGCCUCCGCCGCUGCUCGGAGGAGAGCGAGGUUUUUGGUGUCGGCAGUGAGCCUCGGAGGAGGCGAUGGUGCCUCGGAGAGGAGGAGCAGCUCCCGAAACGGUAUGAGUAGCUCGAUUUUGUUGUUUGCACUGUCGAUUUUUUGACUUGCUUCCACAUUUGGCGCAGAAUCAUGAAAAGAUGUAUCGGUUUCUGUAUAAAUUUGCGCGUAGUUUGGUGUGCAAAUCAAUUGCAAUUGGAUGUGUAGGGAUCCUAGUAGGUUGUUUAUACGCAGGUUAAGUUGAGGUGAAGUGGAUAUUGGAGAUUAGGGCUAUAAGAUUCAAUGAGCGUGAAGUGCAAGGUAAAUCAGAUGAUGAAAAAUCCAAUGCAUUAGCACCGAAACUAUCGAAUUGAGUUUCGCCAAGGGUGUUAAUCAUGAGAACGAAUUAGAACCAACACUUCCCUGUGAUUCUGAUUGCUCCACUUUUAUCACUCAUUGGAACUCUAUUUUUCCGAUGUCUGAUUUUGAGAAAUAGAAAAAGUUGCAUAUUAGUGAACAGCGCAAGCACGGGGCAUUCCAUUCAUUGGUUUCUAAUAGCAUGGAUGUGUUAUAUGAGACCUGUUACGAAAUAAGUUCGUCCGUUCUUAUUUUCUUGUCCCUUCCACUAAAAUGCUAAAUAUUGAUGCUUUUCAAAGCAUGAAAACUGAUUAGUUGGAUUUUUUUAUUUUUUUGGGUCUUUUUCCUCAUUUUUCUACUUUUGUUUUCAAGGCUAUUUGAAUUGUUAGUUUGGCGACUUAGUCCGAUCUUACCUUCACAGUUCAAGGAUCGGCUGAGCUGCGUUGACCUUUUAUUUUGUUUUGGGAAUUCCACAGUGCUGGAGAGAUUAAAGAUUCAAGGUUUCGCAAGCAUAUCAUCUUCUAGCGGCAGCGAGGUGACAACUGCAAGCGGAACGGCGCCUCCUGUGCCUCCACCACCAUCGUAUAUGUAAGUUUGUUUUCUGUUUCUGGUAAUGUGGUAUCCGCAUACUCGUAGGAAGUUUUCUGCUUUUUAAGUGCACCGAAUUUCCUGGAGUUCGUUUCUUCCUUUUCCGUUUUCUCAGUCAUGUAGAAUCUUCGCAGAGGCUCUCCUCUUUUUUGGAUUGGAGUUGGUGUUGGGCUAUCAGCAUUGUUUUCAAUGGUGAGGUGUUUGGAGUUUUAUCUAAUUUAUUUUUUAGACCAGUUACCUUUUCUUUUGCUUUAUUGUUUCUUAUUUUCUAAUAUUAUUGCUGGUAUUUCAGGUGGUAACAAGGGUAAAGGUGAGCUUGUAACACUCCCACCUCCUAUUUUAUGGGGUAUGCUCUAUCUUUUUUUUUUUUCUUUAAUGCUGCUGACGCCUAAAAGCUUCAAGAUUAGCUCAAUAAGGUACUUCUUAUUGCAUGAGAUUCUUUGAGGGAUUCUCCAUGUCUGAUGUUGGAUUUAAUCACUUCCUCUUCACUGUCCAUUUCUUUAUUUGCUUGUUGUGUUAACCUUUUCCUUUCCUGCUUCCUUCAAUUUCAUUGUUCUUUAUUGCAAGUUCAAUCUUCCACGUAUGACAUAUGCUUUAUAUUCUUGCAUUUUUUUGUAUGUAUGCUUGUUUACAGAUUUACUUGCCCCUUCAGGGCAAAGCUGCUGCAUCAUGGCAAAUAUUUUAAGCCUUUGUAAAUUUAUUUUUUGUCAUGUCCUCUAACUCGAUAACACCACAAAUUUGUUGCAGAGGUAUGCAAUGCAGCAAGCCUUUAAGACAAUGAUGAAUCAAGCAGCACCACAAAGUGGACAAUUCAACAAUCCUAUGUUUCCAGGAGGAUUACCAUUCCCAUUUCCUGCCGCAACACAAGCAGCUCCUACUAGCGUUUUAUCACCUUCACUACAAACACAAAAUACUUCACAACCACCUGUCACUGUAGAGGUUCCUGCAUCUAGAGUGGAAGCUGCGCCAUCUUCUGAAGUGAUAGAAGAGACUAAAACAACAGAGGAAGCAAAAAAAUUUGGUAUGCUAGACUUGCAAUUGACACCCAUUUCUGUGUCCCAUGUUUCAUGAUUAGUGGAGCAUGUUACUUUCCAUAAUGAUAUCUUAUUAUGCUGAUUCCUUGCAACCGCUGAGGAUUUAUAGAUCAUUUCUUAGUCAUGGUUAUUCUCACAUUAUUUCAUUUCUCUUAACUCUACCGAUGGAACACCAAGAAAUGUUUUAAUUGUUCAGAACUUCAGAUGCGUUCUUAUCUCUUCCCCCUAGUUGGUGCUGAGGGUUCAGGUUUUUUCACCCUUGUUGAGAGAGUGCUCUAACCUUGUUCUACUAAAUUUUUGGUCACUAGAAGUUUUUCAUGUGUCAAGAGGACUAAUAUUAUAUUAUUGGUAUAAUAUUUUUCUUUGGCAAGACCUUUUUUGUCCUUUAAUACACUCGAUGUCUGACUAACUUUUCUAGUCUUGUUUGUCUUUAGUUCUUUUUUUUUUGGGUUUUUUUUUCAUAUGGUAUAUAAUGUCCUGCCUUGGUAUUUAGGAAAUAAGUUCAAGCUUGCAAGAUUUUCAGAUUUUUUAAGAUUGGUCUCAUCUUGACCUACCCAAGUUGAAGUUUGCAAUUUGAUAAUCCAUACCUGUCUUUCUUGCUUCAAUCCACUAUGAUUGCUUAUAAUUACUUUUAGUUGGUUCAUUGUAAUUAUUUGCUUUUUUGGUGGAGUGAAUUUAUGUUGAUGAAUACUUGGUGUCCACUGCAAUUUUUUUUUUUUUCUACCGAUGAUUCCUUUGCCACUUUUCCACAGCUUUCGUCGAUGUUUCUCCUGAGGAAUUGAUGCAAAAGGAGCACAAAUAUUCAGAGGAAUCAGUACAGGAAAAUACUGUGACAGUAGAGUAUGAGAAAAAAGUAAGAUGUCACCAUUUCUGCACUUAAUGGUAUAUCUGACUAUUAAGUAUAGCACCAACUCUGUUCGAUGAUUCUUGAAGGUUUCAACAAAUGGAGCUGCUUCUAAGCCAGACAGUGCUUCUAGUGAACAAUCUCAAUCUCGUGAGUAUCUUGAAUGAUUCGUUCUCAAUUCUUAAUGAUACCAAAAAAAAAACUUUCUGUAUCAUGGUAUAUGAAAGUCUAUUGAUGAUUGGGUCUACUUUCUUGCAGUCCUGUUAAAUUUGUUUGAUUAGUAUAUUUAUGCUAUUUACCCGUUCUGAUGUCUUGAAAGAUCAAUUUUAUAGAAAUACUUUUUCUGAUGUUCACCAAUUGUUUUGAGGGCUGCAGAUUUUGUCAUAUUUAGUUUUCUCUGAAUUAUUCAAUGCUAGGCUUUUCUUUUUUAGUUAGAUGUCCAUACUUUACAUGUAAAUUGUUUUGCCGUUUAAUUGUUUUAGAGGUACUUUGAGCUGUGCCCUUCUUCUGAAAUAUCCUUCCUUAGAUUACUAAAUCAAUGAAAUUGCAUUUACCACAAUGCUCCUAUUAUGUGGUGAAUGUCUGAAGCCUAGUUCUUAUUUCAUGUAUACAGCUAGUGGUAUGAAAUGAGUUGACAGAAACAUCAUAAUAAUUUAUCAUGUAGCUUCCCAGUCCUUAGGAGUACAUGUAUUUUCAUGGUUUUUAAGGCUUUCAAGGAGGUUUAUCUAAGUAACAAGGCGGCAGUUUUGCUUGCUUCUCUUUACUCUUGUUUACUAUCCUAUGAUACAUUUACUUCCUUAUAGGUAAAUCACCACCUUUCUUGUCAGUUGAUGCAUUGGAAAAGAUGAUGGAAGAUCCCACUGUCCAGAAGAUGGUUUACCCGUAAGCUGAUCGAUUGUUAAGAUGAUAGUUUACCAUCGUACUCAAUUCCAAUCAUCUCGUUGUCAUUUGGCUACUAAUUUAUUUAACCUGAAAUAAGACUAAUGUUGAUAUUUUGUACUAUUGUUGCAGCUAUUUACCUGAGGAGAUGAGGAACCCAACUACUUUUAAGUGUAUGCCCUUUAUUAUCUUGUUCUUUCUGCCAGGCACUACUUUCUUCUGUAUUUCUUGUGGGAAAAAUUUGCGUUUUUUGUCUGCACUAUGUUGAUACUUUUAUGCAAUUACUUUCCAGGGAUGCUAGAAAAUCCGCAAUACCGGCAGCAACUUCAAGAUAUGCUGUAAUUAGCUUUUUUUUUUCUUCUCUAAGUUUUUUAUACCUUUUCUUUUUUUCCCUAGUUUUUGGAGCUUUCUGUCGAAUGCUAUCCUUUACAAAUUUGUAUACGAUGAUAUGUUAAGUCCCUCAUUUGAAUCCAAACAAUUUGAUAGAAAAAUAUGCUUCAGUGAAAGUAUUCUGAUAUAAGCAAUGCAACUUUCCUCAUUCAAUGUGGAUUCCUUGUGCUAAAUAAUUUUUAAUUCAUGCACAAGGUUCACCGGAUUAUUGUUUUGUUUUUAAGCGAUGAUUGGGCUAUUCUGGUGAAAGUUUUUAACUGAAUAUUAUGGAUUUGCAGUAAACAUACAAAUCUGCUGUAGCUCGAUAUGUUGCUUCCUCCAGUAAAUGAAUCCAACCUAGUUUUAUAUUCUCUAGUAUCUUGAGCUAUUUAGUGUAUGGUAACUUAUCUGAAGACAAUUUAUGCCAAUCUAUCAUGUAGCUCAGUUGGGAUAGGUUGUUGUAGCUGGUGGCUUACUAUUCGCUUACCACUUUCUUAUUAUAGGUUGGUUUCUGACUCUCAUUUUUUUCCCCCUCCCAGUCUUUAGAAUUAAAAAGCUUAACCUUAAAGUUGUUCUUUGAAGUUCAAUCUGUGUCAGCAGAAGACUUCUUUGCUAGAAACAAAUGAUGCCAAAAUAAUGUUUGAAGAAAGCGCAUAGCUGCAUUAAUGUUCCAUUGCGGUUUUCCUGCGAUUAUAUUUUCAUAACUCAGUAAUGAAUAAGCACCAUCUCUAUAUGUACAGAAAUAAUAUGGGCGGAAGUACUGAAUGGGACAGUCGCAUGAUGGACUCCUUGAAGAAGUUUGAUCUUAGCAGCCCCGAGGUAAAGCAGCAAUUUGGUAAGUAAUAGUUCUUUGCAACUCUUUGCAGAAGAUAUACAUCGGAAAUAGUUAUGUGCCAAGUUAUUUCCUGUUUGCUUUCUUUGAUGAAUCACCAUUGAUUGGAUGUCUUCAACCGUGGUUUUGAAGUUUUGGUUGAAACUCUGAAUCUCAAAUUAAUGUUGUAAAUUGUUGUUUUUAUGUCUGUGCAUUAGUUACACAUGCAUGUGCCCUUUGCAUGUGUAUACACUGCUAAAUUUAUUUUAAUUAACUUUUAGUGCUUCCCUUUGUUGGCAGACCAAAUAGGGCUUACUCCAGAAGAGGUUAUAUCUAAAAUAAUGGCAAAUCCCGAGGUUGCCACUGCCUUCCAAAAUCCGAAAGUUCAAGCUGCCAUUAUGGAUGUAUGCUCUCUUCAUCACAACUUCUUGUUCUUAAAAUUGAAUUACUCAGUAUACUGACUUAUUCCUGUGGCUUACAGUGCUCGCAAAAUCCGCUUAAUAUUGCGAAGUACCAAAAUGACAAGGAGGUAAGGGCUUGGAAAUCAUAAUUUUGCUUCAUCAUAAAUGUUGCUUGUGAUUCUUACUUGGAAGAAGUGUGCUGUUUAGUGGAACUGCUAUAAGUUCGAUACUAGCACAAAUUUACAGCUUUAUUUCUCAAUAUUAAGAAGCUUCAAAUGUGGAGAAGAUGGAUGUUGAAGUUCCUCGGAUGUUUGAUUAUUCAUAUAUUCCUUUUAUUUCUGAUAUUACUUUAUCUCACUGGAGUAAUUUAUUCUGUAAGGCUUAGUUUGGUAAUGUGGUGGUCGAAAGCAUCAAUUUUUAUACUAUGAAAGAACCAAAAAAAAUCCGAAAGCGCUUACAAUAUUCCUUUUCCAAUGCUUUAAAAUUGUGGUUGCAACCGCCACUGGAUAAGUAUGUGGCUAUAUGCUUUUUCGGUUACAUGCUUUUUCAGUGGCAUUUGCAACCGCAGUUUUGUAGUGUAAAAAGAGAAAAGAUUGAAAGUACUUUUAGAUUUUUUUAGCCUUUAUAUAGUAUACAAUUGUUCUUUUAACCACCACAUUACUAAACUAGGCCUAAGUGAAACUAGGCUACACCGCAGGGUGGUCACUUUUGAAUAACACUCCUCAAUUAGAACCGGGAUAUGAGAUGUUUCAUGAUUCUCCGGUGAAAAUCAACUUAUUCCUUUCAUUUUCUUUUUCCUUACUCCUGCUAUUAUUGCUACUUAAUAACUCGUAAACCAUCAUCUGUGCAUUUUCUAACUUCCUCUUUUCCUACAUCCAUGCUCUACAAUUUUCCCAUUCUACCACCAAAUAAUCUUUUCAGGUCAUGGAUGUGUUCACGAAGAUAUCGGAACUCUUCCCAGGCGUGACAGGUUACCCGUGACCGCUUACCUCCGCAUAAUCAGGCUCACAAUUUUGAUGGUUCUACUGAACUUGUUUCUCGGCUAAGAUGGUAGCGGCGCGGAUCGUCUCCAAGAUGUAUUGUUGUUUUUAUGCCUCAGCUGUUCAUGUAUAGCUCUUAUUAAGAAGUUUUCAGAUGGUAGUGCAUCAUGUAUUUGAAGUAGAUAAAAGAGAGUAAGUAGCAGAGAGAGCUCUGUAAGUUUACAAAGAGUAGAUAAUCUUAUUCUUCUAGCUCUGGUGGUCAUAACAUUACUAUGCUUGCCUAAGUCAAUAGUUGCAAAGUACACUCAAUUAGUUAGCUUUAUUUUCCUGCAUCUUAUUUUCUCCUCUUUCAAAGUUUAUUAAUGGGAAAGCUAAAACUAGUAAUCAUUGGGAAUUGAUAUUUCCAUCUCAAAAAUUGAUUAUGGAUUCCUUUUAUUCAACCAUGUUCUGUAAUUUUUCUUUCACAAAUUGCUGUGAAAAUAUUAGUUCUCAUAAACUACAGGCUUUGUUUGGCAUUGUUGUUGUCCUUUUCUUUUCAUAAUAAAGAAAAAAAUUUCCAGGAUUUUUAUGCGUUGGGGGUGUACUUUUCCUAUUUUGUCAAUGUUGGUUAGUUUGCAAUGUAACGCAAUUUAAAUAUUGGUAAAUUUAAAGUAGCCCCUUUAACUCUUUUUUUCUUAUUUAGAUUCACAACUUUAACUUUUGUUUUUGGGGAUGAAGUAAUUUUGCUAAAUAAAUUGACAAUUUUAUCAAAUUUAAUAGUUUAAAUUAAUUUGUAAUAAAUAAAAUUGGAUUAGUUAGCUAUCAGUAGUUUAUCGAGUUAUGAAUUUAUUAGUUACAAAUGCUAAGAUAAAAAGAUAAGCCACCAAAGAGGCAUCAAUAAAAAGCAAAAAUUAAAGUUGAGGACCAAUUUCAGAAACAGUUUUAGUUGAGGAGGUUUCCAUACAUUUUGACCUAUUAAUAAUUAUAAUAAUUUUUUUUAAAAAAGAACUUUUCUUCCUGUAACUAUGGAAAGUUUUUGGCGCCCGCCCGGUCGAAUCAUCGCUCCACGUGUAUCAAUCUCCGCGCGGUUAUUGGACACGUGGCAUUCAUCAGCGAACUCUCUAUCGGUGUACCUAUGUUCGACUUGUGGGACCCACAUGUCAGUCUCAGGGAAAAAAAAAACUGUGACACACCAUAUACUGUGUGAAUUAUAAAAUAAAAGGUAAAAACGUAUGGAGAUACCUCAACUAUAGGUUAUUCUGAAACGGUCCCUUAAAUUUUACUCCUUUUUUUUAAAUUGACACUUCUUUAAUUUUUUUUUUCUUUCGAAUUGAGUCUUUAUUGUUAAUUAGCGUAAAAUUAUAUGAAAUGUAAUUGCUCAAUUAGCUACUAGCAGUUAACUAAUUCACUUUUAUUCACUAUAAAAUAGUGUCAAAAAUUAAAUAUGAUAAAAUUAUCAAUUAAUUUGAUAAAAUUUUUAAUUUAUAUGCCUAAAAUUCCUUGAUGCCCCAAAAACUAAAAAUUAAGGGGACCUCCAUACAUAUUUUCCUAAUUGAAAAAAAAACCUUUAAAAAUUAGAAUUUUUUGGUUAAAAUAGAAUAAGAAUAAAUUAUUGCUCGCACCAAGUGUACAAACUCAUACACCGCACUCUAAAAAAAUUAUAAGCACAUAAGGCAAUCACACUGAGAUUCUAAACAAUACCAAAAUUAAAUAAACUAUUAUUAUUUUUUAGAAAUUAAAUAAGAUAGUCCGUUAUUCACUUAUGAACUUAGCUAUAUAUAUAUAUAUAGAGAGAGAGAGAGAGUCUGGCUACUAAAUUUUUAGGAGUAUAAAUCUCUUUAUAUUUAUAGAUUUUUGGCCGUUAAAUUUACCCAUUUGAUCAUUUUUAUCUAUUAGAUCAUAUUAUUCAUUCCUAGGAGACCACUACCAUUUUUUAAUCCAACAGCCGAAAAUUUAUAAGUAUAAAAGAAUUUAUACUCAUAAGAGUAUAGUAGUAGUCUAACUACUAUACUUUUUACGAGUAUAAAUAUUUUUGUACUUAUAGAUUUUCGGCCAUUAGAUUUAUCCAUUUGAUCAUUUUUACCCAUUAAAUCAUCCUAUUCAACCAACAAUCUAUUCAACCCCAGGGGUCUACUGAAAAGAAAAAAAAAAAAAAAAAAUAAAAAUAAAAAUAAAAAACCCGGUGGACAGUGGGUGCACGAAAGACCGGGUGCACGGGAUACUUUCUGAAAGAGAGCGGAGAGAGAGGGAGCCUAUAAAAGCCAAAAAAACGAGAGAGCGCUCUCCCCGUUGCGAAAACGAGAAAAAACUCGAAAACGAGCGCGUCGAAGAGCCCCCCUCUCUCCCUCUCUUUUUUUUUCUUUUUUUUUUUCGUCUCUCUUUUCCCCUCCCCACCUCCUCUUCUCCCUCUCCUCUCCCCGCCGCCUCGUCGAAUGCCACGAAGGUACGAAUCCCCCCUCCCUCUCGAUCGAUCUCCCAUCUCCCUUUCGAUCCGAUUCGCCGCUCCGCGAGCUCUCGAUCGAGCCCCGCGGCGUCGGGAGCCGUCGGAGCCCCCGCGAGCUCGAGGUCGGAACCCUCUUCGACCUCUCCCUCGCCCUCGAAUUCGUGCCUUAUUGGAUUCGUCUCCGUUUUGAUCGGCUCUUUUGAGGAUUUUGUUGGAGUUUGAUGUGCGGCCGCGGAUUUCGCGUCCGAAUAGAUCUAGCUGAGCUUUUGUUCGUAUCGAAAGGAUGCGGUUUUCGCUAAUUAUUGGUUUUUUUUUUUUGUCUAUGUAGUUGAUGAGGAUUUGGGGUUUUUUCAGUUGGGGAUCGUAUUUUUCUGAUGAUGUGAGAUCUUUUGGGGAAUGCGAGGUUGUUGCUAGUUAUAGAUUGGAGCGGUUAUGCUUGGUAGGGUACUUCGCUUGGAAGAUAUCGUAUUAGGGUUUCUGUUUUGACCUCUUUGUUAGCUCAAAAAUGUUAGUAAAAUGGUUUGCGAUGCCAGGAAUUUGUUAGAUUCGGGUAGUAAUGCCUCCUAAAUGCGGCUAUGCAUUGGAUCAUUCAUCGAUGCAGCUUUGUUAGUUCAACAAAUUAGAAUUAGGGUUUCCCUAAACAGGGGUAAUAAUGCCGCAGCGAAAGCUUCCUUGCUAUGAGUUGGGGCCAGGGCUUUCUGUAAAUUGCUAAGGACAAUUAGUUCAAUUCGGAAAUUUGUAUCAGUGUUGCUUCUUUGAAUCACAGGAUCAUUCAGUUUUUUUGUCUUUGUACUUCUUAAUGGAUAUCUAGUAAGUGUGAAAUUUAUUAUAGAGCUCUUUUGCAGGCGAUAAAGCAUCUGCUACCUGAAAAACAUUGGAAGAACUUAUCAGAUCUAGAAUUUGGUGCAAAAUUUGGAAGAGUGAAGUGUAGAAGUUCCUAAUGCCUCUUUACAAGAGAAAGCCUUUUGCCCUGCUUGACCCACCACAGGACCUGGAUCCAAAUGAGCUUGUUUUCCAAAUUCGGUUUACAAAGGAGAUGUUCAGGGAUUACCAGUAUCCUAUUCUGCAGUUUUUCUUUUUCUAAAGCUAGUGAUAAAACUAAGUUUGCAUUCUAUUCUGCAUUCAAGUGAUCUAAUUUGCAUUAUUUGGUUGAAAAAGUAGUAAUAGACCAUGCUCCUUAGCAUAAUUAGAGAAAAAAGUUUUUCGCUGCUGAUUGAAUACCAUUGACAAUAUCCUUAACCUAUUUUAGAGAAUACUUGAAGAGACUGAAUCUUUACCGCAAGAGGGUUUGGACCUGUAAAACUAGUGGAAAAACUAAUUUAACUUAUGAAGAAGCUUUGGUCUCGGAGCAACGUGCAGUGGAGAAGGUUCAGCAGUUUCCUAAAGAAUUAAUGGCUCCAGUUCUUCAUAUGGUUCAGUACAGUAAGAGACCAUCUUGGCACACGUUCGCAGCAUAUUUCUUUUUUGUUCUUCUCUUGUAUCUGGGUUAUACUAGCGUCACUACUUGUUUCUUUUGUAUUUCUGUCACCGGUUUUGGAUAUCUACCUUCUCAAUUUCCUUUUACGUGGCACAUGUCAGUUUGUUUGCUGUUAUAUUUGUUCAGUUUUUUUUUUUUGUCGUUUUUUCUGCCUUUUGUUGCUACGUACACAUAUUGUAUGACUAUAUUCUUGCUUCUCAACUUGCAUUUUAGAUGCCAGAACUAGGCUUUAGGCCUUAACUGUGAAGCAUGGCCUGUGAAAACUGACUAUUAGACACUUUUCUUUCUUCUCCUCUUUGUUAAGCUAUGCAAAGUAUUCUGAUAACCGUUUCCCUUUCUUGGGACGAUGCAGAAAAUCUGCAACGAUGCUUGAGUUGUUCAAAGCAUGAUUGCUGGUCUUUUACUAGAUUGUCAUAAAUUACAGUUUUACAUAGCAUGAUACUACAGAAAGCGGAUGAGUAGUGUUAAAUUGGGCAGAGUUCAACAUUUGCUCAACUUUUAGAGAAGGUUGUUCUCAGCUUUUUUUCCCUUUUUUCUGGCAUUGCAAGUCAAUGAUUCUAUUGGCAUACAUGCCUGAUGUUAUUGCCCGAUAUGGUGCCUGUGUUGUGCUUUUCCUUUGUACAUAAACUUGUUGAAGUUAACCUCAUAGGUCCUAAUUAUGAUGGUAAAUUAGAUGAUCUUCCCACCCGCUUUGUUUUGGUUCUCAUACCUUUUGCAAAAUUCUACUUUUGGAAAGCUGUUAGUUAGUUUGACAUUUCCUUUCUGAAUAGUCUCAAACUACUCUCCAAAGGGAACAUUGCUUCCUUUGGGCUCGUGCUUCUUUGAAAUCUUUGUCCAACUUGUUCUCCUAGCAAUCUAGCCUCAUUAUUGUUGUCUUAUCUGACCAAUCUGUAUAUUUUGUUCUACUUUAAAGACUUAGAGGGUGACUAGAUUUUCAUGGCGGUGUCUAGUUAACUAUGUUACACAGAAUUUAACUGGUCGUCAAACUUUAGGACAAUUUAACAUUGUUUAUUUUUCUAGUGAGUGCUGAAACCAUAGAUGGACCAGCAUUUUCCUUGCUGUAGAAAUAUUUAUUUUUGUUUUAAGGUUAUAAAAGGUACUAAAUUUAAUUUCUAUAUUUGAAUCAUUUCGCUGGAGGUCAAGAUUGUAAAAUCACUGUACAGACUUGAUCACAAAAAUUUUAUAGCGUGAAGAUCAUCUCUGUAUUAUUUCAUUAUUAAAUAAUUUUGACUAGACAAGUUGUCGUUUUCGUUCAAGAAUUUAUUUGCUAUGAAAGAGCGAAUAUGUUCGUGGUUUUGUGUUACCAUUACUACUUGUUUGCAGGCACUCUCGGUAUAGAUAAACUUGUCAAUAAUAUAUACAGCAAGUUGCAAGAAGGUUAUUUUGAAGGCUUAGAAUUGCAUGGGAAGAAGGACGAAUCUGUGUUUGCUUGCAAAAUAUUGAAGGUUCUGGAAGAUGGAGAGGCCACUCUGUAUGAAGUGGGUUGGCUUGAUAGAGAUAAGAAAGUUACUGGAACAUCCACUGUCAAAGCUGAGGAUUUGAUACGAAAGAAACCACCACUGAGUAGGCAUAUGAUAAAAGUUUUCAUUAGGGACUCAACUUCACGAAAUUUCCCUUGGGUGGUACAUGAAACACUUGCGAAGAAACAUGGUAUUUCCACUCAGCCACCAGAGAAUUUCGAAAACAUCAAGAAAAGGAAAGGAACCGAAAAUGGGACCAUGGGAAAUAUGAAGAAGUUAAAGAGAGGUACUGGAAGAAAUUCCUAAGCAUAAUUGUUUAGUUGGCUUCUUUGAUGUAUCACACUAUCACGUCUUAAUUUAGAUUUUCCCCCCCCUUAAAAUAAAAAUAUGCGAAGCAACCACUGCUAUAUGCCAUUUCAAAUUAGACCCAUCUGUUUUAUUGGUUUUCAUUGACACCUAAUAAAUUUUUGGUCAUUUUAACUCGAAGUUAUUUUUGUCCUCUAAAUUAUGACUUUUGUUUAAGGGUUCUGGUGGCUAUCAGCCAUCAACUUUUGACCGUACCAAUAGUUCUAUUACCUAAAAUGCAGGAAGAGCUGUUAAGUUUAACAGAAUCCUUGUUAAGUUUGAUGAAACCCCCAGAUCAACUGACUGAGAUACUCAAACUUGAAACGAAUACAAGUUGAGAGGAUGUUGAUUAUUAAAGGAAAAAAAGAGAGAAGUUGGAGGAUUUAUUGCAAAAUGGACUAUAGCUUUGGGGGAUCUCCAUGCAUUUUUAUCUUUUCUAGAUACACCUUAGAAGAUUUGGCUAACCAGUUUGAUUAUUUCUAAAAUUUGCAGGUGAAGAAAAUCCAACAAAAAACGUGGUUAAAUACCCAAUUGAUGAUCUUCUAGUGCAGCCUAGUGCAGAUGACCCCAUUUUAACGAAGCGCCCUCCUCUUUCUACGGAAUUUCGAGUGCCUAUGGAUUGUGUUGGAGAUUUCCUUAUGGUUUGGGAUUUUUGUUCGUCUUUUGGCAGGUUUUUGCACCUUUCACCAUUCUCACUUACAGAUUUUGAGAACGCACUCUGCCACAAGGAGAGCAAUAUUGUUCUCAUUGUGGAAAUACACGCAGCAAUAUUCCGCUUGCUUAUAAAAGAUGAAGGUGAAUAUUUCACAGUUAUGCAGAACAAAAAGCGGAACUCUAAGGUGAUUGUUUUUGCAUUUGGACAUAUUUGUUUAAUGGCUGUAUUAAUUACAAGUUAAUUUUACCUGUGUGAAACGAGCUGAUUUACAUUUCAUCUCUAAUGUGUUUUACAUAUCAAUUUCCCCAUUUAUGCAGAUAACUCUAGUGAAAUGGACUGAAUAUUUGCUGGAUUUCUUGGAGAUGGACAAUAGGGAAAAGUUUUCAAGUCAUAUAACGACUAUAAGAAGGGGACAUUAUGGUCUUCUUGAAACUCAUGUUAAACUUGGGAUUCUCCGGGAACUUGUUGAAGAAGCUCUUAUAACUACUGAUAUAAGAGAGAAGUUAGAUGAGCGUAUUGAACAGCAGCAGGCACUUAGAGCCACGAAACGAGAAGAAACUAGGAAAAAGAAAGAAGAACAGGAGUUGGGAAAGGAUGAGUCCGAAAUUAAGGAAAGGAAUCAGAAACAUAUUUUGGGGAAUUGUAAUGGGAAGCACAAAUCCGAUAGUCUGAAGGGCGAGCAUAAAGGGAAAGAUAAGGACAAAGAAGUUGAGAAGAAGAAACCUGAAGAAACACAAGUACAUUCAGUAAUCUCUCUCUCUCUCUCUCAACAUAAACAACUCCCUUUCAUUUUUCCGUUUUAUAAGCUAAGUGAUUGAUUUUCUGCAUUACAGAAUGAGAACCUUGACAGGGAAAUUGAAAAAUUAUCAAUACGUACCAGUUCACUAGGGAAAGAUAGAAACUACAACAGGUAUUGGUUAUUCCGGCGUGAAGGAAGACUUUUUGUUGAGAGUUCAGAUUCCAAGCAGUGGGGCUACUACACCACCAAAGAAGAGGUCAUUAUUUUGCGAAAAUUUGCCACUAGCUUUUCACUCUUUUUUUUUUUUUUUCCUUUUCUGUGGACAUUGGCAUGUACUAAUUAAAUUUUGAUAUCAUCAGCUUGAUGCCCUAAUUGGUUCAUUAAACCAGAAAGGCGUGAGGGAGAGAGCCCUUAAAAGGCAGCUGGAGAAAUUCUAUCAAAAGAUAAGGUGUGUCUUUUCCGAACUAUUGUAUAGUUGUCCUAAAGUUGGUUUCUCCAACUUUCAUUUUUCCAUCAUUCUUUCAGUAUCCUUCACUGGUAGUGUUUAAAUUUUAUUCAAGUUCUAUCGAGUUGUGAGCUCAUUUUCUCUAAACCAAACCUCUAUGUCUCAGCCUGCAAGGCACAUCAAAUGGUUCUUACAAUGGCAUAUACUUUCUACGGUGAAAAAAAAGCUUUUAGUGCCAUUUGCAACACGUUUGUUAAUUAAAUUAUUUAAUGUAAAUUGAGCAAUGUAAAGGAGCUCGCUCUGGAGUCAAUUCUUCCUUUUGUAUGAAAUAAGUACCCAUGCCUGUUAAGGAGGAUGUUUAGUUGAACAUGUUGUGUUAAUUUCUGCCAUGGAUAGUACUUGUUUUGUGUCAAGUUUCUCAUGCCAAUGGCUUUUCGAAAGCCGUAAAGCUGCUUUGUAGGAUUAGCACUUAUUUUAUUGCCUCAUUCAUUGACUAAUGGUUUUAUGCUUGCUCACACAGUAUGGCUUUAGAGAAGAGGACAAAAGAUAUCGCCCAAAAGAUCCUACUCGAAGAGGCUGUGCUGCGACGGUCCACUCGUGUUCGGGCCCAACCUCGGGAUAACCCCAACAUGGCAUUCCUCAAAUACGUAAACAGGUGGAAGGAGACCUAAUUUAGCCAAUCAAGACCAUACAGUUCAGAAGCUCCAUGAGUCCCGUCAAGCCUGCCAAUUGGUAUAUAAUUAGCUAUAUUAAUAUUUGGGUAAACGUAUGGAUAGUCCCUGUUCCCUUUGCUGUCGCAGUAUUCUGACUCAGCUCCUGAAUUUUUAACUUAGACUUUUUUCCCCAUAUAUUGCAAUUCCGCUGCAACACAAAUUUUUUCUAUACAUGACCUUCUUAAUACUGUUUCAAGAUAGUAUUGAAACAAGGAAGUCAUUUUACAGAAGGGGUAAAUGGUUAUUUGAUGUGAAAAGUUAGAUUUGUUUGGCAGCAACGGAUGGAAUUCCGAGACAAGUUUCUGAGGAAGAAGAUUAGACUGCCAAUUGCAAUACAAGGACUACUCAUAGUUUGCCCAUGAGUUUAUCAUAUAAUUUUUCUAAUAAGUAAUGCUAUGGGUACCUUAUUAUGUACUCUAAAAGUGCAACUGAUGUGUUACAUUCAUGUAGUAGCAAAUAUCCAGCGCAAAUUCGGCAUUUGAAACAUGACUCAUGAAUUGCACUUUGGAGGACUUCAUUGACCCAAUGGCAUUACUGUUUUGUUCUUGCACUCAAAUCUAACCGUUGUCUCUUGAUCUUGCUAGGAUUUCCUACAGGAACUGGAAAUGAAUAUUAUUCGUUGAUACUUUAGAAAGACUAAUCAGCCACUCACUCACUAGCAAAUUUGAAUUUUGUAAUUUCCUUCCCACAAAGUUCUGAAGUUACUUUUGUUGUAACCUACGCGGAUGAUAACAAUGUAGCUGAUUGUUUCACCUAUUAUCUAGCCACACAGGAGAAAUGUUGUUUGGACCUCGUGGUCUCAUCUAGCAUUAUCCACUGUAGUUAUGUCUGAUUUGUUUUCUCCUCGUAAAAGUUCGACUAGUAUGCAGUAAUCUUGCUCGAUGUGUUCGUGGUAUUAGCUUCUCUACUCGUAACAUUGCGUGAAUGCUCUAUAUUCUGUAUUCGAAAAAGCGAGAUUGUCAUCAAGCAACUCGGGCCAAAGACAAAGGGGUUUACAAAUUCUUGUUAGGGGGAACUUCAUUCUCCCGUAGGCGUCUCAUUUCCAUCAGCUGACGAAUCCCGUCACUCUACAGUUGGGUUAGAUGCCGAUUAGUUGGGAAUCUUGCAUGAUUUUAUUACUUCUCAUUUAAGUCGAUUAUGUCUUUUCUAUAUGAGCCAUGCAGUGACCAUCUCAUUCAGAAUAUUGUAAAUAUGUGAAAUGAACACUUUCUUUGAACAGUGUUUGGGUAAUUUUCAUGUGAAUCUGAAAAUGUUAUAUUGUGUUGGCGGUGGCUCAGGGCGCAUGUGUGAAUCAAUCAACACUUGCUAUGUAUGAUUGCCUUAACCACCUUUAUAAGAAACUUUAACAGCACUCUAUUUGUAAAAAUUUGUGUACUCUGUUAUCUCUAUCUCUGUAUAUUUUUUAAGCAUAUACCUAUACUGAUAUUGCAAAAUACUCAAACUUGUAACAUGAAACCUGUUACUUCCUGUUCUCUAAACUAUUCUUAAAUCUAUCCUCUCCCUCAAAUUUGCAAUGGGCAAUGAGCAAUAAUUCGUCAUUGUAAUUUACCAUUUGAAUUUUAACACGUUAAUUUUUACCAUCUAGUUAUAAUUCGUGACAGUUUCUAAUCUCAUUGUAUUGCUCAAACAUUUAUUCAUCAUGUGAUCACAAAUAAGUCAUGGAAUAUAUCUAAUCAGCUUAUAUUUUUAUGUAUUUAGAAAAUUAUGCGUUGUAUGCCAUAGUUUAUUGUGUUAAAAAUUGCAAGGUGAGUCACAAUUUUUUUGUUUUUUUUGAGAGCAUUUAAAAAUAAACUUAGCUGAAAAUGUGAAUCAACUAGGAUUCGAACUUGGGUCUCGGAUAUCAAUCAUUAAAUUCUUUGCACUUGCUCUAGAGACGGUCUGAGUCACAAAAUUUAGGUUGUGAGAUAGCAUCAGGGCAAUACUGAGUCCUCUGUUUUUUUUUUUAAGAAAAAAAGAAAAAGAAAAGAAGAGUCGUUUCUCAAUUAGAAGUGAUCACGUGGGUAACCCGAGUAGCCAACCCAUCGCGGUAGGCCCAGGCAUUACUUUUACCCGACCCCACCCACACAAUCACAAACCCUAAUCAAUUCCUCCUGGUUACUAGGGUUUUCCUCCGCCGCUCCUCCACCACCCCCGCCACCUCCGCUAAUGGCGAGGCCGGGACGAGCUCGCCCCGCGACCCCCUCGGGCUCCGGCUCCGGAUCCUCCUCGCGCUCGCGCUCCCGCUCCCGCUCCUCGUCGGGGUCGGGCUCUCGCUCCCGCUCCCGAUCCCGAUCUCGGUCCAUCUCCUCGUCGUCCACCCCCUCGCGGAGCGCGAGCUCUCGUAGCCGAUCCCCACCGCCUCAGAGAAGAAGGUGAGCUCGCGAGAUAUGCGCUUUUUUUAGAUGCUUCUCUUGUAAUAAGCAGUUAAGCAGUUAGGCUUUGUAGUUUUAAUGCAAUGUGUUCUCCUCCAAAGAUCUAUUGGAAAAAAAUACUAGUAGUUCUCAGAAAUAUGCUUUGUUAUACUGUAAAAACCCUGUGCUAGGAGAAUUUUUUUUUUUUUUGGCCUUUUCGGAGCGAGUUCCGUGUUUACUUCAGUUUCAUCAGUGUGAACAACUUUUAGUACCAAAUGAAACCGUUAAUCGAAGAGAGUAUGAUCGAUUUGAUUGUGGUGCGUCCAAACUAGUAGGAAUUUUGUACCUACGCUUAGUUUUCUAUCUUGCAUCGUUACAGUAAACGCACAUGUAAUUUAGAUAUUUCAUAUGAGACCAAAAUAUUUAACUAUGCUAUAUUUGUUAUCUGUUUUUUUUCUUCUUUGUAGUAAUAUUCGCUAUUAUAUGGUUGUGCAUAUGCUUGCCUUUGGAAGAUAUUCAUGUGAUUUUAAUUUUUAUGCUACCGAAGAGUGGUUGCAAGAGUGAUGCAUUUGCCUGUUUGCGAUAAUUUAGUUGUAUUUGGCCUUUUGUUUUUUUGUAACGUCGAAUAUAUUGCAAAAUCAGCCUUUUGUUUUUUCCAGUCCAACUGGACCAGCUAGGAGAGGUCGUUCGCCAUCGCCUCCGCCUAAAAGAGCUUCACCUCCUAAGAGGGCUUCACCCCCGAGGUAGGAAUCUAGUAAAAAGAUCUUUUUAUUUCCAUUCUUUUGUGAUGGUUGUCAAGUUUUUUUAUAAAAAAAAUAUGCAUUUCAUGACGAUGCCACCAAUACCGGUUCGUAUUUGGUUUAAAACCUUUCCAGAUUAGCGGUUAGGCUGUGGUUUUUUAAUAUCUCUUCUUAGAGGCAUAGUGGUCUCUUCCAUUAAUAGUUCCUUGCAGUGAUGAGUCAUGUUUCUGUAAGUUUAUGAAAGUGUUAGACGGACAAAAGUAGUUGUACCCUUUUCAGGAUGUAAAACUGGAGAUUCAUAUAAUGCUACCAAAUAUUUGCAUGAAAAAUGUUGCCCUAGUGUCUUUAUUGGCAGGAGCCUCGUUCACUGCAGCUUUUAUAUGUGUGAGAUAGUUAGGUCGUUGCUGCAAAAGAAAAUAAUUUGGGUAUGUUAGGUUUAAAGUUUGUUUAUUGUGAACUUAAUUUGUUAAUUUGUUUGUAAGGUGUCUAAAUUGAUGUUGCAGUAUCUUCUGUUAUUUUUACAACAUGGGUGGUGCUGUACAUGAUAAGCUGCACUGUUGAAUGUGGAUGAAUUUUUUCCUUCCGUAAUAUCUUAUUGCCCGAGAACUUUCAGUGACAGCAUAAGUUUUUAUUUCAGGAAAGCAUCACCAAUUCCGGAGUCUGUUGUUCUUCACAUUGAUCAUCUGUCGCGCAAUGUUAACGAAGCCCAUUUAAAAGAAAUAUUCGGUAAGUACCAUUUGGAAGUACUGCUUUUCUUUAUUAUGUUGUUUUAUACUUUACUAGCAUUUUCAUCAACCCAUAAAGAGGAGAUAUUAUGAGUUUGGCUGUUCCAUUUAAGGUGGACUGUAGAUGCACUUUUCAAGAAUUCUUAGAGGGAAUCAUCAUGCCUUUCCUCUUACUUUUGUACCCUUUUUUAAUUUGCCAUAUCUAGGUCCUAUUGACAUAAGUGUUACUUCAACUGAGACAUUUAAGUAAAUUCUCUGCCAUUUGCUUGUGAAAUCCCAAAAAUUUUGAAUAUGAAAGUUGUGUGUUUGACGGGAAAUUUUUGAAUGUCUCUUACUCUUGUUAAUGAUAGGCGUUAACAUUUUACUCAAAUCGCCCAAAAUACUCGCAUCAAGAAACAACUAUUUUACCAGUUUUUCUGGAUUUUGCUGAUGGCUUUCAUUAGAAAACUUAUAUGUUAAUUUAUAACUGAGCCUUUUUGUGUGACACCACUAGAGAUAAUGAGUUUAUAGGAAGAUAGUUGUUACAUGUGCAAAACAGCUUAGAUACAUGGCACAUUCUUUUUCAAUUUUCGUUUCUUGACCGGCCUUUUUCUCCAGUAACUGACAAGAGGAUUGCUUUCUUGCAGGUAACUUCGGUGACGUUGUCAAUGUGGAACUAUCAAUGGACCGCAUUGUAAGUCAGCAGUUUGGUUUAUUAGUAUUUACAAAAAUGCCCGGAUUGUUCAUGUGAAGCUCACCUAUAUUUACCUGAUAUUUAGGUUAAUCUUCCUCGUGGUUAUGGAUAUGUCGAGUUCAAGAAGAGAGCUGAUGCUGAGAAGGCUCUUCUUUACAUGGAUGGUGUAUGUAUUUUAUCUCCAUCUCCAUAAAUCAAUUAAUUGCUAGUUCUUGUUGGUCAGCAUAUGCAACUUGACUUGUACAACUUUUUCUGCAGGGUCAAAUUGAUGGAAAUGUUGUUAGAGUAAAAUUCACUUUGGCACAACGCCAGAAAGCUUCUUCCCCUCCAAAGGUGGUUCCGGCUGCUCCGAAAAGAGAAGCUCCACAGAGAGAUAAAGCUGUUCCAAGUACUGAAAAGGAUGCUCAACAGAGGCCCAGGGAGCGUAAGUAAAUUUACGACUUCAUGGAUGGCCUGUUUUCUUUUUAGUUCUGCUAUGGGUCUUUGCCUCUUUAAAUCUUUUGGUGCCGUCUGCUUCUUUGAACCGUGUAUAUGUUUUCUACUUUGUAUCUCUCAUUUCCUUUUUGUUGGCUUGUGAUUUAUUCAUCUAAUUAGGUGAUGAAUGUGGCUUGAGCUUCAUGUUUCAAAAUAUUUAGUGGCUAUACUUCUUUUAUUAGGCCACAUUCUGUGUACUAUUCUCUAUCGUUGGCCAGCAACUUUUCAUCUGUGUUACUUAUUUUAUGAUUAAUCUGACUUAGGAUUUUUCUUAUCUUCAUGUGUUUCUUUGGAACUUCCCCUUUUUUUCUGCUUGUUGCCUCGUUCUUUCAUAUUUAUGUACUAUGCAUUUCUGUAAUAGAGUUUGAUUUUUGUUCUUAUUUUUUGUUUUACAUUAUCAGCUUCUCCGCGGAGGAAACNCUAUAAUCUAUGUUGCUUAUUUUAUGAUUAAUCUGACUUAGGAUUUUUCUUUUCUUCAAGUGUAUCUUUGGAACUUCCCCUUUUUUUCUGCUUGUUGCCUCAUUCUUUCAUAUUUAUGUACUAUGCAUUUCUGUAAUAGAGUUUGAUUUUUGUUCUUAUUUUUUGUUUUACAUUAUCAGCUUCUCCGCGGAGGAAACCACUUUCUCCUCCACGGAGGCGAUCUCCUCCUCCAAUCCGCAGGGGGGCUGAUUCACCGAGGCGUCGACCAGAGUCCUCUCCUAGACGUCGGCCAGAGUCUCCUCCUAUUCGUAGGCGGACAGAUUCCUCUCCAGUUCGACGGGGCGAAACACCACCUCCUCGGCGAAGACCAGCAUCCCCCAUUAGAAGACGUUCUCCUUCACCGGGUCCUAGAAGGAAUAGAUCACCUCUCCGGUUAGUCACAUUGACUGUGUACUUUUGUAUAUAUAAUACUGACUGUGUACUUUUGUAAAUAAUCUGUAAAUACAGACCUUACCUGAACUUUUGAAGCAUUUUUAAAUGAGUACGGGAACUUAAAAAGUUUUGAUUUCAUUACCUGACUUUACUGCAUUUUUUUUGCUCAAGUACCCAACUUAAACGUUUUUUUUUUUAAAAAAAAAAAUCUUAGUUCUUCAUGAGAGCUUAACAAUAUUUUGUAAUUAUUUGUAAUUAUUGUGAUGGAAUAUUCUUUCACUUAAUGACUUGAUUUUGACAGAAUUUCAAAAGUUGAUGUAAUGAAACUUUCAGAUAGUAAAAUGAAAAUUUUGAAGUUCAAAAGCCAUUUCAAAAUAUGCUGCAGUUCAGGAAGGGUUUGUAUAUUUUCACCUAUAAAAUAUGUAGCUUGAAUUUUAUGGAUGUUGGUGCUGAUGGAUCUUCAUAUGAAUAGGAUUUCUCCUAGAAGAGGCCGGGGAAGUCCACUUCGCAAGCGAUCACCGAUGCCCCCUAGGAGGCGGUAAGUUACUCUACAUGAAGCUUUUGACCUUGCUUUAUUUUAGAUUGUCUAGUGCAGAUUAAAUUCUGUCAUGUAGUAUGCUGUCUCAUUGUACUAAAAUGGGGAUUGUGAAGCAAUUGUAGGAGACCAGCCUGCUAUACAAAGAGGAUCUCACCCUUUUUAAUUUUAUACUUGGCAUGAUUCUCUCUGCAAAAGUUCCUUGACAUUCUUUUUCCCUUUUUUACCAUGAAAAUAGCAUUUUGUUUUCUUUAUGACCCACUGCGGUUAGACUUCAUAUAUAUUUUUUGAUUUUCUGCAUAUCUCUUGAAAAGAAAUUGAGCUGGCAUUUAUCUUAUGUCGUUUUCUUCAAUCCGCAUCGCUUGUUCCAGAUCACCACCUCCAAGACGCUUAAGAAGCCCACCAAGAAGGUCACCACCACCACCUCCUCAUCGUCGGACUCGAUCACCUCUUCGUAGGCCUGUUCGUUCCCGAUCUAGGUCAAUCUCCCCUCGCAGGUAACAGCUAAGUUGGAUGCGUCACAGCUUUUUUAGGCCUAGUUUGGUAACGUGGCAAACGAAAGCACCAUUUUUUAUACUAUAAAAGAGUCGAAACAUCUAAAAGCGCUUACAAUCUUCUGUCCUCUAUUGCUUUAAAAUUAUGAUUGUAACUACUACCGGAGAAGCAUGUAGCCAUAUGCUUCUCUGAUAGCAGUUGCAACCGUAAUUUUAUAGUAUAAAAGAAGAAAACAUUGAGAGUGCUUUUGAAAUUUCUAGGUCUUCUAUAGUAUAAACAUAGUGCUUUUAGCCACCAUAUUAACAAACUAUGCCUUAGUCGGUGUGGAUAGACAAUCAGAAGCCAUGCCCUCUUUACAACCAUUAUAUUUGAAACUGAAGUGUUUUGGUUUGAAUUGCUUUCAGAACGUAGUUCCUGAAAGUCUUUCUUUGAAGCCGAAAUUUUCUGGUUUCAUUUGUGGAAACAUUACUAGACCGAAUAUUUGUUCUUCUUGCGUAUAUUCAUAUCUAUCUCAUGCUUGUAAAAGCAGGGGACGAGGGCCGCCGCGGCGUGGAAGGUCAGAUUCAUCGUAUUCUGCAUCGCCCAGUCCUCGGAGGGUAAGAAAUUUUCCGAGUUCUCAAAACUGCAGAUUCUGAAACUUCUGCUUUCAGACUCAUCUGGAAGCACGCAAAUUCCAACAUCCUGAACUGCAUGAAUAUUGAUUGAUUUAAUACCUUUUUCUAACCCAGGGACCUCGAAAAAUAUCAAGAAGCCCAAGUCCUAGGAGGUAGCUUAUGUUCCCUCUCUUCCUCUUGCUUCUAAUUCAUCUCGAAGAGAUGUGGUAUGUUCCUCUCUUUGCUCUUCUUUUGUUUUCCGCCCCUUUUAAUGUCUUUUGGUGGUGUUUAGGCCUCCUAGAGGAAGAAGCCCCAGUAACAGCCGCAGCAGCAGCUCGCCCUCCCCUCGGCCAAAGUAAGCGCUUCGUUGGUCGUGAAUCUUCUUCAGUAGGUAAGACUCUCUCUCUCUCUCUUUCUUUCUCUCUCUCUCUCUCUCUCUCUCGCUGGUUUGUGUGUGUGUUGCUGCGAAGCGAGAUCUUAGCGAUUCUGCGGGCGGUUCUGCGGGUGGAGCUAUGCAACCGUGCGAAGGUUGAAGAGCUUAGAGGGGGUACCAAGAGUGAAAGCUUUUGUACUUUCCGAACCCUUGCAAAUGGUCUACUCUGCUUCUCGCGCACUGUAUUUGGCUUUUUAAACUCGGUCAGUGAUAUUUAAACACUGGAAAACUUUUUUAAGUAACUCGGUAUGUACUGAAACUGCGUGAAAUCUCCGAGAAGUAGCUUGUCUAACUUCUUACUCGCAAGAUGAUUAUCUACUUCGCUCAUUUAAUUUGAUCGUCUGUAUGCAUGCUUGCUUUCGGUGGUUUCUUUGGCAUUUUUUGCAGUGAACUUUUUUCUUUUUCUUUUUCUUUUUUUUUUUUUCUCUUUUACCGAAUCAGAUUAUAGAUCUUUGUGCUACCCGCGAACUAUGUUAAGUUGGCCUGUGGAACGUAGGUCUUAUUUUAUUUUAUGUUAUUUUUUUUAUUUCGGUGGAGUAUCAUGAUUUACUUCUGAAAAGCUGCUUUUUCAGGAAUUGGUUAUACCCUGCACGUUAAUAUAUGAUUUAGAUGAUGGCUUUUCAACGGACAAGUCCUAUAAAUAAUUAUACGUGUUUCUUUAAACGGAAACCAGUUUAUAGUUAAAAGACCCCCUAUGGGUGAAACAUGUUAUCAGUUCAAUCCAAUCCAACGGGUAGCAUUACAUUUCAAAUUUAAAUAAACGCACAGCAUUCACGGAACAAACCGAGAAAAAUGGCUCACUUCGUAUGAAGAGGAACUCAUCCUCCUUUGCACCUGAAACUCCACCACAAGACCCCUGUUACUUGGGGCGUCCUAAGAAAUACGAUGGACGAGUCGGUAUUUUUAUAUGUCAAAUAAAUUAUGCGACUAAGACUUCUUUUUAGCUCCUAACCAUCAUAUAAAAACUCUUUGCCUCAUCAGCAUGUACUUGAGAUGAUAGAUACCAUAUUAAGUUCUCGACCACCAUGCAAUAUUAUCCACACACAGUUCUUCCAUAUAUCUACACACAAAUGAAAGCACCCAAAUAUUAUAGCAAGGAUCUGUACCACCGGCCGUGAACCCACCCCGAUAUCGUCGCCAUUUUAACAAGAAUUUCAGCUGCCUUUGCCACCUGAUCCGUUAGCAUCCCGGCCCCGACUCGCCGUAGCGCCGCAUCAGCCAACUUUUGCCCAUCACCGUCGCCGCCACCGCCGCGGAGCACGACCGCUCGAACCGCCAAAUAUACCGACCUCGAUACCUUCUCGAAAACAGCAUCGCCGCUCUGCAAGCUCUUUAUCAGCAUCCGCGCCAUUACUUCUUUCGUGCUCUGAAGCUUUGCUUCCGGAAACAAGUCAUUUAAGCAGCUUGCCAUCGUGCCGGCAAUCUCUUCGACACCGGCGUUGGCCGCAUUGCUCAAUAAGAGUACUCUAAGCUUUUGGACAAAUUCGGAUAUUAGUCUUUCCAAAUCCGUAGCAGGGAUUAUCGCGCUCUCACUGAUGAGAAUUUGCCGAAGGACCAGGAUGCUGUAUACGAAAGCAAAUUCAUUUAAUCCUCAAGAGAUUAAAGGAAAAAAGAAAGAAGGGUUAAUCAGCCACAGUUCCAAUUACAUCUAGAGUUUCAAGUCAUUCCGGUACUUUACUGUCUAAAGAAAUAUGCCAUGUCCGCAUUAUGGUUUAAGUUACAAGCUCUUAAAUUGAGAAUUGCUAUCAAGCUAUAGAAAAUAAAUUUGGAAGUUAAAGAGCCCCAAAUGAAAGAUGAGCUACUACUCUACCUCGUAGUGAUGACGAUGAUUUGUUGAUACCGGCUCUGAAUGGACCUCAGUCUCGAGGCAUUAAGCUUAAAAGUUUCAGGCACUGAUUGCAUCGUCACCCCCUCUACGCCACUAGCGAGUUUCAGCAAUCCGAGCCUUACCAUCAAGUCGACUUUCUCUCCGUUGCAUUCCGGCAGUUCAUUAUUGCCUGCUAGAUAGAUUGCAUAAAUGUUGAAAGGUUAGAGCGAAGAGGAAGAGGAAAGUAUUGAAGGGAAAAAAAGGAAAAGGUUAGACACACCUGGAGUGUUGACAUGGGGAAGUGCUUCCUUUCUCGAGAUUCUACCACCUGUGCGGAGGGUCGUAACAAGAGGUUGGCCCUGCUAAAACAGACUGUUUAGUACCCUUGUAAUUGUAUCUUCAGAAAGAAUACUCGAAUAUAUGAACAUUAAUGAUCAAAAGGCCUUGAUUCUCACUAGUAACGGAAAUUAUUGUGUUUCAAGCAUACUGAUGAACAUGGGGGAACAGAAACUCACUUGAUCUGUCGACAAGGCAGAAAGAGACUCAAGAUGUUCAUUCCACUCUUCUUCCACGGUGUUCUUUAGCGAUGAAAUCCACUGCACAGUUAACGGGAGAGAGAUUGCCGCAUCAGAGGGAGGUCCGUAGCGCUCGGCAAAAGCUGUCUGCAGAUACUCCAAUCCAGCAGAUCCUUUUAUGAUUGGUUCCAGAAGCUGUAUUCGUGCUUUGCUUACUUCUCUUUUCAGUUCCUAUUAGGUGUAAAAAGACGUAGUAAGAUCUUAAGAUCAUAAAAUGUCAAGAAGUUACACACGAAUUCCUAAUUUUUUUAUGCAAAAGUAGAGUAAAAAUGAAGGUACUUAACCUCACAAAUGCUACUUCAAAUAUAGUAAAAUUUCAUGGUCAAAGUGAUUUUAGAUAUAAACCUGUAUCUCUUCCAGAAUAAACUGAAGACCUUUAAUCAUUGAAACUAUGCACAUGCUUUGUUUUCCAUCAUUUGAUAGGGAAAUUUCCACCAGUUCACUUAACAAUUUCUCGUGGGCCUUUCUCAUCUCAUCUUCAUUUGCAGGAGCAGAGAGUUUCUGUAGCAUGGCUAGCGAGUACUCCAAAACCUUUCUUAGAUAAUAUGGGUCUUCAAAGCCUGACUCUAGUAUCUUUUCUCAUAGAAACAAGCAGAAAAGGACAAACAAAAAUAUAAUAAUAAUGAACUUAAAUCCAAAAAAUAGGAUAAGAAACGAAUCUAAUACAAAUGAAUUCGGGAAGCUUACCUGAGACAAAAUGUCAAGGUCGAUGCUGUUGGUAAUUUCUUCUCUCCAACUCUGAGGGGCCAAAUCGCACAAUUCGUCCCUUACCUCCUUAACAAGGCCCAAAAUUCGACUAUAGUCAGGUUUAUCUCCUUUCAUAGAGUCCACAACUCCAUCCCAGAAAGCCUUCUCCAUUGUCUCCUUUACUUUUGCCUGGAAAAAACAGGGCAACAUCAUAUGAAUAUGAGAAUAUAAGUACUAAAAAGGAUUAAUAACUAGACGUGAAUAUCAAUACAAUAAAGACAGUUCUGUAAACAAGAAUUCGCACACUGUAAAGGCAGUAAUACAAAAUCUUUAAAACUUCAGUUUAUGUAGAAUUUAAUAACUUGCCAAAAUAAUAGAAAGACUGCAACGCCUCGCUAUAAUAACUUGCCACACUAAUUCUUUUAAGACCCAACUAAUAAUAGCCAACGUACAAAGCUAUACCAGCUUAUACCGAGAUCAUUCUCCUACAUCACAAAUAGCAGUAUCUUGUCACUAAUCCAGUUGCAAAAAAAUGCUCCUACAUCACAGAUAGCAGUAUCCUGUCACUAAUCCAGUUGCCUUGAAUAUACCACAUUAAGAAAUAUUGCAAGGUGAAGUAUUUAUGCUUCGUCUCGAAGUGGAUAUUACUAUCUGUAAUAGGUUCAAGCCAUAAAACUAGGAGUUGUUCUUUUGCUAAUCAAGAGUGGCGAAUAUUCUGCAAAAAGCCUUACUAACCUUGAUAAUCUCAUCAGUGCCACCGACGUCAAUGUUGUCGGGAGAAGCAUCAUCGUUCCCAUGGACGAUCUCAUUGACAAGAAGUUCAUUCUCAGCGGGCGACCUUUUUCCUAUCGUUUGAUUUGAUUGCAUAUCUGCAACUUCAGUAUCUGUACUGCUAUUCUGAGGUGAAGAAGAACUCCCAAACAAAGAACGAACAAUACUACUCAAUUUUUCAAUGUUGGCACUAGAAUGCUCCUCAGGAACAGAAGAGUUCACUUCAAAGCAUUCGGAUCUGGUGUUUGAAAGGGAAAAUUCUAUCUGCUCAAUACCCGCAUUGCCACUCAGGUGUUGUACUUUCUCCCUCGGUAGUUUCUGGCCUUCGAUAACCUAGGAUAGCGAGUAACCAAAAAAUAUUUCAAACAACAAAUCUUUGGCAAAAUAAAGAUAAAUAACAAUAAAAGGAAUGUGGAACAGUACCAAGAAUAGCACGAGAACAUACACCAACAAUUAUAAAAAUUUCAGGAGAAAAGAAUGUAAAUCGCAAAUAAAACUUUAUCUCUAGGCGAUUGGAUAGAGAAAUAGAACACGCUAAGGAAUAACAAGUACCAAUAGUCAGAGCAGUAAAUCAAGUUGUGUUCUAAGACUCGGUAUAUGAAUCACUGAUGGCCUGUUGGACCUAGGGUGUACUGUGUAGUCACUCGAUGAAGUGUUGUUUAGGUAGUGCUAUUAGGGAGACGAAAUAAACUAAAUUCCCCCAUGGCUUCUAUUUGCAGCAGAAGCAGAAGCUUCAAGUUCGAGGUUAUGCCUUUGGACUUGAAAAAUCUCAUUUCAACUUCUUGCCAAAGCAGAAGCGCAGACUUCUUUGUUUGCUAAAUGCCCUAUUAGAGGUGGUUGUAGCUGAAAACAGAAAAAGAAGCAGAAGUGGGGCCAAACAUACAUGCUUUUGGUUCCAGGCACGGUUACUGCUAGCAAAGCUUCUAGAAACCAAGGAUUUAAGUGCCAUGCCACGAGAUCGUGCCGGAAACUUGUCGGCACGGUACGGCACGGUGCGUGCCGAGCCAUGCCAAUGUGUGCCGGUCAAAAAAAUUCUUGUGUGCCGGUCAAAAAAAUUCUUAUGUGCCAACACAUAAUAGCAUGAAAUAUUUAUUUUCUUUAGCAACAAAAUAUUCUAACUAUUUAUUAUGUCUUUUUAUCACAUCUUUUGAACUUUAUUAAGAAAAUUAUUUGCAAAUUUAAAGAAUAGAGAGGUUUGAGCUGUGCCAUCGGCACGGGGUCUAUAUUGUGCCGGUAUCUUGUUGGCACGAUACAGCACGGUGGAUACGGCCCGUGCCGACGGGCAUUUAAAAUCUUGCUAGAAACACAAAAAAGUUUGGAUCUGCUACUGCAGUGGGAAGUUAAAAUGUGAUUCGGAGCAUCUAGAUUACUCAUAUUAGAACAGGAAAGCAAAACAAAAAAAGAAAUAACAUCCAACCACUGCAAUCAUAACAGUACUAUUUGUCCAAAACAAUGUUUUGUUCACCCAAGAUUUUGAACUAAAAGGAAAGCAGUUAAAAACAAAGCAAUUAGUAAGCUAAUCUAUGAACAAUCAAUAAAAUUAGCAAACCUGUGUUUGCAUGGCGUUCAUAUCAUGACUAAUGUCACAUUCCUUUCCUUCAGAAGUUAGCUUGCAUGCUCGCAUCAUCGAUAGCUCUAGUUCACACGCAGCUCGUACAAGAUCUUUCUCGAGGGAUUUGGCAUCUUUUACUUUCCAUAUCACAAAGCGGUACAAAUAAGCUCGCCAUGCUGCAUCAAAAGCUGCCAACUGGGAUCUGAAUGUCUUUUGGUGGCCACUAUUUGGUCCAUCAAGUAUAAUCGUGACCAAUAACCCGAAUUCCUGAACAAAAUUUAUAGCUGAUUCAAUCAAUAAACUCUCUCGCUUGCCGUGUUCACUGAAAACAGCAUUUGGGUGACCAAGUAUCAUGUAAGCACAGAGCACUGCUCUCAUUGGAUAUCUUAACAACUUAUUUUCUUUUGAACUCCUAGCUGUUUUCUCUGUUAUUCCUCUAGCUUUUGCUUUGCCAGCUGGCACUCUUUUAUUGGGGGAUGAUGUCAGGUGCUUGAGCAGAUGAUCGAUGUUCUCUGGAGUGGACAAAUUAGAUGACUGAGAGAGAAGAAAGCGACUCUCCAACCGAUCAAGCAAUGCUUUUGUGGUCUGAAGCACAAUGGGUGAUUCAAUGAGGAGAGCCAAUUGUUCAAAUGGGAUGGACUUAACAGAGUUCUCAUUAAUACCCAAAUCUUCAUAAGCUCUAGUCAAAGUAAAGGUAGUUCCUUUUGAUGUCACAAACUUUCUCCAGCAACUAGACAGGCAAUAAAAUGUCAGAGAAAAAAAAAUCAAGCUAACACAUAGUGAUAAAACCAUAACUACCAAGUUUAUGUAGUGAUACACACCUUGCUAACUUUCUUGCAAGAAGAUCUCCAUGGCUGAUCCAAUUAGAAUGGGCACAGCUAUGUGGGCUACCUUUCAGUCUCAGGUAUUCUGCUCUCUGCCUCUUUGCCUGAAGACACUUGCCCAAUUACUUGUUUGUUAGAACAGAAUAUAUCAACUAAGUUUAUCUUCUAAUAGGCCUUCUAGAAGUGAAGUUGAUCUGCUCUAAUCUUGAGGAUCAUUUUGUAUUAGCAACAUAUUUGAUAAAUGUUAGGUUUAAAGUACAUUCACAACAGACAUUCUUAUGUAAUCAUGUCGGAAAGGUGCCAAAAGCAUAUAGAAGCAAAAAAAAAAAAGGAAAAAUGAAAAGCUAUGAACCCACUUGGUUAUGUUCAUUUUCUAAACUUGUUCAAUAUGAAGUGGCAGACAGCAGAUUGUUUGCAAUCUAUCAGUCUGUUUUGGCAGAAAAAGAUUAAAUUUAGAUGUCAAUUAUCGCUUCUUUGAUUUCUUUCAAAGAAGAUGAGUUUGCAAGCUAACCAACAAUAACAAAAAUAGAUAAGCUCAUAUGCCGGUGCAUUCAAUAUCGCACAAAUUUAAAAGUCUAUGAAACAAAAAAAGAAAAAAAAGAAAAUAGCCAAAAGAGGACUAAAAGUUUCAUACCCUUUGAAGCCUGUUUUCUAACUCUUGUUUCAUUUUCCUCCUCUCAAGUUCCCUUUUAUUGAAUAUAAAUUUGGCAAUGCAUCGAGCUUGAAUAACUCUGGCUUGAGCCCUUCUCUUCUCAGCUUCCAACAGUCCCAUUCGUUUCUUCUCAGCUGCAGCACGCUUUUGGAGGAUAGCUGAAUAAACACACUCCUUAUACUUGUUUUCUCGUACUAAUCUCUCGAUCAAGCAUCUAGCUGUUCUCUCCUUGAGUGCUGCGCGUCGCUGCAUAUAAGCAUUAAGAAGGCGCAAACGGUUUGCCUCAGCUUGUCGAGCUCGAGAUUCAACUCUUGCAUCCAACUCUUUCCGUUCCUCCUCAAAACGGGUCUUGACACCAAUUUUAGCAGCUACCCGAAGCUCAUCUAACCUGGCUAAUCGCUUUCGUUCCUUUGCCAAUAGGCUUAAUCUGUGGUUGAAUAGACAUACAAUGUCACAAGAAAUUAAUAAUUUCAUCAUCAUUUUUCCCUUCUAAUGUACCAUAAUAAAGCAGAAAUCUUAGUUUCCAGGCGAAGAAAAGAGAAAAAUCAUCUUUACAGUGAGUUAGAACUUCAGAAGAAGGGUAACAUAUACAUCCCAGUAGAAGUACUUCGAGCCAAAGGCAUUAUCAGAAGUGAAAAAGAAAUAUGCCAAAACUCAGAUUACUGUCCAAUGUAGCAUAGGCUAAAGUACAAUCAAGUCCCACAACCCAAAUUAGUUGACUAAAUGUUGAUGUGUCGCUUAUGUGAAAAUUAUAUUGCAGUACUGUGAUAACACGACAAUAAUUAAAUAUGUCACAUUACGUCGUCAUCAGCGAUAUGUCAAUAUGUAAUCAACUAAAUUGGGUUGAGGGAUAAUAAUAGAAACUUCGAGUCAAAAAUUGCAACAACUUAAAGUUUAAGGACCAAAGUGCCACACGUCUCAUAGUUUUGAGGACCAAAAGUGUAAUUUAUCCGGGCUUAUAUGUUUUAUGGUUAACAACCUAUUCUGCUCAGCUGCAACAAGCUUUGCUUCGAGACGCUGACCAAGAUCUUCCUCUUGAGAUGUACAAGAAGAACUCCUUGGUUUAGUCCUUGCUUUGCAAGACAACAGCUCAUGGAAUCGCUGUCAAAACAUGCAAUGUCAGCAUGAUUUACAAUAUUCUAGCAACAUAAAAGGCUAAAUAAAUAAGUUAAGGAAGAGAGAUUAAAGCGUGGAAACUAGAACCGUAAUUAAUAAAACACUUAGCUUGCAGAAAUAUGUAAAGAAACAAAAAGAAACAAGGUUGUCUCGGUGUUUUCUUCCGAUGAUGGUUUCCUGCUUAUCCUACUUGGUUGGUUGUUUUAGUGCAGAUUUUGUUUCUGAGUUGAUGCAAUUUGCUUUGGCUUUUGUUUGUUAUCUACUACCGGUCUGGUGUUGUUAGGCAAUAUAUUGUGUUUGUGUGCUCAGUUGCUGUCCUGCGUAGAUGUUAUUGGUUUCUGAUGCAAAUUUCUUUUGGUCUUUCUUUUAAUAUAAUUUCUAUACUUAUGAUUGAUCACACCCUACUUGAUUUUGGUUUGAUGACAACUACAGUUGAAUUUCACACUCGGAUAAAAGAUGUGUAACUUGAUCCUAAUGCAUUACUCCAUAGAUUUAUUACAUAUAAAGGGAACUCCAUAAGCCUACACACCAAACCACAUACAACAUNUUUUUUUUUUUUUUUUUUGUAUAUAAGCAUUUUAGAUGUUGUAGAUCACACCCUACUUGAUUUUGGUUUGAUGACAACUACAGUUGAAUUUCACACUCGGAUAAAAGAUGUGUAACUUGAUCCUAAUGCAUUACUCCAUAGAUUUAUUACAUAUAAAGGGAACUCCAUAAGCCUACACACCAAACCACAUACAACAUUUCGAAACAAGCGCCUAAAUCUGUACAACUCAAAGCUCCAAAAAUUCAAAUUGAAGCCAAAUAACCUGAAGAACCAAAACAGAACCGGAUUCUGAGAACCAGAUAACCUCAAUUUAAAGUCUAAAACUAAACAUUUUGCAAAAUUGAGUAGAAAUUAGGGCUAAAUUGUACCUGUCUCCGAAGAUCUGCUUCCCUGAGCUUGGCCUCGAUCUCUCCGACGCUCGAAGCGGAGCCACUCCUCGCCUCGAGGAGCCUUCGCCGGAGCCGCCGCGGCACCUUCGCCGGCUUCGCCGCCGAUGACGACGACGACGGGGCCUCCGCCGGGAAAUCCAUUGCCACCGCCGCCGGGAAAUCCACGCCCCCGCCGGGAUCCAUCACGCUCGUCCACAACCACCCACGAUCGAAACGAGAGCGAGGAGAUUAGGGUUAUGGUUAGGGUUCGAUCGAAAUCAAAUGUGUAGGAGAAUUCGAUCGAUCGAUCGAUCAAUCGAGAGAGAGAGAGAGAGAGAGAGGGCUUUGGAGGGGAAAUGGGUGACAAAAGAGAAGGGUGUGAAAGGAGAGGAGGUUAAAAUGUAAGAAUAGUCCGUGCAUUUCAUGAUAUUGCAUCAGAGUCCCUGAACUUUUUUACUUUACCAAUUAUAGUUUCUAGAAGUUUCUCGGUUGCCAUAUUACACUACCAGUCCCUAAACUUGUAACUUCGUUCUUUAUGGAUCCACAAACGUUCAAAAAAUAUUUCACUUUGGUCCCUAUAUUCAUGGAAAAAUAUUGCACUAUUUUUAAAUAUGAUUCCCCUAUUUUUAAAAGCAUCAAGAUACCAAGGUGAAUCUAACUUGUAUUUUUAUAUUUCUCAUUAUUUUAAAAGCAUUUAUAAUUACUUGGAAAUUUGCAUUAAUAAUGCAUUAAUCUACGCAGAUCCGACUUAUGAAUCAUAAUUUAUGGACCAUAGUAUAAAAUUAUUUCAAAACAAUAAUUUAUCUUCUAAUAUAAUAAAUUUAUCUUAUGUACUUAGGGACUUUUAAUGGAGAAGUGAUAUUAACAAAUUUGGUUUCAAUAAAAACUUAUCAUAUUCAUUAAAUCGAUUCCAAGUAAAUAAUACUAAAAAAUAAUUAAUUUGUUCGUUCAUAUUGAGCACGGAAUUUACUGUAAAAUUUUAUUUAGAUCACUAAACUUUAAUUUAUUUCAAUUGAUAUUUACUUUCUAUUUUAAUUAAGCCAUUUAAAAAAAAUAUUUAUUUUUUCUAAACAUAUAACAAUAUAAUAAUUGAUUCAGUUGCCAAUAAGUUCCAUGGAAAUAGUUAUCAUCACUAUAUAUAACAGUAAAUAUAUAUUUUUUGUUUUCAUGGAUAAAUUUUUUUAAAAAAAAUAUAUUUUUGAACAAUUACGUGUGGAAUUAAUCAUCAAACAAGCUGUAGAACAAAAAUCCCCUGCAGCAUUAACCAAAGUACUUAAUUCACAAAUUUUUCAUAAUCUCCUGACUCUAUUGUCGGAUCGUUUGCGCUAACCAUUAAUCCCAAAAAACUCGCGCCGUUAAAAAUACGCAAUCAAUUUACUUAAAGCGUACAGAUAUAACGCCCACGGGUCUCAAUUGUGAUUCGGCCCAUCCGGCCUCACGUCAUUUCGAAUAUAACUCGGCCUACCCAGCCUCACACCAUUUUGAACGUGACUCGGUCCAACCUGAUCUCCCGCCAUAGAAUAGGAUGCUGGUCCAUUUAAGCCAACAUCUGCAAAUUAAGGUCCUGUUUGGAUGCAUAGCCGAAAAACUCUACUAGAUUUAUAUAUUGUGAUUUAGGCAUGGGUUAAUAAUAAAUAUAUUGCAAUUGUAAUGUUUAUAUAGAACUUCAUAUUUCGGCAGCUCUAUGUUUUAGGUUAUUUGGAUACACACUGUUUGAGGAAGGUGAGUGGAUUUUGUUUUAACUCUAUUUUUUAGCCCUUAGAUUAACUAGAUCGAUCUUUUGGAUAAUAUUGUAUCUGAGCCAAUUCUAAACUCAUUUUUUCUGUUAGAUUAUAAAUUCAGUCUCAUCUUUAAUAUUUUACCCGUUGAAUUUUCGCAGAAUAUAAUAAGUUAAAUUUCUAUUUUUUAUCUUGCCUAUCAAUUUUAGGUGCUUUCUGUGAGUGGACCUUGUCGAUUAGAUUGAAACAUAUACAGUUCCUCGCAAAUAUAGUAAAUUACAAAUAUAUUCUUGUAAAGUUCAACUUUUAUAAGUUAUUUCUGCAAAAGUUUCUAAUAUUUUCAGAUAUGUUCCUACAGUUAGAAUUUGUUGGAAAAGUUUAGUUAACCAUAUGUUAAAUGCUUUACCCUAAUUAAUUUUUGAUAUUUUUACUCCUUUUAUAUUAUACUGUUAUAAUUUUUAGAGGGACAUAUCUGUGAUAGUAAAACUGAAAAUAUAAACAGUUUUCUAAUAAUUCUCUAACGGUAAUAAACCAGAGGGACAUAUCUGAAAAUAUUAGCACUUUUGCAAAAAUAACUUAUAAAAGUUGAAGUUUGUAGUAGUAUAUUUAUAAUUUACUAUAUUUACGGGGAUCUGCAUUGUACGCAAUAGGUCAUUAAAAAAAGAAAAAAAUAAUGUAAAAAGGAAAAAUUGUAAUAACUCCCAAUUGAUUCAACGCAAAGUGGACGACCCACGGAAGCCCAAAUUUGUCAAAGUCUACGUCCUCAAUCCACUUUGAAAAUACAAGAAAUUCUAGAAGGAUUAGGUUGGUCUAGUACGUACUUAGGUAACUUUCUAUUAUGGACAUAAAUAUGAGAUAUCACAAAAGAAAAAAUGAGCUACUUGUUUAAGUAUUUAAUCUCAGGACGCGACCGAAUAGUCUAGUUGAUAGGUAUUCUAAUAUCAAAGCGUAAGUUUUUAAUUCAAAUUUUGUCUGUAGCAGCAGGGACGAACCCAUAUGUAGACCCAAAGGGGCCAUGGCCCCACUCUUUUCAAUAUUUAGUUAUAGUCCUUUGAUAGUUUAUAAAUUUUUUAGUUAAUUUUUAAAAUAUAUGGGCCUAUCUUAUAAAAAAAUUUUAGUGCUAGUAUAAAACUCUCUUUUCUUAUAUAUUUUAUAGGUAAAAAUAUACUAAAAAUCUCAUAAUUAUAGUGCAUUUUGAAAUAAGUCCUUUCAACUUUAAAUAUUUUAUUUAUAUAUUCUUAACUUUUUAAUUAUUUUUUUAUGAGCUAAUUUAUUUAACUAAAUAAACUAGUAUGCUAAAUUUAAUAGCUCUGUUAGAUAUUAGUCACCGGUUGUUAUUAUUAUUAAUAAAAAUUUAAAAAUUAAAUUCUAACUAAAUUAUUAUUAGAUUUAGUACAAUUCUUAAGUUAUUUCAAUGGAAUAAUGCAAAUAAAAUAAUUAGAAGUUAAGCGAGUGUAAAUUAAAAAAAUAAAUUUAAUAUUUUUUAACAUUAAUUAUCUAAUCAGUAAAUUUUUUUAUUAAAAGUUUAAGUAAUUAAAAUUUUAUUUAUAUGCUAAAAUUUUUAUUUGUAUAUAUUUUGGCCCCCUCAUGAUUGAAUUCUAGCUUCGUCCCUGUGUAGCAGAAAUUAUGUGUGUGGGUACACGCGCGUAUUUUUAAGCUUUUUUUUUUUGUUGCAAUAUGUUAUUGAUUUGACAUAUAUGUCAUUUUUACGAUAGUAAAACUUAAUAUUAUAUAUAUAAGAAGUUAAAUUUACUUCAAGGGGAAUAGGAAACCUAAGUUUAUAAUAUUUUGGGUGCAAACAACAUAAUUUAGUGGCAAUAAAGCAUGUAUAUAUAUAUAUAUAUAUAGAGUAGGGCUACUAUAUACUCUUAUGAGUAGUGGACCCUUACUACUCAUAAGUUGUUUUCGAUGAUGGAGCUUCCGAAUCGACGAUCCACUCCGUUAAAUAUGAUCUAGAGCAUUUAAAACUUCUAGAAAUUAAAUUUCAUAAUUUUUCGACAUCAUUUACCUUAUGAUCAAAAGCUCACAAAAUUGACAAUUUUUAACGGCCGGUAUGGGAUACUUGCUAGUUUAACGGUGGAAAAGAAUCGGAAUAGGUUGAAUUUUUGAUAGAAAAUUCUAUACACUACCUAGAUAAAGAUCAAUAACUCCGAUCUUAAAUUGAGGGAUCCGAUCAUNACUCAUGGAUCUUUUAUUUAAAAUAAUAAAAAGCUAUAGUAAACGGAUCACUAGCUUACCCGAGUUUUAGUUGUUUAAAGUUACCGGCAUCACUCGGCAAACGUUCAAAUUGCCACAUCUUUAUAGGUUUAGUGCACUUUAAAACUAUCUUUUAAGAAACAUGAUAUAUUUUGGUCUAGUUAUAGAAACUAAAUUUUAAAAUUACAGUAUAAUAAUGUAAAACAUUCUAAAAAUAAAAGUCGGCAACUAAAACUCGGGCAAGCAAGUGAUCCGUUUACUAUAGCAUUUUAGUAUUUUAAAUAAAAGAUCCAUGAAGUUUAUAAGAUCUAGUUCAAAUUGCCUCAGCUAGCAGCUAAGCUUUCAGCGUUGUAGCUUUUGCUCGACCUUCGUGCCUUCCGAGGCACGAAGACUAUCGUAUCAUCGGAGCGAGAUAUAUAUAUAUAUAUAUACUCAUCCCGAUGAUAUGAGAAUACUCAUCACCUGGGAAUGAUGAGUAUUCAACAAAAGCUACUAUCUCGAAGGCUUAGCUGCUAGGUGAGGCAAUUUAUACUAGAUCUCAUAAACUUUGAAGAUCUUUUAUUUAAAGCAUUAAAAAGCUUUAGUAUUAUUUCAGGUAGUUCGCCCGUAUUUUACUUGCCAGUUUUAGCUUGCUGCAGGAUUUUUACCUACUAGCCUAGGGAGUUAAAUUCUAGCCUCAAUAACUAGAAAUAGAUCCAUCACAUAUCUUAAAAGAUAGUUUUUAAGUUGGAUAAGGCUAAGAAAAGGUGGCAAUUUGAUCGUUCAUAGGGUAUGGCCGGCAAUUUUUAACAGUUAAAACACUCGAAAACUAGUAUUCCAUUUACUACAGCUUUUUAAUACUUUAAAUUAAAGAUCUUCAAAAUUUACGAGAUCUAGUAUAAAUUGCCUCACCUAGCAGCUAAGCCUUCGAGGUAGUAGCUUUUGUUGAAUACUCAUCAUUCCCAGGUGAUGAGUAUUCUCAUAUCAUCGGGAUGAGAGAGAGAGAGAGAGAUAUAUAUAUAUAUAUAUAUAUAUCCAAAUACUCUAGAUCAAGUUUAACGGAGCCGAUCGACGAUUCGAAAGUCGCAACAUCGAAAACGAGCUGGAAGCACGGAAGGCUCCGUGCUUCUGAUAGCAUAGUAGCCUCACUCUAUAUAUAUAUAUAUAUAUAUAUAUAUAUACAAGACCUUAACCAAGCUGGUCAUUUACCGUUCAUCACACGAGGAUAUUGCAUUUUUUUUAAUCUUUAUUAAAGAAAAUUAUUAACAAGAAAAAAUAGUCUAGACUCGGUUCAAAUUACAGUAAAUAAUUAAUAGGAAAAACUUCAAAAGCCCUACUUGUGAUUUCGCACUUUUUCAUUUUAGUACCCUGUGGUUUAAAGUGUACCCAAUUAGUACCUUGUGGUCUCGCACUUUCUCACUUUAGUAUCCUGUGGUUUAAAAUGUAUCAAGUUAGUAGUCUGUGGUUUUAUUUUUGUAUCAAAUUAGUACUCUAUAGUUUUAUUUUUGUAUCAAGUUAGUACCAGGUGAUUUUAUUUUUCUCUUAAUAAAAUAUUAAACUACAGGGUACUAAAAUGAGAAAGUAUGAAACCACAAGGUACUAACUUGAUACACUUUAAAUCACAGAGUACUAAAGUAAGAAAGAGUGAAACCACAAGGGGGUAUUUGAAGUUUUCUCUAAUUAAUAUCAGUUUUGCAUAUCAUAAUAAAUAGAUCAUAUGAUAUAUUUUUCAUGAUCUAAACAGAAAAUGAAGAAAUAGCUCUCAAUAAAUAUACUCUCAUCCAACUCUAUUGUGUCUCCUAGCGUUAGAUGAGUCUCAGGAUCUAACAUAUUGGAAAAAAUUAAAAAGAGUUUUUGAACAAGGUAAUAAUUAAUUAAUUAAUCAACGAGGAAAAAAAAAAGAUAAACUUUAAAUAUCACCCAUGUGGUUUCGUACUUUCUCACUUUAAUACUCUGUGGUUUAAAGUGUAUCAAUUUAGUACCUUACGGUUUCAUUUUUUUCUUUUCGUCAGCUCCUCCGUUAACAUUUCGUUAAAUUAUAUACAAAAAAUUUCAGACACCUUACCUAGAUUUAUCGAAUAUUCACUUUAGUACUUUCUAGUUUUAACUUUGUAACUGAUUUAACAAAAAAAAAUUAGUAGAGGGGAUAAUAAAAAAGAAAAAAAAAACUACAGAGUACUAAAUUGAUAUACUUUAAANUCACUUUAGUACUUUUUAGUUUUAACAUUGUAACUGAUUUGACAAAAAAAAAAAUAGUGGAGGGGAUAAUAAAAAAGAAAAAAAAACUACAGAGUAUAUUGAUAUACUUUAAACUACGGAAUAUUAAAAUAAAAAUAUAUAAAACUAUAGGGGUGAUAUUCGAAGUUUUUCUAAAAAAAAAAACAAAAAACAAGUCCACAAGUCCAAGGAAUCAAAAGAAUAAAUUGAAGAGAAGCUUCAAUUUUCCAGUAUUGCACUAUUUGCUUUUUGACUUGUGAUGUGUAAUUUCCACUAGGGGUGUAAACGAGCCAAACACGAGCGAGCUGGGUCGGCUCGUGUUCGGCUCGUUUAAUUCAGCGGCUCGUUUAAUAAACGAUCCGAACACGAGCUGGCUCGUUAAAGCUUUGAGCUAAAAAAUUCGGCGCGAUGCGGAAAGUAGUUAUUUAUUAUAACUAUUAAUAUAUUUUUUUUAUUAUAUAUUAAUAUUUUUAAAUAUUAUUUAUCGCAGACCUUUCGCGGGAUGCGGAGAGCAGUUCGAACAUGUAAGCGUUCUCGAUUAAUAAGUGCGAUGUGGCGAAAAGAUAAUAUAAUAGUAAAUUAUUAUAACUAUUAAUAUCACUUUAAAUUAAAAUUUUAAUUUUGAAUGCAAAUCCAAAUAUCAAAAUCAAAAUAAAAAAAUUAAAGUUCGAAAUCAAAAUCUACAAAAUUUAAGUUAGUAAUCAAAAUUUAAAAAAUUGAAGUUUGAAAUCAAAAUUUAGAUUCAAUUUAAAAUUCAAUUUAAAAUUUGAAUUCAACUUAUAAUUCAAAAUUCUAAUUACUAAUUAGUUCAAAAUUUUAAUUUUAAGAUUAAUUCUGGAUUUAAAUUUAAAAUUUUGAAUUUUUAUAUUUGGGGACUAAAGUGAAAAAUUUGCAAAUUUUGUAAAUUUUAGAGACCAAAAUUGAUAUGCAAAAGAAAACUAAAGUACUAUUUUUGGUCCCUAAAGUCUCUAAAAAUAAAAAAUUAAUUGAAAUAAAAGCACUAUUUUUAUUAGUUCCCAAAAUAAAUUAUUAUAUACUCAAUAGCACCAAGCUAUUGGUGCUAUUAGUUUUUUAGUUAUUGGAUUGAAAAAUGUGCGGUUAGAAUGAUGUGGGUCCUCUAGGAUUGAGUGAGUGGUUGGUUGAAUAGUAUAAUCUAACGGAUAAAAAAAAUCAAAGAAUUAAAUUUAACGGUGGAAAACUCGAUAGCAUCAAACCCUUGUUGCUAUCGAUAGUAUCCCAGCCAGACUCUCAGCCAGCGGUCCAGGAUGUUAAGCCCACCUCGUGGACCGCGUGCAAGAUGGGCAUGUGUGAACCCCGCCAUUUUUCGGGUGGGCCCCACUUAUCCCGUGGGAUGCGGAGAGCUCUCUUUGGUUCCCAAUUCAUAAAAGAGUAUAAAUAAGGCUUUGAGAGAGAGUGGUGCAUGCACUUCUGAUAUAUGUAUAGAAAGAGUUACUUCUUUUACUACAAUUCAGUGAUGAAGAGAGGCACUUUAAAAGCCGUGCUGGUGGCAGCAGCAGUGGUGGUGGUGGUGGCAGCAGUGCAGGCCUCGGCGGGGCUGAGCCCGGAGGCCUGCAAGGCGGAACGCACGGCCGGCAUCAACGCCUGCAAGCCGGUGAUGUACGGCCAGCCGCCGAGCCUGCAGUGCUGCCAGUGCCUGCGGGGGGCGCACGAGGAGUGCGUCUGCCCGCUGAUCACGCCGAAGCUGGCCGCCCUCAUCGAUGUCGGCCGGGCCGUCAGGAUCGUCGAGAGCUGCGGCCGGCAGGUGCCCCGCAACUACAAGUGUGGCAGUAAGUCGAAUUCCCUUACUCUCGCCAUAAUAAAAAAAUAAAAAAUAAAAAAAAAACUACCUGCGCUCUUAUAUAUAGAUGUACAUCUUACAUUUCAUUCAUCUUAAAAUUUAUUAAGAAAAAAUUAGAUACCUUUUGUGUGGUUUAAUAUGUUUCCACUUUAGUAUCAUAUCGUUUUAACUGCAUCAUUUAAGUAUCCCGUGGUUUUUAUUUUUGUUUUGUGUUAUAUCCUUCGGUACCUUCUCCAUUAAAACUGUCGCGUACGCGUGAAUCGUCGCUUUUUUCCCUUGUUGGAGACUCGCCUACAACAAUUUCAGGAUUAAGCUCUAAGGUUGUGUUUGGCUCGGGAAUAAAUAAGAACUGUUUAUUUUAGAGAUAGAUACAAGUUCAGGUAUAAACAGAAACUAGACUAAUUUUGCGUUUGAAUGAAAAUUAGGUUAUUCCUAGAAAUAAGGUAAAUAAUAUUUAGAUGGUUAUAUUAGAACAAAGAGAAUAAGAGUUAUAAUUUUAAAUUAAAAUUAUUUUAUUUAAUUAAUUAACAUCAAAUAUUACUUAAAAAUAAUUUAAUAAAUUAAUAAAUUUAUUAGCUGUGAAUAUUNUUAGCUGGAUAACUAGUAAAAAAAAUUAAUUAGAUUAAUAAAAAUAUUAAUGGUUGAUCAAUAUAAAUAUUACAUUAAAUUAUUAAUAAUUAAUUAUAAAUAAUAAAUAAAUUAAUUAUUUUAUUAUUUAAACAAUAAAUAAUAAUUUAAAUAUAUUAAUUAUAUUAAUUAAUAAUUUAAUAUCAUAAUUAAAAUUAAAUCUAGACUUUAAUUAACCUUAUUUCCAUCAAGAAACAAGUUUAUUUCAGAAAAAAGGGGGGACAAUAGUUUUAGUCUUAUAGCAGUUUAUUUCAGAAAUUCAAAAAAUACUGUUCUCGAAUACCAAACAUAGCGUUUGGGAACAAAGGGGGGACGAGGGCUUAUUCUCCCCUGAACCAAACACUGCCUAAGGAGUUUCAAGUCUUUUCUAAGAGGUUUUAUACAUUUUUUUAUUGAUUUUUUAAGAACAUCUCCAAAGUAUAUGUACGGUAUUUAAUAGGUUUAACUGUAAAAGAAAACUAAAAUAAAAAUCAUAGAGUAAUAAAGUAAUAAAAGAAUAGGACUAGGAUACGAAGUUUUUUGGUCAAAUUACGAAAACCUCCCUGUCAAAAUCCGCUUUUUCACUUUCCCCUCCUGUUAUUUAAAAACCUACACUUUGCCUCCUUAUAAAAUAAAAAAUAUUUACAAGGGGUACAGUGUGACAAAAUGACCAUUUUGCCCUUCGCCAUUUUCGUCUUCUUUCUCAUCCUCCUCAUCCGCGACGGAGGAGGCCGACCUCGGGCGGGACGCAGGCGGCAAGGCCGUCGUCGAGGAGGACGAUCUCAUUGAGGGUGUCGGCCAUGCGGCCGAUGGAGGGCGAGAUGCAGCCGCCGAGUUUGUUGUGGGCGAGGACGACGAUGGAGGCCAGGGAGUCGCCGAGGUUGACGGGGAUGGGGCGGCGGCGGCGGAGGCGGUUGGAGUUGAGGAAGAUGGCGUCGAGGGGGCGGUCGAAGAGGAGGUUGAGCUCGUGGAGGAGGGCGAGGCCGGCGAGGGCGCCGUUCCGAAAGCCAUCGAAGCAACAGGGAAGAGGGGCGGAGGGGUAUUUUUGGCAUAAAAAAAAAUAUAUUAUAACGGAACCCUAACGGUAAGAGAUGAAGUGUACAUUUUUUAUUUUACAAGCGGACAAAGUGUAGGUUUUUAAAUGACAGAGGGGGGAAAGUGAAAAAGCAGGUUUUGACGGGUGGUUUUCUGUAAUUUAGCCAAGUUUUUUUCUAAAAAGAAAAAAUUGACGAGGCUAGUAAAAAAAUAAUGGCAUUGGAACGAUAGAAUUUAUAAUUUACGCUCUAUAAAUAGGUGUACAGUAGCAUUGCUUUUCGGCCAUUUUGUAAGGAAUAUCUUUUAGUUGAUCAUCUUAUUCAAGUAGUUAGUAUUGAUUUAUUAGAAAUGAUAUAAGUAGGGAUUUGUAGCUUUUAGUGACCUAUAGCUAUGUUAUGGACUAAUUCAUUUGGUGCAAUUUAUUUAUAUUGAUUCUUCACAAAUAGUUAAACUUUGAACAUGGAUAAAGAAAUUUUGGAAAUUAUGUAUUGAGAAAUUAGAGCUUGUUUGAUAAAUGAUCUUUGAUAGUGUUUCUUUGAAAAGUUAAAAGCACUUUUUCAUAAAGUUCCUUUAACAACUUGUAGCUUUACAUAGAAGAAGCUCAAAGUAUCUUUCUAAACCACAUCUUGAACUAGUUUUUCCAUUUGAGAAGCAAAAGACAACAACUUUUUUUAACUCAACAAGCAAAACACAGUUGUUGGAUUAAAAAGCGAAAACUUGUCUUUUUUAUUUACACCAAAUUAGGAUUUUUUUUUUCCUUUCAAUUAAAGAUGUUACAAAAGUCUAACCAAACAUGCACCAAAUUUUAAUUUUAUGCCAUUCAUUUGGCUAACAAUGACUAAAUCGAAUCUUUACAUUCAUACCGCAUCAGGAUUUUAUUUUUUGGAUCGAGAAGCUGUUACAAAAGCAAAACCAAACGGCUACAAAAUUUUAGUUGUGUGCUAAGUUUGUGUUGUUAAUUUGACAAGGUCCAUCCUUUUUGUGUGGCUAAGUUUUUUUCUCUUUUUUUUUUUGACAUCUUGUAGGUAUCACCACUCCCUGAAAUCUGGAGAGUAGAAGCAUGAGCAGAGACUAAGUAUGGACAAAGCAUGCAAGAAGAUCAUGAACUAGUAGAAUGAAUAAAUCUGCAUGGAAAAUACUGGUGUAAUUUGCCUAUUUAUUAGUAUUUGAGAGAGCAUAUGAUUAAUGGAUUGAACUAAGAUUGUAUUGUCUGAAGGCCAUAAUACAGAUAAAACUGCCUGAAAAUACCGCGAUUUGCAAUUCGACCCCCUUGCGACAUUCAAAACCUACCGAUAAACUCUUAGAUGUCUAAAAUGAUCACAAAAGAUCUAAUACACUCUUGAUCUAAGUAAUUUAACUAAUCAAAAUGCAGCAUGUGGUCAUUGAAGAGUGAAAUUGUAACAUAAUUACACGAAAAAUAAUCUUCCUAUCAUUCAAAGAGUUGUUAUCGGUGUAGCAGAUAUAUUAAACCUAGUCAAAUCUAGCAUGCGAGUUUAUAACCGUAGGAAAAUAACACAAAAAUGUACUAGUAAGAUCACAAAAGAAGUACAUCAUUCUUUCUUUAAUUUUCAUGUUCGGCGAUACAGAAAAUUUACAAAAACUAGAACAGCUUUUAGUAAUCUUUUGGCAUACAAAAGCGCUUUGCUUCAAGAAGCACCAGAGGUGACCGAAAAAAGCACUUUAAGAAACAACCAUAAAGAAAGAAAAGAACCAUCAGCCUGGUUCACUAGCAAUUGCUUGAUUACCAGUACAUAGAUUGAAGGAUGUAGAAGCAUCCACAACAUCCUUUUGAUGCUCUACAUAAUUCAUGCCCCGGAUAGAUCCAGAUGCCGAAAAGUAGUUAAAAGAAAAUGAAAAUGGAAGAAAAAAGUACAAGAGAAAGUGAGCCAGUGGGAACAAAUUAAAAAUCAAACUCGUGAUAACACACAGAUGCGAUGAACGCACGCAUCCGAACUACAAGAAAGCCCUAAACACCUCCGACUGGUCGAGCAUCAACGAAUGGACGCACACGAGAUGAAGAUGACCGCCAGGUGCACAUACGCGAAAGAAAACAAAAGAUAGGCUUUUCCGUGGGGGAAAAAGUUAUUAUUAAGCCAUCCUCGUUAGUUAUUCGUCUUGGAUUGUGAUUCCAAGAUAUCCAGCUCACUUCUCGCAGCAAAUAUCUGCAGAAUAAGGAAGUACUUCCAGAGGGAGUGCUUAUGAUACGUGGGACCCACAAAACUUCAAAUGCGGAGAGGGUCGGAGACUGGGUCACGCCCAGUAUUCGGAUCUUGGUGUUUCAAAGAGAGAUUCGCAAACUGUGCGUCUAGGUCUCUACUGCUACUUCGGUUAUGAGUCGGGGCAGGUUGGGCCUGUAAAUGCUGCUGCUGCUGCUGAUAUAGUGACCGAAGACGAGCUAUUUCUCGUUCAAACAUCUCGUGCUGGACUGUACAUAUCAACACCCAAACAAGAAAAACAAGAGUAUGAGAUUCCAAGAAUUUGUCUUACGCAAUGGAUUGUCUUUGUAUUCUAAUUAACAUUUAUGAUAUAGUGACCGAAGACGAGCUAUUUCUCGUUCAAACAUCUCAUGCUGGACUGUACAUAUCAACACCCAAACAAGAAAAACAAGAGUAUGAGAUUCCAAGAAUUUGUCUUACGCAAUGGAUUGUCUUUGUAUUCUAAUUAACAUUUAAUUCUAUUGUCCUAUUCUGAGUAAGGGAUAUACUUUGGAAGUUUUAGAGCUCAUGUAGCUUUAAAGUUACGCAGCAUAGAGUAUUGAAAGGGAUUCCGGGUGAUCAGAGUUUCUUUCACAGGGAAAACAGAUGAGGAGAAAAAUAACAUAAAGUAAGCGAAUAAGUAAACAUUUAAUUGUGCACAGAGGAGAAGAAUUUGCACUCGCUACUAGAUGAUUAAGAGUUCGAAGGAGGUGAUUUAAAUAUUAUUUCAUCAAAAAAUGCGUUAAGCAGAUUACUGCAAAUGCAUGUAGCUUUGCAACUAUUUUGUUCUAGCAUGAAAUGAAGAGCACUACAAAAAAAGUAAAAGCUGACAAGGGUCAUUCGUUUAUAAAGUACAUAUGCUUUUCACUUCCAUCCAAAGCAGAUAUGUCUUAGGGGCCGAGUAGGUGGUACAAACGGGUACUACUGGAGAAAUUUCUUAUCAAGAGGUAUUGGGUGUGGUGAUCACAUACAACAUCCUUUUGUUGCAUGUAGUUGCAUCUGAAGAAAAGAACUGUUGCCCUAAAUAAAUUAGAAAUCAUUUGUCUUCAAGAUAUUCCUCAAAGUGUGGUUGGGACAAAAAUUAUUGGCUGGACCUGGACCAGGGACCAAAAAUUAUUGGCUGGACCUGGACCAGGGACCGCAACCCCCUAAAAGCUGCCACAUACCCCUGAUUUAAGGGUUUUUAGGCUUAUCGAAACCUGUUGCACCCGACCAAACAGCUUUCUCAAAAAGUGCCUGCCCACCAAACAGCUUGGCCAUUCGGGGUAUAUGUAGCUGCGAAGUUUUGUGGUCCAUGCAUGGCAUGAUGGUCCAUAUCCAGACUAUAUUUCUAUGGUUAGAAGUGACAGAUAAUGGGCGCUAAUAAGUGGUAGCACUAAUGAAAGAUUCCAGCUUAACUGGCAAGACGUAUUUCUCCUGAUCAAUCAUCGUCGGACCUAAUCAAUUAAUACACAUGCAGGAAUAAAGCACCAAAGCGCCAAUGUUAUUAUAAACAUCUUACUUAAGAGGUACUUGCUAUCGAGCUGCUACUAGUAGCUACUUUAAGUUACCAAUUAAUAUAACAUACCUAUUUUGUGUUAAACAAACCAGUCAAAAAUCUAGUAGUGCUUCGUAGAAUAGCUCUGCUUAAACAACACCUCUACAUAAGCUUCAGCUGUGCAGAACAGACCCAUUUCAUAAGUUACUUGUUUUGUAGGCAUACUUACAGCGUUUAAUAAGCUGUUCUUGAGCCAGACUUUCGAGGCGUUGCUUCAAAGCCUUGUUCUCCAAGUCCAGUAUGAGAUUCUGCUGGCUGAGAAAUUCGAUUUCAGCUGAAACUUCUAACCCUUCGGCCUGCGGAGUAAAACAGACCAAAUGAGCCAACGUUUUUAGAACCAAAACUCUUCUACAGCAUCCGCCUUCCAUGAAAUGAGAUUAACAAAACCACUUGAAGCUCAAUUAUCUGUCGCUAAGUUACCUGCAAUGCUUGAACAUUUCUCUCAAGCUCGGCAAUGUAUUGGAGCUUCCUAACUCGUGAGCGUUGCGCGAAUUGCCUGUCGUGUACGAGAGAUAUACACAUCAGCAACAGAAGGUUCUCAUGACAGAGAAGACAAAUUUUAAUGAUCUUUGCUAUUUGUUUCUUGCCAAUAUAACAAGUAAUGUGUAAAAUAACGUUAGAUUUGACCCUGAUUUUGCAUGAAGCAAAUAGUCUUAAACUAUCUUGCAGAAUACGCAACAAGAAAUAUAUGGUACUCUAUCCGUUCAUAAACGAACUUUGGAACAUCAUUGCUCAUUAGAAUACUUAGCAGAAAUGUGGUUUCUAUAAAAUUCAGAUGCCAUUAAUGAAAGAUAGUAAGUAUAGAUCCAUUAUACUCAUACUAGCGACGCAUUAGAAACAUCAAAGUGGAAUAUGAAUGUAAAUAGCAGGAAUCUCACUGUUUAGCCCGCUUUGGAUCCACCUCGGACUGCAAAUGCUUUGCAUGGGAGACUUCCUUUCUUUCAUUGGAAACCUUCGAAUCCUGCGCCGAUUCUUCGUGGACAUUCUUCUCACUGGCAUUAUUCGAAGGCGCCACAUCAGCAUUCCUCGAAACACAUGAUGACCCAUGAUGCACGACCUUCUCCUUCAUCGCGGGGCCGCCACUUGGCCGAUAAUUUACCGAGCUUAUCUGAGGUUCCCACACUUUAUUCUGCGGGUAAUACUCCUGAGCCGACGCCGCCCACGGAGGCAGCGAGUGAGCCGCCCCCUCCAAGUACGCAAAAGAGUCGCUCGACGACCGACGAUGGGCUCCCUUCCGUACAGGGGUGUCUGGCUCGUUGAGAAGAUCGUCGAGCCACGAGGGUUGCUCUUCAAUAAGAAAGCUCUCUGACGAAGUACGCUGAUGGUGGUAUCGAUUGUUUCCCUCUCUCGGCUUAUGGGUAGGGUUUCCUUUCGAUCCGAUGGAACCGUAAUCGCCGUACGACGGGGAUACGAUUGGAAAAGGGCUUUUUGGAGGAAGGAACGAUUGUUUUGCGGCAGAUGAUGAGCUUCUUACGUUAGCCACGCCUUUUGUGCUUGCCAUGGUUUUGUGUUUCAAAUCCAAAACUGUUGAAGUAGAUUACAAUGAUAGUAAGCUGAGGAACAACAAAAUACUAUAAGAAAUCAGAGGACAAGGGUUUCAAUUGGGAUUGAAUCCUCAGUCAUCUACAAGAAUCAAAUCGAUCAAAUGCAUGGCAAAUUCAUUUUCAGAUCCUAUCAACAAGCAAAUGUAGAUGGACAAAGCAUAAAUAUUGCGAUUAAAAACCCUAACAAAUAGUUUUAUAACGCAAAAGUCGAUAGAUUCCGCAUAGAAACAAGGGGAAGGAAGAAAAAAAAAAAAAAAAAGCCAUCGAAUUGAGUAAAACUGCUGCAAAGUAGGAGAAACCGCACAAACGCAACACCAAUUAAGCAUUUUUUAAGAUAAUUAAACCGAAUUAAGGAGAUUGUCUUUGAGAUCCAAAGAAGAAACCAUGCGACACCAAUCGAAUCACACGGGGACGAAAUCGACGCACCAAACGAUCGGCUCGAUCCUCCGUUUCCCUCCGAGCCGAUGCCCCCGAGAUCAAACCCUAAAAGCGGCGACUUUUAGGGUUCGAGAGAGAGGAGGAGGAGGAGGAGGAGGACGAGGAGGAGGAGGGGAGAUAGAAGGGAGAUUAGAGAGAGAGAGGGGAAAGAGGAAGGGGGAAAUGGAGGUGGUGGUGGUGGUAGUGGUGAUGGUGGUGGGGAAAAAAAGGAGAGUUUUUUUUAUCGCGAAAUAAUGUGUAAAAAAAAAAAAAAAAAUUAUCGAGAUUUUUCUAUUUUCGAAAUUAGAAAAUGGGGGUCGUAUUUUCAAAUAAACCCCUACAAUAAUACCAAAUUGUAACAUAGCCCUUCGUUAUAAUUUUUACAAUCCCAUUCCUCGCAGACGAAAUCUCAACCGUCUGAUUAGACGAUCUGACGGUUGAACAGAGAUCAGAGGACUUAGAGCAAGGAUGAAUUGUUCCGUGCACCUGGUGUAUCCGUACAUAUUGCACCGUAUUUAAUAUCGGAUUAUCAGUGCCUUAAUUCAAGGAUUAAAUAUUUUAAAUAAUUGUUGUGAAGUAAAUUCUAAUUAUGAGGGCUCUACAUGAAAUAUUUGGAAAAGGAGCAUGGUGCACCGGGUUCAUGGGAAUUGAGCGAACUACAAGAGGAAAAAUUCCGACCGCGACUUUUUCAUUAUCAAAAAAAAGAAAAGAAAAUGUUAACGGGGAGAGCACAAUUAUCACAUCAUUAUUGCAAAUAACCCCUAUACGAAUUUUAAAAUGCAAAAAACCCCCAUUACUAUAAUUUUCAAUCUAAUGAAAAUGCUACUUAUUAGCUAAUAACUUUUUGUUUAUUUAUCCACAUGAAUUUCACAAUGAUUAUUUGAAUCAUAUGAAUAGUAUAGUUAUAAAUAUAGUAAAAUUUAUAAUUUUACCUCUAAUAUCGACUUUUCAAAGACGAAGUCCUCGCUGUCCGAUUAACCGAUCCAACGGUCGGAUAAGAUCAUAGCCCUAAUUUUAAUAUGUAUAUAUAUUUUUAUGCAGGGGAUAUUUAUGCUCUCAACAAUUAAUGUAUUGGUAUUUAGAUGCUUUAUAUAUAUAUAUAUAUAGUACAAAUGUAGGAUGGUGGUAGUGGUGCCAACAAUGAAACAGCUAAGUAGUGGGUUCAAUACAGCUGCUACCACUCCUCUAUUUGGGUGGUGUUGGGUUGUUAAUUUAAACUAACUCUUCUCUCUCUCUCUCUCUCUCUCUCUCUAUAUAGAGUAGGGUUACUGUACUCUCAUGAGUACGACCGUCUUCGUACUCAUAAGUCAUUUUCGAUGAUAGAGUUUCUGAAUCGACGAUCUAUUUCAUUAAAUAUGAUUUAGAGUAUUUGAAAUUUCUAAAAAAUAAAUUUCGUAAUUUUUCGAAAUUAUAAUAAAGUCCAUCAAGCGGGUAUAAAAUAAACGGUCAAAAUCGAAACGACAUUCUAAAAAAGAAUGAUCGGAUCCUUCAAUUUAAGACCGGAGUUAUUGAUCUUUAUCUAGACAGUGAAUAGAAUUUUCUAUCAAAAAAUCAACCGAUUCUGAUUCUUUUACACCGUUAAACUAGCAAGUAUUUUAUACCGGCCGUUAAAGAUGAUCAAUUUUGAGAUUUUUCGAUCGUAAAGUAAAUGAUGUCAAAUAAUUAUAAAUUUUAAUUUUUAAAAAUUUUAAAUAUUCUAAAUAACGUUUAACGAUAUGAAUCGUCCAUUCGGAAGCUCUAUCAUAGAAAACGAUUUAUGAGUACGAAAAUGAUUAUAUUCGUAAGAAUAUGGUAGCCAGACACUCUCUCUCUCUCUAUAUAUAUAUAUAUAUGUGGUCAUUAUCAAUUUGUUUACUCAUACUUAUUAGGGUUUUUGAUGAUGAUAGGGUGAUUGAUAUAAUAUAUAAAUAUCUAAUGAUUAGUCUAUAUGGUUAGUAGUUGUCUUAAACUACAUAUUACUUUUCUUCCACUAAUAUCAAUGUGUUUAUGAGUGUGCAUUGUACGCCACGUAUUUAGAAUUAUUUUGAUUUUAGAGGAUAGAGACUAACGAUUUAUAACAUGACAGAUUUCAUAAUAAGGUACGAAAUUAUUAGGGUGACAGAUUUCAUAAUACGAUACGAAGUUAUUAGGGAUGCAAACGGGACGGCUCUGGAGGAGGAAUAUCCAUCCCGCCCCUCUCUCCGAAUCCGUGACGGAUCAAAAAGAAUUAUCCCAUGUCCUGUUUCAUAAUUAACCCACCUCCGCCGUGCCAAAUUAUAAUAUUAUUAAUAUAUUAUAAAUAUAUAUCAAUAAUUUGUUUACUAAUAAUGAAUAAUAAUAUCAAGUUAUAUAUAAUUAACAAUAUUAAUUAUGAAACUCAAAUAUAUCAAUCAUAAUUUACAAUCAAAGUCAAAAGUUUCAAAUGAGAACACUAACUUACUUAUAGUUAGAUUUUUUAGUAAAUAUAUUUUUUAAGAGUAUUUUUAAAAAAUAUAAACAGUUCUCGAGGCGGAUCACGAUGGUUCAAAUUCGGAACGGAUUUAGAUUGGGUCAAGAUUUUUUUCUGUUUCGUGUUCCGAGUCUGCCUCGGAUCAUAAAAGUCACCCGUUUUCUACCCCCGAAUUUGUUUUUUUCUUUUUGUUUAUUGCCUCAUAAAGGGCGAAUUAGGGCAUGAGCUCAACCAAUCCGGAUCUAUUUGCAUUCCUAGAAGUUACUGCAGUACUUAAGAUCGUAAUUUUGUAGCAUAGAUAUUUCAAUAAUUUUAGUGUAAUUAGCAAAAUAACCAUAGUGGCAAGUAUAUUAUUAUUAUUGAUAUUAUUAGUAUUAGUAUUAGUAUUAGUAUAAUUAAACUAUGAUAAAUGAGCAAUAAUCUCACGAUAUAAUAGCACAUAAAAUGUAAUCUCAUAUCAUAUCGUUUCCGAUUCCGGGAUGAUAAUAAUUGUUAUUGUAAAUAUUUUUUUGGGAAAACUUAAAAAAACGCUCCUGUAGUUUCGUAGUUUCUCACUUUGCCCCAUAUGAUUUACAAUGUAUCAAUUUGUCCCCCUAUGGUUUCUCUUUUCUCCUUUUUCUUAUCAAUUUCAUUACUUUUUUCUUAAAUGAGUGAUAAAGUUAAAAUUAAAGGAUACUAAAGUGAAUAUUUGAUAAAUCUAGAUGGAUAUCUGAAGUUUUUUGUAUAUAAUUUAAUGAAAUGUUAACGAAAAAGCUAUCGAAAAGAUAAAAACGAAAUCACAGGGGGACAAUUUGAUACAUUUUAAAUCACAGGGGACAAAAUAAGAAACUACGAAAUCAGGGGAGAGGUUUUUUUUUUUUUUAAGUUUUUCCUAUUUGUUUUGACCAGUUAAAAACGAACUCUAUAAAAUAAAUAAACAAAUAAUAAAUAAAUAAAUAAAGGGCGCACGAUUCAAAUCGUGCCAAGUGGGCGCACGUGGAGCCACCUCCGAGUCGAUCGCAGCCGUUGGAUUCGUCAGAUCCCAUGUGCUGCUACACGUACACAGAGACCGUGGUCAAAUGGACGGUUGGAAUCAGUCCAACCAACGAGGAAUCCUUUUCGUGAGCCCGGUGUAUCCGGACAUCUCAUGCACCGCACUUAAUAUUUCAUGAGCAAUAUAUUAAAAUCAAAUCUGUCAAAUAGAUAUAAUUUUGAAUAUUUAUAGGAUGUUUAAAAAAAGAUUUCAAAUUUUGAUAAAAUUCAAUUAUAUAUAUAAAAUAUUGCUGCUGAAAUUAAUAGUUAUUAAUAUGUGGAUCUUUGGAGCAUCAUAUAUAAAUAAAUUUUUAAUUUUGAGUUUUUUUUUAGAAAAAACUUCAAAAACCUCCUCUGUGGAUUAACACUUUUUUAUUUUAGUAUCAUGUGGUUUAAAGUGUAUCAAGUUAGUACUCUGUAGUUUCUCACUUUAUCACUUUAGUACCCUGUGGUUUCGCACUUUAUCACUUUAGUACCCUAUGGUUUAAAAACCACAGGGUACUAACUUAAUACAAAAAUAAAAUCACAGUGUACUAACUUUGUACACUUUAAAACAUAGGGUACUAAAGUGAAAAAGUAAGAAACCAUAUAGUACUAACUUGAUACACUUUAAACCAUAGGGUACUAAAAUGAAAAAAUAUGAAACCAUAGAGGGGGUUUUUGAAGUUUUUCUUUUUUUAUUAUAAUUUUGAAAAGGCCAUGUAGGAUAUAAUAGAUUUCAACAUAUAAAAAAUUGGUUCACAACUUUAAACUUUUAAAUCAUCAACUCUAUUAAAUCUAAAAAAAAAUUAUCUAAAUAAUUUAUGUAAAUCAAGGUCAUUAUUUAAGAAAAGCUAUUUUCUAAUCUAUAUAUCAUGUCAUUUUCAAAAGAGUUUUUUUUUUUUUACACAACUCCCAUAUAAUCCUCUUUUUAGAGUUUCUUGAGGUGAGGGCGUCGUAAAUAACUUCAGAAAAAAGAUAAAAAAAUUAUUAUUAUAUUAUGAGAAAUAAGUUUUCUAAAACUUUUUAAGUUUUAAAAGUUUCAAUUGAACUUAUGCAACAGAUUUUAAUUUUUGGUAAACUAUACUCUUGCUCCUGAAAUUGUACAGUGCGAUAAUUUGGUUCUUAAAAUUUGAUUUAUUAUAAUUUUUAAUUUAAUUUUUUUUUUUGUUGCUGUUUCACUAUACAAUUUAGUUGAUUGAAUGAAAACAUGUAAUUGAUACGAGAGUGUUGUGAUCAAUAUUAUAGUAAUGACUAAAAUUUUAUAUCACUAUCAUAUUAACAACACAUCAUCAUUCAGUAUACUAAAUUUAAUUUAUAGAAUUUUAUUAUAAUAAUUUAGAAAGUUCAGAGUGUUAACUGUUGCAACAAAUAAUGGUUUGAGAACCAAAGGUGCAACCAAAUUUCUUAAAAGACCGGUUCAUGGUGGACCAUGUCCACGAAAGAGUUUUCUGUUUUAUCUGUGUGCACCAAUAUGAUCCAACGGCCCAGAAACACUGUAGUACACGUGUCUCCACUCGAUGCUAUGUCCGCAACGGUGGUCGUCGACGCCGUUGGAUUUGGGGGACACGGCGUUCCAAAACGCCGUUUUGAUCAUCAGGAAUGGACGGUUCUGGAGCCACGGUGCAUCGGCGACGGAUAAAAAUAUCGCAUGGACCGAGCGCGUAGCUUCAUCUGUGGACCGUAAGAGCCCUCCGCCGUCCAUCUUUGUCUCGUUGAAUCCCAACCGUCCGGUGCAUUUCGAAGUUCCAAUGUUUAAUGUUUUCCAUGGAGACCCCUUCAACUAUAGAGCAUUUUCAAGAAGUCCCUCGGUUUUAUCAAAUAAUCUAUAAUUCCGUUAAUUAUAAUAGUUUUAAUUAUUUAAAAAUCUAAAAAUAAUAAUAAAAGUUUAACUUAAUUAACCAAAAUAACCCAGCAAAAAAAAGAAGUUAACAAUUGUUAAUGGAAAAAAUUGAAGGGGCACGGUUACGAAGUUACUAAUACUUGAGGGGUCUCGAAGCAUUUUUGGCAUGUUUGGCGGUCCACGGUUGACGUGGUGAACCCAGUCUACAAGCUUAUCGUUACCAUUUCUUGAGAUACAGAAGCACCCAAUUUAAAGCGGGGGAUAUAUUUGUCUUUUACGCAUAACUCAUUUCUUAUCAAUUAAAACCUCUUUUAAACUCCACACUCUCUUCGUUCUCCCCCAUUUUAGAGCUCCGAUCUCAUUAGGGCUUCCAUUUCCUCCGGCGAAAACGACGAUUUCGAUCGAACUUGGCUCAUCUUAAGCGAUCUCUUCAUCUAAGGUUUCAGAUUCUCCGCAUUUUCUUUCUUUUUUUGUUAAUUUUGGUUCGGAUUCGAUGGAGUUUUUAGGUUAAGAAAGUGAUAUAGGGUAAGCUUGGUUUCUCGGAACUUUUUAUUAAUUUCUGUUAAUUUUGAUGCGGAUUUGAGUCAUUUGACGGGAGUUAAGGUCAUUUUAGGUUAAGAAAAUGAUCUAGGGUUAGCUGAAAUUCCUUCCAAUUUUGAUUCGGAUUUGAGUCGUUUGGUGGAAAUUUAGGUUAAGAAAACGAUCUAGAUUUUUCAGGGAUUCUUGGGGUUUCCUUAUAAUUUUUGCUUCGGAUUUGUGGGAUUUUAGGCGGAGUGAACGAUCUAGGGUUAGGGGAAGGUGGGGUUAGCGAUGAGUAGUCAAGAAGCGGCGGUGGCGGCUGCGACGCCUGGUUUGGUUGAUCCGAUGAGGCUGGCGGCAAGAUGGAGGUCGGCGGCUGAGUGGAGGAAGGUGGACGAGGAGCUCGACGGGGAGCCGGAGCCGUCGCACCUCAACACGAUAAACAGCUCUGGGCUGUUCCACAUUGUGUCGACCGACAAAUUGUCGGUGCAGUAUGUCGGGAUCCACAAGCACGGGCACGACGUCGGUACCGUGCAGGCCAACUGCCCUGCGCCGACCAAGCGGUUCGCCUACUACUUCGAGAUGACUGUCAAGGAUGCUGGGGUCAAGGGCCAGGUUGCCAUCGGCUUCACCACGGAGCAUUUCAAGAUGCGGAGGCAACCAGGGUAAGAGGAUUGCCAGUCUCUAAAGUUGGAUGCUUUUACUUUAGAGUUAUAAAUAUUCUCGCAUGGGCCUUUAAUUGGCUAGGUGCAACUUUACUUGUAGCAAAAUUGUAUUGUUAGUCUUUAAGCUGUUUUGAAGAUGAUAUCACAAAACCUGUUUCUUCAUUGCGGCAGCAAGUACAGGACUCUAUCUUCCUAGUGGCACAAUCUGCGCUCAAACUUCUGUGAUGAAUUGUAGUCUUUACAUUGUAUAUGUUAUUUAUUGUAGUUAAAAGUGGAUAAAAUGAGAAAAGAGAGAACAUGGAGAACACAUUGUUAGCUCAUUUCUUGAAGCUUAUAAUCAUUCAGAUAUGUGUGAUAUUAGAAUUCAUAUGGAUCUUUUAGCUUAAUGCAGCUACUUGGGGUAAAUUGCACUGGUAACCUAAAGCAAAAAAUAAGUCCGAGUUGUCCCAUAAAGCUGAAAUAUCAGUUCAACUUUAAUCAGAUUUGAAUCCCCUUUCUGGUUUUCUGUGGCAAAUAAUUUUUGAAAUGGCCAUGCUCCCCAAAAGCCUUGAGUUUUAUAAAAAGGUCUCUAUAUUUCUUUGGAGCGGUCACAUCUUAUGAAGUGUCUAUUUUCAUUGGUACCCUACAAACUAUUGCGUUUUUAUUUCAUGUUUUCUGAAACCAUUGGCAUGAGCAGUUAUUUUUAUUUGAUUGUGGUGGAAUCCUUGAUAACUAAACCUAGGGUGUGAAUACUUAUGCAUUCACUUGUCUAUAUAUGUAUAUAUAUAUUCUUUUCAUUAGUCUUUUGACUCUUUACAAUGCACGGAUGCUGAUGUGUUACCUUGUAUAUGUUUUUUUGGAAAAGCACUAACAAAAUUCUGUGGUAUCUUUAUUUAGAAACCUUUAGUUAUUAUUUCGUAAUACUUGUUUUGGAUCUCUGCUUUGAAUUGCUGUUAAACGACUGUCUGUCUGCCCGUUUGUCAUACUGUACUUCCAAUAACUUGUUGGGUUUUAUAAGGGUACUUUUUCUUGCAGUUGGGAAGUUAAUAGCUUCGGAUAUCAUGGAGAUGAUGGUUAUCUUUAUCAGGGACAAGGAAAAGGAGAAAUUUUUGGCCCAAAAUUUACAACGGGUGAUGUAGUUGGUGCUGGUAUCAUUUAUGCAUCACAAAAGUUGUUUUUCACGUAAGUUGGUAGGUUACUUGUUAGUAAACAUUAAUAGUCAGUUGUUAGUGUUCAUAUGGAAUAUAGAUGGUUUGUAGUUUUACUCUGUGGCUUUGUUGUGUGCUUCUUCAUUCUUUUGGCAUUAGAUUUCCUAAAUCUCAAGUUUAAUUGAAUACUUAUCUGCGAAACACAUUGGAUUAGUUUCAACUUAGAUGAACUGCUAUGGCAACAUGUGGAAAUUUGAAAUCGUUUCCUGUUAUUUUUCUAGGCAACUGUAAACAGUCCUUUUUUAAUUUGGAAGUUGGAACUGAAACCAUUGGAAUUUCGUGUCUGCUUAGAAAUACUUGAUUGGCUUACAUUUUAUCAGUUGUAGUGCACAACAGACACUUAUCAGUUGGGGGUGUUUAUAGCGAAUUGCGGAUUGGGUCCUAUAGCGGCAACUAUGAGCCCAUAGUUGGUGUUCACAAGAAAGUACUAUUCUAUUUCCUUAUUGAAUUUUUAUCUAAAAUGUAUAAAAGAACAUAUCAGUUCUAAAUCUAGAAGCAUAACACUAUCAGAGUUCUCUAGAUUUAUGUUCUUAAGUGCAUUUGGACUUAACAGGUGAUCCUUGGUGGCCAUCGAUGAUCCAUGGUGAUCUGUUGACAAAACCUUGUGGUCGCCUAUAAGCUCUCACAGUCACUCUGUGCUUUUCUACCUAUACAAAGAGAAUCCUAGGUCCCCAAAACGAACAUGCUUGAAUAGUUUUUCGAUCCCCAUCGAGUACUUUAUUUUUUCCAACUGAAUAGUUCCUUGAAUCUUUAGUUAUUUUCGGCCAAACCAACCCUGCCUGGUAUCUUUAGGGAUUUGGGGUCUGAGGCACUCAAUAUGGACCUGCUAUAGUGAGUUCAAGGCUGUCAAAUUUCUUGCUAUUAUCCCAACCUCAUUGCAUAACAUAGCAGUUAUCAUUUGUCACUGCUAUAGCGGCAGCUAUAUCGGCUGUAAUUGGCUGUUAGUUAAGACAGUGGUUGACAAUGAGCAAUAUCAUGUGUUGUUAAGAAUCGCUGAAUUCAUUUUCCUUUUUUCUCCUAUGUGUUUACUUUUGUUCUACUUUUUCUGCUUCUGUAUCUAACUGCUGUUUUGCCUUUUCUUUUUCAAUGUUUGCUGGAAUCUUAAUUUUCCAUUCUGAUGUGCAGAAAAAAUGGAACAGUUGUUGGCACUGUCUCCGUCUCCAAGGAUGUAAAAGGUCCACUAUAUCCUACCGUUGCCGUUCAUAGUCCGAAUGAAGAGUACGCCCAUUAGUGCAAGAAAUUCAUUUAUUCUAUUAUAUCCUAUCUUUUCUUAUAUCUUAUUUCUAUCAUAUGAGCGCUUGCGUGCGCGCACACACACUGAUCAGAUUUGCACAGCAUUGCAUGUUAGCCUGCCUUGUCCAUUUUGUUUCUCCUAAUAUAUUAGCUGUAAUCAUAAUCAUCAACAAGUAUAUUAUACGAGCAUAUUAUAAUUUGUUCUCUCUUUAGUUUGGCAGUGUUUGCUCCUCCCUUCGUGUUUUAGUCUGCCAUGCACGUGACAAGAAUCAUUUUGACUAGACCAUAACAGGAAGUGAAAUUGAAUAGUUAUUAGCGUCUUAAUCAGCGAAGUGAAUGCAGUCUAUUCUAUCUUCUUCAUUCAGCAUGUCAUUUGCCUUCCUUCCCUAUUUAUUCUGAUUUUGAUGAUUGAUCAGGGUUACUGUGAACUUUGGAAAGCAACCAUUCGAAUUUGAGUUAGAGGUAUGUUGCAUGUCUUUUCUUGUGGACCAUUUUUUAUUUGAUCCAGUACAUUGUAAAUUCUCCUUUUAAGUAAUUUUUGGGUAUCAUUUCACUUCUUUUUUAUAGAGGUCCUUGAAUUGUCUUUUUAUUUGAUUUGCUCAGUCCUCUUUAUAAAUGUAAAUGCUUCUUGUAUAUGCUUUCCUUUUUUCACUAUCUUAUGUAUCUUAUAGAGAUACCAUGAAUUUAUUUCUUUGCUAUAUGUAUUUAUGGUUUACUUCAUUAGCAAUUAUUUACUCUUACAGUAUAUGAUUCUCCUUUUACCUUCCAUUCUUGUCUCUUGAGUAUCUCUCAGCUUUCGUCUUUUUUUUUUUUCCUGAUUGAUUUGCACACCUUGCCUUGUAACUUAUUGAUUAGUUAUGCUUUGCAUUGUCUUGUAACUUUGAAGUGCGAGAGUUAGUCAGUUUAGUGGAGUUGAAAUAUUCUACUGUCCAAUUGUUAUUGUGUGUGUAUUAAUCCUGAAUUCUGCUAGACUGUUGCAUAUCAUUUUAUUUACUCUUUUUUUUUUUUCCCGGAGUUGUACUCCGUAAUUUAAUGCUUUAGGUGUAUGUUAGUAUUGCAUUUUGCUAUUUCAUGUAUAUUUUGCUGCCUCUCCUAUUUAUCUACAUCUCUUGAGUUUUAUUAAGAGAAAAAUCCUGUUUAGUUGCAGACUAGGCAUAUAUCUAUGUUGCUUGGAUUUUAUCAAGAUAUAGAACCUGUUAAGCUGCAAACUAAGCAUAACUACUGAACUUGCUAAGUACACGCAUCGAACUUCUUUCUGCUUCUUGAACAUCUCAUAGACUAGAUCUCGUUGUAGUGAUCUCAUGCAGUUUCUCUUUGUGGGCAGAAUUUUAUCAAUGAAGAGAGGAAAAAACAGCUUGCGGUGGUUGAAAAUCAGUUUUUGCCUCCUCAUCUAAGUCAUUGGUAAGUUCCGCAUCAUUAAUAACCAUUUUGCAACAAAAUAAUCAAAAGGUGUAUGAGAAAAUUGUGAGGUGAAAUAAUUUUGUUUUAAAAUGAUUGUUUAGUAUGUUAAUAAUCUGUUUGCUUCUUCUCUUAUGACAUGAAAAGCGACUAUAUCUGAUGUAUAUGUCUUGAUGUUGUUGAAGUACAAAAGAUAGGAAUAAAGAUAAUCAAAUAAGAAUGGUGAAAAAGCAGUAGAAGUUACUGACAUAUGUAUAUACGCUGUGCCUUUCCCAUUGAAGUUGCUAAAUGAGCAUUGCAUUUUCUAAAUGUGCAUUAGUUUUUCUUAGAAAGGAGAUAUGAGAUAUCAUUUGAUGGUUAACAUUAGGACUUCCUUUCCAAAGCUUUUAACGACCAAUGAAAUUUUUAUCAAAUAUUGUGUAAGUAUUGGCCUUGUUAUUUCUUUUUUGUUGUGAUUAUGCAAAAACAUAAUAGGUAUGUGGCAUUUCUUCAUCACAGGAUAGUUCGUUCGUAUCUAUUACAUUAUGGGUAUGAAGAUACUUUGGCUUCUCUGGACAUUGCAACUGAAAGUAAUCCCUCUCUCACCAAAAGAACUACUGUCGAUGAGCAAACAAACAUGUAUGCUCUUAACCAUAGAAAGGUUCUGCGUCAGGUAACUGUGGUGUACUCCCCAAAAAAUCGCAAGCCAUUUCAGCAAUUACUUUGAAGUUUGAACUGAUUUUUGACUGCUAUUCUGUUACUACCUUUCUCUCUUUAUGAUUUUACAUGGAACUUGAUGAGCUGUAACUUAUUUAUACUUAUUUAGAGUGAAUAUUAUGGUACGACUUAAUCAACCAGAUAUUUCCAAAAUUUCAUCUUGUUAAGACUUAAGAGACAGAAAUACUGUUUAUACUGUUCUGUGGUGGAAUCCAGUUUCUUGAAAGCAUUCGAGAUAGUACUUUUUGACAAUUUUCAGUUUGGAUGUCUAAUUAAUGUUCCUAGAGAAAACUUCUCUGUUUGAGAUGAUUGGAACCUUAUCAUGUCUGAAGAAUAAUUGAGGUUAUACUCGUAUGAUCUGAAGUAAUUUUUGAUGGUAACCCGUUGUGUGCUAUCUAUCAGUUUUGUUGCCAUCUCUAUACCCCUGUUGGACUCCAUCUACUAUUUGAAGUUUUUAAAAAGGAACUAUCUGUUUUGUUUUCCCUUUCUCUACCUUCAAGGUGUAAAAUAUUUGUUUCUUAACCAUCUCGUAUCUUUUACUAAUGAAGCUGAUCAGGAAUGGAGAUAUUGAUACUGCAUUUCAGAAACUCCGAGAAUGGUAUCCUCAGGUAGUACAGGUAAGAUUUCCUAAUGACUCCACAAUAUGUGACUUCUAAGUCACUUACAAAAAGACGAAAAAAAUGAAAACAAGUGAUCUACACAUCAAAAUAUAAAAAAAGAAAAAAAAAAUCUAUUCUUAUGUUAAUUAUGCAAAGAGAGAGAAUGCCAUUUUCAUUUAUUAUAAAACUUAGUUGUUCGUAAUAUAUUUAUUGGCUUGUAUGGACUUUAGAUGUCAUCUGAUAGUCGUUGAAUGUAUAAUUUUGGUCAAAAUUUCCAACUAAGUUACAAUUUGUAUUGUUUUAUAGGAGAUCUGAAUUCAUCUUUAACAAUCUAAGUUUUGAUCGUGAUACUUUUUGUAUCCUUGAAGCAGCUCUACUCAAGAUUUUUCUACUAAAUAUAAAACAAAAUAAUCAACUUUUCCUGCAGGAUGAGAUGUCAGUCAUUUGUUUCUUACUUCAUUCCCAAAGGUUCAUCGAGUAUAUCCGGGUAAAUCUCUAAUAUUCUCUACGUUUAUUUAUACGAAUUUCAUUCAUGCACUCUUCUGUCCGUAUAUUCAUGUCUUGGCGGUUCAUACACUGAACGAGUUGUAACCAAUGAAACCCAAAAUCAGUUUUUUGUUCGUUUCCUUUAUUUUGAUUAACUUUUCUAUUCUUUGUGAAUUUUUAUUUUACUGUGAAUAUUUUAUGCGUGUAGGCUGGCCAUUUGGAGGAAGCUGUAAUGUAUGGCCGUGCUGAGCUGGCUAGAUAUUUUGCUGUUAAAGCUUUUGCAAACCUGCUUGAGGUAAAGUCUUGUGGCUUGUACGGUUGCAUCCGAACAUUCUAUUGCAGACAUUGUAUCUUUUUUCGCUUACAAGCUUCACGGCGGUGUAAUUGCUUAAACUUUCUUGAACUAACAGAAUCGGCAACUUAGUUAAAAUUGAAGCUCUCAAACCUUCUCCUGUUCUUGCUAAAAUUUAUCAUAUAUAAUCAUGGUAACUAGCUUAACUAGUCUUAUCUGCAAAUAAUAUUCAGCUAUUUUCUACCGUUUGCUUUCGGAUUGGUGGGAAACUUCAUGAAUAAACCAUGCUCACAAAUCUCUCUCUCUCUCUCUCUCUCUCUCUCUCUCUCUCUCUCUCUCGUAGGACAUUGCUGCACUGCUUGCCUACAACGAGCCUGCGGAAUCGUGCGUCAGCUACCUGCUCGAGCCUCCGCAGCGCGAGUUUGUCGCGGAUGCAGUGAACGCGUCUGUCCUCUCGACGAACCCUAACUCGACGGACUCGGAGAGCUGCAUGUAUUCGACCCUCGAGAAGUUGGUGAGGCAGCUGACGGUGUGCACCUUGGACUGGCGAACUCUGAGCGGCGGCCAAGGCGAGGCGUUCUAUCUCCACAGAGAAUUACGUAGCCGCGGAGGAGUCAAGCGGAGUUCAGCCUACUCGGAUUAAACUCUCCGAUCGGUACCGCUUCCUGGCUCUGUGGUAGAGUUAUUCUUUUAGGGGAAACAAAGAAAGCAUAUGAUAAAGAUAACUUUUAGAGCUGAUGCAGGUGAGCUUCCUGCAACAGAUACAGAUUUGUUCCUGUUUAGGGUUUUAGAAAGAAUCUCUGCCAUGUUCAACUGUAAAGUAGCCGCGGUGGUUAAAAAACGGUGUAUAGAGAAUUGUUGUGAUGUUAAGAGUUUGAAUCUUUCAUGUAAUAAACCCUUCGAUUACAAUCGCAAUUCCUGGGUUUGUGUGCUUGCUUCGACGCAUUCUUUAUAUAGCCUUGAUUGGUACAGGUUUCGAUGGCUUAGAUGAAUAUGUUUUUUUUUUUUUUUUUUUUUUUUUUUUUUUUUUUUUUUUCUUUUUUUCUUUUAAUGUCGGAUACUCUGUUUUGGGUUUGUUUUNUUAUUUGAUGUUUCUAAUAAUGAUUGAAGUUAAAGAAGUGAAUUUUAUUGCUUGACAUAUAUAUGCUAUAAAUGAGAGCCUAGUCACUGUUGGUGUUUGUAUUUUGCAGUAGAUUCAGUCUUUGAGAUUUAGCUAUAUGUAUCUUUUUUUUUUUUUUUUUUUUUGAAUUUAGUUUUUUUUCUUUUUUCUCUUUUAAUGUCGGAUACUCUGUUUUGGGUUUGUUUUGUUAGUCUUAUUUGGAGUGAAGGAAAACUCUACAAGCCAUACUUUUCUAAAAAAGUUUGUUUUAGAAGAGAUGUGCCGAGGUCAGCCUCAAACCAUCAUGGAAUGUUUCGUUCAUGAUUGAAAUAGGAACAAGAAAUAAAACUAAAUUCGAUUGCCUUAAAAUUAAAAAUGAAAUGACGAAUCGUCUAAAAAUAUUUGAAAAAAAAAAUCGAAAUAAAUAUUUGAUUUAUUAUUAAAAAAGAAAUUGAAAUAAAUAUUUGAUUUAUUAUUAAAAGAGAAAUUGAAAUAAAAAUUUAGAAUUUUUGAGAGAAUUUUGAUUAAGAGAGAGAAAAGUGAUGAAGGAUGGGGAGAUAGGUGUUGGUAAAAGAGGAUAUUGAAUAAUUUACUUUGGAAUGGACCAAUCCGGAAUUUAAAGCUGGGUUGAGUUAUAAAUGGAUUUGAUCAUUUUCAUUCCAAAGUGGAAUGAGAAUCGAAAUUUAAUUCCUAUAAAACAAAUGAUAACUAUCGGAAUUAAUAAAUUUCAUUCUGAUUUUAUAGCCUAAAAAUAAUUGAACUAAACAUGCCCUGAAAGACAAAGAAAUGGAAUAAACGGCAGGUCAAGUGUCAACUCAAUCACACUUUGUGAUACAAAAAGAGAUUGAACUCCGAAAAAUAGCAAAACUUGAUCCAACAUGUGUUCAAAAAGCUGUCAUAACCUUCAGGUCCAAAUUUCUGCCAUUAUUCAAUGAAGCCAACAUGCGGAAUAACUCGGACGCAAGAUUUAUAUACGCCGAAAACCAUCAACCUUGUCGAUACCAUACACGCGGAUCUGCUUAAGAUAUGGAUGAUCAAGUUUGUAAUAAAUGAAGUAAAGCUUCCCAUUGUUUUAAGCCAAGGUUCAGGUACAACUACCAAGCAAACAUGCUCCAAUGAGCAAAAUAAGGAUGCACACAUUAUUAAAGCAUAUACAAUGUUUCAUACUGGGUACCAGUGCUCGUCAGAGCUGCUACCUUAAUGUGCAUUUUGCAAGAAACCGCUGAUGUCGAAAGCAUCCUCAGCAGACUUUGUAAUGACACCCUGGAGAGAAAGUGAGAGUAACAUUGAUUUCAGAGAGAUAAUCACAUGUGAAUAACACUGGAAAGAAAGCUAUGUAAGGUUUUUGCGCAGUUUGUAUAGGAAAAGGAUCAUAGCGGAAAGAUUCGUGAUUUUAAGUUCACAAAUUACGCAACAUAUUAAUAUUAAUACAUAUUAAUAAACCCAUAAGUGCAAAUAUUAGUUCAUUGAUUCAGAAUAUAGCUGAAAUUGUUCUUUGAUUUAGUUUGAAAGAGCAAAAGUCAGAUACUCUAAGGUGCUCACUGCAUAAAAAACAUACUUCUUUCAUUAGUCUCUCUUAACUUUUAGCUGCAAAGAGCCAAAAAUAUGUCCCAUUGAUAAAAACAAAAAAAUAACCUUAUAUUUUCAUUUAAUGAGAAAAUUAUUCUGUGCCUUUUAAGACAUCAAAUUUUGGCUCCCAAUCACCCCUAGCUGUUUAAAAUACUACAUAUUUAACUGUUAAAUUUGGCCACCAACACAAAUUACACGAGAGAGAGAGAGAGAGAGAGAGAGAGAGAGAGAGAGAGAGAGAGAGACCUUUUCUGUUAUGAUAGCUGUUAUUAAGUUUGCUGGAGUAAUAUCGAAGGCAGGGUUCCAGACGGCGAUUCCUGGUGCAGCUACUUGCUUUCCUAAACCCCCUUCAGAAUUUAACAACUCCUUUGGUGAUCUCUCUUCUAUAACUAUUUGUUGGCCAGAUGAUAGACAAAGAUCAAUAGAAGUUACAGGCGCUGCGACAUAAAACUGUACUCCAUGGUGCUUCGCACAAAGAGCGACAUUGUAGGUUCCAAUUUUGUUAGCAGUGUCACCUGGGUGGCAAUUCAAGAGCCAAAUUAGAAUUGAACCAGUUUUAAAAGGUAGAAAAAAUUCAUUUAUCUUGCUUCUUUUAGGUACCGUUAGCGGCUACUCGGUCUGCCCCGACAAUAACUGCAUCGAUAUGCCUCGAUUUCAUCAGUGCGGCGACAGCUGAAUCAGCUAUUAAAGUGGCAGGUAUUUUCUCAUGAACCAAUUCGAAAGCUGUAAGUCUUGAACCCUGCAAAAUGCAAGAAAUUAUAUUUUAUCUCAUAAAACCAAAGAUAGCCAACUAUGCUGCCUUCACCACCGCAAAAGGUUAUUACAAAUGUGAAAGUCAAUAUUCUCGAAGUAGAUACUAGGGAAGAGUUUUGGUGUUUGACGGAUCAAAAGGAUAAGCCGAAACUAAAAUACAAAGGAAAACAUAGUUUCUUAUAUAACUUGAAAAUUUUGCUUGACUACUAAAGCAAUAAAAAGAGAUACAGCAGGUUUAAAUGAUUGCCUGGUUAAACGGGCGCGUUUCUGUGCAGUAGGCCCUUUCUAGAACCCCUUCAGCAUGUAGAGCACGAAUAACCCCAAGGGCGGUUCCAUAUCCAGCAGUAGCAAGACUACAGACCCAAAAAGAAAGAUUAGUACCACGAAAAGAAAAAUAAAAAAAAAAAACAAAAAAUGAAUGCAAGAAUACAAUGAAAAAUACUAGCGGACUCGAGGUACCUUCCGGUGUUGCAAUGUGUCAAAACAGAGAGCAGUCUGGAGUCUCCUGACUGGCCUUGAAGAAAUUUGGCUCCAUGGUGGCCAAUUGCUUUGUUUGCAGCAACAUCAUCAAUAAGCAUGACUUCAGCAGCAUCAAUGAAAGCCUUACGGAAAAAUGAGGGAAAAAAUUAGGCACCAGUCCACAAAAACUAAAUAGGAAGUACCAGUUUUUUCUGUAAAAAUUUGCAAAAUAAAGUCAAGAGUUGCAGAUAUUAGGCUUCAAAUGAGAAAUAAGUCCCUCACAUAGAUCAGAGAAAAAUAUAUUGGAUAUUUGCACGUAAUAACCAAAAGUAUUGCAUAUUUUGAUAAUACUACUACACAUGCGAAGGCGCCUUGAACUGGUUCAACUGUGAAAACAAGGAACUCCUUUUCAUAACAUUAACCUACCCUCAACCUGGUUACUUCUACAUAUAUUAAACGAGUAAUAAGAUAUCAAAAAUAGUUCUAGCUAAGCAUCGAUAUUUGCUAGGGCAUCAAAACAAGAUACAGGACAUUAAACUACUAGAAGUGAGAUCAACAGUUCUUUAUGAGCCAAUACCUGGAAAACUGCUUUGGCCUCGGUAGCACUCUCAGCCGUCUUCAGUGCUAAAUUUUGAAGCUUUGUCGCGGCCUCUGAAAGAUUCACAGCAGUUGGUCGGCUGCCAUGAAAUGAAACAUAAUUAGCAGCAAUUAUACACUUUAUAGAACAAUAAUGAACUGAUAAUAUAUCGUGAAAAUGAGUGCCAUUUUAAAAUUAAAAGAAAUGUAAUGAUAAUCUUGAUGUAAAUAGAUUUAAGUAAUAGUACCUAGAAACAAGAUAAUCCAGCUUCCUCACAAGGAGAGAAGCAGCGUCACCGGGUGUACCAUCGAAGUCGAGAUUGAAGACUUCUACAGCAAGUGAAAGGGCUGCUGCUAUAGCAAUUGCAGGUGCGCCACGAACCACCAUAUCCCGUAUUGCGUUCCUGAGAAAGUUUAUACCGAGGGAUGAAUUAAAUGCUUCAGAAAAAUCUAAAUCGAUAAAGUUUCUUAAUCGAUUGCAAAACGGAACUCAGAAUUUACAUGUUCAUGUGCCACAAAUCUAAAAGUAAAACUUAAACCCAUCAAUUCUCCACUCCCAUCCUUCCUCAAUAGCUUUUUCCUAAUUUGCUAACAAGCGUCCAUUUCCUUUUUCUGAAGCUGAAUUUAUUGUAAUUCAUUGGUUUCUAAGCAUUCUUCAACUCAUAAUCAUCAAAACGCAACACAAAAUCAUAUUUUUAUCCUUUUUUUUUAAAACAAACACCACAAACUCUACUUCAAAACCUAGAAAACUCCCAAAAACACCAUGAAAAUGGAAAUUAACCAAAGAAAAAAAACGCAAUAAAAAACAGGAGAUUUUAAAGGCUCACCAUCCAUCCGUGGCAUUCGACACAUCCAAAUACAGAGUCUCCAGCGGAAGCUUCCUCUGUACAAGAACACAAACACUCCGUUACUACAACACGAUCACAAUUCCCAAAUCCAAAACAAGUGAAAAUUUGUAUGUUGCAACCACACAGACCUGAUCGAGGAGGCGAAGGGACCCGCGCUCGUAGCAGAUCGAUUGCAGGGAAUCGGAAACGCCAUUAGUCUCCACCAUCGUCGUCGUCGGAGGGAGAACACCCCAAAUCCUAACCCUAACCCUAGAGUUCGAAUCGAUCUAGGGUUUAGUGGAGCCUUUUAUUAAUUUAAUUAUCCACGAAUAUGGCGGCCAGUGGGAGAAUAAGUUCCCGGAAUAAAUGUCGGAAUAGCGUCGCGGUUUUUGUAUGUGUGCGGAAUAAGUACCUGUAAUUAUACCACAAUAAUUAGGCUAAAUUACAAAAAGGCCCCUGCAUUUUAGACACGUCUCAUUUAGUCAUUUAUCCCUUCAUACCCCCUACACGUUGCAGUUUCUUACAUAGGUCCAAAAUUUGGAUGACGUGGUAGACCUGGUCCAGGAAAGAUACACACACUCUCUCUCUCUCUCUCUCUCUCUUAAACCCUAGUAGAGUAUCUUCUCCCCUUCCCUCUCAGCCUCAUCUUCGAACCUCCUCCAAACCCUAGCCAUGGCGCUCGCCCUCCGCCUACGCCGAUCCUUCUCCCUCCUCAAACCCCGCCUCCUCAGUCCGAUCUCCACGUCUUCUCCUCAAUCCCGGCUCCCUGCUCCCUUCCCCGCUCUCUCUCGUCUCGAAAACCUUACCCCUCGAUCCCAAUCCUUCACCCGAGCCCUCUCCUUCCACUCCUCGGCGCAUCUCUCCGAUCGCCGAUCCGACUAUGGCGGCGGCGGCGGAGGAGGAGAGCAAGAGAGGAAGAUCUCCCCCGACGAGAUCCUCUUCGAGGGUUGUGACUACAACCACUGGCUCAUCACCAUGGAGUUCCCUCAGGAUCCCAAGCCCACUCCCGAGGAGAUGGUCGAGACCUACGUCCAAACCCUAGCCAAAGUUGUGGGCAGGUCACCGUUCACCACCCUCUUCUACUUUGAUCUUCGUUGGGUUCGUGUUGCUUUGUAUCCAAAUCUCUAGAAUGGAUCCUAUUGUUGAGUAGAUUAGUCUCUUGUAAUAUUUCAUGAUGUUUUAGUAGUACUCAGAUGUUCUUAUUGCUCGAAAUGGUAUCUGUUGCUUUCUAAUAAGCUGUUUUUGACAUAAAUUAGUGUUACCUCGAAGACAAUUUUUUGGCUUAUUUACAUUUUAGAAAAUUUGUUGUAUUUCAUCAGUAAGAUCAUGUUUGUUUGUGGCCAUUCGGCGUUCGUAUGGAUCAUUGUAAAUCGUACUGCUUGUUUACAGAUUUUAGAUGAUAGAGCUCAGUUAACUUGGAUAUCUAGGUAUUGUGACAUUGGGAAAUGGAUGCGAUGUGCUGGAUUUCGUUUGUUCCUUUUUUCUUCUAUGCAUUUCCCAUGUAUAAUGAGUGAUUAAUUGGUAUGUAUUGAUUCAAGGCUUAUGUAGAUUACAUGAACAUGGUACCAUAUAUCUAGUGGAUAUGAUAAUCUUUCUGGCGUAAACUAAUUUUUUGCUUGUUGUGGACUUUUAGCGGCUUGUAGUUGACUUUCUAGCUCCAAAUAGUGCUAUGAAACAGUCAGAGCUAUGCAAGGUAGUGGGUAAUUAUUGCUGAUAUUUUAUGGCAACUGAGGAAAUGAUAAAUUGGCAAAUAUUCUGGAUUUGGUCAGAUUUCAGCAAUUUCAAUUAAGCUUGUCAGUUUCCGAUUAAUGAUUUUGUACAUUACCAAACUGUAGUAUGUGAUUUCAUCUAAAACAUGGUAAAGCUUGAAAUUUAUAUCCUUGAGUGCGUUUCUUUAUAUGUAUAUUAAUUGUCCUUGAUUGAUUAGAAGUACUUGCAAACCAGUAGAUCUCUACAUCAUAAAAGUGAUCAAACUAGGAUUUAUGGCAGUUUGAUAUUAGAUUUAAUAUCUGAAGCAUAUCUAUCGGCUGCUAUUUAGCAUCUGAAUGGACCUAUUGGGAGCAUUGUGAUGUUUCACUUACAUCUAAAGGAUUUAGGCUGAUUCAUGGUUGCUGAAUGUAGUGUGGAGGAAGCUAAGAAGAGAAUGUAUGCAUGUAGCACUACCACCUACAUAGGUUUUCAAGCUGUGAUGACAGAAGAAAUGUCCGAGAAAUUCCGGGGUGAGUCCUGAAGCAUUCUUCUUUUUUCUAUCUUUUUUUCUUUUCUGAGAUUUUCUUCGGUUUUCUUUUUGGCGGAAGAUGUGGGGUGUCUUUCUAUUUUGGAUAGACUCUUCGUGAAUUUCUUACCAUUUAUGUCAUGUUGAUCAGGCUUGCCUGGUGUUGUCUUCAUUUUGCCUGAUUCGUACCUAUAUCCUGAAACAAAGGAGUAUGGAGGUUUGUCCAUUUCUUGUUUUAGUGUUUUUCGUUGAUAGCUAUGAGUCUUAGGGUACUAUAUAUGCUGUCUCCGAUUCAAACUAUAUCAUACACCUCUCUGUAACUUCUGCUGAUAAUGAUAUGCCAUGAUAUUUUGUCUUUAUUCGGGCAAAAUAAAAAAAAAAAAUCACAGGAGACAAGUAUGACAAUGGCGUUAUCACUCCCAGACCUCCCCCUGUUCAAUAUGGGAGACAAACAAGACCGAGGAAUCAAAACAGGUUUGAUCGCCCAAACUACAACAACAGGCCACCCCCAAAUAAUUAUGGUGAGAACUACAAUGUGCAGCAGAACUAUGGCCAGCCUGGCCAAGAUGGAAGGGUAUUCGGCCCACCUGGCGAGAGGGGCGACUUUGGGCAAGGGGAAAGGAGAGGUCCGAUGCCUAAUUAUCAGGGGACUUCUAACCAAGGAGCUCAAAAUAACUUUCCUCCCCAAGAACAGAGAAACUUCUCGCAAGGUCAGGGAAGAGAUUUUAGACCAGGUGGAUCUUACGGUCAGGGAGAUUAUAGGCAAGGCCCGCCCCAUGGCUACAAUGCUGAUUAUAGACAAGGUCCGGCCCCCGGACCUAAUUUCAAUAACCAAGGGGGAGGCAUGAGUUCCAAUUAUGGCAGAGGUAAUGUACAAGACGGAGGACCCGGAUAUGGAGGGGAUAAUCGGCAGGGCGGAGGAUUUACUUAUGGUGGGCAGAACGAUGCAGGUCCUGUGGAUGGACAGCCGGGGUCAUGGCAGGUAUGACGUUUACUCGCAAUUGUUAUUUGGAAGUUUGAAAUAGUUAAAUCUUGUCGAAAGGUUUAAGUAGUAAAUUUGUUAGACAUCCUGAAUGAGAAUUGCUGUUAAACUACAUUAUUAGGCAUGGACUGUUAAUAUCUGUAUAAUGAUUGCUGGUUGGUUGGUUGUGUGUAUUCUUUUAGUCAGUCAUUCACCAGGUUUAGAUUCCGAGGUGCUCGAUGGUUUAUAGAAAAUUAGUAAGGCUAUACCCUUACCACUCACAUUGCUCUAGAGUAAACUGGAUGGAUUGUCGUGAUUAGUGCAAUCAUCGGGGUUAGUGCUAUCCCCACAAAUCUGCAAAUUGACCAAUCUAGAGCACCAUCCUGCCACUCUUGAGUAAAUCAAAGUAGGCAAAGCAUUUUCCAUAGAAAUUAUAAAGGCACUUUAUAUUUGAGCUCUAACAGUAUUUGGACACGCCAAAGUUUAUCACCAAUCAAUUAAAUUGCUCUUCUACUUCAAUUUGCCCUAACUGUUUUAAUUUUAUAUACAUUCCAUGCUCUGGUUGAAUGACUUAGUCUUAUUACUUUGUUGAUAAUAUAUUUCUUGCUCUUUACGGAACAGGGGGGGCGAUAAGCUGCUGAUUGCGGUUGGAGUUGAUGUUCUCCGAGCUAGAGAAGAGCCAGCCAUCCGAAGACACUAUUUAGCUUUUGUUUUAGUGUAUAUUCGCGUCUCGAACAAUGCAUCAAGAACUUAGUUUAUUUUAAGUUUCUUGUCUCUACCAAACUGCUUGUUACUUGAAGCGCGUCUUUUGAUGCUUGCUUGGAGAAUGUUUGUGUUUACUUCGUUUUCUUUCGACAAGUAUAAUAUUAGAGUUCAAAUAAUUACUACUACAUACAAUUUUGCUAUUGUGUUUUGUCCGUCUAUUUCGUUAUGGUUUGAUUUGUUGCUUAUGCUUUAAUUUCAGAUGAAGCGGUAAUUAUUAACUUUUUAAUAAUUAAGAGCUUGUUUUGGAGUUUUUGCCAGUUGAGCUAUUUGCGGAAGCACUAGUAGCUUUCAUUGCUCGAGCCUGAUGAUGCCGCCGCGUUGCGGCAGCUCUCCUUCUGACGUAGUCGUCUGUCUCAUUUCAUGUCGGAUUUUCAAACUUCGGUGCGUCUAUUGCUUGUGUGUUCGGUUUUGUUUGGAAUUAUAGGAAAAUUGCGUUACGUGCUGUACGAAACGAUGAUGGAAAAAUACUCUAUUUGUUUCCGUAUAUAAUGGUUAGUCGGUUAUGGUCUAUUGGAGAACAGAAGUAUAAUACUCUAUUUUAUCUAAUAACAUUAGAUUCACCUCAAUAUUAUUAAACUAAGCCUUAGAUCUUCUCGGUGUUUGCAGUGACCAAAAAUUUAUGGAUUUAUUAUGAAUAAAAAAUGAAAGAGGAUAAUUAAUAAUUGGGGAUGUAGCUCAAACGGUAGAGCGCUCGCUUUGCAUGCGAGAGGUACGGGGUUCGAUACCCCGCAUCUCCACCUUUUUUUUUUUUUUUUUUUUUUUUUUUUUUUUUUUUUCUUCUAGUAAUCCUAAUUUUCUAAUGCGUUUUAUCAUAAUUGAUUCUUUAAUUAGGAAAUGAAACACCAAAUAGUAGCUACUUGAUUCUCUGCCACACAAGAUUUGUGAACAUGCAAAAUCUACAAUUUCUAUUUUCAUAUAGAAAUUUAGAAAUUAUUGUGGUCAUCUUUUGCAACCCCACAUUUCUAGUGCUACAUGUAACAUGUGCCACAAAAUUUGAAACUGUUCCAUUCCACUAGAGAGAGAGAGAGGAGGGACCAUGCCAUACUAACAACAUCCAUCUCUCUCUCUCUCUCUCUCCACCUCUCAUUUCUCUUCCCUCUCUAAUCCUUUUUUUGUUUUUUUUUAAUUCUGUAUCUUAUAUCUCACAUUACUUCUACUUCUUCGCCGAUGGCGUUGACCGCCUCCCGGCCGUUCUCCCCGCCGCUUCUGUGUGGCGGGUCGGCGUACCGACGACGGAGCUGCCGUUGUGACUUUCGCGCCGUGGCGGCUUCCGAUACGUCCACCGGAGAGGAACCCGCGACGCGCGAGAGGCGGAAGCCACGCGUCGACACGCGGAUCCACUGGUCGAACCCCGACGAGGGGUGGAUCGGCGGCAAGAAGUCGAAAACUGAGGCUGAUGUGCAAGACAAGAAAGACGAGUAUGUUGGCGGGAAAUUUGCUGAUUUGAUCAGCAGAUCAACUGAAUCACACUACCAGUUAAGUCCAUGAUGCUUCUUGUUACAAGCUCAUUUGAAUUGUUGCUCUUUUUUUUUUUGAAACAACAAAAUUUGUUGAAAAGUUGAGAACUGUAUACAUAGUUUGAAAGUUUCUAGAUAAACAUAGCUAAGAGAAUUUGGAAUUAAAUGAGUGGAAAUUGACUCCUUAUUUAGCACGACUAAAACUUCUGUAGAAGUGCUGUUUCAAUAGAGCAAUUUAGAAAAAGCACGAACGUUUAAGAAAAUUUUUUUCGGAGUAGAGGAUCCAUUUUAGAAGUUAGAUACUUAGAUGAGAGCGAGAAAUUGAAAUGUAUACAAAUUUUAAGCUGACAGAGAACGAUAGAACUAUUGCUCAGAUUUCUGGGAGUACUGCCGAAGGCAGAUACGGAGGAAAUCAAAGCUGCGUACCGAAGGCUGUCCAAGGAGUACCACCCGGACACGACGACGCUCCCCCUGAAGACAGCCUCCGAGAAGUUCAUCCGGCUGCGGGAGGCGUACAACGUGCUGAGCAACGACGGCAGCCGGCGAUUCUACGACUGGACCCUGGCCCAGGAGGCCGAGAGCCGGCGGAUGCAGCAGAUGAGGGCGAAGCUCGAGGACCCAUACAUGCAGGACCUGCGCAACUGGGAGUCGGUCCCCGACACCGUCGACCGGCUCGGGGGGAAGAACAUGAAGCUCAGCGACCAGGCGAUGACGGCGCUCACGAUCGAUGUCGCGAUCAUACUGUUCUCCAUCUGCUGCAUUAUUUAUGUGGUAGUGUUCGAAGAACCUUAUUAAAUGCUUGUGUACAAACCUCUUCAGUUUUAAAACAGGAAAUUUAAAAUAGAUAGUUCAAAGGAAUUCUCUGAUGCAUCAUAUGAUGGAUCAUUUACUGAACUAUGCAUGAGAAAAGAUCGAAGACCGAAUAUAUCGAGCAGGAAAUUAGAAAUCUCACAGAGUUGAAUUGUUUACAAGCCGACCGAUCUAGGUCAAGCAACAUGGCGUGUUUUUUUUUAUUAAAUCUCUUGCAGAAACUGCAGAGGUAACCCAAAACUGAUACAGUUCAUCAUGCUACUGCUUUAAUGUGGAAAUUAGAAGAAUCUGUUUGACAAAAGUGAUUCUUUUUGUGUGCAAUGAGUAGUUAAUUUGUGUUCAGGAAUCUUCAAACUCGAUGAUCUUAACGACGGAGGAGUCACCAAUCUUCUCGAAUAUGACGGCACGAUCGUAUGGUUUUAUCAUGCCAAUUGAUUUCCCGUAAUUUAGCGCAAGUUUUAGGCCAAACUCCUCCUUCGAAUUGGCGGAAUCAGCCUGUUAUGAUACAAUGAAAGAACUGUUAGUAUACCACCAAUCUACAACUAGAAAAUGAUUUCACUUUUGUACUUUAAGAACAACAAUGCUUUCCCUGAGUGUCCUAAGCUAAAAUCAUUAAUAUCAGAGCCCUUAACUUGAUGAAAUAGUUAAAUUCGUUUCACCAGAUAAAGCUUUUCUUAUAUUAGUUCUACCAACUGCAAUAAUUGUCAUUUCAAUGUAUUUUUUUUCCUUUAUCUAUAUAUAUAGUAAGUUAUAUGAAACAACCGUUGUUCUUCAAAAGCUUGAGCUGUCAAAAAACAGUAUUUUUAAUAUUUAUAGAAAAUUAAACACAGCAAGGAGUCUAGCUAAACUCGAGUGUUCUUUCAACAUCUAUUCUGUGACACCUCAAUAAUCUCAUAUUCGGAAAAUAUGGAAGAGCGAGAGAACCUUAAAUAAAACUAGCACAUUAAUUGGGUUUAAAUAUUUUAGGUCGGUGGUUUACGCCCAACAAAUUAUUAUUGCUAGAGAAUUAAGUCGUUAUAAUUAUAUUCUAAGUUAGAUAUCCACCACCUUUAUUAUUGCAACAUGAUAAAAAAAAGUACUCUUUUAAAGCAGCAAUACCUCAUGCUACUUAUAAGUAUGCCUAACAGUAUAAGAUUCAACAUUACAAACUAUUAAUUUUUACAGGUAGAUUAUUUCAAAAUUUAACUUGAAAUUUAAUUGCAUACCUCACUAUGAUUUGCCAGUACAGGAUAGAUUCCUCUUACAGCAAGACAUUGCCUCGCCUGCAGUUUAAGUAACUCUUCAAUAUCUUAAAAAAAUAUCAUGCUUAUAAAAGUAAAAACUUAGUUAAGCAAACCUGUAUAGUGCCAGAGGAAUCCCAUUUUAGUGCACCUGAUUCUUGCCGUGGGAAGAAAACAGCUAGCACAGGCAUUGGAGGCCUAUAUUUUGCAACCAACCUGUUAAAAACAAAUUAAGUGUUAAUGCAACCAUCAAAAUUUUUAAUAAUAAAUAAAUGAGUGGAACGAAUUGCUAAUGAGAACUAGUGUAAAGUACUUUGCAGCUUUGCCUGAUGAAGUGAAUGCAAUGAUGACAGCAGCCUUGACUUUGAUAGCCGCACGCACCUGAAGAAAUGAGAGACCACUUUUCCAGUGUUUUGUCUAGAAACGAAAAAAAGAAAAAUUGAAAUAAUAAAGGACAAAUUUUACCGCUGAUGAUGAAACAGACUCGGCAUGCGACAUUGGUUCACCAACAUGUUUGAUUAUUCUCUUGAAUUGAAGAGACUGAUUAUACACAGUCUCAGCCUACAAAAGAGAAAUAGAGUUAUUGCUCACGAAAAGCAUAUCUAGAACAUGCAAAACUUCUCCCAUAUGAAUGGAUUCAUACUUCUGCACAUAUUCUCCCCACUGUCUUAACUGCAUCAACUGGAUAGAGGCCUCGAAGUGUCUCGGCACCCAACAAAAUACCAUCAGUCCCUGUAAAUUGAGCAACCAACAUCAACCAGAAAAUCUACGAAUGUAAAAAGUAGAAAAUAGAUAUUAUGACAUACACCCCCAUGCAACAUUUGUUAGAUGCAUCCCAUAAAAUUUGAAUUUUUAUAUGACCUUCCAAAACUUAAUUUUCCAAAAUAUGAUGAUUCCCCAACUUUCAGGUAGACUACAUAUUUUACAAAGGUAUACAUGUAAAUAGAUGAUUUUGCAUGGCUAUAUAUGUAAGAGCACAAACAUAACACAUUUGAGCAUAAAUUACAAACCAUCCAGGACGGCAUUUGCAACAUCAGUGGCCUCUGCACGUGUGGGACGUAAAUUGUCGGUCAUGCUAUCCACCACUCUGGUGACUAUGGCUGGUUUCCCAGCUAAAUUGCAUUUCUGAAUAGCCGAUUUCUGGGACAAAAAUACCUGCCGCAUCAAGAGAACAAAUACUAAAAUAAAUUAUUUCAGAACAAAAUAGUUAAGUGGCUUCAAUGUAUAGAACCCAGCCAAGUUAUAUAUAUUAUAUAUAUAUACACCUGGAGGAACCCAUAACGCAAAUUAUAAAUGGGUCAACAUCAGCCAAAGUAACACUUAUAAAUAGGACAAUUGCCACUAAAAGUAAGAAUCUGUAUGCAGAUGGAGUGGUAAGAAAUAUUUUACAUUUUCUGGUGGAAGGUCUAUUCCUAGGUUCCCUCGAGAAAGAAUGAUGCCGUCUGCUUGUUCAAGAAUUUCAUCAAAAUGCUCCAGGCCCUAUACAGCAAGAUAAAGUAAGAUUAGUUACGAAAGAAGAAGAAGAUUUAGUAUUACCAUAACUCCAUACUUAUUUGUCAAAGAUGUAUUCUCACCUCAGCAUUUUCAAUUUUAGCAUAAAUUUGAGUGUCUUGCAGAUUUUGAGACUUCAGAAACUCUUUAAGCUGAUAGAUGGCAGAGCAAGCACGUUUAGUGAAAAAGAAAAAACUACAUACGCAAAUUAGAGGGAAAAAAAAAUUCAAAUAAACUCACCUCUCUUACAUCCUCAGCAUGGCGGGUGUAAGAAAGAGAAAUUAUAUCAACGUUAUUAGAGGAUCCCCAUGUUGAAAUGACCUAUCGACAUCAAACCCAAAGAGAUAAAUUUUCACUUCAGAAUGAACAGAGUAACUCAACUUAAUUCACCAGCAUUACCGACUUAUAAAGUGACUAAGCAGUCGAAUAAAGAACCUCUCGAAAGCAAAACAUAGAUAAAUUUUAUGAUUUACAUAGUAAAGAAAAAAAAAUAGCUGUUAUCAAAUAAUGGUAUAAUGUCACUAGUAGUCAAAUGACAACAGAAUAAUCAAAUGACAAUAGGAUUACUACAAAUUCAUUGUCAUCUUGAAAGUUUUUAAUAGGGUUGAUAGCCUCAACUUCAUUUUAGUUCUAUAGAAUCUGAACAAUCAAUCUUUUCAACUACAUACUACAUCUGUAUUUUCGAAACCAGGUUUUGCAUAUGAAAUGACCAUGUAAACUCUCUCAUAAAACUGACUUAUCAGUGCUAUGUAAAUAUGCUCUUCUAAAAAGGCUGACAGAACUUCAUAAGGUCGUGCAACAAAAGUUGACAGUAAAAGACCACUAAAAAGAUAUUCAUUCAAUUCUAUCAAGAACAGAGCACAAUUUGAUGCUUUGGAACAGUUUUGCAUAUGGCUAGUUAGGAAUUGAUGAGAAAUAAAAAUUACUUGCUUAUCAUAGCUACUCAGAGUAGGCAAAUCGAUGUGAACUUGAGAGACGUGUAUGGUGAAGAUGGAGCCAGCAAGUGUAGCACUGUUCUUUAUGAGGCAACUUACAUCUUGAUCGACAGUCCCCAGAACCUGCGGAAAACUGACCAUGAAUAUAAAAAAGAAACAACAAAGUUAUGUAAUUUCUAGUGUAAUUCAACUAGCACCAAUAAAUAUCUCUACCUCAAGCCACACAGAUGUUGUUUCACUUCCAGUGAAAAGAUACUGCCCGACAAAAAUAGUGUCACCUUCCUUCACCGCCUACAGUCCGAAAAGAAGAAGGAUAUCAAGAUCAUAUGAAGACUUGCAGAGAAAAGAUGUUAAAAUGAUGAUGCAAAGAAACGAAUGCAUCAGAAUGAAGCCCGAAGAUGCAGAAAUGCAGUGCUACAUAUAGUGCGCUAAUCAAGAUUGUCUUUAGAGAAAUCACAGUAGGAUGCAAAAUCACACUAGCAAAGAUGAUCUAAUAAGAAGAAUGGAUCUAAAAAAUGAAUAAGGCUGACAAUUUCAAUUGUCUUCUUAGUGCCACUCAUCACAAAUUGCUGUUACAGACAAAUGGAUGCUUGAUUGUCGGAUCACUAUAUAACAUGACAAAAAAAAAAAAAAACAGACGAAGAGCUUCAGUAUGAAUAUGGGUAUUGCACUAUAUUCAGGUUCACCGCCCCAAAUAUCAAAAUGCACCUAUAUGUGCUCAUGCCUCCAUUUCUUUGCUACCUUAUAACAUACAUAUGUCAGGAGCAAUGCAGAAAACAAAAUCAUCAUCACAAAGACAUGCUUACCACAAAUUUAUGCCAUACCACAAAUCUUACAAAUGGAUUAUCAUGCUUACCUUGGCAAGAUGAGCGAAAUUAAUGGGUAAUAUCUCAGCUGAGGGAAUUUUCGAAAGGUCUGGGGUUAUUGUGACAUGAUUUCCAGCCUUCAGCUCAAUUGAAUUGCCCGUUGUAUUUUGAACCUGUAUCUCUGGACCCACGGUAUCCAGCAUUACCUAAAAUCACAUCUUAUUAGAUGUUAUCAGCCAAAUUAUUCACAGGAAACAUGAACUUACUAAUAAUAAGACUAGUGCAACCACAUAAAUAUGCAGAAAUAAAUCAUCACUUUGAUGUUAUAUAAGUAAAACAUUCUAAACUAUUUUGACAAAUGUUGGAUCUUUUAAUAAUAUCGGAAUUCGACCACUGCAGUGAGUUCUUAAGACCCAUGGAAAGAACAGAGUCUCUUGAUGAUAUUCAACAUUAUAUGGUUUCACUUACAGCACACAACUUCUUGGCAUUAGCAACAGCCGUCCUCAAAUUAUUGAGAGUCUCUUGAUGGUAUUCAGCAUUCAACCCGGAGAAGUCGAAGCGUGCAACUGCCAAAGCCAAGACACAAGAAUGUCAGACCAAAAGUUUCAUGCACAUGCACAGGCGAUCCAAUGACCCACCAACAAACCUGCCAUUCCAGCUGUAAGGCAUUGCUCAAUGGUUUCUACAGAACGUGACUUUGGCCCAAGCGUCCCAACAAUUUUCGUCAGUGACGGAAAGAAUUUCUGCAAUUCCGCAAAACAACAAUAGGUGGCAAAAUAGAAACACAUCAGAUGAUACAGAAUAUUCCGGCAAUUAAUUUUUCAGACUCUUUCUCCAACUUCAAUAGGAUUACAAAGCAUUUAAAAUUUCUUUUUUAUUUCUCCAUUAAAAUGAAGACACGAUGAGGACUUUAGUAGAACAUACUUGUGUACAAUCAUUAUAGCUAGCGUAAUUAACUAUCUUUUCCAUUCUGGAUCGCAAAAUAAAAACACAUCAGAUGAUACAGAAUAUUCCAGCAAUUAAUUUUUCAGACUCUUUCUCCAACUUCAAUAGGAUUACAAAGCAUUUAAAAUUUCUUUUUUAUUUCUCCAUUAAAAUGAAUACACGAUGAGGACUUUAGUAGAACAUACUUGUGUACAAUCAUUAUACCUAGCGUAAUUAACUAUCUUUUCCAUUCUGCAUCACUCUUUUUUGGAAAUCAACUGAUACAACAGUUAAAACCAUUGUCAUCUUCUCCAGUUUAUAGAUCUUGCCUCUUCUACAGUAUAAAUCGAUCAAACAGUAUCCAAUUUAUCAUUCAAAAUCUGCCCUUCUCUUUAUCACCAACAUAUAUCACACUCGCAUAAAGCAUUCCUACGACAAUUUCCUAUAUCGACUCCCUCUGCAUUGUUCCCGUACAAGUUGACUUCCAAUAAAUCCGCAGCAUAGUUCACCAAAGCAUACGCAAAAAUCAAAUUUUAAGAUAUAAAUCGAAUUCCACAAGUAACACGAACAAACACAUAUUCUGAUUUCAGCUGAUCCAAUCACACCAAGGCUAAAAAAAGCAUCCAAAAUCGAAACUAAAAGUAAAAAAAAAAAAGAAAACAAUAAUGAAAACAAUACUGGAAUCUGCAACAACGGAUCACGAUUCGAUCAUCCACAAACAAAAUCGGAGAUGUUAUCAUCGUUCCGAUCAAAAGGGGGGGGAGAGAGAGAGAGAGAGAGAGAGAGGGAGUGAGAUUGAUCUUACGGUGUUGGAGGGGCAGAGAACGGAGGCGAGGCGCACGGGCUCCUCGAUCAGCAUGUGGCCCCCCUGCAUCGCGAAUCGAGAUCGGGGGGUUUCUAGGGUUUGGAUCGAGAGAUUUAGGGUUUCGAUUUGGGCGUAGAGGAGGGAGAGAGGGGGCGAAAGAGGAAGAAGCGGAGGUGGAGGGAAAAAGCGCGUGCGAAUACGCGACGGUUUUUUUUUUUUUAAUUUAUUUUUUUUAAAAGCUUGGGGCCGAAGCCACAGGUAUUUAUAAGGGGACGGAGACAAAUGAGGAGGCCGUUGAUAAUUCUUUUAUUAGGAAAAAUUUCAGAUACCCCCCUAUUAUUUACUCUUUUUUAAAUUUGAUCCUAUGUAAUUUUGCUCAUAUUAUUUAAAAGCGUUAAUUGCAUAUAGCUUUAUGUAAAUAUAUCAAAUUAUAAAUAUAUCACUAUAAAAUUCAAUUUUUUAUUUUUAUUUCUACAAAAGUCUAAUGAUAUUCAUAUUUGCCGUUCUGAUUUGUUAUUAUUAGAGCACUGUUUAUUUCUUAACAGCAAAUAAUUGAAAUACUAUUUUUGUCCUUACAUAUAUGUAUAUAUAUUCCUUUAAAAGCUCUAACUGUUAUAAUUAUGCAGAAAUAUUCUCUAAAAAAAAUAUUUUAUUUAAUAAUAUAAGAGGGAUAAAAGCUCAAUUUAACUCAUUUAUUAAUCAGAGUUAAAUAUUUUAUUUAUGGUUAACUAUAUUUUUCUAAUAGAUCCUACUAGCAUAAGUAUAUUUGAAAAUAUUAAGACUUUUGUCAGAAAAAAAAUAAAAAGUUGAACUUUGUAGGAACAUGGAGCUGUAUGCCGUCGGAUCGUUGACACUAACCAUUAAUUCCGAAAGCUCGAGCUGUUAGAAAAACGCAACCAAUUUACUUAAAGCGUACAGAUACAGCGCCUACGGAUUUCGAUUGUGACUCUGCCCAAUCAGCCUCACGCCACAAGACAGGAUGCUAGCCUAUUUAAGCAAACAAUACCCUCUUUAGCACCUGUACACAUUUGCAGUAUGCGGGAAUCGAACCUGUGACCUCUGACUCUAAUACCACUUGUCGGAUCGUUGGCGCUAACUAUUAAUCCCAAAAGCUUGAGCUGUUAGAAAUACGCAAUCAAUUCACUUAAAGCAUACAGAUACAACACCCGCGGGUCUCGAUUGUGAUUUGGCUCAACUAGCCUCACGCCACUUCGAACAUAACUCGACCCAUUCAGCUUCACACCACCUCGAACAUAACUUGGCCCAACAUGGCCUCCCGCCACAGAAUAAGAUGCUGGCUUAUUUUAGCCAACAUAUGCAACUAACGCUAUUAUGCAAAAUCUACUUUUGAUUGUUUUGGAAUAAUAUCUAAUAUGCUCUCCAAAACUUAUUGACACUACCAUCUUAAUCCUUAUAUGUCAUAAUUAAGUAAAAAAGUGCACAAUUUAAGAAUUAAAUUGAGCUACACUAUUAUUCAUCAAUAUUUUGUGAAUGAUGUUGUAUUAUGAUGCUAACUUAUGAAAAAUAAUAAUCAACAAAUAGGUAGCUACGAAGCUCAUUCCAUAGAGAGAAAUUUUCGUCGAAUUGCUCAUGUUAAAGGGCAAAGAUUACAACAUGUUUGCAAAUGAUAUUCACAAGUUAAUCUCAUUGCUUAAUUAAAUCUCUCCAAGAGCAAAUUCAUAGCCUUGUGGUAAGUAUAUAUAUUUAUAUAUCCACACAUGACACAUGCAAAUCAUUUAUAGUUUCUUGAAUAUGUAAUUGAUUUUUUUUAAAAAAAUUUUCUCAACCAUUUUAUGCAGAAGAAGUUCAGGUUGGACAGGUUGAAAUCAACAUAAUGGAGGUAUAUUUUUUUUUGUAUAUUUAUCUGUGUACAAAUUUAUAAUAUUGUUCCACAAUGAAACUAAGAUGUAUGUUCAUUGAAGAAGCAUCUUUAUUAUGUAAAUAACUUUGGUUUAUUGUCCACAUCAUAUUAAGUUAACAUCUUUAUUGUGUUUGCUUCUGUAGUUUUCAAUUGAUCAUGUGGUUUGAUUUGGAUGCAUAAAAAUCAAUCUCUCUCUCUCUCUCUCUCUCUCUCUCACUGCACACAUAAUUGAAGAUCUAUUUUAUUGAAAAACACUUAGAGAAAGAUUGAUAUUAUAAGAAACAAUCUCUCUCUAUUUUAUUAAAAAUGACUUAGAAAAAGAUUGAUUUAAUAAGAAACAAGCCUUCUUUCUCUCUCAUACACACACGAAGAUCGAUCUUAUGCAAAACGACUUAGAAAAAAUCGAACUUAUAAGAAACGAUCUAGAAAUUAAUAAUCUUAACAAUUCCGUCAUAAUUUUUUGUUUUAUUACAAUGAGUCAAUUCAAAAAUCACAAUAUUUGGGAAUGUAACAUCUCCCUUCAAUAUCCUUAAUUCACUUCCCUGUUACCACAAAUUCCAUGAAAAUAAGAUUCCCUAAUUUAAUAAAGAGGAUUUUUUUUUAAAUUUUUUGAGCAAGAGGAAUUGUAUCAGUCAAUGUUGGUGAGAAACAUACACAUCCAUCUUCACAAUUCCACCAUCUUUAAGGUUGUAAUCGUAAUUUUUCGACAAGAGGUACCCCUUCGCGAAUCGAAAAUGCCGAGUCCCGCCGACCACCACCGACUCCCGCACCGGUUGGUCCAUGGCAAUCCGGCCGUGCACGGCGAGCGAGCUUCCUUUUAAUGGCCCGUCCUCGAAUGCUAGGUGUAAGCUCAGGUCCGACACAAUCCCGUCCUCCGCCACCCGAACAGCAAAACCCUGACGCACUAAAUAUAAAUGAUUAAAUCACCAUGCUCUAUCAGCUUAAAUAAUAUUAGUAAAUGAUUAUCCUAAAAGGAUAACUUUCGGUUUUCUCUACAACAGAGGCGAGACAGAAACUCUAUGAUGGAGAUUUUGCACUUUUUCGAAUGUUCAACUCGAGUGUUUAGCAAAUAGUUUAAGUUUUUGGAGAAAAAUAUUAUUGUUUUGGACCUGAGCCUUCCCGAUGGCUUGCGAGUCCGGGCUUGGGUCUUCAGUAAGCACGUUGUUGAGCACGACGAUAUCACGAAAGCGGCGGGGGGAGGAGGAUUCACUGUUCAUCGACGGAGCGGUUAUGACCCGCAUGGCGGUCGGGUGCGGGCUGGUGUAGUCGUCGUGCAUGUAGAAGUGCAGGUGGGCGGUGCCGUCGUCGUCGGCAUCACGAACGUAGUAUGAAGCCGAACAGGUAGCUACGAAGAGCAGGACAGAGAAAAGGAAGCAAAAAGAGAUAGUAGGAACAAAAGAACCCAUUAAUGUUUUUGAAGUGUCACAAUGUAUAAUUUGUUUUGCUAUACUUCUCCCUGAGCAUUGGUAUUUAUAGAUAGAAAAGGUAGGCUAUAAUGAUUCAAUCUAAUCAGCCGUUCAUUUUAUCACUUAGUUUGAUGAAUCAAUCAUUGCAUUAUAAACAAAAAAAAUAUUCAUUAAAUAAUCAUGUUAAAUAAAGUAAGCAAUUAAUAAGCUACUAAAAAGAAAGGCUAGGUAAACAUGUUCAAUCGAAAGAAAAAAAAAGUACGGAAUCCCCUCAGAGUAAAACAGUUUAAUCAAUGGUUCACCUAAUUUUUAUUUGUCAACAUCAUCCAUAAAUGAGAAAAAUAAUUAUUAAUUAUAUUAAUAAAGUAAAUAAUCAGCUACUAAGAUCAGUAGCCCGAGCUUUUAAUUAACCUUCAAUUUGUCACUGCGAGCUUCACUUGAGCGAACUUCUAGAGCAGUUUCUUUUUAUCGUCGAUAUGGAGCAUAAAUUGCUUAAGAAUUUUAAAUAGCUAAGAUUGUGCUAUUAUUGUAUAGAAAUAUGGUAUAUAGAAAAACGCAAGUACAAGUUGCAUUUGUUUGUACAUAAUUACAUCUUACAUUUGUACAUGUUACUUCUUUUCGAUACUAAACCCUUUUCAUUCCGAGAAAUUCUAUUACGUAUCAGUCACACCACAUUAUUUAUUAACAACUAAUAUCUAUUUUUUAAAGUAAAAAGUAUGAUUUUUUUUUUCUAACCCGAGGAGAACAAUCUAAUUGGCUGAUGACGUUAUAUCAGUAAUAUAACUAGUGCAUUUUAGAAAUUUUUUUUUCUCAUUUCGCCCAGAAAAAUAAAUAGUAAUUCGUACGAAAUCAAUCCAAUUAAGCCAUAUGAGGUCAAAAUAAUAUCCAAAUACACAACACAAUAUGAAAAUUUUAAUUAAUCAUUACUAUAUAAUAUAAAAAAAGAAUUGUCAUGCCAUAAAUAGAACAUCGAUCAUAAGCAAAUAGAAACACAAAAGAUAUGAUAUCUAGAAAUAGGGAAAUGAAAUUAAAAUAACGACCAAGCCAAUUCAAAACAAAACUUUGCAACGAAUUACUAGCCCCAAAAAAGUGCUAAAUUUUGAUUGAAUAACUUUGGAAUGCGUUUACCAAUCCCUAACAAUUGAAGAAAUUAAAUGGUAUUAAUUUGUAUGAUUGCGAACUUAACCAACCGUAUUAUUUUGUUCUUUUACUGAUUCAAAACAAUGAUUGAAAAUUAAAGAUGAUCUCUAUAUGAUUAUGAACUUAACUAAAUUAUUUGGUUUCUUAAAACAUAGUGGCAAUAUUGUUGUCAAUGAAAUUAUAUUCUAUCAUGUUGUGAAUUUCAGCCACAUUUUUCUUCAAUGAUCGAUUCCCUUAGUAUGAAAAAUUUGUUAAGAGUCGUGUUUCUUUUUCAUUCGCAUAUUUCUUUCGUACAUGCGUGUAACAUGAUUCACAAUUGGGGAAGCACCAUUUCAAUGUUGUAGCCAACACGCGAAGCAAAUGACGACACGCAAAUAUAAAUUUUAAGAAAAGAAUCAAGCGAUAAAAAACAAUGAGCAAUUAUCAAGCACAACGUCAUGUAUUACUAUUAUGCGAUAUCAUGGUGUUAAUAGUUUGCAUAUUCACUUGGGAUGGUCGGAAACAGUUGUGGGGAUUAGCUGUCGCCCCGCGGGUUAAAACUUUUCUCUGGAAGUAUUUUUGGGAGAGACUCCCCACUAAGGAUUUCCUGCAGCAGAGAGGCCUCACUCAAAGUAAUUUAUGUGCCUUAUGUGGAGAGGCUGCUGAGAAUAUUCAACAUCUGUUUUUCCAAUGGCUAUUCCAAAGAGGUAUGGCACAUCUUUCAGUUAGAUUAGGGCAAGGUUAUUAACGUCCAACAGUUGCAUGAUGGGUGCUGGCUGACUUCUAAGGUGCCGAAUGAUCUCAAAGCUAUGAUUGCUGCUAUUUUAUGGUGCAUUCGGAAAAGUAGAUGCGCCACUCUCUUUAACUGUGAGAGCUUUAUUGCUCCUACCAUUUUUAGAUGUGCAAUGAUGGCCUUCUGGAGUGCCUAUAACCCAACUAACAAGCCAACUAACAAGUUUGCUAAACAGUCUACAAUGGAUGUCGAAACCAUUGUUAAAUGGGACCUUCCACCUCCUGGAUGUUUCAAAAUAAAUUCUGAUGGUGCUUUUAACAUGCAAAUCUCAAAGGGAGGUGGGGGUUUUAUUAUUCGUACUGAGAUGGAAAAUUUAUUCUGUGCAGGGGCAGCCCAAUUCAUGGCUACAUCGGCCUUGCAUGCGGAGGCCACCGCUCUGCUCGAGGCGUUGAAGGAGGCAAUCAAGCGUGGAAUCUCUAAAGCUAUAGUUGAAAUAGACUCUCAAAACUUGUUCUCUUAUGUUAGUUCACAGAUUGAACCUCCUUGGCGACUCCAAAAUAUCAUUGACCGAUGCACAUCUCUGGCGAAGCAUUUGCAGCAGUGUAUUUUUGUUAAAAUAUAUCGUGAAGCCAAUAGGGCCGCUGAUUAUUUAGCAAGUCAUGCGCUUAAUUCAAGAAGUAAACUGGUUUUUGAUCCUACCAGUGACCUUUCCAUAGACUUUGUUAGGAUUCUUUUUGAAGACUCUGCAGGUAGAGUCUUUUUGCGCAAAGUGUAAUCGAUUUUUGUUUUUAAUAAAUUAGCCUGUUGGCUCUUUCGACCAAAAAAAACAAAAAAAGAAAAGUUAAAGGUGAUCCAUCAUUUCUACACAUAUUGGCUAAUAUAGUCAACCCAAAAUAAAUGCACCAUUAAUGUUUAACUAUGAAAUUUCAUUGUCAAUUGUUGAGCCAAUAAGAGAAAACGAAGAAGAAUACAUAAUAAAAAUGACUGAUUCCAUGAUUUUCAAUGUGAAUGAUUUCGACUUAAUUAAUUGUCAUGUUAAGUUAAUGAAACACAAUUACAUGAACAUCAAAAACAAUCUCACAAGAAAAUGUUAUGCUAUGUUCUUAGAAUAUUAUCUCUUGAUGUUUUUCCUUUCAUUUUGAGGCUAUAUUUUCAAAAGUCAAGAUCACAUAUAUCUACUUUUCAAAACUUGAAGAGAAAAGAGAUUAAUUCUUUGACAUGUACUUAACCAAAUUAUUUUUGUGGUGGAGAUGUUGAUCACAUUACAAUUUCAACCAUAUCCACCAAGCUAUGAGCACUGUUUUUCUUUUUUUUUAAUAAACUUAGCUGGAAAUGUGAAUCAACUAGGAUUCGAACUUGGGUCUCGGAUACCAACCACCAAAUCCUUUGCCACUUGCUCUAGAGACGGUCGGUAUGAGCACUGUUUUUCAAUAUUGUAAAAAAAAAGAAAAGUCCAUUCAACUCAGAUCUCCUUUAUUUAACACACACAGGAUUUGGCAACUAAGAUAUAUAUUUUCUUUUUUCUCAUCACUAUUAAAAAGUUGAAUAAAGAAGAGGUAUAAUAUUUGUCAGGUCUCAUCUCCAUGAGCAAUAGCAUUUUAUGUAUAAAACUAAUAUAUAAUCAGCUCAUAAAUGUUUAUUUCUAUGCAGUUUUUUCGAUAUCACUCAAAUGUAAUUAGAUGUGCAUAGGAAUGUGCACCUAAUUUUAAAAUAUUUUAGAUUAUAUGUAUUAAAUAUUAAUUUUAAUUUUAUAAUUAUUUAGAUAUAACUAAUACAUUUUUAUAAAAAAAACACUACAAUUAAGUUUUUUUCAAAAUAUAUUUAAUUACAAUAAUUACAUAAAAUAUACUAACUAAAUAUAUAAAACUAAGCAACAAAUUCAAAAAUCAUAACACUCUAAAAUAAGAAGGAUUAGAAAAGAAAAAAAAAAAAUCAAAAAAGAGACAGAGAUAGGAGUGGGUCUAAAAAUAAUAAACCAGUUAAAAUAAAUAAAAAUCUCAUUGUAAUAUUAAAAAAUACAUAACAUUUUUUUAUUAUUAUCCUUGUAGAAUUUAAAAAUAAAAAAAUAAGAAAAUCAAUUAAAGUAAAAUAUAUAUUUUUGUUUGAUUCUCAAAAUAAAUUAUUAUUAUAAUAUAUAUAUAUAUAAUAUAUAUAUAAUCUCAAAGAGGAACUCUCUCUCCUCAGGCGGCAUCACGUGCUCACUCGUGGACCGCUGCAAAAAGAGAAGUGAGCUUGAUUUUUUUCAACUGUAUUUUUUUUUUUUUUUUUUUCGGCUCGCGCCCCUGCCAGCGCCGGCUCACCCCAUCUCCGCCGCCGACGUCUGCACGCCCGCCCGGCCCCGCCCCAGCUCGCACCGCCCGCUCGAGCCCGCCUGCGCCCGCGCCGCCCGCUCGCGCCCGCCCUCGCGUCCCUCGCACCCGCCACCACGUGUCGAGUCAGGAAAGCUCAGGUUCUCAAUUCAUAAGUUUAUAAAUGCCAUAAAUUGGCAGAUAAAAAAAAAAGAAAAUACAAGAAUUGUAAUGCCAUAAAUUGAUUGGUUGGGAUCAUUUAAUAAGAACAUAAAUGGAGUGUCCCGAACAUUAAAGCACGGAUACGGAGACUCAUGGGCCAAAUCUUAUCCAUUACUGUGAAUUGGUUGUAAUUAUUUAAAUACGCGUGAAUACGUGGUAUGAAUUACAUCGUAUGAAUACGUAUUCGUACAUGCAUAAUUGCAAAUUGGUUCACCCCACUGCUUUUGAGUGUUAUAAUUAACUUAUUAUUUAAUAAGUAGUUAAACAUGCAUGAUUUACAUUUUAUGAACUUUCUAAAAGCCAAAAUUCUUGAUUUUUUAAAAACAAUUGAUCAUUAAAUAAAUAAUAUCAAAAAAUUAUAAAAUUUAUUUUUAAGAAGCUCAGGAACGUAGAUGAUGUAUAUGUAUAUGUAUAUGUAUAUGUAUGUAUGUAAAAAACGAAUAUAUAUAUAUUUUUUUUCAUUCUCAAGGGAAUAAAAGAACAUUCCAUGCACAUUUUAAACAAAAUUAAUUAACUAACUAAAAACAAAUUAGAUUGAAAAAAUACAAUGGUUUAAAAAUAGACUUAACGAAUCAAUAAUUGUUAAAUUCAAAUAAUAGAUUCAAAAUUGAAAGUUGGGUUUUUAAAUUAAUUCAAAUUUUUAUAGUUUAGGUAGGUAUUUAAAAAGAUUGUAUAUUAUGGAAUACAUAUAUAAAGUAUUUACGGUAUAAUUAAUUUGGAAAUAUACUUAGAAACAACUCAAUUUACAAAAGAAAUCAAUUGAAAAUAAACUCUGCUACUAAUAGCCUAAUUCAAAAUCUAGAUUCAGAAUUUAUUUUAACUUAAAAUCUAAAUCUAAAUCUAAAUCUAAAUUUAAAUUAUUUUUACAAAAUUGUUACAAAACGAGGCUUAAAAGGUUUAAAACCUUACAAUGGCAAUCACCAGGGCCAUAUACUUCAAAAUAAAAAAAAGCGAAUCGGAUCCUAAUUGAAUCGGGUUCAGAUCAAAUUCGACCCGGUUCACAAACGUCUCGUCCCCUCUCCGUUCGAUCCCUCCUCAUCCUCCUCCUCCUCCUCCUCCUCCGCUAGGGUUUUGCUAGGGUUUCUUCUUCCUCUCUCUUUCUCUCUCUCUCUCUCUCUCUCUCUCUCUCUCUCUCCACCGUCGCGGCGACGUUGAAGCUGGGAGAGAUCGAUGUGGUUCCUCUGCGUCUUCUACCACAGGCUCCUGGACUACAGGCGCCCGGAGGUGGAGGCGCUCGCGGAGCUCUUCGGCGCCUUCGGCGGCGGCGGCGGCGGCGGCAACGGCGGCGGCGAGGGUGGAGGAGGAGGUGGAUGGGAAGCGAACCCUAGAAAAUGGUCGCUGGAGUGGAAGCUCCCGGAGAACCACCACGUCGACUCCCCCUUCCACUUCGUCUCGCUCCCCUCAGAGGAGAUCGCGCGGAAUAUCGCCAAUCGGAGUGAGCUCCUCUCUCUCUCUCUCUCUCUCUCUCUCUCUAGUGAUUUGUUACCAAAUGGAGUGUUAAAUUUGUGAUUGAAGUGAAAUGCACAUCACAGUGCUUUAUUGGUUGUGUUAGUGAUCAGAUCAGUUAUCAGAAUCACCUCUCUAUGUGAGAUUUCACUCCUAUUUGGGUGCUAAUUUGAGAAAAAUUAGUACUUUUUGAGCUUUAGCUUUUAAUCUUCAACUUUAUUUAAUGGAAAGAGUUUUUCCUUAUAUUUUAAGUAUCAGCUAUUAGUAUAUUGUUAACUGAAUCAAUUUUUUUUUUUUUGAUAUAUAUAUAUAUCUCAUAUUGUUUACAUGUAGUAUCUUGAAAGCCAAAUGGGCGAUGAAUCGAACAUUAAUUGGAAUAGUUUAGAUGGUAUUGCAUUAUUAUAAACAUUAUAUUGAGGCCUUUUUUUAAAAAUGUAUUUUACAUGAUCGAGCACACUUUCACAUACUGAUACUUUUUAGCAUUUAUUUGAUUGUAGGUAUACUUGUUAAGGGAAUAUACGAACUUUGGGGGCAGGGGAUUAACUAUGAAGAACUGGAAAAGGCUGUAAGAGAAUUUCCAGAUGAAAGGAAGCUGCCAUAUCUGACACCAGAGAGCACAUUCCGAAUUGUCGUGGACAGCUUUGGCAAAGUGAUUAGUUUCGAAGAACAAAAUGAGCGGAUUCAAGGACUUAGUUACAUACCAUUUCAGGUAAUUAAUUUUUUGCUUCUUUUUUUUCCCUUCUUCACUCUUUUGGUUAUAACCAUGCUUACAUUACCAACUUCUAAGAUAUAUUAGCUUUUCUAAUGGCCAAUCUUAAUAAGUUAUGUAAUGCUGCAUAAUGAAAGUAGAAAUUCACGUGGAAUAACAUCUAAUGAAAACAAACUCGCCAAGUUUGAGAAUGUAUCUUUUGCGUGCGAAAGGAGAUUCUCACCCGCCCCUUUUUUGGCUCUCUCUAUAUAGUUCAUAUGGGCAUGAUAAAGUUCAUCUUGCUAGAGAUAAAAUACUUACCAAGCUUAUAGCUUUUCGAUACCUAUCGCUACACAAAAUUUAACUUUCAUCCGCUCCAUGAAAAGAGUAAAAUACUAUAUGCUCUCGCCUUGCCAGACUCUCUAAGAAAUUAUAGGAUGAUCAGGUUGUUGCUUUGCAUAAUCAGUGUCGUCCUUUUUCCAGGGGCGGGUCGAUUUGAAGAACCCUGAACACAAGUUUUGGCUCAUUGAAACCGAUGAUUAUGGGGCGAACAACGGACUCCCCCCAGUUGUUCAGAGGACAGUAUUUUUUGGUCGAGAGGUUGGGGCAGCUGAUAGGAAGCUUUUGCCUACAUAUCAGCUUAAGAGCCGUAAAUACUUGGGGCCCACGGCCAUGGACGCGGAAAUGGCCUUUAUCAUGGCCAAUCAAGGGUUAGCUCAAAAGGGAAAGCUUGUCUACGAUCCUUUUGUUGGCACUGGGAGUAUUCUCGUUGCUGCUGCACAUUUUGGAGCGAUGACGAUGGUUUGUGCUUGCUCGGAGAAUAUUAUUUUCUUGCCCAUUUUUUUAUUAGUCGUUUAAUAUUCUUCUCUGCAUUGAGAUUCUGAUAGAGAAACUUCAGGGUGCAGAUAUUGACAUAAGGGUUGUGCGCGAUGGGCGUGGGCCUGAUUGCAAUGUUUGGAGCAAUUUUAAGCAGGUAGUUCUUUGGCACAUUUUUUAGCAAUUUUAGAAAGUAAUGUCUUGUUCUUUCUUUUUUAUGUUAAAUUUUCUUUUUGAUUUUUGAUUUAAUUCCAACUCUCUUGCCAAGUGCCAAUUUCACUGGAUAUUAGCUUUUAUAUAUCACCUAUAUGUAGGAUGACACCUGUAGAUGACUGGCGAAAAUGUCGUUUAGAACACCUCUGAGAUUUCUAUAUCUGUUAUUUUAUUCAAAAAUGUUUAAUGAGAUAAGAUAACCAUCCCUUCCUAAUGAUUACGCACUAUGGGCGUGUUUGGUUCGAAGUCGGAGUCGGAAUCGGAAUCGGAAUCAAAAUAAGCUGGAAUCGGAAUCAGAAUGAUUCAUUAUCUAAUUCCGUUUGGUUCAUCACCUAAAUCGGAAUCGGAAUAAAUCAUUCCCAUUAUCGAUAUUUGGUUCAGAUGGAUAUAAAAACAUAAUCAAAUUAAUAUACUAACAUUAUCUUUAUAAUAUACUAAUUUAAAUUCAAAUUAAAUAUUAAAUAUUAAAAAUUUACAUCAAAAUUUUGAAAUAAUGUCUCUAUUUUUUUUAAAAAAAAAUUAAACUUUAAUUUGAAUCCAUAAAUUUAAUUUAAAGUUUGAAAUAAAAUUUGAAUGAACUUUAUAUAAAUUAAAAUUUAAUUUAAAUUCAAAUUCAUAAGUUAGAUUCGAAAUACUUAAUUAAAUUUUAAUUUUUAAUUUAAGUUCAAAUUAAAAUUUAAAAUUAUAUAUUUAAUUUUUAAAUUUUAACUCAUAUUUUAAUUAAAAAAAUUAAAAAAAUAAAUUUAAUCCGAAUAAAUAUCCAUUCCGUCCGGAUUCAACUUCCAAUCCGGCCUUCUAGGCCGGAUUGAAAAAAGGGGUGAUUGAGCGAUUCCCAUUUCACUCGGGAAUCGGAAUCGGAAUGGGACUCCCACGUACCAAACACCCACAAACGGAUUCACUCAUUCCCAUUCCAAUUCCAUGGUAAAAAAGAAGCGAACCUAACACGCCCUAUAUAUAAUGUUAGACUCAUACCACUACGCUAAUCAACCAAAUGAUGAUCUUUGUCAGAGUUCUUUUCUUGACGUUACAAUAGAGUAUAAACACUAUGUGAUGAAUGGUUCAUGGUAAAUUAGCAUCAUUCUUUUGAUGCGCAACUUCAGUAGUUAACUUGUUACAGCCUAUUUUUGCUCUCCGGGACAGUUUAUAUAUUGUGUGCUUUCGUGGUUCUUGUUUUUAGCUGAUUCCUCUACUAACUGUAAUUUCUUUACAGUACAACUUGCCAUCGCCAAUAUCUCUACUGAGGGCGGACAAUAACCUGCCUCCUUGGCGUCCAGGAUUAAAGGAGGUAUUUUCAUUUCUCUGUAUGGUUCAUUAUGGUAAAUGCUGGUUCUUAUGGUUGCAGACGUACUAUUUUUGUAAGUUUUAUAGUCGGGCGCUUGCUUUCUUUUUUUAAUAUUUGUUGCGGAUUAAAAUUGUCUUAGCUUGCUUAGAUGUUGACCUAUCUAUAGCAUCAAAGCAUACUUGUAGACAUAUAUUGAUGCGACCAAAGAUGUGUAUGAUGGCAAUGAUUAAUGUGAGCGAAAACAAGAAGAAAAUGAGAGAACCUUUCUUUUAGAUUUCAUUAUUCUGUUCUUUAUUGAAGUUAAUGCAUGUUGAACAUUUCCUUUCUUCUUUUUUUUUUUUUUUUCGGUAACUAGGUGUUUGACGCGAUAAUCUGCGACCCGCCCUAUGGGGUCCGUGCAGGGGGUCGGAAAUCUGGCGGUCGAAAGCUUCUUAAAGGUGCCGUGGGCCCCUACACAGUUCCGGAGGAGAAACGGUUCGACCACAUACCGUCAACUGCUCCUUACAGCUUAGCGGAGUGCGUGCACGACCUUCUCGACCUCUCCGCGAGAAUGCUAGUCAUGGGGGGCCGGCUCGUCUUCUUCUACCCCGUGGUGAGGGAGGACGGCGUGACUAACAACACCCAGUUCCCGGAGCACCCGUGCUUCACACUUAUCGCUUCUUGCGAGCAGAUCCUUAGCUUUCGCUACAGCCGAAUUUUGCUUACAAUGGUUAAAACCGGCCUCUACACCGCGGAGAUCGAAGAAUCAGCAAAGAAGCAGCACUUGGAGUUCAAAGAGAACCAUUUAAAAUGGUUGGAGGACGGAAAUUUACACUCUGCGGUUUUUAGUCCCGCAGAGUCCCAAAUGGCAUCUCUCAAGCUCGAGAGAGACUCGAAGCCGAAAUAUAGAGGGAAGUAUGUGUAGUGAAAUGCUAAUCUUUUUUGUUGUAGCAUUCAUAUUUCAGGCCCCUUUCCCGAAUUCUGUUGGAAAUUUUGGUUUCGAUUAGUUAUCAACCAAUUUCGCUAAUUACGGAAAGUAUGAUUAGUUUAAGUUCGGUGGUGGGGUUAGUGGCGCAUUUCGCUUGUAAACUGAAUGAGGGAGCUAAUGAGAAGGUUGUUUCGGGACCAUCUUGGCAUGACACUGAUGUACUACUUAAACCCUAAUGCUUUUUGGCAAAAUUAAGAUUUUAUAUGCUUUUGCGUGGAUUGCUCGCGAUUUUUUAUACUUCUCUGAAUUGCUAUUGACUUAAUGUUGUUCUUAAACUGUGAAUGAAGCGCAAUGUUUGCAUGCUGUGCAUUAAACUAGAAGCUUGUGAUCAGAAAUUUUGUUUUUCCCCGUGUAAUCCAGUGGUAUGAUUGUGUAUCUACUGUAUCCAAUUUUUUUUUUCUUUUUUCAGUAAAAUUAGGUGUGAAUACUAUUACCGAAUGAAACUUGUUUUAUUAUUAAAUUGAAAAUGUUAAUUGCACAUGUGUGUUUUUAUACAAUUUUGGAGUAAUAAAAGCUCCAGAUUUUGGAUAUUUUUGUAACUCUGGGCAUUUGUUUAACAACAGAUACGGCCAUUGUCUAGUGCUGUUGGUUGGUUGCAUGAAGAGAUAUUUUGGACGAAAGAUGCGGGUUUUUUUUUUUUUUUUUGUAGCAAUUGGUGGUGUCUUAAUGUGAGUAAAAAGUGGCAAUGAGAUAUGUUCGCUUUAAUUUUUAUAUUGAACCACUGUCUAGUGCAGUUAGUUGUUAUUUUAAAUUAUUGAUUGAGUUGUUGCGAAUGCGAUAUUUUAUUUCUACAAAUAGAUAAUUUAGCCCCUGAUUUUUUGGUAAAAUAAGAUGAGUGAUUUGUCUAGGAGGAUUUUUAGAGUGGAACAUGCAAGGGAUUAUUUAAUCUAGCAAUUAGAAGUGUCUUAAUGUGAGUGGAAAGUGGCAAUGAGACAGAUUCAAUUCGGUUUUUAGGAUUUUUUCAAUCGUUUAUUUAUCACUGCUAGAUUGGUAGGUUGAUUAGAAAAAAAGGUGUAUCUAAUUUAAGAGUUUCUCCAAGAUACACACACAAAAAACUCUACUAUCUCAAGCAUUUUUUGUACCACUUAGUUAGGGACAAAAAUUUCGUGGGCACCAUGCCCAAACAAUUGAGUAAUGCUUCAUUAAAUAACACUAUAUCUAACCGAUAUUACUGAUCACGGCCUUACAAAACUUAUUAUAACUCAAUAUUGUAUUUUAUUUUUUUUUUAAAAGAAAUGCUAAAAUAUCUUCCCUUAGUCAUCUCACUACACCACUAAAGACUCCCUCAUUAAACAGCAACACUCCAAUAUCAUGAGGAUUUCAAGUUGGUAGGUCUAAUUUGGCAAUCACAAGGUGAUUCAUUCCAAUCUCAUGUGCUACACUUCACCUAAUUUUGUUGUUGUUUUAUUUUAUUUUAUCUUUUUAUGUCACUCCUCUCCCUUAAUUGGUAGCAUGUAAAUCUCAAUGUACAAUUACUUUAUUAUGAAAUUGAGAUCAUUGUCAUUACCAUACUCUUUAUCUUAAUGCUUUUUUUUUUUAAAAAAAAUUCUUUUUUAAUAGCAUUAAUGUUUUCUAGUUUACAAAUUGUCAUUAAUUAUUUUUUGACUAAAUUACAAAAAUCUCCCAAUCAAUAUCAGCUUUUCACUUUUUCUUUUUGUCAUUCAAAAACCUACACUUUACCCGCUUAAAAAAUAAAAAAUAUUCACAGGAGGUUACGUUGUGACAAAAUAAUUAAAUUGCCCCUCAUUUUCUUAGGGGUGGUGGGCGUGGACAGAGGGUGGGCGAGGGCGAGGGUGAAGCAGCGGAGGAGGAUGAGGGCGUGUGUGUCAGUAUAGACAGAGUGGCGAGCGAGGACGAGGCAGCACGGCCGAGAAUGAGGAAGGAGAAGGGUUUCAGAAAUAUUUUAGGUAUAAAAAAUAGGAUAUAAACGAAACCCUAACGGAACACUGACGGCGGAGGUCAAAGUGAAUAUUUUUUAUUUUUUAAGAUAGCAAAGUGUAGGUUUUUAAAUGACAGAAAAAAAAAUAAAAAAAUAGGUAUUGACGGGUUUUUAUUUGUAAUUUAGCCUCUUUUUUUUUUUCUUAUUUUGUAAGUAGGUUACAAUAUGCAACUUUGCAUGGAAGGAGUCAAGAGUUUGGUUUGCCAUAUUUGGGUCCUUGAUGAUUCCAAGAGAGUUAUUGGGAUGAUUAAAUUGGAAAAGUAAUUGGAUCUAUUUCUUUCACACAUUUUUAAGAGCAAGUCCUUCCUACUCAUGAAUGUUUUUCUUUUUCAUAUACUAUUAUUAUUCAAGUCCUUCCUACUCAUGAAUGUUUUUCUUUUUCAUAUACUAUUAUUAUUCGAAUUUGAGACCCAUUAAGCUAAAAAGUGGUAAAAUUUUUGUAUGAACAGAUCAUAUUUGUUAUGAGAGAGAGAGAGAGAGAGAGAGAGAGAGAGAGAGAGAGAAGUUGGGUGAAGAAGUAUGUUGAGACCUAGGACAUGAUGUGAAAUUUAACCCUAUCUUAUUCCCUCUCUCCCAAAUGAGAUGUGAAAUCUCUUCCUUGCUUAUUUACUACAAAAUUUUGGUAGUUUCAAUAGUUUAGGUUGUACUUCAAUUUCUUGAUGAAAGGAAGGUUUUUAUUGUACUUUGGCUUAUUCUAACCUCACAAAAUAGUCCCUUUCUAGAUCCAACCAUUUAAUUUUUUUUUUUUUUUUCUGUUCCCUUCCAAUAGAUAUUCAAUCAAUUUGAAAACAAAAAAUCAAAGAUUUAAGUACCCAUCGGCAUGAAUCAUAUCCAUAAUAUCGUAUCGUGCCAAUAAAAUAUCAGCACGAUACAACCUCCAUGCCGAUGGCAAUAGCUCAUGCCCUCUAUUCUUUAAAUUAGUAAGUAAUUUUCUUAAUAAAGUUUAAAAAAUUUGAUAAAGAUAUAUAAUAAAUAGGUAGAAUAUUUUAUUGCUAAAGAAAAUAAAUAUUUCAUCACACAUGUACUGUUGUGGUCGGCACGCGUCGAUAUGAUUCGGCAUGCACUGUGUCGUAUUCUGCCAGUAAAUUUUCGGCAUGACUCCAUAUCACGGCACUUAAAUCCUUAAAAAAAAAAAAUUGAUAUCUUCUUGUAUAAUUUCUUUUUAAACUAGCCUUUUUUAAAAAAAAAAUUUUGUUGCCCCUUAUCUCCACCCUUAAUCUUAAACAAUAAGACACUUUAUAAGAUAACUCUCCCUCACCUCACUCAUUUUUUAGCCAAAUGUGCUUUGCUUGGGAGCAAAGAGAUGGUUUGAUGUAGGGCCCAAAUUUUUGUGGUAGUUGGAUUUGGUGACUACAAAAGGGAUGAGGCAUUGAGGUAGGCUACCUACAUGCCAACAAAUUCCUUUUUUUUUUUUGUUCAAAAAAAUAAUUUUAACAAAAACAACACCUCUUAGUUUUAACAUAAAUACCAUCUAUUCAAAAAAAGCAAAAAAGAUAUACCAAAAUUAGAUAAAUUGAUGUCCAAACUUAUUGUUAUGUACAAUGGUCAUGGAUGGUCAAAAUAUUUGGCAUGUAUAUUACCAUCUUAUUUGAAAUUUUCAUAGGAAGAGUCUAUUUCACCCUUCUAUCACUAACAAGAGAAAAGUUAAAAGGGACAAUAGAUGAAGUACAACAAACAACAACAAUGAAGAGAGUGUAGCAGUGUCACUGUUGCAAAACUAAGAAACUGGAAAAGUUGGUCUUUUUGAGUUUUUGAGUUCUCUUAACAUUUUUUUGUUUCUGUAACUUAUUUUGGAGCUUACUUUUUGUAUCUUGUUCUUCUUUUUCACCCCUUUGUUUUGAUCAUCACACUUUAAAAAGUUGCUUCAUCCCCUUGUCAUUUUGGUUUUGCUCCUUGUCCACUGCAGAAGCAAUUCUCUAACUAUUAAUUUGGUCCUCAUAUUUCAUCAUUCAUGUUCUAUCUAAUCUCACUGUGUUGAAGUGAUCCAUUUAAGAGACCUUUUCUCCGAUGCUCUCGUGAUCUCGUGUAAAUAUUUUCGAGUCUCUGAGUUCUUAAUCUGUUAGGAGAAAUAGGAAAUGAGGGUGUAAAUCGCCGAAGCCGAUUGCGAUGAGGGGCCUCGCAGGCAUUGCUUCAGUCCAUGCGGAAACCAGGCACCGGUUGGCGCCGUAAGUUUCAUCACAUUAUGCUUCUCUUUUCUCUCUUUUUUACUUUUCUUUUUCAUCUCUCCGGACAAAGUAUCAGUAUUGUUACUGCAAACCAUAUCACCUGCAACUUUUUUAUCUGAUUCUUCCAGUUUUUAUUAAUCCAUGUCAUAAACAAGUUAGUUAUUUCAUGUUUUUACUCGAAUUACUUUAAUCAUUUUCUUCGAUUAUAUUACUGUGUGGUAUAUGUCGCAGAAUCACCAUUUAUGCUCUUGAUUCUUUAUUUCUUUUUGCUGCGAAAUUUUACGUUAUUUCUUGAUAAAUUGUGCAUUUCUUCAUUUUCUUUCAAAUCCUCUCUUUUUUCUUUCUUUCUUUUUUUUUUUUGAGAAGUUUAAAGAACAUUUGUGGGAGAACCUCUGUUACCAGCGACAUUUUUGAUGCAUUAUCUUUCGGUUUCAAUCACAGAGCAUCAUUUGCCGCUUUUAGUGAAUCCCAAAAGAAAAACCUUUUACACAUGCGACGGCAUGAAACAUAAUCUACAAAUGCGAACAAAAAAAAUCGAUUCGCGUAACACACUCAAUAUGCGGAAAACCGUAAAUAAUCCUUUAGAAGACCAUUGAUAGAGAACUACACUUCUUAUCAUAACUGAAUCUCAGAAUUACUAAUACAUAAAUCAAUUUAGAAGCACAAGUGUUUCAGAAUAUUGGGAAGGUUCGUUUGGUUAUCGCAAAUUCCCAAUUCUACACAAGCUUUACAACUAGUCGAACAUACAUAAUUUUCGCAAAUACAUUUACAUGAAUACAUUUCCUCUUCCCAAUUCCUAGCUGUGUUACGGACCGAUAUAACUAAGUUGGCUUCUUUCCAAUUUCAGCACCAAUUCGAGCAAAAGGAGGUUCCAAAGAAGCAGCAAUCUCAAAGACGGCAGCAAGCCAUUCAUCAAACUGCUGCUCGAGAGCUCGGGUUGCAAAGUACGGUUUCUGAGAUUUGUUCUCGUCGUUCUCACAUGUGGCUUCUUCCUCAUGCUCAUGCACUCUCCGACGGUUCAUUAUAAGGAGCAUUUCAUGUACACUAGUUCACGGUACUUGCCUCAACAUCGCCGCUAGAUAGUCUCUUCUUCUCUGAUAUUUUCUCGUAGCUGUUUCAUGUACACUAGUUCAUAGUACAGACUGACGAAUCUUUCUCAAAGAUGUUGAAUAACUUUUUUGAAUUCGAAUGCUCUGAGCACAGAUCCAGGUUUGUAACUGUCGGAUGGAUGUGGAACCCGGAGAAACCAGACACAGGCUACAAAUCGAACUUGAUCAUCGAUUGGUCGCAGAUAUCGAAAGCAAUUGGAAAACUCAAUAGCCAAAAAGUAGACCUUAAAACUGGUUUGCUGAACUUCAACAAAGAAGAGAUUAAUACAUGGCAGAGCAUUCUACCACGCACUGACGUUUCCGUAGUUCAUCUCGAUCAUGUCCAAAAGAAUGUAACUUGGGAGGAUCUCUAUCCCGAAUGGAUCGACGAGGAAGAAGAAUCUGAAGUGCCCUCUUGCCCUAAUUUUCCCAACCCGAAGCUUUCCAAAAAGGCCCAUUUUGACGUCGUGGCAGUUAAGCUUCCUUGUAGGAGCUCAAAAAGCUGGUCGAGAGAUGUUGCUCGGCUGCAUCUGCAGCUCGCAGCAGCUAGAAUCGCCACGGAGUCUACGAAUUUUCAAAAGCCAGUGUUUGUGCUUGUAGUAAGCAGAUGUCUCCCUAUUCCAAAUCUCUUCAAGUGUAAAUACCUUGCGUUUCGUGAAGGAGACGUAUGGGUGUACAAGCCGGAGCUGAGAGAGCUCAGGGAGAAGCUACAGCUCCCUGUCGGGUCUUGCAAACUAGCACUUCCAUUCAAAGCAAAAGGUCAGCUUGGUUCUCUUAUUUAGUAAAAACGCAGGAAGGAAUUUCGCGCACAUACCCUUGGGAAUGUGCGGAGUUGCGCAGACAUCCCAGUAGAGUUGGUGUUUUCAUGCGUAAACCUGAAAACCUGCCUAUUUGUGACCUUGUCCCUGUCAGGGCAUCAAUGCAAAUGUGGUUUUCUCUAUGCACCUUCAAAGGGGCAUGAAUGCAAAUAACUUGUGGUUUUGGGGCACACAUGCUGAUACCAACUUCGCAGGGAUAAUUGUGCAAUUUCACCUAUUUGCAAGGGGGUAUAUGUUGGAAAAAGUCCUUCCAAGAAACCCCAUACAAAUAUUGUAUAGCUUCAAUUUUGACCUCUGAAAUAUUAAAACCUAUAUAUUACCCCCUAAAAUACAGAAUUCAUCACUUUGCCCCUGAAAAUCCAUCACUUUGCUCGCAAGUUUAAUAGGGGUGCAAUGUAGAUUUUAAAAAUUGACAGGGACAACGUGAAGAUCACAAUAUUUAUGGGGUUUGAUUAUAUAUAUAUAUAUAUAUAUAUAUAUAUAUAUAUAUAUAUAUAUAUAUAUAUAUAUUUCUCCCCCCAGUUCAGGAAAGUUCCACUUACCGCUAUUAAAAAAACAAAUGCAGAACACCCAUACUUACCUUCAUCUCACCGAGUAGCUUACGCGACCAUACUUCACUCUGAGAGCGUAUACGUCUGCGGUGCAAUAACUGUGGCUCAAAGCAUCCGACAAGCAGGAUCCACAAUAGACCUAAUAAUCCUCGUCGAUGAAAAUAUUAAUAAUCAUCACCGAAGUGGCCUCAAAGCGGCGGGUUGGAAAAUAAGAACUAUUAAAAGGAUACGGAACCCUAAAGCAGAACCCGAAUCAUAUAACGAGUGGAACUAUAGCAAAUUCUGGCUCUGGCGUCUUACCGAUUAUGAUAAAAUCAUAUUCAUCGAUGCCGACCUUUUAAUCCUUCGAAACAUCGAUGUUUUGUUUUCAAUGCCCGAGAUCAGCGCAAUUGGCAAUAAUGGAACUCUUUUCAACUCUGGUGUGAUGGUAAUUGAGCCUUCAAAUUGCACAUUUCAACUGUUAAUGGACCAUAUAGGUGAUAUUGAAUCGUAUAAUGGUGGUGACCAAGGUUAUCUAAAUGAGAUAUUCACUUGGUGGCAUAGAAUUCCUUCACACAUGAAUUUUCUGAAGCAUUUUUGGGAAGGAGAUGUGGAGGAGACUAAGGCAUUGAAGACUUACUUAUUUGGGGCCGACCCGCCGACUUUACAUGUGCUCCACUACUUGGGACUAAAACCGUGGUUGUGCUUUAGGGAUUACGACUGCAAUUGGAAUGUGGAUAAUUUGCAGGAGUUUGCGAGUGAUGUGGCGCAUGCCAGGUGGUGGAAGGUGCACGACAGAAUGACUACAUACUUGCAGAGCUUCUGUCUUCUGAGUGAGAAGCAGAAGGGCCAAUUGGAGUGGGAUAGAAUACAGGCAAGGAAGGCGAAUUCUAGUGAUGGCCACUGGAAAAGGACGAUUACCGAUCCGCGACGAAAUAUCUGCAAUGAGGAGAUCUGUAACGGGAAGAAAAAGGAAAAGCUUUCAGACGAUCGAAAUCGGUUAGACCAUGGAUUUAAUGCAUCCAGUUCCACUAAGAUAAUUUCAAAGCUGUAAUUUUUCUUGGUUUCAGUCCCAUUCCUUGAUACAGAUUCUUGCUUCUGAAGAAGAAUAGUGCUUUAGGCUUCCAAUAUAUACACAGAUGCUGAGUGUAAAUUGAACAUUUUAGGACCCUAUACUGAUGCCAUUGUCUAAUGCAUCUCUUGUUUAUAGAAUUUUUUGUGUGAAAAUAAAGCAUCUGUUAUCAUAUUGUUUAAGAACACCUAGUUGUACUUUUCUUCAGAAACAAGCUGUCUUUACAAAACUGGAAUGUGUUCAUUAUUGAACUUCUAAAUAUUUAAUACCAAAUUCAUGUACAUUACAUAAGUCGGACCACUAGAUAUCAUAACUAGAACUAGAACAAAUAUGAACUGCUUUUCUUAGACCUGCAUUGGUUCUAUUUGAGGGGGAAAAAACACUGAAUUGGGGCUAUUUUGGCCCUCGAUACUAAAGCUUCUACAGAAGUAUUGUCUGAAUAGAACUACUUAAAGAAGCAUCGACAACUUUUCCGUCAAAAAUCCCAAGGAUUUCCUACUGCAGUAGAAGCAAAAGCUUCAAACUUAAGCUCCUACAAUGGGGCACCAAAAGCACAAUUCAGCUUGAGCAGAAGCAAAAGAUCCAAACUUUUUCUUUGCAAAAGCCUAAAUGCCGCCUUUUGGAGUGAGCGAUGCAACUUAGGAGACAAAAAGUUUUUAAAUGAGAAAAUAUUUGCAUUACCCGCAUCUAAGUAAUGUAAUUCAUGCACAUUAACAUAUGCCGAAAGAAUGCAAUUUGUCCCUUAAAUCCAAGUAAAAUCAAUUGAAUACUAUUAGAAAACAAAAAAAAGGAUUGAAAUCCUUGCUAACAUGAGACCUCAGCCACUUCUUUUGGAAUUAAAAGAAUUAGUCAUAGUAACUCAAAUAAUUAAUUUGCUUUAGCUUGAAGUAUCAUCUACAAUAGCUUAAAGCUCAAACUUAAUAUUGCUGUGUCUAUGUCCAGUAAGGAAACAUUGCUUUCUUAUAUCCUUUUCAAGGGCCAAUUUCAGUAACACUACUUUAUAAGAGCUCUCUCUCUCUCUCCACCCAAACCCAUGUUACAUAUUUUUGUUCAAGAAUACAGAUAUAUGAAUCUAAAUCAUGAUAGAAGUUAAAACACAAAAAUACCUAGAGAUGAUUAUCUAAAACAAAUAUAAAUCCAGAUUAUAUUUUCAAUAUAACUUUGUCCAAGCAAACUUGGAGAAGAAACUUAAAUUUGCUGCACAAUAUCCUAUUCAGUGUUGCUUUAUAUUACAACUUGAUCAAGUAACUUAUAGCCAAUCAUGCUACCAUAAAGUCAUUAAAAAUGGUUCAUUUAUAGCCGUCAAGAUUCACGAUACAGGUUAGAUGCAAAAUUGGAUUUGUAGAUGAGCAAAAUAAGGAGAUAUGGAACUUGCAAACUCGGUAAAAAAGAAAUAAAAAAGCAAACAUAAGAAUUGAACCUAAAAGAAUGGAACUAUAAGCUAAAAUCUAUGUAAUGAAAGAAAUACAAGGAAAUUAAAAAAAAGUAAAAAAUGGGAAGGUAAAUGAAGGAUCUGGGACUGUCGCACCAAAUCUAGGCAUGGUGACUUAGAUGAAUUUCUUACUUGCAAAGCUUGCUCAUGCUUCCAGAGUACCAUUUCCGUGCAACCAUCUAUGUUGGCGAGAACAACUCAGCAUUUCAUCCAAGAGACCUAAAAAAUGAUGCAUAUCCAUCAAUCCAUGAAUUAUCUCAAUUCCCUGUAUAUUGCUUUCACCUCAUUAUAAUUCCUGAAAGUCCAAUAAAACAUUUCCAGCAACAUCUCCCAUUCAUCUGCCACCAACACCCACACCAGAAACAUCACAAAUCGGUGUCCUUUUAGCUGCAUGAUUAGUAAAUUAUCCACUCGAAUUCCCUAAAGGAAAUUCUUCAAAAACUCUCGGCAUCAAUGAAACAUUAUGGUAACUAUAAUCAAAACUCAAUAGGCAACCCACUCAUCCCCUUGAAUAAAAUUCUCCGGAGAGUAAACACCCAAAUGCUCCUCUUCUAUUUGGCUGCUCCACUCCACUCUCGCACUAGCAUUCGCCCCAGGUCCCAAACUCCCGUACUCCCCAUAGAAUAGCGUUUUCAGUGCAAAAUCACCCCGCCACGGCAGCCACCCCUCAGGUCGCACUACCUCCCCAAAGUAACACCUCACAAACACCGUCCGUGAGUACUCUUUCCACGGCCUCCCCAGAUACACUCUGUGAACCCGCGGCUUCUUCCUGUACAAUUCCAAGUACUCCGCGCUCCCAGUAACCGUGCAAUUGUAGAACACAAAGCCUGUGGGCUGGGACGGGUCGGUCCGCCCGUGCGCCGUCACGGCAUUGCGCUCCCCCUUCUCCGGGUUCUCUAGACGUGGCACCACCUCAAUAAGACAACUGUCCAUAGUCACAGGUUCAACAUUAUAAAGGAAUUCGAAAUAGUUCAGUUAGUAAUAAUAAUAUCCAAACUCCAUUCUGGCUAUAAAUAACCUAGAAAUUUCAUAGUUCCUUGAUGAUUUUCUUGCAAACACUCUCAGCCUAGUGAAUUAUUACUAACAUAGCCAUCCAAUCCAAUAUUCAUGAGCUAUUUGCGAAUUCGUCAAAGAAUCAUAAAUUUUUACAACAAUGGCCGACCUAUCGAACACCGCGGCAGCAUUUCCGAAGAUGAAGUCGACGGUGCCGGAGAUGCGGCAGUGGCGGUACAGCUGACGGAGGGAGCGGGCGUAGAGUGUGUCCUGGUGCCCGCGGAACUCGACGUGCUCGAGGACCGACAUAUCGCUGUCGGACCGGAAUGCGACGGCCUGGUGCGCCCCGGGGCCGGCGGCGUUCUCGAAGGUGAGCCCCCGCGCCCGGAACCCGUCGGCGAGGACGGCGACGGUGGCGGUGUCGUAGGUGGUGAGGCCCGGCAUCUGGGCGUGGCGGGCGCCGGUGACGACGGUGGCGCCCAUGCCGUCGCCGGCGAAGACGAGGUUCGUCUUCUCGAAGGGGACUAGAACGUUCUCCUCGUAGAUCCCGGCCUUGAUGUGGAUCACGAAGCGGCCGGAUCCGCGAUCGGGGGCGGCGGAGACGGCGUCCUGGAUGGAUCGGAAGUCGCAGGGCCCGGAUCUGCACACGGUGGCGUCGGGAACGGGGAGCGGGGUCGGGAACAGCGGGGAUCGGGGCAGGGUUAGGGUUUCGCCGCCGCCGCCGCCGCCGCCGCGGUGCUCCGGCUCCGGGGGCUCCCAAAAGCCGUCGCGCUCGGUUCUGGGAGGGGACCAGAGGGCGGGGUCGGGGCCGAAGCGGAGGCGGGCGGAGACGAGUGCGAGGGCGUUGCUGGUGAGGGCGGCGGCGGCGGAGACGGAGACGGCCUCGUCGGAGGAGUUGAGGCGGCGGAGGAGGGAGGAGCAGUCGUGGAGGUAGACGAGGGCGGCGGCGGAGAGGGCGCGGGCGCCGCGCAGGGACGGGGCCGCGGCGGCGGCGGAGAGGCGGAGGGAGGNGGAGACGGCGAAGGUGGGGCGGUGGGGGCGGUAGAGCACGUAGAAGAUCCCCCCGGCAAUGGCCGCGAGGAGGACGAGGCCCACCAGCGCCAGCAGCGUCCACAGCACGCACGAGCAGCAGCAGCUGCGCCCGCUCCGCCGCCGCGACUUCGGCGCCUGGGGCCGGUANGAGGAGGAGGAGGAGAGGGGAAUGGCGAUGGGGAGGAGAGGAAGAGGUGGAGGAGAAGGAGGGGAGGAGGAAGAGGAGGGAGAGGGAGGAGAUGGUGACGACGAUGACGAGGAGAGAGAGGAGGAGGCGGAGAGGCUUCCUCAUUUGUGAGAACGAAUACUCCGUGCAUAGAGUUAGCGUUGAGUUGAAAUAUUAUUAUAAUAUUUUAAAAUAUUAAAUUUAAUAAAUUACAACGCCAAAAAAAAAUUCAAUCGGUAAAAAUUGAUUAAAAUAGUUUGAAACAAAUUCAAUUUAAAAAUUAAAAAAAAAAUUGGGCUUUUUUUGCAAAUAGUCCCCUGACAAAUUUUAUUUGUAAAAAUAGCCCCGUCCAAAAAUUAUUUACAAAAAUGGCCCUGCUCCUGCCACGCCAGCGCCACGUCAGCGCCACGUGGGCAGGGCAGGCCCAGAUGUUUAAGUUGAACACGGUAAACCAUUCACUGUAUUCAAUACAAAAUUUUUGUAUUGGACACGGUGAAUGGUUCACCGUGUCCAAUACAAAUACCCCAACAAUGACUAAGUUGGAGGUAUUUGUAUUAGACACGGUGAACCAUUCACCGUGUCCAAUUAUUUGUAUUGGGGUAUUUGUAUUGGACACGGUGAACCAUUCACCGUGUCCAAUUAUUUGUAUUGGACACGGUGAAUGGUUCACCGUGUCCAAUACAAAUAUUUCGAUCUUAGCUAUUUUGUAUUGGACACGGUGAAUNAUGAUUCACCGUGUUCAACUUAACCAUCUGGCCCAGCCCCGCCCGCGUGGCGCUGACGUGGCGCUUGCGUGGCGGGGCCAGGGCCAUUUUUGCAAAUAAAUUUUUGCCAGGACCAAUUUUAAAAAUUUUUUUUGUAAGGGGGCUAUUUGCAAAAAAAGCCCAAAAAAAUUUGGUAAAGAUCCGCCGGAGCGGGUAGCCUUAACCGUGUGUGUCAACAGGUAGAGCACGAAUGCUCGGCUCCCGUCCCUGUCAGGGGAGAUGCCAACCGUCUCUCCUUUCUACGAACACAGCAGACAAAGCAACAAAGAGAAUUUAUAAAUCAUUGUGUUUGGACGUUGAUAUCCGAUGUGGGACUAAUUUUGCCAUCAAAUUAAAUGUCCUCGUCGGGUCUGACUAGGGAUGUAAAACAGGCCGGGUAGCACGGGGGCCGCCCGGCCAGGCACGGUCUCGAACUGGGCUACAGCAUAGCACGGGUACUGUAACAUCCGUACCGGUACAGCCCGACCGGAAAGCACCUCUGUGGCCCAGCAAUUUUGUUAGUCCGGCAAUCAAUAGUACCCAGUGCGCGCUUGGUACUGUUAAGUUUUUUUUUUUUUUCGCCGAGACCACUAUUAUUCGAAACCGCACAUUUUUUUAUCCAAUGAUCGAAAAUCUAAUAGUACAAAGUGCUUUAUACUAUUAAUAGCCUAGAGUUCGUUUCGAAUUACAGGAAGAUUGCAUUAUAUAUGGUGAGAAAAUUUAUUUGUUUCCGCAUAAUAUUGCAUUUCGCAUAUCGCGAUAAGUCGGUUACGAUAUAUUUUUUGUGAUCCCACCGAAAAACGCAGAAAUAUAUUCCUAUAUGCUUUUAUCCCAAUUUUAUUUUAUCUAAUAGCGUUAGAUAGAUCUCAAUACAAAACUAAGCGCUAAUAUACUAUUAAUAGUACCAAACGUUUUGUUCUAUUAGGUUUUCGAACCCUAAAUGGAGAGACAUGCGGCUAGGAUGAUAGUAAUUUUCUAAGAUUUAGUGGGUAGUUAAUUGAAUAGUAUGAUCUAACAUAUAAAAAUGAUCAAAAGAAUAAAUCUAACGGCGGAAAAUUUAAUAGAACCAAAUGCUGGGUGCUACCAUCAAUAGUAAAGUAACCGGACUCUACAAAUUGUAUGAUAUUUGGCAUAAAAAUUUACAAAAAAUUUAUAUUUUCACAAAACCUGAUCACCUUGUAUGAUGUUAUACACCAAACCUUUUUUAAAACUGAUCAAAAUAUUCCUACUCUCUCUCCUCGCCCUCCUCCUCCACCGUCUACACGUCACUGCCACACUCGACCCCAUACCUCACUCACAUCGCCACUACUGCUGACGGCGACGGCGCGGGCUCUAACGCCGCACGGGAUGUGAAGGUGAGGGUGUGGGUAGCUGCACAGUUCGAGACGACGGGACGCGGCAGGGUGCCGGAGCGAGAUGAGGUGAGUAGGCUGGGCAUGCUGUUUCGGGCCGUCUACGUUACUUUAGACCAGGCCGGUAUCUAGAAAUUUUCGGGCGGGCCAUGUUUACUUUGGUCCGGGCCGGCCGGGUCGUGAACCGAACAUAGCGUGGUUCGGGAACGGUCAGAAUGAUGUGGCCCCUAGGGUUGAGUGAGUUAUUGAUUGAAUAGUAUAAUUUAAUAGAUAAAAAUAAUCAAAGGAUUAAAUUUAACGGCGGAAUUUAACUAAUAACUAAAUUCGAUAGCAACUUUUACAACCCAAAUCCAGCUUAGAUUUUUCGGGUUUGAUAUUUUAGGGUUUUUUUUUUUUUUAUGUCGAUUUCGUUUUCGAAUUUUGAAAUUUCUAAUAAGCGGAAGGAGCUGUUGACUUUGUUCUGAAAAAAUAAUUUCUAUAUAACUGAUUUUAGUUUAGAGAAUUGAUUUUGGUUAAAAGUUAUAAAGCGUUUGACUCAAUUUAGCAUGAAAGUAAUUUUUCUAAAGUGAUUCUAUAAAGCUGUUUAACAAGUAUUUUUGACGUUUGCAAAUAACAAAUUUUUUUUGCUAAAUUUUAUUUUAAAAUUUAAAUUUAAAAUUUAAAUUUGACUUUAAAAUUUUAAAAUUUAAAAUUUAAAAUUUAAAUUUAAAUUUAAAUUUAAAAUUUGUGUCCAAAAUUAAAAUCAAAUUUGGAGAAGCAGAUUUUAACUGAUUUUGAGUUUGAGCCUCUAAAAUCAGAAAAUUGAUUCUGAGAAUCAAAAUCAGAUUUUUAAAAAAGCGGUUACCAAACACUUUACUGUUGAAGGAAAAAAAUAUUAGUGACCCUAAAAUUACUUUUCAAAUUAAAGAUCAAACACUCCGGAAUUCAAGUACAGCUUCACAUUAAUUUCCACCUUUCAUUCUGUUUCAAUUUUGAAUUUUGCAAAAAUCACUAGGAAACCAAAGAGAUUUCAUUCUGUAUCAGUCACACCACACCAUCUAUUACCAGGUGAUCGUACCUCUCCAUUUGAAGUCUAAUUAUAUUUCUCCUUUUGAAUAAAAAAUAUAAAAAAUAUUAUCUUAAUAAUCAUAAUGAAACGGAUAAAUUGAAUACAAAUAAUUAAUUAAUGACAUCACAUCAGCAAUAUAGUGUUAUGUCACAUCACAUAGCUUUGGAGUGUUGCAUCAAAAUCCGGGAGGUGACUUUCCUUUUUUAGCAAAAAUGGGAAAUUAAAGUCUCUAAGCAGCAACAACAACAACAACCAUCUAAUUAAAUUCUAGAGAAAACUUCAAAAACCCUCUUGUGAUUUCGUAGUAUCUCACUUUGCCUUCCUGUGAUUUAAAAUAUAUCAAAUUGCCCCUUUGUGGUUUUAUUUUUAUCUUUUUGGUAGCUUUUUCGUUAAUAUUUCAUUAAAUUAUAUACAAAAAACUUCAGAUACCCAUCUAGAUUUAUCAAAUAUUCACUUUAGUAUUUUUUAAUUUUUAACUUUAUCACUGAUUUAAGAAAAAAAAAAUAAUAAAAUUGAUAAUAAAAAGAAAAAAACGAAACCACAGGGGGGCAAAAUUGAUACAUUUUAAACCACAGGGGAGCAAAGGUUGAAACUACGAAACCACAGGAGGGUUUUUUAAAGUUUUCCCUAAAUUCUAAGGGUGCGUUUGGUUCGAGUUAUCCUGGCAGGAUUACAGGCAAUCCUAUCAGGAUAACUGUGUUUGGUUAAUCCGCUAUGUAAUCUAGUCGUUAAUGUGGUAUUACAAAUCGAGUAGGAUUACAUCGAAAAAAUUAACGGGAGGGGGGUCGUGUAUCUUGUAUUACUGAAAUCCGUUAAUACUACAUAUUAUGUAAAAUGAUAAUUGUACCCUCCAACAAUCCCAAAUCUAAUUAGCAGCAUUAUUUUCAUCUCUCUCGCCUCCCCCCCUCUCUCUCGCACGUCGCUUUCUCUCGCUCUCUCUCUCUCGCACGUCUAUCUGUCUCUCUCUCUCUCUCUCUAUCUCUAUCUCUUUCUCUUUCUCGCACUAACAUCUAUCGUCUUCCCAGGUAAUCAUCACGAUCUCCUACCCUCCAUUCGUCAUUUUCGCAAAAUAUAAUAUUUAAAUGACCACAACAAGGGCAUUUUUAGAAAAAACUAUACUUUUAUGUCAGGAUUACUAAAUUUUAUAAACUGAACCAAACGUAUUAAUGCUAUAAACACUGUAAUCUAGUAUUACAUUACUGCAUUAAACCAAACGCGCUAAUGCAGCAUCAGUAGUAAUCUCACGCUGAAAUCCAAGAUACCUGGAUAUGUCGAGAUACUUUGUAAUAUUACAUAACUUGAACCAAACGGGCCCUAAUAAUAAUGCUUUUGUACAGAAAAAGUCAACCACAUGAGGUGCUUUUAGAUAAACUCAGCCAACAAUACCCUACCCCACUUUUCGAAAUUCAGUAUAUGUUUGCAUUGCUCGAUCGACUAAUGGGUGUGAACAAAAAGCACGUCCCUUCACUAAAAUGGGUUGGAACGUCUGUAUGUCUAAUCUAUGCCAUCUCCGCACUUGGCUACCCAGCGUUUACGGUGGGCACGAUAACUGGUACACCAGAGGCCCAUCAAGCGAAUCACUUUUUCGAGAAAUACGAGACAUCUAAGCCGUACAAAUAAAAAGAUCUAUAUAUUCAUUGAUAAGAAGAUAUCGUUCGAUUCUUUUUCUAUUGAUUCUUUUUCGAUCGGAGGUGUAAUUUUGUUUAUAAAAUACCAUCUAAGAAGUGCUUUUAGAAGAAGCGCAGCAAUCACUCUUGAAUACGAUUUCGAUGCUUCAAACCAAGCGGUUGUAGUAGCUCAUCGUGUGCACAACAAUUCUUGCAAGCGAUGCGAGAUGGUCGUAGCCGAAAGGCGAAGUAAAAGUGAAGUAAGACAGACACCUCUGCUCGUUUUAUUUAAUUAAAAUAGUCGUCUAGUCUCUGCCAUGCACGUACGCAAGGAUGUUAAGUGUACCGAUUUUUAUUAUUAGAUCGAGCAACCUGAAAUUUGGGUAACCACACGAAAGUGAGAUGUAUGGCUUCGAUGGAACCUUCACAAUUUUACUCAAAAGAUUGAGGUGUAAAACCAUACCGAGUUUAUCCGAACUGUAUAUAGACUAAUUUGAAUCAGCUAUCUAAACUUUCAAAAUUUUGAUUUAACUAUCCAACCUUUCAAUGUAUUUGAUUUGAUUUGAGUCAGUCAACAAAACUUUGAGUUUAAAAUUUAAGCAAAUUACUUACUUUAAUAAAUUUAUAGUUGCAAAAGUUAUAUAAACUAUAUUAAUUAAAUUGUAAAGAUAAAUGACACAUUCAAAAUUUGAAGUCAAAUAAACUAAAUUAAAAGAUUGGAUAGUAAAAUUAAAAUUUUGAAAAACUGAGUAGCCAAAUCAAAAUUGUCAAUUUAAUUCAGAUAAAUUUUAUACGUUUUUACCUAAGCGAAGGUUUGAAAGGUACACUUAACUAUCCACUUCAUAAAAACCACUUCCCGAUCGCAGAAUCUCAUUUUUAUUCGUUUCAUUACUAUUCGUGAAACUAAUCUAGAAUUACGAUGCGAUCAGAUAGAGAUCUAAUUCAACGUCAGAUGCACGUACAGUUGGAAUAGCGCGUUCAUAAAUAGUUUGUUAAUGUUCACCUCACUUGAGUUUUACUUAAUUUUAUUCGAAUUAAUUUGGUGGGAAAACGAUUCGGAGUUAUCUUAACAAUAUGAAUGCAUACAUAUAUAUGUAUUGAUCCAUCACUAAGUCAGAUGCUUAUCUAUAUUAUUAUAGAAUUAAUUAGUACAUGGUCAAAAGAAUGUUCAUAAUAGAAACUGCACUACGUAAGUAGUGCAAAAAUACUAUCUAUAUGUGUAUACACUUAAUUUUUAUGUAUGAGGACGUAUAUGACUCGGUCUUUAGGGAUAUGGUUGAACACAUGGUCUACGAAAACUUAGAUAAUACGCACAUGGUUGCGUGUACGUACGUACAUCCAAUAAUAUAACUGCUAUAUACGGUUAUAUUAUACGCAUGGAAUCACAGCUUAAUUAAAGUGGAAAUAUAUAGAGACCCCCUCAACUAUAGCAGAAUCUGAAACAGCCCCCCAAAACUUUUUUUUUAAAAUUUUUGGGUUGCAUUGAAACUCACUCAACUUCUAUUUUUUUAUUGAGUUUUUAUACUUACUUGGGGUAAAAAUUUUAUCCGAUGUUAUUAACCGUUAGUUAAUCUAAUUUAAUUUAUUAUGUAAAAAUUUUGAUAAAAUCGCUAAAGAACGUGAUAACAUUUCUAAAUUUGUCCACUAAAAUCACUUAGAAGUUGAAGAGUCUCAAUAAUAUUAAUAAAAAAUAGUUAAGGGGGUUAGUUCAUAAAGUCCUAUAGGUCCGGGGGUCUCUACACAUUUAUUUUUCCCUAAUUAAGGCAUGAUGUGUGUUUUAUAUAUAUAUAUAUAUAUAUAUAUAUAUAUAUAUAUAUAUAUAUAUAUUUGAGCUGGAAUACUAUCCUUAGCAAACGGGCUCCGUUGCCACCCAUUUGUUUUCGAUGAUGGAACCUCCAAAUCAACGAUCGGCACCGUUGAACAUGAUCUAUACCACUUGAAGUAUCUAGAAAUCAAAUUUCAUACUUUUUCGAUAUUGUUUUCUUAUCCAUCGAGUGGACACAAAAAUGAACGGCUGAAAAUAAAUAUUCUUUAAAAAAUGAUGAUAGGAGUCUUGUAGUCAAGAUCAAGAGUAUAGAUCUUGUUUUAAAUAGUUUAAAGAAUUUUCUAACAAAAAUUCAAUUGAUUUGGAUAUCUUUACGCCGUUAAACGAGAAAACGCCUCAUAUCGACCAUUAAAAUUACAAAUUUUGAAACCCUUUGAUCAUUAGGCAAAUGAUGUCGAAAAGAUUUGAAAUUUGAUUUCUAAACACUUCAAGUGGUAUAGAUCAUGUUCAACGGUGCCGAUCGUCGAUUUGGAGGCUCUAUCAUCGAAAACAAAUGGGUGGCAACGGAGCCCGUUUGCUAUCGAUAGUAUUCUAGCCCAACUCAUGGGUGGCAACGGAGCCCGUUUGCUAUCGAUAGUAUUCUAGCCAAACUCUAUAUAUAUAAUGAUCUUGUGUGUGUGUGUGUGUGUGUAUAUAUAUAUAUAUAUAUAUAUAUAUAUAUAUAUAUAUAUAUAUAUAUAUAUAUAUAUAUAUAUAUUGUUGAGUUGGAAUGCUAUAAAUACCAAAGAGGCUUCGUUUCCACAUACUUAUUUUUAAUGAUGGAGCCUCCAAAUCGACAAUCGGCACUGUUAAAUAUGAUUUAUAUCACUUGAAGAAUUUAGAAACUAAAUAUUAUAUUUUUUCGAUAUUAUUUUCUUUUCCAUCAUGUAGUACUUGGUCACAAAAAUGAAUGGCUGAAAUUGGACAUCCUUUAAAAAAUAAUGAUAAGAGUCUUGUAAUCAAGAUAAAGAGUAUAGAUCUUAUUCUAAAUAGUUUAUAGAAUUUUCUAACUAAAAUUUAAUUGAUUUCGAUAUCCUUACGCCACUAAACGAGAAAAUGUCUUAUAUUAAUCAUUGAAAUUAUAAAUAUUGAAACCUUUGAUCAUUAGGCUAAUAAUGUCGAACAAAUUUAAAAAUUUGUUUCUAGAUACCUCAAGUGGUGUAGAUCAUAUUCAACAGUGUCGAUCAUAAAUUUGGAAGCUCGAUAUUUGAAAAUAAAUAGAUGGCAACAGAGCCUAUUUACUACUAAUAACGUUCCAACUAAACUCUCUCUCUCUCACACACACACACACUCUCUCUCUCUAUAUAUACACCAACUAAAAGAUGUUAAUUAUAACCAAGUUACUUGAGAGAGAUUUAUUUUGAUUAAUUUACACCAAAUUGUUAAUUAGUAAAUAUUUUUCUUAUUUGUUUAUUUAUAAGAGCAAACCCAUAAUACUAAGUCGAGUCAUACACAAGUAGCCAACUAAUUAAUUAUUAUUGACAUCGUCAUCCUAAUUAUGUGUUCAAAUUGUCCCAAGCAAUAUCCAAAACCCUAACCCCCUCAUGCACUAAUGGAUCCAUCACACAAAUUAAGCCCACACAUAAAUUGGGAACUUAGGAUGCAAAUGGAUCUGGGUUGGUGGAGAUCCUAACCCAAUCCACCCCGAAUAGAGCAGUAAGUAGGAGCCAAACAUAUUAAAAAAACAACUCACCCUGAAUCCGCACCAAUCCGCUCAGAAAUGUGCAAAAAAUUUUCUUUCGUCAGACUUGCCCUGAAUGGAGCAGUAAGUAGUUGAUGCUAAUUAUUUAUCCCUAAAGUUCGAGUUGUUAGAAAUACGCAAUCAAUUCAUUUAAAGUAUAUAGAUACAGAACUCACUGAUUUUAAUUGUGAUUCGGCCCAAUCCACCUCAAGUCAUUUCUAGCUAGCGUAACUCGUCACAACCCAGCCUCACACUACAGGACAGUAUAUGCUAGCCCCUUUAAGCCAACAUGAAGAAAAAUAGGAUAAAAUCCAACCGACACCAAAUCCGGCCCGGCUUGCCAAACUUGGGAUCCGCCCCGUUUGCAUUCCUAGACACAAAGCUCUAUAAAUACCAACUUUGUAUACUCCUCUUUAAUACCUCAUGCACUCUUCAUACAAAGUAAAGCUAUCCAAUAAUUAACAUUAGUGAUCCAAACUCUGUAUUUCUCUUGCCCUAAUACACAUAUCACAAUGCCUUAUAACCGCAUCCAAAGCUUCAACUACUACUCACCACCACCACCACCACCUCCACCACCUCCUCCUCCUUCUCCUCCUUCUCCACCACCUCCUCCUCCUUCUCCUCCUUCUCCGCCGCCGCCGCCGCCGCCGCCGCCAACAUCACCACCACCAUCGCCACCCGUGGUCGUCAUCGUGUGCGUCUCGAUCGGCGGGCUCUUCUUCCUCGCGUUCCUCGCGGGCGCGCUCUUCUGCUUCAGGAAGAGGCUGAGGAAGGGGGUGGCGGAGGAGGCGGAGGCGGUCGCGGUGGUCGAGCAUGUCCGCAUCCACGAGGAGAUCGUUCCGGGCCCCUGCGGUGAGCCGGAAGUCGUGGCGGUGUCCGUCGACGAAGAUAUCGAAGUCGUGGAGAUUGUCGAGAAGAGCGACGCCGUCGUCGAGGGCGAGUACUCCGGCCUCGCAUUCGGUCGGAAGCCGCCGGAAACUUCUGGUGGCUCCCCUAUUCAUAAAGGAUAACUUUGCAUGCAAUAUAUACAUUUAUACAUAAGCUAGGGUUUCGCAUGCAUGCAUGCAUAUAAUAUAUGCUCAAAAAAAUGUUUGGAAAAUUAAAUAAGUAAGGAGAUCCCUCAAUUAUAGUCCAUUUUCAAAUGUAGCCUCAAUUGAAUUACACAUUUUGUUGAAAUUAAGAGCUUUGUUAGGAAUCAGCUAGCAAUUUUAUCAACAAAAACCGGAUAAUUAAUGUUACGAAAUUUACCAUAAUAAACUUAAUUAACAACAAAUUAAAUAAUUAAAAGUUGGAGAGGCUAUUUCAAAGUGGCCGGCCUAUAAUUGAGAGGGUCUCCAUGCAUUUUUACCUAAAAGUUUCGUUGAAAUGGUGCAAAUUUAAAUUAAUUAGUCGUGUGUUCAAAAAAUGAAUCAAGUGUUGUUAAUUAAUUAAGGUUUGGACGUGUUUAAUUUUGUUGCUUGUUUAAUUGUUUGUAUCGAUUCUUUUAGAAUGUAUGUAUACUUUAUGUUCGAAUGGGAUAAUUAAGUUAAUUAAGUUGUUUCUCCCUCAUAAUUUUUUGGCUUUAUAGUGAUGUAAACUUAUUUCUUGUUUUCCUUUUCAUGUUAUUAUUUUUUUUAAAAUAGCAUAGAGUUGUUUUUAUCUCGCAUUUUUUGCCCACAGAGCUAAAUUUUGCUACUCGAGCUCCCACCCCGAUUCAUUACGAAUGGGACGGUAAGUGAGAACAAAAAAUAUAAUAAAAAUAUAACCAGCUCUGAACCUGUCCCGAUCUAUCAAUAAAAUAGAGCGGAAGAUGGGAGACCCUUCUUUUUUUUCAGUCCACCCUGAUCCGCUAAAAAAUUCACUCCCUUUCUGAUUCGUCCUGAAUAAAACGAUAAGUGAGGAUAAAAAAAUAGAAUAAAAAUUAAUCUGUUUGAAUCUGCCUGGGUCAUCACAAUCUAAUAAGUGUCCAAAUUUGUGCUCUAAACAUAUUAAGAUUUUGGUAAUCAAAUAAAUUAUUUUACAUUUCAUAUGACUCAAUAUGCUUUACAUAAAAAUUAUUUAUUACUCGGGCCGGGCCACAUUCGGCCCCAAUGGUGGCAAAGAGAACCCAAUUCUUGUCGUUUAUUGGGCCGGCCAAUUGAUCCGAUUGUCCGAACCGACCGGUUCUAUAUUGGGACAUGUUUGAGAUUGCUGAGAGAUUCUGUUACGUACAGUGAAAUAGUAUAAUAAGAAAAUAUUAUAUUUGUUUCGAUACGUAAUAUCACGUUCCGUAUAUCCUAAUGAAUAUAUAUUUUCAUCGAAAAACAUAAAAGUAUAUUCCUAUAUGUUUUUCGUCCCAACUUUAGUUUUUGUAUUCUCGUUAGAUCGGACUCAGUACCAAAUGAGCCCUAAGAGACUCGGCUCGAACCUUUUCGAUGCCAACCCAUUAUUGUGAAGGUCCGACCCAGUCGAAAAUUCUUCAAUGGGCUUAAUUUGGGCCCAGUUAAUAAAAAAAAUAAAAAUGCUACAUUUCUACAUUCUAAACUUUGGAGAAAUAAAUAAUAAUAUGGAGCAGGUGAACACUCCAAUUAAGAGUUGACACAAUUAGACCAUUAAAUUAUGUUACAUUGAUGCAUGGUUUUAUUUUUUUUUUUUAUCCUAUUCCUAAGUUGUUUUGUACUAAAUAAUUUUAUAUAGUAAUCAUAAGAGACUUGCAACUAAUUAAUAAUGGAAUUAGUAACCUAGUCCGUAUACUUACGUAUGCACUCUACACUUUUUAAUGUUGUUAAGUGUUAGUUUUGUCUCAAUCUAAUAGCUUGUUGAUUUUUUUUUUUUAAUAGAAAAAACUUAAAAAAUAAUUUUAAACUUUAGAGAAAAGGAUUAUAAUUUUUGAAUAGACAUAAAAAUGACCUGUGACGAGCGAAUUGAGACUUCUUAACGAGGCAUCAUUGGUAGUGAGCUUCCCACUAAAGUUUUUUUUUGGGAAAAACUUCAAAUACCCCCUGUGGUUUCCUAGUUUCUAACUUUAGUACCUUGUGGUUUAAAGUGUAUCAAGUUAAUACUCUGUGAUUUCACACUUUCUCACUUUAGUGCCCUGUGGUUUAAAGUGUAUCAAGUUAGUACUCUGUGGUUUUAUUUUUUUAUUUUUAUUAUCUAUUUUUGGGGUAUUUUUUUCGUUAAAUUAGUGAUAAAGUUAAAACUCAAGAGUACUAAAAUGAAUAUUCGAUACACUUAGGUAGGGUAUCUGAAGUUUUUUUGUAUAUAAUUUAACGAAAUAUUAAACCACAGGGUACUAAAUUGAGAAAAUGCGAAAUCACAGGGUACUAACUUGUACACUUUAAACCAGAGGGUACUAAAGUUAGAAAGUACGAAACCACAUGGUACUAGCUUGAUACACUUUAAGCCACAGAGUAUUAGAGUGAGAAAGUGCGAAACCACGGGGGUAUUUGAAGUUUUCCUUUUUUUUUUUUUUUUUUUUUUUGUCCCAACUAUGCAGUAGAUUCAAAGACUCUAAAUAAGAAUUUUUUUACUUUAAGUUUUAGAUACUUUUACUUUUAUUCAUUUUAAUCCAUGUAGGACAAGGUAACAGCUCAUUAUCAUAUUAAUAGUAAUAAUAAUAAUAAAUAAUCUUCUAGAUCAUUAUUAUUAGCCCUUAAUACACUUUUUAUAUGGUUCAACCCAUGGCCCAUGGGGAUUCAAAAUAUAUAUAAGUGGUUCUACCAAUGGGAAUUCAAAUCCAGCAUGCUAUACAAACCAGGUGGCCAUUGAUUCCUGGUUUUGGCUUCUGGGAAAAGCUGUUUCAAAUUGAAUAUUUAGGCUUAGUUUGGUAUUGAGAUCUAUUUGACGCUGUUAGAUAAAAUGGAGUUAGGAAAAAAAUAUAUAGGGAUAUACUUCUGCAUUCUCCGAUUAGACCGUAGAAAAUAUAUUAUAACUGAUUCAUCACAAUAUACGGAAUACAAUAUUACGUACGGAAAUAAACAAUAUAUUUUUCUAUCGUACUUUUUUAUCAUCGCACGUAACACAACCUCGCCGUAAUCUCAAACAAAGCCUGACUAUAACUAAUCUUACCCCACAACCAAUACAAAAAAUGGAAACAGGGAAUAAACUUAACACAACCCUGGUUUCAAAAAGAGCCGCAGUAUGGGAAUAAAGAAAAAAAAAAGUUGACCAAAACAAAGACUCUCUCUCUCUCUCUCUCUCUCUCUCUCUCUCUCUUUUGGGGUGUAUAAAUUGAUGUGUCAAUCACUUGACAUUCCACAACUUGGAAAAGCACUUUUAAGGAGAAGUGAUUUGGUUUGAGAGAAACAUUGAAGAGAGGAGGAGAGAAGAUGGCAAGCACAGCUGGGAAAGUGAUAAAAUGCAGAGGUUAGUAAUCCCUCAUGAUUCAAUCAUAUCCCCCAUUUCCUCAAUUAGAUUUGUUAAGAUCAUUAGAUUUGUUAAAAAAAGUUCUAUGUGGAUUUUUCCUCUUCUUAAUUGUUUAGAGAGUAAAGUAACUUUUCCAUAUGUUUCUUUUCUUUUUUUAUGGCAAUGGUUGGUUAUUUUGGGUUUUUAAAGUGUAUCAAGUGUCCUGUGAUUUUAUUUUUAUUUUUAUUUUUUUUUGUUAGCUUUUGUAUUAAUAUUUUGUUAAAUUAUAUACAAAAAAUUUCAGAUAUCUCAGAUUUAUCAAAUAUUCACUUUAAUACCCUUUAGUCUUAACUUUGUCACUGAUUUAAUGAAAAAAAUUAGUAGAAUCGAUAAUAAAAAUAUAAAAAUAAAACAACAUGUCACUAAAUUGAUACAUUUUAAACCACAGAUUACUAAAGUGAGAGCGUAUGAAACCACCGAGAUGGUAUUUGAAGUUUUUCUUAAAAUUAGUAGAAUCGAUAAUAAAAAGAUAAAAAUGAAACAACAUGUCACUAAAUUGAUACAUUUUAAGCUACAGUGUACUAAAGUGAGAGCGUAUGAAACCACCGAGAUGGUAUUUGAAGUUUUUUCUUUUUAAAUGUUAUCUGUACAUUCAAAAGUAGGGUAUAAUUUUUUCUUUUUUUUUUUGGAUCUUUAGUAUUAAAGAAGUAUAGCAUUUCUCAGUGCCUUCCAUAUUGUUCUUAUUGAAUGCUAUGGGUUGUGAAUAAUGUAAUGAAUAUUAGAUUAUAGAAAACAAUCGUUGAUCUUCACAAGGUUAAGUUGUCAGAGAACUGUGUUUUUAAUAUUUAUAUUCAACAUUUUUUCUCGCGUCUGGACUAGAAAUUUUUUGAUAAACUCAAAAUAUGAAUUUGAAAUAAAUGAUAGAAAAUUAAAUGAGACUAGUGGUCCGACGGGACUUAAAUAAAUGCGGAGACACUAAGAUGUUUGGUUUCUCAGAAAAUCGUGGAAAACUAUAUAUUUUUUUUCCCUGAAAAACACCUUUUCCAUAGUUUUUCUUUUGCAGAUAAAAAUUCCGAAAACCAAAAACUCUAUCAUUCCAUAAAAUAUGGAAAGAAAAUUUUUUUCUAAGAAAACUACUUUUUCUUAGGAAGCAAACGGAUGCAAAAUACUUCUUUUUUCAGCCCGAAAACUAUUUUCUGAGAUAAUUUCCGAAGAACCAAACACCCCCUAAUAAGUGACUAGAAUCCAUUUUGAAAUAGGUAUCUGAACUUCAAAAGUUUUGAUUUCGCUAUCCAAUGAUUUGAUUAGGAUUUACUGGUGCUUGUAUUUGAUACAGCACCUGAUGGAAAGUUACUGAACCAAAAUUACUCUAAAAGAGUUAAGUCACAAGUUUUAAUGUUCAGAUACUGAUUUCAAAACGUGCUAUGCGAUUAUCCGAAUGAGAGAAGCUGAUAUACUGAUCUUGUAACAUGGAGGAUUCAUUUUUCCUUUGCUUUUUGCGGAUUAAAUGUCAAUGCAUGUAAAUUACUUCAAAAGAGUAAACAUUUGAGAUCAAAAGUUUUAAUGUUCAGAUACUCAUUUCAAAACGCGCUAUAGAGAUCGCGCGAUGUUCAUGCGAUUAUUCGAAUGAGAGGAGCUGAUAUACUGAUCUUGUAACAUGGAGUAUUCAUUUUUCCUUUGCUUUUUGCGGAUUAAAUGUCAAUGCAUGUAAUAUCUGCUUCGUCGAUACAGCUGCGGUUGCGUGGGAGGCGGGGAAGCCGUUGGUGAUCGAGGAAGUCGAGGUGGCGCCUCCUCAGGCGAUGGAGGUUCGGCUGAAGAUCCUCUACACUUCCCUUUGCCACACCGAUGUCUACUUCUGGGAAGCUAAGGUAUAUAUAUAUAUUCAUAUUGCGAAAGUCCAUAACUAGUUCUGUUUUUCUUGUGCAGCAGUGAAACCAUUUCGCUGAAAAUGCGCACAAUUUUUAUGUUCUUCUGAAUCAGCUCAAUGACUGACAUGUCAGAAAUUACCACAAUCUUGCAGGGGCAGACUCCUGUUUUUCCUCGGAUUUUCGGCCAUGAAGCCGGAGGGUAUGCCAUCGAAUUCGACACAUCAUGUUUAAUUGUUUGUAAUGUUUAGUUUGAUAUAAUCUUAAUGCAUAAUUCUAGUUAUCUACUGUGUAAAAUCUUUCUUCUUUUUCUUCUUUUUUUCUUUUUGUUCGGCGUCUUCUCAGCGUUGUAGAGAGUGUAGGCGAGGGCGUGACCGAUCUAGCACCGGGAGACCACGUCCUCCCUGUGUUCACCGGCGAGUGCAAGGAAUGCGCUCACUGCAGGUCCGAGGAGAGCAACAUGUGCGACCUUCUGCGGAUCAACACCGACAGGGGAGUGAUGAUCAGCGAUGGCAAGACGAGGUUUUCGAUCAACGGAAAGCCGAUAUAUCACUUCGUCGGGACCUCCACGUUCAGCGAGUACACUGUCGUCCAUGUCGGAUGCGUGGCCCAGAUCAAUCCUCUGGCACCGCUCGAUAAAGUCUGCGUUCUGAGCUGCGGCAUUUCAACAGGUAAGGAUGUGUUUCGUAACUUGAUACUUAACAUGGUAAGGACUAACACUGUGGUUGUGCCAGAAAAACUAAUAGUGAAUCAAACGGCAGAAACAAAUUUGAACGUAUCAGAACUUGAACAGAAAAUCCCUUCAAUGUAUUGUGCUCAAAACUUUUUGUUAUUCAACUAAAUCACUUUGAUGUUUCUUUAGGUCUCGGUGCGACUCUUAAUGUUGCCAAACCACGAAAGGGUUCGACGGUGGCGAUUUUCGGUUUGGGAGCUGUGGGUCUUUCGGUGAGUCUCUUUCGGCGUUACCCGUGCUUAAACUUAUAGUUCUUAAAAAGCAAGAUUGAUUCAAUUAACGAAGUGAUUUCGAUUACCAAUUAGUAAUUGCAAAACAUGCUUUUAGGCUGCCGAGGGAGCGAGGCUUGCAGGUGCAUCGAGGAUUAUCGGCGUCGAUUUGAACUCAAGGCGAUUCGAAGAAGGUAAAAAAAAAAAAAAAAAAAAAAAAAAAAAAAAAAAAAAAAAAAAAAAAACAUAAAAACCAACCUCAUAAAAUUCCGAUUUAGCGAGGUUACAUUCUGUUUCAUUCAUUUUGCAGCUAAGAAGUUCGGCGUCACCGAUUUCGUGAAUCCUAGCGAAUACAACAAACCAGUUCAAGAGGUUUGUUUCUACUGAAACAUACCAAAAUGAUGCAUGAUAUUUCAUGUUUAUGACUCUAAUAUGUUAUGCCAGGUUCUUGCUGAGAUGACAAACGGCGGAGUCGAUCGCAGCGUGGAGUGCACCGGCAAUAUAAAUGCCAUGAUAUCAGCAUUCGAAUGCGUGCACGAUGUACGAACACUAAAUCGCUAAAAUUCUAUUGAUUCAGGCGCGAAUUUAUGCUGAAAUAUCAACCAGUGUUCUUGUUAUCAUUAUUACUUUCAUUUCUCUUUGUCAGGGCUGGGGUGUAGCAGUUUUAGUCGGGGUGCCGCACAAAGACGCGGUAUUUAAGACCCCCCCUGUGAACUUCCUCAAUGAGAAAACACUGAAGGGCACCUUCUUUGGCAACUACAAACCGCGCUCCGAUCUCCCUUCAGUUGUAGAGAAGUACAUGAAUAAGGUAAAUCGGCAUUCAAUUUGUUUGACCUCACAGUUUAAGCUAAUUACUUAUUUUAAUGAAUUUAUAGUUGCCGCGUGAAUUACAUGAAGUAUAUUAACUAAUCCUGUAAAGAUAAACGAUAUUGAUUGACUCAAAUCAAACAAAUUGAAAGAUUGGAUUUAAGUUUAUGUAAGUUUUGUACGUUUUUACCUAUUCUUGUUUCAGUAACUUUAUUUUUGUUCUGUUGAGAAAUAUUCUAUCGACAAAACCGUUGCAGAUUUUGGAAAACCAGAACCAAAUUGUAAACCAAAUGAACACUACUAAAGAGUUUACAAAGUAGUCCUAAGUUUGGUUCUGGAGAACUUCAGUGGAAGUGAUUGUGGAAAUAUCGACUAAACGGUGCGUUGAAUGGCGCAGGAGCUUGAACUGGAGAAGUUCAUCACGCACACCGUGUCGUUCUCGGAGAUCAACAAGGCGUUCGAGUACAUGCUCACCGGGGAAGGCCUUCGAUGCAUCAUCCGCAUGGCGGAUUAAAACAGUCGAAGUGAUCAGCAUUUGCGCAUGUAUCGACUCAAAAGAGGCCCUUUUCUGAUGCUUUCAAUAAAAUGGCCAAGUGUUUUUGGUAUCAGUUGAACUCAGUAGCAGUCACUCUUUUGUGCUUCUUAACUCAUCUCUUAUGUAUGUAAAAAGAAAAAGAAAAAUGUGGUCCUUUGUUUGUAAUUAGCUCACAAGUAAACACUAAAUUUGUGCUUUCGCGAUGUUUCUUUUGUUGGUAAUCAAUGAAUGAAGUUCGAUUUGGAUUGCGAUUUUGUUAUCUAGGGUUUUUGUUUUCGUGCUACACUUUGCUAUUGAUGUUCCUGGUCAAAACCACCAUGGUUAAGAAGUAGUUAGGGUUUGACAAAUUAUGCAACAAUCAAGGAUUUCAUAAGUACACUUAUUAAGGCAAAUUUUAAUAUGCAUGAUACAUGCUAUAUAUGUCCUCAUUAGUUCACAUUAUUGCAUCUAACAAAAGGAAUAUAUAGUUGGUUAAUCUGCAGAGUACUAGUACUAGUUUUGUAAUCUAGAAUUGUUACAAAAUCAAAACUAAAACUUUGAUUAAUUAAUUAGCGUGUAAUUGAGUUCAAAGAGUUAAAUCAAUAUGAUGAAAAUGUACAGAAUUUUCUUAAACUAUGGACAAAAAUAUUCUGAUUUACUAACCAAUCUUUCAAUUUGUUUGAUUUGAGUCACUCAGUAGCGUAUCGGGUUUAAAAUUUGUGGUCCUCUUUUGAUGGAGGUCUAAACCGCAUUAAAAGGGGAGAAGUACAAGGAUAGAAAAAAGAGGGAUACACGAAAAACUAAUCUUUUGACAAAGACAAAAAUAUUAUUAAUUAACUCUCAAAACUCUGAUUACAUUAGCUAAAAUGUCAGAUCUGUAUUUAGAGGCGAUACCUAAAUUCUACUAGAUGAAGUAUAUUUCUAAAUCUAAUCAGAUUAGAAAUAAUCAAAUAACGUGACUCAAAAUAGAAAAAAGUACAUACCUUUUUGAAAAUAACCUAAAGAUACAAAACGGAGGCCGAAAUAAUUGAAUUUGGAUUCCAAACAUCGGCCAAAAUGGCAUUGGCUAUUUGACGCGUAGAUCUUGAAAAGUAUUUUUCGAAUUGGGAUUGUGCCCUGAAAUAAGAUACUCAAGCGAAAAAUUAUAAUCGUUUAAAGAUAUCUUGCACCAAUUGUAAAAAUUACCGAAUUUAAUAAAAUUUUCGACUUAGCUUGUUUAUGUCACUUUUUUUCAGAAACUCAAACGCUAAAUUGGUCGCAUCACCCUCUCCAGCUAAAUGUACUAACAAGUUAUUAUGUAUCUUUAGCAACAGAAAUAAAUUUAGGCACUAGAACACUCUUACCCCCAAAACCAUGAGCAUGUACUCCUAUUAAUUAAUGGCUGCUAAUAAAGAGGCUUUGAAUUUUUGGCAUCUCUCUUUCUUUCGAGGAUUAAUUGCAUACAACUCUUUUUAAACAUAUCGAAUUGCAGAUAUAUUCUUACAAAAUUCGACUUUUUAUUUUUAUUCCUAUAAAAGUCCUAACAUUUUCAAAUAUACCUUUACUGUUAGAAUCCAUUAGAAAAAUAUAGUUAACCGUAACUAAAAUAUUUAACCUGAAUAGUAAAUGAGUUAAAUUGACCUUUUUACCCUCUUAUAUUAUUGGAUAAAAUAUUUUUUUCAGGGAACAUUUCCGCAUAAUUCUUUUGAAGGGAUAUUUUUGUAAGGAUCACAAAAAUGUCAAUUCAUUUAUCUGCUGUUAAAAAAUAAAUAGUAUUCUAAUGAUAACAAAUCAAAGGAUGGACUUUUGCAAGGAGAAAAAUAAAGUUAAACUUUGUAAGAAUAUAUUUGCUAUUUGAUAUGUUUACAAAGAGUUAUAUUCAAAUAACACUUCUUACAAGUUUCUCUAUCUCAUGUUAGCAAAUGUGGCACAAAAUUUGCGAUUAACAGCGUAAAUGCUUUAGGUGCCUUACAAGGUCUCCUUAAAUACUGCUGAUAGUGAUUGAUAAUCUUAUAUAUUAUCUGAAAGUGUCGAAUACCAAAGUGUAGAAAUACUGAUGUUAAGUAACUUGACUUCUCACAAUUCGAUUUUGUCCAAAUCUCAUUUGGUGCAAUCAAGUUUUCUCGAAACAGUUUCAUCGUAUUCUCAUAUAAUUGCACUGGAUUCGUGCUUGUUGCAAACUACUAAUUGAAUUUAAUUUACAAUGAUAACAAAUUAAGGAGAAAACAGAGUUGUUAGAAGGUCUAUUCAUCUAAGUAUAUUAAAACACAAACUUGGAGAAUGUCAAAUUGGUGUGCUUUUCCCUUUAGAAAUAGCAUUUGACCUGCAAUUGAUUAGGCUUAGUCGACCACUAUUUCCACCCAAGGCUAUAAUUCUCACAUAUAUAUAUAUAUAUAUAUAUAUAUAUAUAUAUAGAGAGAGAGAGAGAGAGAGAGAGACGACGAGGAGGAGAGAGGUUCAGGAUUACACUUAUAAUGGGGUUUCUGUGCUAUAGUUGUUUCGUGUAAAUAUUCCAAUUGACGUCCGCUUUGUUAACAUGAUUUCGCCAUUGAAGGUAUUUAGAAACUAAAUUAUAUAUUUUUAUAUUAUAUAUAUUAUAUAUUAUAUAGUUAUAUAUAAUAUAUAUAUUAUAGUUGGACUGUGGCUAUUGUAGACCUACCUAUGUUGCUCAGUUUUUUAGUUUGGAUCAACUUCUUUCAUUUUUUUACAUUUUGGUUAAUACUAUAUUCAGUGGGGGACUAUUCACCAUUAGGGGACCACUCACUCUAACCGUAAUUAUCAUAUGCACCUAAUAUUUUAUCAAGGGGUUAAACUUGAUAGGCAAAGGAGGUUUUAAUUUUAAUAGUAUUCCAGAUAUUUUCUUUAUAUUAUUAUAUAUAUUAUAAUUAUAUCAUAUAUUAUAGUAAUAUUAUUAUAUAUAUGUUAUUAUUUGCUACUGAUUAAAAGUCCCAACGAUUUUUGAAUGACAGUAGAUUUGUUUAAGCUUGAUAACUUGAAGAUUCAAUGUAAAUUUUGAUAGAAAAUUUUUUUUCAUUAUUUAGAAUAAGAUUAGUAGCUCUGAUCUAAAAUUUAAAUUUUUUAUCAUUAUUUUUUAUGAUAUUUUUAUUUUCAGCUAUUUAUUUUCAGAAUAUUUGUUUUAAAAGUAAAUGACAUUAAAAAAUCAUAAAAAUUAAUUUUCAGAUACUUCUAUUAGUGUAGAUCAUGUUAACAAAACAUAUCAUCGAUUCAAAUAUCCCAUCAUCGAAAACAGUAUACCCUUCAUGUUACUGAUAGUAGUAGUAGUGUGUGUGUAUAAAGAGAGAGAGAGAGAGAGAGAGAGAGAGAGAGAGAGAGAGUGUGUGUGUUGGGGUGGAAUACUAUUAAUAGUAUUUGGCCUCUUUUGCUAUCAAGUUUUUAAUCCUUGGAUGAAAAAUUGUAGGGUUAAAAUGAUAUUAGUUCCUUAGGCUUAAAUGGUCCCCGUAGGAUUGAAUGGUCUAUAUUGUGUUAUAAUAUUUAACCAAUAGUUAGAAAUGAUCAAAAAAAUUUAUCUNAUAUAUAUAUAUAUAUAUAUAUAUAUAUAUAUAUGAAAUAGUCUGGAAUAUUAUCAAUAGCAGAAAGCUAUUAGUGCUAUUAAUUUUUUAGCCCUUGGAUUAAGAAAUGUGCGGUUAGGAUGAUGUGGGCCCCUUAGGGUUGAGUGGGUGGUUGGUUGAAUAGUAUAAUUUAACGGAUAAAAAUAAUCAAGGAGUUAAAUCUAACGGUGGAAAACUCGAUAGCACCAAGCCCCUGGUGCUAUUGAUAAUAUCCCAGCCGGACUCUAUACAUAGUAGAGCUACUAUGCUAUCGGAAGCAUCUGAUGCUUCCGACUUUUUGACUCUUAAAUUAACCCCUUUGAUCAUUUCUAACAUUUCGAUUAAUAUUAUUACCGAAUAAUGACCACUUAAUCCUGAGGACCACUUAAUUCUAGGGGAUACCGCAAUCAUCCCAACCGUAAAAUUCUUAAUUCAAGAAUUAAAAAAUCGGAAGCCAGAUCCUUUAUGGUUCUUAUAUCUCGGGUGCUUAACUUUUUGGUCUUUGGAUAAAAAAUUAUACUGGUGAAAUGAUUGUGAUACUCCUUAGAAUUGAGUGGUCCCUCGGGUUCAGUGAUCCCUAUAGGAUAAUAAUAUUAAUCGAAAGAUUAGAAAUGAUUAAAGGGGUUAAUAUAAGGGCCAAAAAAGUUGAAAACAUCAAGUCCUCUGUGCUUCUGAUACCAUAGUAACUCCACCAUACAUUUCCCUCCCUAAACUCACCUAAGGAUCCUUAAGUUCAAAUUUUAUUAAUUGAAUCACCUUAGAUACAUUUUUGGGAAAAUUGUAUAUAUGAAUGGUCCUUCCUACUAUUUCCUUACACUAUUUCCAUGUGAUACAGUUUCAGUUUCAAAAUUUUAGUUCAUAAUUAAACUCUUACAUAUAUAUUACACUUAACUUAUAUUGAGUCUAAAAUAUAAAAAUUUAUUAUCAAGAGGCUCAAACUUUUAGAUAUAAAGGUUGUUUUACAUUAUUUCAUAAAAUUGGAGAUUCUGAGUUUGAAUUUCUCCAUACUUCUAGUUUCAUUUAAUUUAAUUUUAUCUUAUUAACAAAAAUCUACACCUAAAAUAUAUAUUACUUUUUGAAAAUAAUAAAUUUUUAAAAUGAGACUGAUUAAUUUAUGACUUUUAGAACUAAAGUGUUUACGUGUGAAAAGUACAACAACCAAUUCGAACUAGUUUAUAUCAUAUACUUUAAUAUGUAAGGAUAAAUGUUGUAUAUAGAUAUAUGAUCCCUAUGUUUAUGAGAACAACAACUACACACAUAUAUACAAGCACCAAAUAUAUAUAUACAAGAAUAACACUCUUUAGCUCUUCUUCAACAUAAGAUCUUGCCCUGCCUUUCAUGCAUCCAUGGAUUUGGUUCAUGACCAUCACCACUGCGGCGAAGAGAACUCGAAAGAUCGCGAAGAUUACGCGCACGUCGCGAACUCCGACCUCCUCCGUUGCCUCCGCGUGGAGUCCUCGUCGUCGUCGUCGUCGCAGAGGAGCCUUCGCAAGGGCGAGGAGCGGAUCGCGUGGCUCCGGUCGCAGCUCGUCGGGUCGGACGUCGAGUUCGAGACCCCGUUUGCGGGUUGCCGCCGCCUCGUCUACGCCGAUCAGACGGCGUCCGGGAGGUGCUUGCACUACAUCGAGAACUACAUCAUCCAACAUGUUCUCCCCAUCUAUGGUACACACUCCUCCAAGGAUCAAUAUAUAUAAACCAAUUUUGAAAAAUUUGAAAUUCUUUCUUGUUUCGGAAUUAUUUACAUUCUGUUUGGUUUGAUGUAGCUGUAAUUCGAUCGUAAAUUUUGUAAUAUAUAUUUAUUUAUUACAAAAAAAAAUAUUAUUGUAACUAAAACUGAUCAAUAUAUAUGUACGUGUAUACGCAUGGAGGGAACACGCACACCGAGGAUAGUUUUGUCGGGAGCAAGAUCACGCGGAUGGUGCACGAGGCGGCGGCGUACGUGAAGCGCUGCAUGGGCGCGGGGCCCGAGGACGCUCUCGUCUUCUGCGGCGCGGGCGCGUCCGCGGCCGUCAAGCGCUUGCAGGAGGUGAUGGGCAUUGCUGUCCCGUCAACGGUGCGCAGCAGGAUGGUCCAGGCCCUAAGGGACGAGGAGCGGUGGGUCGUGUUCGUCGGGCCCUACGAGCACCACUCGAACCUCCUCUCGUGGCGGCAGAGCACGGCGGAGGUCGUGGAGAUUGGAGUCGACGGCGAGGGGCUGCUCGACGUCAGCGCGCUGCGGCGCGAGCUCGCGCGGCACGGGCGCGCCGGCCGGCCCAUGAUCGGGUCGUUCUCGGCGUGCAGCAACGUCACCGGGAUCGUCACCGACACCCGCGCGGUCGCGCGGAUCCUCCACCGGCACGGCGCCUUCGCCUGCUUCGAUUUCGCCGCUAGGUAUGAUUCAAUGUUCCUGCACCACUAUCUCCAAAAUUGUGAAAAUUCAUGUAAAUAUCAUUUUUUUUUUCUAACAUUCAAAAAUCUAUAUUUUGCUCUACUAAAAUUUUAAAAAUAUUUUUAGAGAAUUACGAUAUUAAUGGAGAGAACGAAAUGAUCAAAUUAUACUUACUUAUAUAAAUGGUUGCUAAAAUAUUUUACAGAGUCUUUCAUAAAAGGAUAAAAUGAUUUAUUAGUCAACAUCUCUAUAAAUAAAUAAAGGUAAAUAUACUAAUAUAGUCAUUUAAUUUAAAGGAUAUAUAUAUAUAAAUAAAUAUAUUUAUAUGUUUAUAUUUGUGUAAUUUUACAAUUAUGUUUUCUGAGUGAUGCUUUUUUUUUUUUAAUUGUUGAAAUCUCGUUUUCUAGUACGCAUAUAAGAAGGAAACUUCUGAAAGAGAGACACUAUAAAUUAAGAGGAGUGUUUUCACACUCAAAUUGGUCAAAUUAAAUAUAGUUAUUAUGAUAUANAUAUUUUUUUUCAGGGAACAUUUCUGCAUAAUUCUUUUGAAGGGAUAUUUUUGUAAGGAUCACAAAAAUGUCAAUUCAUUUAUCUGCUGUUAAAAAAUAAAUAGUAUUCUAAUGAUAACAAAUCAAAGGAUGGACUUUUGCAAGGAGAAAAAUAAAGUUAAACUUUGUAAGAAUAUAUUUGCUAUUUGAUAUGUUUACAAAGAGUUAUAUUCAAUUAACACUUCUUACAAGUUUCUCUAUCUCAUGUUAGCAAAUGUGGCACAAAAUUUGCCAUUAACAGCGUAAAUGCUUUAGGUGCCUUACAUGGUCUCCUCAAAUACUGCUGAUAGUGAUUGAUAAUCUUAUAUAUUAUUUGAAAGUGUCGAAUACCAAAGUGUAAAAAUACUGAUGUUAAGUAACUUGACUUCUCACAAUUCGAUUUUGUCCAAAUCUCAUUUGGUGCAAUCAAGUUUUCUCGAAACAGUUUCAUCUUAUUCUCAUAUAUAUAAUUGCACUGGAUUCGUGCUUGUUGCAAACUACUAAUUGAAUUUAAUUUACAAUGAUAACAAAUUAAGGAGAAAACAGAGUUGUUAGAAGGUCUAUUUAUCUAAGUAUAUUAAAACACAAACUUGGAGAAUGUCAAAUUGGUGUGCUUUUCCCUUUAGAAAUAGCAUUUGACCUGCAAUUGAUUAGGCUUAUUCGACCACUAUUUCCACCCAAGGCUAUAAUUCUCAUAUAUAUAUAUAUAUAUAUAUAUAUAGAGAGAGAGAGAGAGAGAGAGAGAGAGAGAGUUUGUGUUGUUACUAUAUAUCAGUAACACGGAAGUUCCUAUACUACUAAGUUGUUUUCAAUGAUGAAGUAUUCAAAUUGAUGAUCGACUCUAUUAAACAUGAUUUACGCCAUUGAAAUUUUUUUUUUUUUUGAGAGAAAGGUAGCAUGCAUGCUAUCCAUUUCGUUUAUUUUAUUUAGAAAAUAAACUUAGCUAGAAAUGUGAAUCAACUAGGUUUCAAACUUGGGUCUCGGAUAUCAACCACCAAACUCUUUUGCCACUUGCGCUAGGAACGGUCGGUGCCAUUGGAAUUAUUUAGAAACCAAAUUUUAUAUAUAUAUUUAUAUAUAACUAAUGAUUAAAAGGUCCCAAACUAACAAUUUGAAUGACCAUGCAACGCAUUUGUAAUUAAGCUUAAUAGUGUAGAAGAAUUCAAAUUUAAUAAAAUUUUGAUAGAAAUUUUUUUUCAAUAUUUAGAAUAAGAUUAGUACUUUUGAUAUAAAAUUUAAAUUCUUUAUCAUUAUUUUUAUGAGAUUUUUAUUUUUAGCUAUUUAUUUUGAGAAUAUUCGUUUUAAAAGUAAAUGAUGUUGAAAAAUCAUAAAAAUUGGUUUCCAGAUACUUCUAUUAAUGUAGAUCAUGUUUUUUUUUUUUUUUUUUGAGAAAUAGGUAGCACGUUACCCGCUUCGUUUAUUUCAUUUAGAAAUAAACUUAGCUAUAAAUGUGAAUCAACUAGGAUUCGAACUUGGGUCUCGGGUGCCAACCACCAAGCCCUUUGCCACUUGCUCUAGGGACGGUCGGUUUAAUGUAGAUCAUGUUAAUAAAGCAUAUCGUCGAUUCAAAUGUCUCACCAUUGAAAACAAUAUACUCUCAGUGUUAUUGAUAGUAGUAUAUAUAUAUAUAGGAGCUACUAUACUAUCGGAAGCACAAAUUAAGGAUAUGAUGUUUUCGACUUUUUGGCUCUUAGAUUAAUCCCUUUGAUCAUUUCUAACAUUUCUAUUAAUAUUAUUACCCGAUAAAGACCACUCAACUCUAGCGACUAGUCAAUUCUAGGGGGUAGCACAAUCAUCCCAACAGUACAAUUUUUGAUCCAAGAAUCAAAAGUCGGAAGCACCAUAUUUUUUAUAUUUCCGAUAUCUGGUGCAUGCUUCCAAUUUUUUGGUCCUUAGAUCAAAAAUUGUAGUGUUGGUAUGAUUGCGCUACCCUCUAGAAUUGACUAAUCCCUAGAGUUGAGUGGUCCAUAUCGGGUAAUAAUAUUAAUAGAAAGAUUAGAAAUGAUCAAAAGGGUUAAUCGAAGAGUCAAAAAGUCGGAAGCAUUAUGUUUUCUGUGUUUUCGAUAGCACAGUAGCUCUAUUAUAUAUUUCCCUCCUAAACUCACCUAAGGGUCCUUAAGUUCAAAUUUUAUUAAUUCAAUCACCUCACAUACACUUUUGGGAAAAUUGUAUGAAUGGUCCUUCCUACUAUUUCCAUGUGAUACAGUUUCAAUUUCAAAAUUUUAGUUCAUAAUUAAACUCUUACACAUAUAUUACACUUAACUUAUAUUGAGUCUAAAAUAUAAAAAAUUUAUUAUCAAGAGGCUCAAACUUUUAGAUAUAACGGCCAUUUUACAUUAUUUCAUAAAAUUGGAAAUUCUGAGUUUGAAUUUCACGAUAUACUUCUAGCUUCAUUUAAUUUAAUUUUAUCUUAUUAACAAAAAUCUACACCUAAAAUAUAUAUUACGUACUUUUUGAGAAUAAUAAUUGUUUAAAAUGAGACUAAUUAAUUUAUGACUUUGAACUAAAGUGUUUACGUGAAGAGUACAACAACCAAUUCGAACUAGUAUAUAUCAUAUACUUUAAUAUGUAAGGAUAAAUGUUGUAUAUAGAUAUAUCCCUAUGUUUAUGAGAACAACAACUACACGUACACAGAUAUACAAGCACCAAAUAUAUAUAUACAAGAAUAACACUCUUUAGCUCUUCUUCAACAUAAGAUCUUGCCCUCCCUUCCAUGCAUCCAUGGAUUUGGUUCAUGACCAUCACCACUGCGGCGAAGAGAACUCGAAAGAUCGCGAAGAUUACGCGCACGUCGCAAACUCCGAGCUCCUCCGUGGCCUCCGCGUGGAGUCCUCGUCCUCGUCGUCGCAGAGGAACCUUUGCGAGGGCGAGGAGCGGAUCGCGUGGCUCCGGUCGGAGCUCGUCGGGUCGGACGUUGAGUUCAAGACCCCGUUCGCGGGUCGCCGCCGCCUCGUCUACGCCGAUCAGACGGCGUCCGGAAGGUGCUUGCACUACAUUGAGAACUACAUCAUCCAACAUGUUCUCCCCAUCUAUGGUACACACUCCUCCAAGGAUCAAUUAAUAUAUAUAAACCAAUUUUGAAAAUUUGAAAUUCUUUCUUGUUUCGGAAUUAUUUACAUUCUGUUUGGUUUGAUGUAGCUGUAAUUCGAUCGUAAAUUUUGUAAUAUAUAUUUAUUUAUUACAAAAAAAAAUAUAUUAUUGUAACUAAAAGUGAUCAAUAUAUAUGUACGUGUAUAUGCAUGGAGGGAACACGCACACCGAGGAUAGUUUUGUCGGGAGCGAGAUCACGCGGAUGGUGCGCGAGGCGGCGGCAUACGUGAAGCGCUGCAUGGGCGUGGGGCCCGAGGACGCUCUCCUCUUUUGUGGCGCGGGCGCGUCCGCGGCCGUCAAGCGCUUGCAGGAGGUGAUGGGCAUCGCUGUCCCGUCAACGGUGCGCGGCAGGAUGGUCCAGGCCCUAAGGGACGAGGAGCGGUGGGUCGUGUUCGUCGGGCCCUACGAGCACCACUCGAACCUCCUCUCGUGGCGGCAGAGCACGGCGGAGGUCGUGGAGAUCGGAGUCGACAGCGAGGGGCUGCUCGACGUCCGCGCGCUGCGGCGCGAGCUCGCGCGGCAUGGGCGCGCCGGCCGGCCCAUGAUUGGGUCGUUCUCGGCGUGCAGCAACGUCACCGGGAUCGUCACCGACACCCGCGCGGUCGCGCGGAUCCUCCACCGGCACGGCGCCUUCGCCUGCUUCGAUUUCGCCGCUAGGUAUGAUUCAAUGUUCCUGCACCACUAUCUCCAAAAUUUUGAAAAUUCAUGUAAAUAUUUUUUUUUUUCUAACUUUCAAAAAUCUAUAUUUUGCUCUAUUAAAAUUUUAAAAAUAUUUUUAGAGAAUUACGAUAUUAAUGGAGAAAACGAAAUGAUCAAAUUAUACUUACUUAUAUAAAUGGUUGCUAAAAUAUUUUACAGAGUCUUUCAUAAAAGGAUAAAAUGAUUUAUUAGUCAACAUCUCUAUAAAUAAAUAAAGGUAAAUAUACUAAUAUAGUCAUUUAAUUUAAAGGAUAUAUAUAUAAAUAAAUAUAUUUAUAUGUUUAUAUUUGUGUAAUUUUACAAUUAUGUUUUUCUGAGUGAAGCUUUUUUUUUCUUUUGAAUUGUGAACAUUGUUUCCUCUAGUGUAGGACCAUAAGAGGAACUUCUGAAAGAGAGACACUAUAAAUUAACGGCGUGUUUUCACACUCAAGAUUGGUCAAAUUAAUUAUAGUUAUUAUGAUAUAUAUAUAUAUAUAUAAUAUAUAUAUAUAUUAUAUAUAUAUAUAUUAAUAUAUAUAUAUAUAUAAAGUGAGCUGUAUGACUUCUAAAGCAACGGACCACGCUUCCGUCUUCAAGAAUCAGUGUUCACGAUGUGGUACUUUCGAACCAGACGAUCGCUCCGUCGAAUUUGAUUUAGAUAGUAUUUCGAAGUACCUAGAAAAUAAAUUUUGCUGUUUUUUCGAUAUGCAUUUGCCUAGUGAUCGUAAAGAGCUCAUCAACAAUUUUUUAAUAGCGUAAGUGAGCUGUUUGCAAGUUUUAACAGUGUAGAAAUAUUCAAUCACGUGAAAUCUUGAUAGCAAAUUCUUAUGUUAUAUAGAACAAGAUCAAUAUUUUUGAUCUAAAGAUUUAAAUGCAAUAUUAUACAAUAUUUUGUGAAAUUUUUAGUUUUUAGCCGUUGAAUUUGAGUCAUUCGAUUAUAAGUAAUGAUAUAAAAAAAGUCGCAAUAAUUUAUUAUUCUACAUACUUAAAAUACUGCUAGAUAAGUCUAACGAGAUGAUCGCAUCGUCUGGAAAGUCCUCAACAUCAACAUGAACCUUGGAAAGUACGAGCACAGAAGCAUACCAGCCGCACUCUUAGCAUAUAUAUUAUAGAAUAGACCGAAUACCUAUUAAUAAGUAAAAGCACGUUUUUUAUGCUAUUCAGUUUUAAUCCUUAGAUCAAAAUUAUAGGGUCAGGAUGAUAUUAGUCGGUGAGUGAUGUGGUCGCCCCUAGGGUUGCGUGGUCUCCACGGGUUAUAGUAUUUAAUCCAAAGUGGUGAAAUAUUCGAAAAGAGUUGAUUCAAAAGGCUAAAAAACUGGUAACAACAAUGGGAUUUUGCUACUCCACAGUAGCCCAAGUCUACACUCAUAUAUAUAUAUAUAUAUAUAUAUAUAGUUGAGCUAGAAUACUCUCAAAACCAACAUGAAGGUGGUGCUUUUGAGUUUUUAGUCAUUGGAUCGAGAGAUGUGAGAUUGAGAUGAUGGUGGUAGGUGGUGGUAGGUGGAAUAGUGUUUGAUCCAAAAACUAUUAGUAAUCAAGGAGUAGAUACAAAGGCUAGAAACCUAGAAGCACCAAAAGGGUGAUAUUUCUAAAAAUAUUCUAGCUCAAUUAUAUAUAUAUAUAUAUAUAUAUAUAUAUAAGUCUAAGGAAAUGAUGUAUGAAUUAUGUAGAUAGAGAAUUAAUAUGUCAGAUAAGAGUAUACGUCAGCUACAUGCUAAUUGUAAAUAGCUACAUGUAUUCAUAUACUUAAUUAGUAAUUAGGGUUUAUCACAUAGUCAAUUAACCUCCUUAAUUAUAUAUUCAAAUGUUCUUUUUCCCCAGCAUUGUUUCAUUAAGUUUGACCUUAUAAAUCAUGCCUAGUUAAUUAAUUAGUUAUGUAUUACUAUAUGUUUUAGUCCCAACUACCACGAAAAUUAACAAGUGAUUCUCACAUACCAUUUUCAAUGUUUAUAUAAUAAAUUACACAUUGUUCAUUCAUUUUUAGGUCCAAAAAGGUCUUUAAUUUCCUUAUUCUUAUAAAUAUUUUCAUAUUUCGGGAAAUGACGGGGACAAUGAUAAUUGAUAAAUGUACACGAGUGCAUGCGAAUUAAUUAACGCAUUGAUGUAAACGCUUUUAAUUAUUGUUAUUGAUAUCAUCAACUAAUCCCACCUACAAUUCAAGUACUCUUAAAUUAUUUAAAAUUGAUCUUGGUUCACAUAUAUUAUUAUUAUUAUUAUGCUAUUUAAAGUAAACAACAACAACAACCACGAGGCUACGUACUCUAAUUUGCUAUUUAAAGCUAAAUUCCCUAAAAAAUUACUUCUAAAAAAAUAUAAAAUAAAAUUGUAUGCUCCACCCACCAAAUUUCGUGCUCGAUUAAUUCUGAUCCACAUAUAACACAUCUAAUUAUAAAACAUAUUCAAUUCAAAAAUUUAAACUCAUUAGAUCAAGAUCCCAUUAAUAAUAUAUAUUAACUCUCUACUCCUUUAUUUAUCGAUUAUUUGUAAUAUAUAAAACUAUAUAUGCACAUGUAAAUUUCUAAAAGCAACUCAAAAGUGCAAUUAAUACGUAUAACCAAAGUAUAUAUAUAUAUAUAUAUAUAUAUAUAUAUAUAUAUAUAUAUAUAUAUAUAUAUAUAUAUAUAUAUAUAUAUAUAUAUAUAUAUAUAUAUGCACGUAAACUAUCGAUUCGACAAAUUAAUUUCCUCAAAAUAAAAUCUCAAAAUAUUAUAUUUCAGAACUUUCCACUUAAAUACAUUUAGCGUGUUGUUCUAUACAAUACUGUUACGUACAAAAAUAUGCAACAUAAAAUAAAAAUAAAAUAAUUAUAUAUUUUUAUUAUCUAAUUUAACUAUUAAUUAUUAAUUAUUAUUAUUAUAGGACACGUUGUACUAUGAAAGCAUCGAGGAGAGAGAAGAUGGUGGGACCCCACCCAUAAUCCAAAAGAUCCGCGUGGCGCUCGCCUUCUGGGUCAAAUCCUACGUGGGCUGCCACGUCAUCGGCUGCCGUGAGCGCCUCCACGCUGAAUCCGCGCUCCGAUUCCUCCUCGCCAAUCCUAACAUCAUUAUCUUGGGUAACGUGAAAUAAUUCAUCGAUUACUUUAAAAGUUUAAGCUGGUCGUAAAUAAUAUUAAUUUUGAAAUUUUGCUGUUCGGAAAUGUUAUUUUUAGAGUUAAUUUCAUGCAGAUAUAAAUAUAUUUUUUCAAAAUUCAACUUUUGUAUAUUAUUUUUAUAAAAAUUUUAGUAUUUUAAAAUAUAUUUCUCUGAUUUAUUAUUGUUAAAGCACUCUUUAUUUUACAAGUGAAAUGAUCUUUUUACCAUCACAAAUAUGUCCUUCUAAGGUCCCAACUGUUAAUUGAAGAGGGGUGAAAAGGUCAUCAUCUCAUUAACUAAUUAAGAUUAUGUAUUUUACAUAUGAUUAACUAUUUUUUUAAAGGAAUAUAUUUAAAAAUAUCAGAAUUUUUGAAAGGACAAUAUAUGAAAGUUGAGCUAUGUAGAAAUAUAUUUGUAAUUUACUACAUUUACAUGGAACUGUAUGAAAUUAACCCUUAUUUUUAUUAUUACUCUGGUUACUACUACCUAUUUAGUUGUAGAGAGGUAUUACUUUUAGAUAUUUUUACUUCAUAAUAAUAUUUAAUAUAUUUUUUAAAAUAUUAAAAGUAUCUAAUAUAUUUCUUAUUGAUCAAAAUAUUUUUAUUGAGUUUCAAAAACGAUCAAAUAUUCUCAAAUUUUUAAGAUUUACUUGUAGUUUAGAAGAGUAUUUUAAUAAUUUCAGAAUAAAUUUGCAAAUUUUGAAUAAUAAAUAAAUAAAGGGCCUUUUUACUUACGUACAUAUGAAACAAAAAACAAUGUUUAAAUUCAUAUGUGAUUUCGAUAUAGCUACUGCAGUUGAAAGCCACACUCAAAUUAAAAUUGGCUGCGAUUACAACUGCAGCAGCAAAUUGGCGAAAAUUUGGAUCACUCGAUUUUUUUUUUUUUAAGGAUAUUUUAGGCUAUUAAACCAAAAAAAAAAAAAAAAAAAAAAAAAAAAAAAAAAAAAAAAAAAAACCUCUAUUAGCUGCAAUUGCACAAAAUUAUAGAAAAUGAGUAUAGUUAUAAUUGUUCUAUUUUUAACUAUGGACUUUAACUCAUAUGACCUUUUGCGACUAUUCAAAGGUUUUAAAUUUACUCUUUAUUUUUCAAAAUAUUAUUUUAAACCACAUACUUUAUUAGUAAACCCAAAAGUAGAGAUAUAUUUGAAAAAUAAAAUAGUUGUAACCAAUAAAGACAUUUCGGUCAAUCAAGAGUGUGAUAGAUAUUUUUGAAGUUUUAUAAGGCAUAUUAAAUAUUAUCCCUCUAAAUCACUAAAAACUUAAACGGAUAUAAAACAAUAUUUUUAUAUUUUAUAUUCAACAGGUAACACUCAGGUUAUGCGCCUUCCCAUAUUCUCCUUCCUCGUAUUCCCCCGAGAUGAGAAUACGGAUGAGAACGAGAAUAAGAAGAAGCCGCUGCACGGAAGAUUUGUGGCGAAGUUGCUGAACGAUCUUUUCGGAAUUCAGGCGCGCGGCGGGUGCGCCUGUGCAGGGCCGUACGGGCACCACCUUCUCGGGGUGGAUCGGGAACUCUCCCUCCGCAUUCGAUCUGCUAUUCAACAGGUACAUAAACGAAUCUUAAAGUAGUGAUGGACGAUUCAUUAGACUGUCUCUCUUCAGAGGCUCUCCACAUUACUUUUCUUUUGGAUUAUAGAACAAAAAAGUUCUUAAAUAUCUACACCAAAAAAAACUAUUAAUGAGAUUUUAAUAAAUUUAUUUAUGGAGUUCAAUAAAUUGCUUCACUUUGAGAUCAAUCUCUGAUCUUUUCCAAAAAUUUCUUUUCUAAAUCCCACUAGCUAAUUAAUGAACUACAAAUGAUUUUUUUUUUUUUGUGGUGGUAAAAACAUACAGAACUUAUAUGAACUAUAAGCCAUUUUGAAUUUGUCACUAAACCUUUCAAAAUUUUAAUUUUAUUAUUCACUCUUUCAAUUUGUUUAAUUUAAAUCAGCCAGUGAACACUUUAACAUCAAAAUUUGAAUGCGUCGUCUAUUUUUUCAGUUUUAUUUAACAUACGUUAUAUAAUUUUCGCAACUAUAAAUUUAUUAAAGAAUAUAAAGAAUUAUAUAAAGUAUAAUAAAUAAAUUUGUAAAAAUAGACGACGUAUUUAAAUUUUGAUGUCAAAGUGUUGUUGACCGACUUAAAUCAAACAAGUUGACCGACUGGAUCGUAAAAUUUAAGUAUUGAAAGGUCAAAGUAAUAGAUUCAAAACGACACAUAGUUCAUGCAAGUUCUUUACGUUUUUACUUUUUUCUUUUCUUUUUUUUUUUUUUUUCCUUUAACCUAAAACAGGGCUACACUGGAUUGAAACCAGGAUGGACCAGGGUCAGUUUCUGCUACUACAUGUCCAAAGAAGAGUGCUCAUUCAUCCUCUCGGCGAUCGACUUCGCCGCUUCGUACGGCCACCGCUUCCUCUCUCUCUACCGCUUCGACUGGCUCACUGGCGACUGGACCUUCCGACGACGAUGUGUGUCGAAGCACCGCACAAUGCCGGAGUACGUAGCCAAAGUUUUCGAUCAGGGAGAGAAAAUAAGAGGAAGCGUUACAUCCCGCGAAAUAUUGACAGAUAAGGAGAAGGAGAAGAAUUCGGCGGAUGCUCGAUUGUUCCAGACCUAUCUGGAAAGCGCUAAAAUGAUUGCAUUUUCAUUGCCGGAAUUUUCAGAGCCUUGUAUUGACGUGCCAGCGGAGGUAGAUCGCAGUUUGAUCCUUUUCAGAAUAUAAGUGUUUGUGUAGUUGAAAUACUACUUCCAGAAGUAGAUAGGACUGUUUACUUCUAUCACAGUAAACAUGUACAUAAAAAAGAGAGAGAGAGAAGUUAAGUGGAAUACUACUUAUUUUUCUUCUGUUGUUUGUUUGUAUAGCUGUGGAAGUGAAGUUUUUCAAUUCUACUGUUUGUUUUGUAGAAAUAGAAACUGAAGUUGUGAGAGAUGAACUAAUAUUUUUUGUUUUCUCGCUUUUUUUUUUCGUAAUUAACUUGAGUCUAUGAUGGACCGAAGCCAAUUACACUAUUUGAGAAGUUUGAGUUUCGGUCGGAAGUGAAGUUACAGUGAAUCAAACAACGGAAGUGAUUAUUUAUAGCCAAAAAUUAUGCCACUUUUUGUGAAACAAACAUGUAGCGCCAUUUACUUCUAUUGCAAUAAAAUAUAAAUACAUAGAGACUAGAGAAAAUGAGUGAGAAGUGUAAAGAGUAUAAUAUUAAUAACAGAGGUUAAGCAUUUCGUAAUAUAUGCACGUAAUUUUGUAAAAAUAGCAAUGAUUUAAAAAUUGGGUUGUGCUGGUCGCUCUGACCAAUUCGAGCGUUACCUAGUCUAUGAACUGGUUCGGUUGAAUCCUUUGAAUAGGAUAAGUGAAAAAAAAAAAAAAAAAGCUUUGAACCAUUUGAAUCGAUGGUUCAGUCAUCAAACCAAUAAACAGGUCCCGCUUUAAUUAAAUCGGUCGAAUUUUUUUAAUAAAGUCAUAUUAUCUAAUAAAAAGAAAAACUUGAAAACUUAUAUUUAUUUAAUUUUGUAUAGAAAUCAGUAUUUUAUAAUUAAGUAUAACACUAGAAUAAUAAUCUAUAUAAUUUUUUUGUAUAAUAAAAUUAAAAAUAAAUAAUAAUUAAAUAUUUAUGAUUGAACCAGGCAUCUUUAAUCCUACAACAUCCUCGUCUCACUAACUGAUUUGAUUUUUAAAGCAUUAAAAAAUAGAAGCGAAACCAUGCAGGCCAGAUACCAUGAAAUACACUUUGGGGGGUACCCAAAGCAUGCACAUGGCCUGCUCUAGCCUCUAGGAAUGUCAACUGGUCGGAUUCUGUGUGAAUUUAAAAAAAUUUAAAUCUGAACCCAACUCCCAAACUGAAAUUCGAACCUGAAUCCGAAGCCGGCGGAUUGUAAAAAUCCAUAUCCAAAUCCCAACCGGACGAAAAAUCAAAAACCCAAACCCGAAUCCAAAUCCGAAAAUCCAAACCCGAAACAAUUAUUUCACAUUUCAAUAUUUCAAAAUAUAUCACAUCAAAUCUAAAUUUUUAAAAUACAAAAAUCAAAUACAACAUCAAAUUUUUUACAUACAUAUUAUCUAUAAUGUAAAAUAAAUUCGGGUUCGGGUUUGGGUCGGGUACAGUCAAAAUCUAUAUCCGUUGGAUUUUUAUUUUUGAUAUCCAUAUCCGAAAUCAUAUCCGUUUAGCAUCGAAUAAAUUCGUUCUGUUCGGAUUCGGAUUCGGAUAAAAUUUCUGGUAUCCGUACACAUCGGCAUCCCUAGCCUGCUCCAAGGAUGAUUGUGCCAGAGCCUUCCACUCCAAUCAUCUACACCACCCAUUUUUAGUGGCCCUAAAAAUCUCAGCAGAUACAACAUAUAAACUAAUGAAAAAGCAAACUAAACCUUCAGGUAAAGAGAGAGAGAGAGAGAGAAAGAGAUCUAGAGAGUUGUUUAUGAUCAGCCUCAGCAACCAAAAGAAGCUAUAAUUCUGUCUAGCUCCAUUUCAUCUCCUGCAGUGAUUAGAGGAGAAGAGGUUAAUUAAAUGGGGAGCACCCUCUUCACCAGCUCCUGCUUCUUCUCCCUGAGAGGAGGAUCAGACCCACACCAUCUUCAUCUUCUGAGGGCUUCUGGGAAGAGCUACUUCUGCAGAGCAGCAGCAGCAGCAGCAGCUCAGAAGGGUACUGAAUGUUCCACACAAGAAGCAGCAGUGGAAGAAGGUGGUGGUGGUGGGGAAGGAAGCACAACAAGCACUGGGGUGGUUUCAUUUUCUGGGAGGAGGAGGGAGGCUUUGGCUGCUGGGCUUUUCUUAGCUUCUGGGCUGGUUCUGGGGGUUGUUCCUGGAACUGGGCUUGCUGUCAAGCAAGGGCUCUUGGCUGGGAGGAUCCCUGGCUUAUCUGAGCCUGAUGAAAAAGGUUAUUUUUCUCUUCUCUUUUGUUGCUGUUGUUGUUGUUGUUGUUUUUUUUCCUCAUAAAUUAUAUGAGUUUCCUUUGAUUUGUUUAAUGAAAUAAUCAACCAGGGAUUAGUUAGUUAAGAAGAGGUGAAAUAUUAGAGAAGUAGAAUUAUUUGUUAGGUGUAACUUCUCCAUGAAUUCUAGCACUAAAUUGGCUGCAUCAAAAGAGAAUAAAAUGGUGGAAAAGGAGAGGCCAGUUUGUUGUGGUGUGUGUUGAAUUAUUGUACCUAGUUCUUUUUUAUAUAAUUCGAAUUAUUGUACCUAGUUCUUUUUUAUAUAAUUCGUGAAGGCAUACUUCUGAUGAGAAACAUGGUUGACGAUUUGAACUCAGGAUCUGGACCUUCUCCUCUGAUACCAUGUAAAGUAACUGAUUAAUUUAAAAGCUUAAGCUAUGCGAGAACGACGUUUUUAUACUAUAUAUGUAUUCCGCAGUUUGGAACAUCCUAAUUUCUAAGAAAAGUUGUUUUAGUAAUCUUCAAACUUGGUCACUGCAUGUUCAUAUAUAUAUAUAUAUAUAUAUAUAUAUAUAUAUAUAUAUAUAUAUAUAUGGACUAAUUUUCUCUCCAAGAACAGUUUAAUGAUCCUUUUCUGAUGGAAAAUGUUGGUUCAGACAGGUUGGAGGACAUACCGUAGACCGGACGACAAAUCCGGCGGGCACGGAGUCGGGUGGAGUCCGAUAAUCCCUUACACCUUCAAAGUUCCACCAGGGUGGGAUGAGGUAAAAUUUUUUCCAAAUAUUAUUCGACUCCACGUUGUGCUGCGUAAAACUGAAAAUGUUUCAGAUCAAUAAUGUAUCCAUUGUAUUCUGAGAGACCGAAACUCGGCAGAUCAUUCUAAAUUUGGUUGGUUUUUGAUGGUCUUUCGUAGGUUCCUGUAUCGAUUGCCGAUCUCGGUGGCACGGAGAUUGAUUUGAGAUUCGCGAGCUCGAAAGAAGGCCGCUUAUUCGUUAUUGUAGCUCCUGUUCUUAGAUUUGCAGGUACAAAAUUCCUAAUACUGCUUGUUUUCCGAAAAUUUUCGUGGUGGUGAUGAUAAAAUAUAUAACAUGUUAAUGAUUUGUAUGUGCUUAUUGAAUUUAUCAGCUUCUGACAAACUAAAACUUCAGAACCAAAGAAUUAUCUUGAUGAACUUCAAUACCUGAUGAGCAUUCCCCAAUAUUUCAAUCUUAAAUAUUCAUGAAAAUUUUGAGCGUAAAAUAUGUUUGAUUUAAGUAUCCUUUGUGACGGAAUAUUUUGCAAUCUUAUGUAGCAAUACUUUUGUCGUAAACCAUUAGAUACGAAAAUAAUCUGACGAAAUUACUAAGAAGUUUUCUGAAAUCAAAAGAACGGACGAUUCGGUAGUAAAAUCAAAAGCUUGAAGUUCAGGUGGUAGAUUCACGGUGUUGUUAACAUUUCAUUGCGUAGAUCUCGAAGGGGAGGUGACAAUCGAAAUGAUCGGGACGCCGGAGAAGGUGAUCAACGCUUUCGGCCCCGAAGUUAUCGGCGAAAAUGUGGAAGGCAAAGUUCUAACUGCAGAGACAGUGGAACACUCAGGAAGGACUUACUACCAGUUUGAGUUGGAGCCUCCUCAUGUCCUGAUCACCGCGACGGCCGCAGGGAAUCGACUCUACUUGUUCAGCGUAACCGCGAGCGGUAAUAAUAUAAUAAUAUAAUCCUUCACCUUUCUUCUUACUAUCUUACAAUUAUUAUCUGAAAAUUGAAUGGAAUAAGAGGUCAUAUGAUUUUCAAACUCAAAUUGUUUGGUUUGAAUUUUUGCAGGUUUGCAGUGGAAGAGACAUUAUAAAGAUUUGAAGGAAAUCGCAGACUCCUUCCGAGUCGUUUAGAAGUUUAAAUGGGAGAGUUUCUGAACAUUACUGGAAAAAGAGAUUAUAUUAUAUCCAAGAUUACACAGAUACAAAUAUUAGCAUCUUUCUGAAGCAGUUGAAUGUGAUAUGAUUGAUUCAAUAUUUGAUGUUGAAUGUUAAGCAUUUGAGAGAGAUUUUACUGUAGGAAUUUCUGAAAUUAUACAAACCUUAUUCUUUGUUCUGUUAGUUGUGAAAACAUGUGCACAGUAACACUGUAAACCCUAGUCAGAGGAUGGGAAAAAUAUGGGGAAAAAAAAACAAAAAGAAAAAAAACCUGUUUUCACAGUGCAAAAUCACACUACAAAGAUGAAACUUUGCAGUUGCGCGGUUAUGCUGAUAAAAUGAAUUUGCUAGAGACUAAUAAUAUGACACAAAGUAGAAAACAAGGAAAAUGAAAAUCACCAUGUAAUCGCAUAUGGGACAACAAUAGCAGUUACUAAUUAAUCAGGUUUAAAAAAAGAUCAACAAGUACAUAAGCCCCUCAAAGAAAUAAAUGGCAUGGGGGCCCCAAAAUUGAUAUCUACAUAAUUUACACAAAGCUAUUCUCUUUAUCUUUCAGAUAAAACACAGAGAGUUUGACCUUAGAGAAACCAUUUUAGAGAAACUCCAUUAAAAAGAAAAAAAUUCGAUCCAAUGGAGAAAAUGUUAUCAGUACUUGGUUACACAUCUUGUGUCGCUCCCUUCGGAAAAUUGUGUCGUUCGACUCAAUUUCGAGAGCAUUGCAGAUGCGACAACUCUAUUAUUCUCCCGAAUGAUCUUAACUCGUUGAAGUGUGUCGAGGUACUUCAUCAAGCAUCAGGUUCACUUAAAUCCUGGGCUAAAGUAAGGAAAAAAAAGAAUUUUCAACUAGUCUUCCGGCAAACGUAGUUGAAAGCAUCUGCUUCGAGAGUUGGGCGAACUGUAUCCUUCAUAUACGAAACUACUCGGGAUCGUGUGCAUGCAAAACACUGAAGCAAUUGGAACAUUUAUGGCAAUCCAGAUUCCUGCAGUGGAAGAACCCAAGCAUGUUAUGGUGUUAGAAGCCAAAUCAACUUCAGAAUAUGGCUAGUUUCUCUUCUUUAAGGUUUUGCAUUUUUUGAAUUCAAAUAAAGAAAUCCCUUAAGUAUGAGUAUCGUAGGUCGAAACGUAAAUAUAAUAAAAGAAAUGUUAGGAGCGGAGCAUUUUCUUUUGAAGCAACUGAAAAUUGAUUUUGAAGUAAUUCAAUUUUAAAUUUUUAUUUAGAAACAUCUUACGAAAAUGAAGAUCAACUAAUGUGAGGGGAUAUGCGUUUGUACCGAAAUGAAAGAGGCUCAACUCCUAAAGAAAGUAAUCAGCCAAAAGCAGCUGUGGCUUUUCGGUGUCUUCCUUGAUCUCCUGCGAGACUUCGUCUUUAAUUUCUUUUAUUCUCCUGUCCCAGAUGUCGUCUACCAGCUUCCAUGUCUCAUCGCUGAUUAUCUGCGUCUGUAGAGAUGAAAAAUAACAGGAAUCAGCCCUAAAAGAGCGACUCCUGCUAAUGAAAUAUGACUAAAUACAUGCGAAUGCGACUGUGCAUACCUCCAAAGGUCUGGGUGCGCCAAAUGUAGCAAAUCCCACAUUCCCUGGUGCGAACGUAACUCUUCCGGGAAGGGAGAUACCGUGAAUACCCCAUCUCCCAGCAUAAAUAAGCACGCCAUACUCAUCGACUGGAUUCACAGGUGGCUGGGAGAAGGAUACAAAGUUUUUGGGAUAUCAAUUAAUUGUCAAGAAAUUGUUAUGGAGCCAGACCAUCCAAAAGGAAUUGCAUGAAUUUUCUGGAUGAUUCAAUGGUAGGAUACAUUUCUAAGGGAAAAGAAUGAUAUACAUACUUGAGGUAUUCGUGGAGAUUUCUUGUAUAUCUCCCGAAUCUCCUCCGCGUUUAUUACUCUUUUUUCAAGCAAAAUAUCUGAUCAAGCAUAUAGUGCCAUAUCAUAUUAGAUAUGCUGUAAUGCAUCUUAAAUGUCUAUCUUUGCUAAAACAAACAUCAUCAUUAAAUAUUGAAUUGAACAAACCUGUAAUAGUUUCAACAGCUGAACGAUACUCUCUUAACACAGCUGAACAUUUCUCCACUGCAAAGCGCAUGUAUUCAUUUCUAAGGGCUUCCAAUUUUGCUGCAAGCUGCAAAACUCGCACGUCAAAACAUUUAAUUGAGAGAUUUUGAUACAUGAAAUAAGAAAUUGAGCAAGUUGCUUGACACUUGAGGAGAUAAAUAUACAAUAAGAAUUUGAUUAAAUUUGUUGACCUACAUUUGGUACAAGAUCACCCUGAUUUCUAUAGUAGGCUUUGCCAAAUGCUGUCAUCCCUGUCUGAAGAAUCAAACGCUCGGCACGCCUCGAUGCGUCUGUUGUUGCUGUUGCUGAAAUCCAGCAUAAAUUAUCUAUUCCAAAUAUCUCCUCCUCGAUAACUCUUGCUAUUCAUUCAAGAAUCCAAUAAAUGUAUUAGCAGCAAAUUUUGGUCUUUUUAGUUACAACCAAACAGCCUUUCGCAAAACAAAGAGAACCCAAAUAACCAUAUAGAUUCCAGUAAUAUAUGUUGAUUAUUGCAAGUUUGUCAAGAAUCUUUAAUAACAAAAGGAUAGCGGAUGCCAAACCACAAUUGACAUGCUUGAAAGAACAGCAGAAUGAUACUAAAUAUCUACGAGUGUGUUAUUUCCAUAAAAGCGUCCAAUGAAAGAAUACAAUGAAGAAAUAGGACUUACGUGCACAAGCUCGCACAAUAGAAUUAAUGUAGUCAGAUUUUCUCAGAAAAGCUCUUCCUGAGGUUUCAGCAUACCGCAUAUUUGGCUUGCUGCGGAUCGUACGGAUAUCAGUCUGCAAAAAUACGAAAAUUUGCUAGGUUUAGUAGGAAACAGAAGAGCUGAUAAAAAAAAAAAAAAUCUUAAAACUUGAAUCUUUGGUCAACCUCCACAAAAGGACAAUGUGGCUCCGGAUAGAAGCAAGCAAGAACUGCCACAGCGGCUUCUCUAUACGCCAACCUAAGCUUUAGUUCUUCAGGGAUCUCAGUACUAUCUUCCUGACCUGUUUCGAAGGUCCCUUUUUGCUGCAAAAAUGUAAAUAUACAAGAGCAUAGAAGUAAAAUAAAAAGUUAAUCUAGUUGCCUACAUGCACAGCAUAUCAAGCAAUAUCUAUUAGGGGCUGUUUGGUUCACGGUUUGUGGUAUUAUGGAAAUGUAGUAUAUUUUAUAUUUGGAAUGACAAGUUUGUUACUAACUUAUCAAGCCACUUCGAUUGGAGAUUGUUAAUAACUAAUAUAUUCUUAUUAAUAGAUUACUAAUGAUUCCCAUCAAGUAUGAAAAUGAGAAUACCUCCUAACCCAUAAUAAUCUGGUAUUCUUGCUACUUCGGAAACUACAAUCAUUCCACUACUUUACUAACACCUUUUAUAACUACCCAACUUGAGUUGAAAGAUAAUGAUUUAAUUAUUUUCAAUAGAAAAUAUGAAGGAUUACCGAAAUAUUACAAAUCUUGAACCAAACAUCCCAUAGAUUAAUCAAAUCAGUAAUGUAAUAAUACCCUCUUUAGAGCCUCCAACAAUUCCUCUCUUCCAAUGUAGUCUUGAUCCUUUCUCGCAGUCAAAAUCCCAGCCUCAUUCCUGAACAUUAUUUGCAUUUAUUGUUUGCUGCUUAUAGAUGGAAUUUAUAUGCAUAAAAAAGAUUCUCCAAAUUAUUACAGUAUAUUUUGCAGCUCUGCUCCAGUGAAGUCUACCGUAAGCUCUGCAACUUCCUGCAGAAGAGCCUCUUUCUCAGCUUCGGAUCUGAAAUACUUAUUCCUAGCAUGUACCUGAAAAAGAAAUUCGAGGAGCAAACAGGUUAGAAGUAUUUAAAUAUAUCCAUAAAUAAUUAUCCACUUACAUGUAUAUCGCCAUAAAAUCUGAAUUUUCAUAUAAAUAUAAACAUAGUUCUCACAUCUACCCUUAUUUUUACGAAAAUAACCCUCCAAAGUAACUCUUUUAUAAUAGAAUACAAACUUUGCCCUUGAAUUGGAUGACACCCCAGCAUAAAAUGAGGGUCUUUCUUCCUAAGAAACAGCAAGCAUGUGUGUAAAUAGAUGUUUUUGCAAGGGUAUUAUGUUAAAUAGUGAAAGCCCAACAAAGUAUUACUUGAAGGCUAAAAUAUUGAUAAGCUGAAUAUUUACAAACCUACCCGCAAUAUGGCCAAUCUUCCAUCUUUAGAUGGAAGGCCAACCCUUAUAAUUUUGUCGAAGCGACCCUUCCUGAGGAGAGCCGGGUCCAAUAUAUCCAAACGAUUAGUUGCACCUAUAACUAACACCUGUUGAGUUCAUUUUGGCAGCAUUUAUCAGCAGCAUUGCAUUUAAAAAUGAAAAUCUAUACAAAAAAGUAGAGCAUGCCUGUGCUGUCGACUCUUUGAACCCAUCCAUCUCAGUCAAAAUUUGCAGUAAGCCCUGCUCCCUCUCGGCACCACCCUGAUCAAAGACUGGAAUAUUUGAGUCAUGCAUGUAUGAUGCAAGCAAGAGGCAACAGAGGAUAAAACACAAAUAUCACCUACAUAGGAAAAUAAUUAAACACAGUAGAUUAUCUCACCCCACCAAUGUCAGGUCCUCCACGUUUGCUGCCAAUUGCAUCAAUCUCAUCAAUAAAGAUAAUAGAUGGUGCAUAUGACCUCGCAUUAACAAACAGGUCCUUGACACGAGCUGCGGCAACACCUACAAACAUCUGCAACAGCAAAUAUCUCAUUAUAAGUGGAUUUACUCAGUAAAAUGAAUAUAAAAUCUGAUCUAUACCAUAGAAGAAUCUAACUUCUAGCCAAAUAUAGUGCUAACAGCCUAACAACUUGUUAGAUGUCAAACAAAACAAUACUGAGCAUGCUCACUUUCGCAAUGAUAGUCUGAUCAGGUACCUUCCUUCCGACCAAUGGAAAGAAAAAAAAAACUGCUUGUUAGAUAAAAGGAAGAUCAAUUCUCACCUCAACAAAAUCAGUACCAUUUGCAGCAAAGAAAGGAAGUCCUGCUUCACCCGCAAUAGCUUUAGCAAGAAGAGUUUUCCCAGUUCCUGGCGGUCCAUGAAGAAGCACUCCUUUUGGACAGUAUAUUCCCUUAUCUUGAAACUCCUCCUCAUUUUUAAGGAUUCGCACGAUCUCUUGCAAUUCUCUUUUUAUGUACUCUUGGCCAGCAAAAUCAUCAAAUGUGACGCCGGUGGUUUCUUCUGCAGAUAUGAACUUCGCCCUACGACAAACCAAUUUCAAAAGCUUAAAAGAAAUUAACAAACCAUUUUUUUUUUCCAUCAGAAUUAACAGACAGCUAGAACAGAUGCUACAUUUGGCUAAGCUGUUUUGUAUACCAUUCAGAAACAAGAGAUAAAAAAUCAGCAAAGAUAAUGAAUAUUCUGACCUUCAGAUUCCUCCCUUCAUAUUGACUGAAAAAGAGGCAAGGACACUGACAUUGCCGAUUCCUACAGACUUUUUUUUUUCACUGGUGAUUCGUGCAAACUUGGAUAUUGACAAGAACGGUUGCAGUUCAUACAUUUCCCACAAAAUACACAAACCUAGUCGCAUAAGGAACAUACAUGGCAGAGGCAAAGUGACGAAAAAUGAUAGUUUAUGUACAAUUACAAACCUACAACUUUCUUGUAAAUAAAAAAAGAUGCAUUCUAGCAUUUCAAAACCAUAGUUUACGUACUAUAAUCAUGCAACAUAUAAGUCACAAAUUCACGUGCACUUCAAUAUGAAGUCUAGACAGCCAUGAACAUGAGUAUAAGCUGUUUAAUGAAAGUACACAUUUUCUAGUGUGAAAAUUUUUGCCCCUGGUAAAUGAUUCUAGGAAUUAAGUGCUGAAACUAAAUAAACAAGCUGAUAUAUAAAAUACUUCUGUAGAUUACCUGCUUUUACCUAGGGAUCCAAGAGCACGACGCUUGAGGGGCUGCCUUGCCUUUUUUUCAGGUUUUCCAAGGUCACAGGGAAUCAGCUUGGCAUAAAUUGGCCUUGUCACGCUAUCGAUCAAUAGGUAUAUACCAACUGAAAGGGCAAAACGCAUUGACCAUACAACAGCAGUUGCAAUAGUAGAGUAGACUUCAGCAGGCACAGCAUCCACGUUAAUAACAUCAACAUUUACCAGUUGUUCAUGCAGCUUACUCCAAACAUCAUUCCAUCCAUCAACAGGCAUUUUAUCAACAAUAUGACGGCGAAAUACUAUUUCUCUAUUGGGAUUGUUUUCUUUUUCUCCUCCAUCUUUGUAAUAUGGUAAAAUAACUGCAGAAGAGAUAGGAAGUCAGUGUCGCAAUACAGAACUUUUAGGGAUGCAUCAAUGAAAUCUAUGUGUCCCCUAACAGCCUUGCUCGAAAUAAAAUUUCCGCAUAUUUUGCACUUUCCAACUGUAGUCUCAAGCAGAGAGCUUCAUUAAUAUUUUCAGCACCUAUCUAUUUGCAAAUGCUACCCACACACAUUUAUAUUUGUCAAACUACAAAACGAGGAUUAUAAAAGUAUGCUCCAAGGCAGCAAUUCAAAUGGAAGCAACUAAUAAGUUCUUAUACAUGUGAUGUAAUAAGAGAGAGCACAUACCAGAAAUGGUCUGGCCAAAGUUUGAGUAUUCCAUGAACUGAACAUUAUUCGAAUUAAGAAGUCUCCAAAAUUCACUAAAAUCAAUUCUAUGAGAGUUCUCAGGAUCCCACUCUGUACCCUUCAAUUUUCCCUGUAGAGUGAGCAAAGUGCGGCUCCAGCAGGAAGCCAUGAUUAGCUGCCUCUCUAGUUGCAUAUCUGCUUUCUUCUCAAACUUCUCCAACUUCUCUAUCCGCUGCCUCUCUGCUUCCUUCAACCUCUGAAAACAAUAGGUUUGUGACGUCAUAUGGGACACAAGCAAGAUAAAUGGAACAAGAGCCUAUUUGGAUACAGCAAUAAGUUAAAUGGUAAGUAAUUACAACUAUAACCAGGAAAAAUGACUUGCAGAGCAUAUAUGUAUACAGUUUAAGAACGUCAUCUUUCUAUACUCCCUAUGGAUCAUUUAAUGACCCAGCCCAUUAGCACUAAGUUCUUAAAUUCCAUGCAUAAUUACUUUCUCACCCAAUUUAGAAUUAUUGGGGUAUUUCAAACUCCCACCGUUCGUACUCACCAAGUCCAAUCACACACACACGUAGUCCAAGAUCAUUGGGCGAUGUGAGAAUUGUCUCGCAUUUUUGACUGGUAAUCGACUCCGAUACCACAUUUAACCAGUCAGCCCAUUAGCACUAAGUUCUUAUAUUUCCACAUGCAAUUCUCCAUUCCCAUCCAACACGAUGUCGGACUAUUAGGGCGUCACAGAUCAACAACCACAUGACCUCGAGUAAAUAACAGAGUACGCUGAACAAGAUACUGAUGCAUCAAAAGAUGCUAUUGAAUGAGACAAAUUUUUGAUACAAUGAUCAAUUAUAAAUGGAAACACAUUUUACUAUGUAAUUUACAGAAGCAGCAUAGUAUGUUUAACUGGAAUCACUUGCUACAUAGUUAUUGCCUAGUUCUAAGGGCAUUUAGAAGCUACAACCCUUCCAUUGCUUCUUUUAAACCCCGCACGUAAGAACCCUACAGCUACGAAUUCUGACGAAACGCUAGAAAAUAAUUAAUUCAUUACACAAUCAACACCUCAAUAGCGCGAAGCAAAACCGCACCUCGAAGAGCCGAGACGACUCCACAUCUUCUUCUUCCUCCACUGCAUCUUUCCCCGUCGUCUCUUCCGCAGCAACAGCUUCGCUAGGGAUCGAUCCCGAGCUCCGUGCUACAAAACCGCCCCUUCUGAUCCCAAUCCCCGAUCGGAUGGAGACGAAGAGGUGGGGUUCGAAGCGUCGGCGCCGGAGAUCCGAGGCGCGAAGCGACCAAGGGCGUGGGCGAAGAAGAAGAGGAAGCGAGGGUUCGGCGUGGCGAGAGAGGAGGCAAGAAGAGGAACGUGGAGACGUUGACGCCAUUGUCGCCUCCCCCCUUCGUUCUCUUCGAGCUCGAGCUCCAGCUUCAGCUCCCCCGUUUUGGGGUUUAUCCGAAACGGAAGGGGUUGUAAUAACGGGUCGGAUCCGUUUUAUCUUGGGUCGGGGUUUUUCCUAGCGCGGAAAUUGAUCCAUUUGUUGCGAACAGGGGUGGCAAUCCAGCUUUUUUCAUAAGCCAUUUUUUGUUCGGCUCAAAAUGAGUUUAAGAUCGAAUCGCUAAUUAAAUAAAUGAACUGAAUUUUUUAACUCGUCUAAUAAACAAGCCGAAUACGAGCUGGGAUCAGCUCGUUCGUGUUCAGCUCGAUAACAGGUCGAAUACGUAUAUUUUAUAUUUAUAUAAUUUAUAUAAUUUAUAUUUAUAUAUAUAAAUAAAUAGAGUCCGGCUACUAUGCUAUCGGUAGNCGAUGUCGGACUAUUAGGGCGUCACAGAUCAACAACCACAUGACCUCGAGUAAAUAACAGAGUACGCUGAACAAGAUACUGAUGCAUCAAAAGAUGCUAUUGAAUGAGACAAAUUUUUGAUACAAUGAUCAAUUAUAAAUGGAAACACAUUUUACUAUGUAAUUUACAGAUGCAGCAUAGUAUGUUUAACUGGAAUCACUUGCUACAUAGCUGUUAUUGCCUAGUUCUAAGGGCAUUUAGAAGCUACAACCCUUCCAUUGCUUCCAUUAAACCCCGCAGGUAAGAACCCUACAAGCUACGAAUUCUGAAGAAACCCUAGAAAAUAAUUAAUUCAUUACACAAUCAACACCUCAAUAGCGCGAAGCAAAACCGCACCUCGAAGAGCCGAGACGACUCCACAUCUUCUUCUUCCUCCACUGCCUCUUUCCCCGUCGUCUCUUCCGCAGCAACAGCUUCCCUAGGGCUGGAUCCCGAGCUCCGAGCUACAAAACCGCCCCUUCUGAUCCCAAUCCCCAAUCGGAUGGAGACGAAGAGGUGGGGUUCGAAGCGUCGGCGCCGGAGAUCGGGAACGCAAAGCGACGAAGGGCGUGGGCGAAGAAGAAGAGGAAGCGAGGGUUCGGCGCGGCGAGAGAGGAGGGAAGAAGAGGAACGUGGGGACGGAGACGCCAUUGUCGCCUCCCCCUUCGUUCUCUUCGAGCUCCAGCUCCAGCUCCAGCUCCAGCUCCCCCGUUUUGGGGUUUAUCCGAAACGGAAGGGGCUGUAAUAACGGGUCGGAUCCGUUUUACCUCGGGUCGGGGUUCUUCCUGGUGCCGAAAUUGGUCCGUUCGUUGCGAACAGGGGUCGCAAUUCAGCUUAUCGUUUGCAAGUCAACUUAUCGACCAGCUCGAAAUGAGUUUGAAAUCAAAUUGCUCGUUUAGUAAAUGAGUUGAAUUAGGAUCGGCUCGUUUGUGUUCGACUCGAUAGCAGCUCAAAUGUAUAUAUUUUAUAUUUAUAUAAUUUAUUUAAUUUAUAUUAUAUAUAUAUUUAUUAUUUUAUUUUUACUAAAAUAAAAAUAUAAAUUCGAGCUCAAUUAUAAAAAGACUCAUUUAUAUAUAAACUGUCAAUCAUUUGACCAAAGCCUAAUGAAUAAAAUUUUAUAAAUUUAAUUUUUAUACGUAUCCAAUCUAAUCCUUUUAACUUAUUAUUCAUUGACCAGCUCGUAUUCGCUUCAUUUAUUAACGAGUCGAACACGAGCCGAAUUUUUCAGCUCGAUACUUUAACGAGCCAAUUUGCUCGUGUUUGGCUUGUUGACACCCCUAGUUGCGAAGUGCAUCGGGUUUAGGUCGGACCAGUCUAGACUGGGUCCUAACUAUUUGAGAACCGAUUACACUAUUUUAUUCUUAUUGAUUAUAUUUUUACUCUUUUAUUUUUAUAUAUCAGAUGAGAGUACAAUUUUAGAAAAAUAAAGUGGGAAAAAAAGAGAAAAGAAUAGAAACAUUUUAGUUACUUUUUAAAAUAUUCGAUCAAAAUCUGCAAAUUUAAGAGAAUACCGUCCGAAUUUACGAAAAACGCAAAGCCAAAAAAAAUUCUUCAUACAAAUUACAAAGGGGCCUUAUUUAAUUUAUAAAUAAAGCGUACGAAUACGAUACAAUAAUAUAUGAAGGGAUCAAACAUUGAGAGGGCCGUAGAGAUAAUCGCUCACCAUCUCCUCGUACGUGCUAUCAUUGACGGUGCUCAGCCCAUCGGCCCUCUUGUACAGAAGGCUGGCGGCCCACGCGUAGUUCGCGACGGCACGCGCGUAGCGCGCGGGUGCGACCCCUGCAGACUGGAACAGCUCCCACUCCAGCUCCCUGCAGUCUGCUUCAAUCAUCGCUUGUAUUGCUUGCAAGGCCUGCUGCUCGGUGCACCCCCCCUCGCGGCGGCUGCGGCGGUAGCAGCUGACCGCGGAGGCCAGCUCGCCGUUUUCGGCCUCCCGGUCGGCUGUCAUGACGUCGUUGGCGAGGCGGGCGAUGCGGCCGACCAGAAGGGUCAGCCGCGAGUCCUUGCCGAUCCGGCGCAGCGCCGCGUCGGAGAUCGGGGGCUCGCCACAGCCGAGGAAGAACGCCGACGUCCAGGAGACGACGGGNCUUGAAUUUAAAUCUUUUAUCAUCAUUUUUUAUGAGAUUUUUAUUUUCAGCCGUUCAAUUUUAGACUACUUGUUUGAUAGAUAAAUGAUAUCGAAAAAUUAUGAAAUUUAGUUUCUAAAUACUUUCAAUAGUGUAGAUCAACUCUAACGGAGCCGAUUGUCGAUUUGGAAGUCACAUCAUCGAAAACAACUUGGUAGCACGGAGCGCUCCGUGCUACCGAUAGUAUAGUAGCCUAGCUCUAAAUAAAUAAUUAUAUAUAUAUAUAUUUAUUUAUUUAUUUAUUAUUUUUUUUAGUAAAAUAAAAAUAUAAAGCCGAACUCAAUUAUAAAAAAACUAAUUUAUAUGAAGACUUUCAACCAUUUAAUCAAAGUCUAAUGAAUAAGAUUUUAUAAAUUUAAUUUUUAUGUAUCAAAUCUAUUUUUUUUAAUUUAUUAUUCGUUGGUCAGCUCGCAUUCGACUCAUUUUUUCAGUUGAAUUUUUUAGCUCGAUACUUUAACAAGUCAGCUCGUGUUCGGCUCAUUGACGCCCUAGUUGCGAAGUGCACCGGGUUUGGGUCGGACCAGCCUAGACCGGGCCCUAGCGAUUUGAGAAGGGAUUACACCAUUUUAUUCUUAUUGAUUAUUUUUUACUCUUUUAUUUUUAUAUCAGAUAAGAGUACAAUUUUAAAAAAAUAAAGUACUGUCGUUACAGUUGUCUACUUUUCAAAGAAAAAAAAAAAUAGGAACCUUUUUGUUACCUUUUAAAAUAUUGGAUCAUAAUCUGCAAAUUUAAAAAAUGCGAUCCGAUUUGGGCAUGUUUGGUUUAUUUCUUUUUCACCCUGAAAUCAGAAUCGGAAUUGGUGAAUUCGUUUAUAAGUGUUUAGUAUACGAGAGUCUCAUUUCGAUUUCGAUUUCCGAGUGAAAUGAGAAUUCUCCAAUAAUCUGUUUUCCCAAUCCAGUCUAGGAGGUCGAAUUGAAAAUUGAAUCCGGACGGAAUUGAUAUUUAUUCGGAUUAAAUUUAUUUUUUUAAUACUUUUAAUUAGAAUAUGAGUUUAAAUUCAGAAAUUAUAUUUAUAAUUUUAAAUUUUAAUAUGAACUUGAAUUAAAAAUUAAAAUUUAAUCAAGGAUUUCGAAACUAACUUAUGAAUUUGAAUUUAAAUUAAAUUUUAAUUUAUAUAAAAUUUUAUUCAAAUUUCAUUCAAAACUUAAAUUAAAUUUAUGGAUUCAAAUUAAAAAUUAAAUUUAAAAAUUUACAUUAAAAUUUUGAAAUAAUGUCCAAAUUUUAAAUCUAUUUUUUAAAAAAAAUAGAUUUAAAAUUUUGAUGUAAAUUUUUAAUUUUUAAUUUUUAAUUUGAAUUUAAAUUAAUAUAUUACAAAGAUAAAUUUAGUAUAUUAAUUUAAUUACUUUUUUUAUAUUUACCUUAACCAAGCACCUACAAUGGGAAUGACUUAUUCCGAUUUCGAUUCAUCGAUUCUAACUUAUUUCGAUUCCGAUUUCGAGCCAAACACGCCUACCGAAAAUGCAAAGCCCAAAUAAAUUUCUGCAUACAAAAAGACCUUAUUUUAAUUUAGGGGCAAUUGCUUAUAUAUUUCUGAAAAGUUUCCGACUUUCCGAUUUACCUUUCUUAAAAUGCUAAUAUUGAAAAUACCGUUUUUACGUUCCAACUUAUUUCUAAUAUAUCUUUAGAGUUAAAAUCUAUUAAUGACUCUAUUAUCUCUGUAAAAUUACAAUUUCGCCCUUUCAAAUAUAUCCUUCUACCAUCACUGACUUUCUUAUUUGUCCUUGAAGUCAAUGGCACAAAAAAUAUUUUGACUUUUGGUCUUUUCUAAUAUACCCCUCUACCGUCACCAAUAUUUCUUAUUUGCCCUUAAGUUAAGGACAAAAGUGAUAUUUUAAUUUUUUUCAUGUUUAACCUAAGUUAACUUAAUAGGAGAUAAUUGAAAGGAUAUUUUACAAUAACAGUGGAAUACAUAAAAAAUAUUUUAGAAAGAAAAAAAAAGAAUAAAUUAGAUAUUUUUAAACGUAUGAGGGGAGGAGUAUACAGGCAAUUAUUCAUUUAAUUUAUAUACGAAGCGUACGUACGAAUACGAUACAAUAUAUGAGUGGAUCAAACAUUGAGAGGGCCGUAGAGAAAAUCCCUCACCAUCUCCUCGUACGCUGUAUCAUUCCCAGCGGGGAACCCAUCAGCCCUCUUGUACAAAAGGCUGGCGGCCCGCGCGUAGUUCGCGACGGCACGCGCGUAGCGCGCGGGUGCGACCCCUGCAGACCUGAACAGCUCCCACUCCAGCUCCCUGCAGGCUGCUCCGAUCAUUUCUUGCACUGCCUGCAGAGCCUGCUCCUCGGUGCACCCCUCGCGGCGGUAGCAGCUGACCGCGGAGGCCAGCUCGCCGUUUUUGGCCUCCCGGUCGGCCGUCACGACGUCGUUGGUGAGGCGGGCGACGCGGCCGGCCAGAAGGGUCAGCCGUGAGUCCUUGCCGAUAUGGCGCAGCGCCGCGUCGGAGAUCGGGGGAUCACCACAGCCGAGGAAGAACGCCGACGUCCAGGAGACGACGGGGGCGCCGAUGGAGACGCACGCCGUCGCGAGGUACUCGUCGAGCGGCGGCACGCGGCCGCGGUCGAUCCGCCACUUGGAGAUUGCCGCCGUGUACUCCUUCCACUAGUUUACGUCGACGGCGCGACGUGCAUGGUUAGUUAGUCCGUUUGCUAUGUACGAAUAUUACAACAGUAAUGAAUGGUCGAUUAAACUGUCUCUGCACGCAGAUGCUCCUAAUAAACUUUUAAACUCCUUUUUUUUUCUUUUUUUCUUUUUUUUUGUUUAUUUGCAAGCAGGCAUGCAUGAUCGAUAAAAAGAACUUUAGAGAAGCAUUAUUAUGGGACAAAAAUUUUAAGGGACAAGACUCAGCAAGCUGGCUCCCUUCAUCAAGGUCUACUGUCUGCGUGCCAACUUCCGGCAAUGUUUUAAUCUAAACUGCAAAAGGGACUGGGCUGUCAGUGGCCCGGCUCGCCCUGGCACGACUGCAUGCCAUGCUGGGCCAAAUCUAGCCCACUCCAGUCCAUCGAAGAGUCAAAAAAUAAAUAGUAAAAAACGAAUAACCUUGUAAAAUUAAAUAUUUAACUUUUUAAUUCACGAUCGGAAUUAUUAAACAUUACCUAAAUGGUAUAAAAAAUUUUCUAUAAAAAAUUCAAACAGUUUGAAUUGGCUCUACAUCGUUAAACUCCGUUAAACAAACAAACGGUUCAUAUAGGCCGUGAGAGACAGUUGAUUUUAUGAAAUUUAGUUUCUAAAUGAUAUUAAUACUCUAGAACGACUUAGAUUAUAAAAAAUUCAAAUAGCUUGAAUUGGCUCUACAUCGUUAAACAAAUUUAGUUUCGAUUAUCGAUUCGGAAUUUUUAUAAUCUAAAACGACUUAGAUUAUAAACAAGCAAACAGCUCAUAUAGGUUGUUAAAAACUGUCAAUUUUGUGAUUCUUUGAUGUAGUUUGUAAAAUUUAUGAAAUUUUAUUUCUAGACACUUUAAAUACUUUAGAUCAACUUUAAUGAUUUCGAUCAUCGAUUUGGAAUCUCUAUCAUCUAGAAUGAUUUGCGAGGACGAAAAACUCAAUCCUCCUAAAAGGAUAUUAGUUGAAUAUAUAUAUAUAUAUCUAUAUAUAGAGUCCGGCUACUAUACUCUUAUGAGUAGGAUUGCCUUCAUACUCAUAAGUUGUUUUCGAUGAUAGAGCUUACGAAUCGACGAUCCAUACCGUUAAAUAUUAUCUAGAGCAUUUAAAACUUGUAGAAAUCAAAUUUUAUAAUUUUUCGAUAUCAUUUACCUUACGAUCAAAAGCUCACAAAAUUGACAAUUUUUAACGGCCGGUAUGAGAUAUUUGCUAGUUUAACGGUGAAAAAAAAUCAGAAUAGGUUGAAUUUUUAAUAGAAAAUUCUAUUCACUACCUAAAUAAAGAUCAAUAACUCCGAUCUUAAAUUGAAGGAUCCGAUUAUUCAUUUUUAGGACGUCGUUCGAUUUUAACUGUUCAUUUUAUACUUGCUUGAUGGACUUUAUAAUAAUUUCGAAAAAUUACGAAAUUUAUUUUCUAUAAGUUUCAAAUACUCUAGAUCAUAUUUAAUGGUGUAGAUCGUCGAUUUGAAAACCCCAAUAUCGAAAACAACUUAUGAGUACGAAGGGGUCUAUACUCAUACUCGAUACUCAUAAGAGUAUAAUAGCCCUAAUAUAUGUAUAUAUAUAUAUAUAUAUAUACUAUGAAUUAUGCUGGAAUACUAUUAAUAGUAAAACGCCCGUCUUUUGCUAUCAAGUUUUUAAACUCUUGGAUGAAAAAUUGUAGGGUCAGGAUGACAUUAGUCGGUUAGAGUUGAGUGGUCCGCUAGGGUUGAGUGUCCCCACUGGGUUAAGUAUUUUAAUCCAAUGGUUUAGAAAUAAUGAAAAAGAGGUUGAUCCAAAGGCUAAAAAACUGAUAGGCAACAAUGGAAUUUUGCUACUAAUAGUAGCCCAGUCCAACUCUAUAUAUAUAUAUAUAUAUAUAAUGAGGCUACUAUGCUAUCGGAAGCACGGAGCCUUCCGUGCUUCCAACUCGUUUUCGAUGUUGUGACUUUCGAAUCGUCGAUCGGCUCCGUUAAACUUGAUCUAGAGUAUUUGAAGUACCUAGAAAAAUAAAUUUUAAUGAUUUUACGAUAUCAUUUGCCUAAGUGAACGAAGGGGCUCAAAAUCAACGGCUGAAAAUAAAAAUCUUACAAAAUGUAAUAAUAUGACAUUAAAAUUUAAAUCAAAGAUAUUGAUCUUGUUUUAUAUAGUAUAAAGAAUUUUCUAUCAAAAUUUCACGUGAUUUGGAUAUUUCUACACCGUUAAACUUGCAACGGCUCACUACAGGCAUUGAAAUUUGUUGAUUUUGAGCCCAUUCGAUCACUAGGCAAAUGGUAUCGAAAAAUAAUAAAAUUUAUUUUCUAGGUACUCCAAAUACUCUAGAUCAAGUUUAACAGAGCGAUCGACGAUUCGAAAGUCGAACAUCGAAAACAAGCUGGAAGCACGAAGAGCUCCGUGCUUCUGAUAGUAUAGUAGCCUCACUCUCUCUCUCUCUCAUCCUCUCCGUGCCCCACCCUCGCUCCUCUCUCUCCUCUCUCCUCAUCGCCCGCCCCGCCGGCACCCGCCCGCGGCCCCCGCGCGGCCCAGCCCGCCCAGGUCUCUCUCUCGUCCAUCGCCUCCCUCCUCGCAGCGGCAGCCGGCCUCUCCUCUCGUCUCCUCUCCUCUCUCUCCUCUCUAUAUAUAUAUAUAAUAUAUACGUAGAAGUUGAGCUAGAAUACUCUCGAUAGUAAACGAGCCCGUUUACUAUCGAGUUGUUUUCGAUGAUAGAGCUUCCAAAUUGACGAUCGGCUCCGUUAAAUAUGAUCUAAACCAUUUAAACUAUUUAGAAAUCAAAUUUCACGCACUUUCGAUAUUAUUUUUUAUCCAUCUAGUGAACAGAAAAAUGAAUGGCUGAAAAUGAAUAUUCUUUAAAAAAUGAUGAUAGGAGUCUUGUAAUCAAGAUCAAGAGUAUCGAUCUUGUUUUAAAUAGUUUAAAGAAUUUUCUAACAAAAAUUCAAUUGAUUUGGACAUCUUUACACCGUUAAACGAGAAAACAUCUCUUAUCCACCUUUAAAAUUACAAAUUUUGAAACCCAUUGAUCAUUAGGCAAAUGAUGUCGAAAAGAUUUGAAAUUUGAUUUCUAUACACUUCAAAUGGUAUAAAUCAUGUUCAACGGAGCCAAUCGUCAAUUUGGAAGCUCUACAAUCGAAAACAACUCGAUAGUAAACGGGCUCGUUUACUAUCGAGAGUAUUCUAGCUCAACUCUAUAUAUAUAUAUGAAGUUGAGAAGAUAAGUAUGAAAUAUUUACCCUAAAAAUUUGUCUGAAUGCACAAGAAACAUAGUUGUCAACCCAUAAUUAUUUUAUACUAGAAAACUUAAAAGAAGAGAAAAAGAAAAAGAAAAAAAAAAGAAAAAAAAAGAAAAAUGCAUACCAAGGUCUUAUCAAGAGGAAGCAGCUCUCUAUUUUGAAGCCUACUUGCUUCUCGUGCCAUGUCUUCUACGGAACGGCACAAGCUUGUGAAUAUUACCGUGUGUUCUUCCGCAUCAGCCAAAAAUGAAGGAUCCCAUCUAUCACACGAAUUAGACAUGACGAUUAAAUCAACAAAGAGAAUCAAACAAAGUUAAUAAAUUGGAUCCCUCUGUGGUUUAGCGUAUUUACAUUUUAUCAUUUCAGUACAGAUUGAAAAAUGUAUGCUUUACGUUUCGUGGUAACAUUUUGAUAUAGAUUACAAACUACGUACGGUAAAGUGCAGUUGGUACUUCAUUGCUGCUAGGGCUGGCAAACGAGCGAGCCGGCUCGCGUUCGACUCGUGUUCGGCUCGGUAUUCGGCUCGCUCGAACUCGAUUCAAAAUUAAAUGAGCCGAGCUUGAACAAAAUAAAAGACUCGAAAUUCAUUUCAAGCCGAGCUUGAGUAUUACUCGGCUCGUUCGAAUUAGGCUCGAAAAGCUCGAAAAGCUCGAAUAUAUAUAUAUAUAUAUAUAUAUAUAUAUAUAAUGUAUUUUAAUUAUAUAUAGGCUUUAAUUUAAUUUGGGCCAUUAUUGUUGGCCCAUAAAAUAAACUCAACAAGUACAACCGUGUAAUUGAGCCAAACUCUAAAUUUACAUAACACACUCUCUUUUUCAGACACAUAAUACUAAAACAUGAUAACAUUCAAAUUUUCAAAUCCUAUUUUUUUUUCCCUCUCUCUUUACUCAUCUUUCUCUCUCUCUCGUCUCUCGUCUUCUCUCAUUUCUCUCUCUCAUCUCAUCACAGACCUCACACAGUCAGGUAGUCACCCUAGCUCACAUUUUUGCAAAUUAUUUGUAUUUUGAAAUUAUGGACUAUAUGAUCAAAAAUUGAGUAAUUCUAUAAAAAAUUAAACUAUUGAUUAUAUAAUGCGAGAAUUUCAAUCGGCUCGUUUAAGUCAGGCCGCUCACUCGAAAUAGGCUCGCUCGGAAUUUCGCUCGAAUAAUUUCAAUCCGACUUGAUCAGAUUUAGCUCGAAUUAAAUAUCAAGCCGAUUGAGCGCACGAUAACUCGCUCGAGCUCGGCUCGUUUCCACCCCUAAUGCGCACUUAAUGUGAUUCUUUGUGCGAUAAAAUUAUCCUUAUUUUAUACAUCACAUAAACCUAUAUAAAAGUACUUAAGAAAAAUCACAUCAUCCAAAGUGCAAAUGUUGUAUAUAUAUAAUAAUAUAUAUAAUAUAUAGAUAUAUAUAUAUAUAUAUAACAAUAUAAAAGCAUGUAACUUUGAACUGCCAUCCAUUAAACGUGGAAAAUUAUCAGACAGAACUUGGGAAUCAAAAACGACAAUAUCAAUCCAAUAUGGUGGCCUAAGCAUGCGCUUAACAAAAGCUAGCUACGCCGAAAAAGCAGAAAACUGGGGCUCAAAAUCCGCGGUGCGGCGGCCACAAAACACUUCGCAGCAGAUACAAACGGCGAAGACACAUUCUUUAACCUUGGACCUCCACCACUACCGCACAUACAAAGAGAAAACGUAAAACAAAAUAAAAUAUAUAUUUAUAUAUAUAAGCGUAUAGAAAUUCUUAUAAUGACGAACAGAAUAAAAAAAAAAAAGGAAUAAAUGAAUAUAUAUAGUAUAUGUUAGUAAUGCAUAUAUACAUGUAUAUAUCACCUAUUUAGGCAAAUGUGUUGAUAAUUAUUGGUCCCUAACCGUCACUUCACUUUUUUUUAGUUGGCUAGAGUUGUGCGGAAAAGCCCAAUCAUUUUUUAACAAGUAAAAUGGCUGCGCUUCGUUGCGAUUUUUUUAUCUUUCAAUAAUAAAAUAGAUAAAUUGUGUUUAGUAGGCUAUUUAUAACGACAUCAUUUUUUUACUAUAUUCGAUCAAAUAAGAUUCAUGCAACUAAAAUUAAUGUAUUUUUAACUGCAUGUAUUUUGUAAUUUAUUUAUAAUUAUAUGCAUCCAAACGGUCUUUUAGUUUUAACUGGGACGCCAACAUUUAGAACCCUAAAACCUUUUUUCGGCUAACACUACGUGUGUAGUAAUCUUGGAGACUUGUGCUAACAUACAAGCUAUUCUAUAAUAAGUGAGACCAAGGCAAGUAUUAAAAGUAUAAAAAGAAAAGGAAAAAAAAAGAAGAAGAGAGAGUAAUUGAUAGAUAGGCCAAGUUAUCUUAACUCUUCAAGGAGUUGCAUCUCUUGUUGAUGGAGCCUUUGGAGCAUCUCCAAGUCUAUUUUGGCAAGUUCUAGGCACCAUUUUCUCCACCCAUUGCUGGGCCACAAUUGCCUUAUAAUGCUUCUUGACUCCAAUCUUGGCAAAAGAUAUCUCCUUGGAUACUCCAAAGCAAAUUUUAUCUUCAUUUGUCCAAGUAAUUUGAUCUCAAUAUUGAUACCAUGAUGAUAGAAAAAACAGAAAGUAAAAUGCGCUGAUAAUUCUGCCACUAUCCCUAUAUCACGGCUUGAUAGUUUAACUUUCUUAUGUGAACACUUUAAUUUUUAAAUAAUCAAAUGGUUAAAUAGUGAAAAAUAGAAAGUACAAAAGCCUAGUCACAAUAUUGAGAUAGUACACUAAAAAGGAAAAGGAACAGGAAAAGAAAAAGAAAAUUACCUCAAUCUCAAGGUUGUUUGCACUCAAAACAGUUGGGUUACCCACAAGAAGUGCUUUUUGGAGUUGGGACUUUGCAAACAACUCCACACCUUGCAUGGUCUCUAACUCAUGGGGAAAAGCUACUUGGGAGCACUUGUAGAGGUUUAUCAAGCUUGUGAUAUCUUUAGGUGAGUCAAUAGACAAAGAGAAGAAGCCUCCAUUCUCAUCAUCUUUAGCUCUCUCAAGUACUUCUACAAUAGUAGUACAAGAUCUUCAUGAGGAUUAUUAGGGAGAGAUAGAACUACACUGCCAAUUAACUUUGUUGCAGAGGAUUAACAAAAGCUUAAGAUACGUAAUUUAGACUUAUAAUUAAUUACAAAGGCAACAUGGCCAUGUAGAUGUAGCAACCCUACGCCAAACAUAAACAUGUAACAAGGCAUGAUAAAAGCGAAAAAGUGCAAUCAUUACAGAGUAGAGUACGUGUAUAUGUAAGAUUUACACUUUACGCAUCCAUAGAUCUACAUUCCUUGACUAGUCUUAUAAAUCUUCUUUUAUAUUAAAAAUUUAAAAGAAUUAUUUUAAACCAUACAAUAAAAAAAAGGGUAUUAGAUUUACAUCUAUAUGUAAGUGUAUAGGUAACAUUUUCAUAAAAAGAAAAAGAAAAAAAAAAGCCAAGUACCUGAAGAUACAGAAUAACCAUGGAGCCUAAGCAAGUGAAAUGCUAUUACUGUGGCAUCCUUGUCCUUUAACCCCAAUUGCUCAUCCCAUUCCCUGCCAUUAAUUUUUCACAAAUAAUAAUGCUUCAAAAUGUAGUAUUUAACUAAGAAUAACUAAUCUACGAUCAAAAUUUUUAUAUAAAUUUUUAUUCUAGGGUUAAGUAUAUAUAUAUAUAUUUUUCUAUUUUAGGGGUUAAGUGCAACAAGUGAUAUAUUGAGAGAGCUAAUCUAUAAACCUUUUAGCGUUUAUUAAACUGGCAAAAAUUUUAGAGAUGUAUAUAUUGUUUCACUAGUGAUGUUCAAAAAAAUACUAACAAUAAUUUCUUUCAAAUCCUUCAAACUAUUUAUACAAAUGAAGCAUGCACUAUUUAGAGGCUUUCAGCAGAAUCAAGAUCAUCAGCAAAAAUUAAAAUAUUUUUGAUGAUUGAUUUGAUUUUUUUAUGGAAAGAAUCUCUAGUAACUUAAGAUUUUAAAAAGUAAUGAUCACUUUAUAUUAUUUAAUAUCAUAAUAGAGUAUGAAAUUUUGAGUUUGAGUCCCCACAGACUCCCAAUAUUAUUUUAUUCAUCCCAUUCAAUUCGGUUUGACCUCUUUAACCUCUCAAAGUCUCGAAACCAAACUUAGAAAAUAAAACUUAGGAGUACGGAGGCCUCCGUGCUCCUAAUAGCACACAAGUCCUACUAUAUAUAUAUAGAGCUAGGCUCUUAUGCUUUCGAAAGUAUGGAGGCCUCUGUGCUUGUAAGUUGUUUUCAAUGAUGCAGCAUCCGAUUUGGCAAUCGGCUCCGUUAAAUAUGAUCUACGCUAUUGGAACUUUUUAGAAACUAAAUUUUAUAAUUUUUUGACUUCAUUUGCCUAGUGAACAAGUAGGCUUAAAAUGAAUGGCUGAAAAUAAAAAUCUUACAAAAAAUAGUGAUAAAAGACUCAAAUUUCAAAUCUGAAGUAUUAUUUUUACUCUUGAUAUUAAGUAGAAUUUUUUUAUUAAAGUUUCAUUUAAUUUGGAUUCUUCUACAUCAUUGAACUUUCAAACAUGCCAUAUCGGGCAUUAAAAUAGUCAUUUUUGAAACUCUUUAAUCACUUUGUAAAUGAUGUCGAAAAAUUAUGAAAUUUGGUUUUUAAAUAGUUCUAAUAGCGUAGCCUAACGGAGCUAAUCGCUGAAUCAGAUGCCUCAUCAUAAAAAACAACUUACAAGUAAGGAGACCUCCGUACUUUCGAAAGUAUAGGAGACAUACUCUCUCUGUCUCUAUAUAUAUAGACCUAGGCUGGAAUACUAUCAAUAGCACCAAGCUAUUGGUGCUAUUAGGUUUUUCGGCCCUUGGAUGAAAAAAAAUAUACGGUUAGGAUGAUGUGGGCCUCCUAGGGUUGAGUAAGUUAUUGGUUUAAUAAUAUAAUCUAACGGGUGAAAAUAGUCAAAGGGUUAAAUCUAAUGGCGGAAAUUUGAUAGCACCAAACACUUGAUGCUAUCGAUAGUAUCUCAGCCGGACUAUAUAUAUAUAUAUAUAUAUAGUAUCUCAGCCAGACUAUAUAUAUAUAUAUAUAUAUAUAUAUAUAUGAGAGAGAGAGAGAGAGAGAGUUCGGCUACCAUGCUAUUAAUAGCACGAAGCAUUUGAUGCUACCAAGUUUUUCGCCGUUAGAUCUACCAUUUUGAUUAUUUUCACCCGUUAAAUCAUACUAUUCAACCAGCCACCUACUCAACCCUAGGGGGCCCACAUCAUCCUAACCGCACAUCUCUUAAUACAAUGGCGGAAAACUUGGUAGCACCAAGUGCUUCGUGCUAUUAAUAGUAUAGUAGCCGGAGUGGUUGUUUGUGAGUUUAACGGUGUAAAACAAUUCAAAUGGAUGAAAAUUUAUAGAAAUUCUUUUCACUAUUUAGAGUAAGAUCAGUAUAUUGACUAUCGAAUUUAAAUCUUUUAUCAUCAUUUUUUAUGAGAUUUUUAUUUUCAGCCGUUCAAUUUUAGACUACUUGUUUGAUAGGUAAAUGAUAUCGAAAAAUUAUAAAAUUUAGUUUCUAAAUACUUUCAAUAGUGUAGAUCAAGUCUAACGGAGCCGAUCGUCGAUUUGAAAACCGCAUCAUCGAAAACAACUUGGUAGCACGGAGCGCUCCGUGCUACCGAUAGUAUAGUAGCCUAGUUCUAUAUAUAUAUAUAUAUCGUGAAGCUACUAUGCUAUCGGAAGUAUAGAGGAUCUAAUGCUUCCAACUUUUUGACCAUUGGAUUAAAAAUUAUACGGUUAGAAUGAUUGCGGUCCUCCUAGGAUUGAGUAGUACCCCUAGGAUUGAGUGGUCCCCACAGGUUAAUAGUAUUAAUCCAAAGGUCAUAUAUAUAUAUAUAUAUAGAGAGAGAGAGAGUUUUGCUAGAAUACUAUCGGUAGUAAACGGCUCGGUUUGCUACCGAUUUGUUUUCGAUCAUAGAGCUUCCAAAUUGAUAAUCGACACCGUUAAGCAUGAUCUAAACUAUUUAAACUAUCUGGAAAUCAAAUUUCACACAUUUUCAAUAUUGUUCUUUUGUCCAUCAAGUGAACAGAAAAAUGAAUGGCUGGAAAUGAGUAUCCUUCAAAAAGUGAUGAUACAAUUUUUAUAUUUGAGAUCUAGAGUCUAGAUCUUAUUUUAAAUAGUUUAAAGAAUUUUUUAACAAAAAUUUAGUUGAUUUGAACUCUUCUAUACCGUUAAACGAGCAAACGCAGCAUAUCGGCCAUUAAAAUUAUAGAUUUUGUGACUCUUUGAUCGUUCAGUUAGUGAUGCCAAAAAAUCAUGUAAUUUGAUUUUUAGAUAAUUUAAAUGGUCUAGAUCAUGUUCAACGGUACUGAUCGUCGAUUUGGAAGCUCUAUCAUCAAAAACAAAUCGGUAGUAAACCGAGCAGUUUACUACCGAUAGUAGCCCAGUCAACAUAUAUAUAUAUAUAUAUAUAUACUAGUUGAAUGUACGUGCAAAUGCUCAUAAUAAUUAUUAUAAUAUAUUUCAAAUCAAUAUAAAUUUGUACAUUAUAUAUAUGCAAAAUUUUACAAUGAAAAUUAUAUUUAUAAAUUAAUAUGUUAUAUUUUGUUAGAAAAUAUUUACAAUAUCCUACAGUGUUCUUUUUUUUUAUAUACAUCGAACAUUUUUAUAUACUUCUUGAUUUUUGAUGAAUUAAAUUUAAAUAUGUGUUUUAAAUUAAAAGCAUCAAAAUUUAAUUCACCUUUAUUUUAAAAUUUAAAAUUUAAUUUUGAGCUAUUAUAAUAAAAAAGUUAAUUGUUAAUUCAAAUUUGAUAUCAAAAUUAAAUUUAAUUCAUAAUUUAAACUCAAAUUUUAAUUUUAAUGUAAAAUAGAUGAAUAAAAAUAUUACUUUUUAACAAAUUGGUCAUAACCGUUUGUUUUCAUUUGAGAUAUUUUUUAAGAAAUUGAUUAUAAUCGUUCGUAGGAUUGAAUUUAUAAGUGCAUAGGAAUACUAUUUUUUAAUAGAUUAGUCAUAACUAUUCUUAUUUGAAAUUUUUUUUAACAAAUUGAUUAUAACCAUUUGUAAGGAAUAGAUUUUUAUAUAUAGUGGAGAUUUAAUAGAUUGAUUAUAACCGUUCGUUUUUAUUUGAAAUAUUUUUAACAAAUUAAUCAUAACUAUUCGUAGGAAAUAUUAUUUUAUUCCGUUUUGGAUAUAGUAGAGAUUUAAUAGAUUGAUCAUAACCGUUCGUUUUUAUUUGAAAUAGUUUUAACAAAUUAAUCAUAACCAUUCUUAGGGAAUAUUAUUUUAUUCUUUUUUAAAUUUCGUAUGUCAUUGUCGGAAUUCCUAUACACUUUUAUAUAUAAUACAGAGUAUAGAUAUAGAUAUGAAAAGCACCAUUAGUUUAUAUAUUAUAUGUAUGAAAAGCACCAUUCUCUAAUAAUAACUUAAUUAACAUUUUAAAAAUUAAUAAGUAUUUUAUAUUUUAUCUAAUAUUAUCUAAACAACACUUAAUCAAAUCGCACUAUAUAUGCUGCAUGGAGCUAGCUCUUUGUAAGGACUGAGAUUUUUACAGUGCAACUAAACUCUCUGUUGAUGAUGUUUAUGUGUGCAACUAAACUCUCUGUGGCCAAAAUUGCUCCAAAAGGUGAGCACGGUCUCCGGCACGUCGAAACCUGUCAAUGGGUAUCUUGGCUCGGCUGAUUGACCUCUGGUUUGCAUGGACGGACCAUAAAAGCGCCGAAGUCGCAUGAAAUAAUGCGAUUUCGGGUAUUCGGAAGGGCUUUUAUGCAACUUUGUCCGUCGUGGCUGCUGUUGGCAGCAAGUAUGGGCUGAGGAUAACCUCCGGACUGAUUGUCCAAGGUCCCGGACCUUUGCGAAGAUCGAAAAGGGCAUUCCGGUGCGUUUGUCGGCAAAAUCCGCCGACGGAACGCGGUUUCGGUUCGGAAUUAUUCCGACGGUGUCUCGGGAUGAUUUAUUGUGUCGCUGAGCCUAGUUGGCCGGUCACCCGUGUCAUUUCGAGGGUUCGGAAAUGACGGGUGAGCGACGGUGGGUUCCGGUGUCGAAAUAGACACUUCCGGGAACCUGGUUCGGAACGAUUAUCCGACGAUAAUCGUUUUGGAGUGAGUUAAGGUCUUUGCUGCCAAGUCGCAUGUAAAUUGUAUUUAGUGGCAGCGGGUGACUCGUAGUACGAGUCGGUGAGUUCCGGGACAGUCCGUGGGUCCCGGCAGAGCCUCCGUGCGGUUUUCGGGACUUCCGUUUUGUUCGGUAAUCGGUUUUGGGAAACCGAUCUCCGUGGUUUAUUUGUGGGGUUAUGCUUUUAGGGUUUCUUAGUUGUGGGUUAGAUGCUAACCCGAUGGACCCUCUAUAGGUCCGGUUGACAUUCUUUUGCAGUCAGGAGACAGGCGCGACAAUUGUACAAGUGGGUACUUCGAUUCGACGUCAGUACAGUGGUGCACGCUCGGUGAUGGUUUCUUACCUUUGCUCUUUCGUUAUUAUCUAGCAUAUAUAUAUCUUGAUAUAUAGUAUUGAGCCUAGCACCAUGUUGUUCAGUUACACUCUACUCGGUUGUUCUCUUUGUUCUCUUUAUAUCAUGAGUAGGAGUAGAGUAGUUAUACCAUAUUUCUUUGUUGCUCUACUUAGCUAUUCUGCAUACCCUGUUUCAUAUUUAUAGUAGAGCGAUUCUGUGAUUAUCUGUGAGAUUAGUGAUCUAGUCGGUCGAUUCUAGUAUUCAGUAUUUGUGACCUAUUCGGUGAGUUUCUCGACCUUUGUUGUCUGAUGACCGUUGAGGUCGGUAUACCCUGAGGGGUGGGAUUGUCGGUUAGUUGCCGACGGAUGAUUAUACUUUACUCAUAUCCUAUACUUGUGACGUGAUUGGUCGAGUUUCAUAUCCUAUACUUGUGACGUGAUUGGUCGAGUUUCAUAUCCUAUACUUGUGACAUGAUUGGUCGAGUUUCUUAUCCUGUACUUGUGAUGUGAUUGGUCGAGUUUCAUAUCCUAGUUGAUCUGAGUGGUCAGUCCUUGUGGUUCAUUGAGCAGUAUUUGCAUAUGUUUGAGAGGAUGUCGAUGUUGUCCCAUCCUAGUUGACCUGAGUGGUCGGUUCUUGUGCUUCUUUACAGUUGACGACCUAUGCGGUCGAUGGGCCCUGGGGGGCAGGAUUGUCGGCUGGUUGCCGACGGUUGAUCAUUGAGCAUAUUGUACUGAUCGCCCGAUACUCGUCGCAUUUCACGAACACUGGCGGUCUGAUCCACCGCAAGGAGUGUUCUUUUCCGGAAAAGUGGUUGAAUGGUGACAACCCGUGAGCCCUAGAGGGGUUAUAUGCACUGGAGAGUAGUAGUGGCACUGGCUUGAGGUCUGCGGUGCUGACCAAGAGAGCAUUGGUUUCAGAUUGGGUACUUUUGGACUUCUUGACCGAUUGACGCAUAUGUCUAUAGUAGCAGUCAUUGCAUGCAUACUUACAGUUCUUACUUUAUAGUUGUCUUGCUGCUAUAGUAGAUAUUCAUGUAUGCUUUCGGUUCCAGUUACAGUAGCGGUAGCCGUUAUUCAGUCUAGUUCUUUCUGUCUUUCAGUUUAUUGCUACUGUAUUCGGUAUAUCUACUCUUUACCUUAUUAUUGUUGCUACUAUAUUUCCACUGACCCUUGUUGUUAUUUAGCUCUUCCUGAUCCGGUGAGUACUCCUCGCCUUCAUCGGCUUGCGGUACCCACUGGGAGGGGAGACAUGUUUACAUGUUCUCACCUCCCCCACAACUUUUCAGGUAUUGCAGGCGAUGAGUAGUGAGACGAGACGUGAGGUACGUGUGUAGCGGUCGAUAGAGCUUCCGACCCAGGUUAUUUCGGUUUAGUUAUUAUCCUUAAUAUUUCUGUUGAUAUAUAGCUUAGAUAGCUUAUAUGGUUCAGUAUUUAUUUACAUUUGAAAAAUGUGGAUUUCUGAAUUUUUGUAAANAGGUAUUGCAGGCGAUGAGUAGUGAGACGAGACGUGAGGUACGUGUGUAGCGGUCGAUAGAGCUUCCGACCCAGGUUAUUUCGGUUUAGUUAUUAUCCUUAAUAUUUCUGUUGAUAUAUAGCUUAGAUAGCUUAUAUGGUUCAGUAUUUAUUUACAUUUGAAAAAUGUGGAUUUCUGAAUUUUUGUAAAUUAAAAGGUUUUCUACCCCUCGUGGUAGCGUUUUUAAAUAAUAAAGAUUUCCAUGUAGGAAACAGCUUUCAAAAGGUUUUCUGUGAUUUUAUAUCUUAGUAUUUCAAAAUCUGUUUCUGUGGUUGGAAACAUUUUAACUGAUAGGUGUGGAUUUAUGCAUAAAUGUGAAUCUGUGGUGAAUGGUGUAUGAAUAUAUAUAACGGUUGGUUAUCUGUAUGUUCAUUUGUUGUGGUUGUGCCUGGAUGACUUCUUGUACUCGUGCGACGUCGUGCAAAUAUAGGAGAGACUCUGUCCGUGUGAAUAGUGGAUUCUCUGUAUUUGUGGCGGAUCUGGCAUACUCUGGAGUCAGGUUUUCAAAAAAAAAAUUUCAGACGCUUUUCCGCUUUGUUUUAAACUGAAAAGGAACCCCAGGGCGUGACACUCUUACGCACAGGGAGGUCUUAUGCAGGAUGCUUUGGAUUUCGUGCUCAAAGAAUCUGGCAAUCCCUAGCCGUUGGAUCAAAUCCACCAUUGAUAGAGCUUCGUACGCAUAACAUGCUCCAUCUCCCCUCGCCAUUAAUUCUCUUUCCAAGUACCCGAGCUCUCCCCUUACUAACUCCAUCAACUCCUCUACCUUUGGAUCCUCCUGCACCAUACAUACAUACAUAUAAUAUAUAUGUAGUCUCUGUUAGUUAAUGGUAUAUAAUUAACAUUUUUUUAAAAAAGCAUAUAGCUCAAUUUUCAAAUUAGAUGGCUGACGGCUCGUAUAAUAUUGAAACUUAUCUAAUGCUAAUAUAUAAAAUGGAACUAGAAACUAAGAAAGCAUAUAAAAGCAUGCUUCUGUGUUUUCGGUAAAAUUGUAGAAUAUUUAUCCCAAUUAACUUAACUUAUUGCGAUAUACACGGAACGCAAUAUAUUUACGAAAUAACGAUAUACGGAACGCAAUAUAUUUACGAAAUAAGCAUAAUAUUUUUUUAUCGUAUUUUGUUAUCAUAUGUAGUGCAAUCUCCUCGUAAUCCCAAACGAGUUCAGUUCAGAAUAUUUCGAAAUUGAAUGAGAGAGAGAGGGAGAGAGAGAGAGAGAGAGAGAGAGAGAGAGAGGGAACAAACCAGUAGUAUUGGGUCCUUGAUCUCCUUCAGUUGUGGAACAUGUGAGAGAGCACAUGAAGGAGGGGGAUGUGGGGAGAGGGUGGGUGCACAUGAAUAUUGUGAGUACCAUAGUGGAUGGUGGUGAACAUGGUUUGCACCACCACCAUUAAUGGAUGAGCUCAUGAUGAUCCUGAGCCCAGUACUGUGGGAAUGCUUAGGACCAUGAAGUGGAUGAACCCUAGUUGUAUUCCUAGGAGAGAGGAUGCUCCCCUGGGGAGGAGAUGAGUGGAUCAGAAGCCAUGGGGAGGAAGAGAGACACAGGGCCAUUAUUAAUGUUGUCGAGCUAAUAAAUUAACUCACAACUGUAGUAUAACUGUAUCCAUGUAUGCAUAGCUUGGUUUUUAUAGGCUGAGGAGGGGUUAGUAAUUAAUAUAAGAGGCACAUUAACAAAUUAAAGAUUCACAGUUCAAUUUUAAUUAUUUGUGAAUUCUAAAAUAAAUAAGGUAGAAAAAGGUUUGAAGGAAUUGACUGAAAGAGAUCGCGAAUUAAUGACAUAACCAAGUGACAAAAUCAGGGGUUAUUUAGUUGCGUGCAGUUGUAAUUAUUUACAUAUUUAAAAUUUUCUGUUUGGUUCAAUGCAAGUUGAGUAAGAUUGUUAUGAAUCAGCGACUAAUUGUGAUACUAGCUAGAUUUGCUCUGGUACCAGUUUAUUGUAAUAAAAGCAGAAAAGAUAGAGUUCGUCUUAGGUUCAUGGGCGGAAAUAGAGUGAAGGUUUUUAUUAUAAUCAACAUUUUGUACAAAAUAUACUUCUAUUAUCUGUUGCAUUAAAUUUACGAAAUAAAAUAGUACAUUUAUAAUAAUGGUUAAAUUCUAAUACUGUUAGAAAUAAGAAUCUAUUGAGACUAGGAAUAAUCUUAGUAUAUAGGAUUAGUCAUAAUCUAAACAUUACUUAAUAGGAAAUCUGAAAUAGAAUAGGUUUAGAAAUCUUGCGGUUUCAGAAUUUAAAACAUAUCUAAAGAGUCCAAUUGAUGUAGUUAGAACUGCACAAAGAGACCAAAAUAUGCUGCAAUUAGAACUACACCCAAAUUGAAUAUAGUUUCAACUACAACAGUUGGUGAGGGAUCGGAUCACCGCUCCGUCUGAAAGUUGAUAGUAUUCACAAAGAUGAUUGCCAGCUUCAGGUUAGGAAAUAUUAUAUCUGCAAUAGUUGCAUCUAUACAAGACCGAACAAACAAGAUAUAGCAAUUGCCGCACUUUCAACUGCAUAUUUUUAAUUACACUGUGUUUAUAACUACAUCCAACUAAUUGGCACUAGUACUGAGUUAUAAAUGAGCAUCUUAUUCGAGCCAUUAAGGCCUGUUUGUUUCACCAAAGAUAAAGUUUAAGUUGAAAUAGAUUUUUGGGUAAACUAAACUAAACUUUAGGUGAAAAUUUUUUCGCUACUUAAUUAUUUGUAUAGCUGUGGAAUUGAAGUUUUCCUGGUUUUAUACUUUUAUCAUUUAUUUCGCAGGAAGUGAAUUAAAUAUAGUAAAAAUAGAGGUUUGAGAGAUUAUUUUUUUAUAGAACAAAUAAUGAUAAUUUGGUAAUUUUAUCCUAUCCAUUAACAUUGUAACCCUUCGAAAAUAUUUUUAAAAUUUUAAAGAAAUAAAACGUAGAUCUUUUAAAGUUAGAAAUAAAAAAAGGAAUAUUUACUCAGAAUAUUUUUGUAUUUUAACCUUACUCAAAAGCUCCAAAAUUUUCCCCAAAAAGAGGGAAAAUAUUUCACAUGUAGGCGUAUAGCUUAAUAUGCCUUUGUACCAUGUAGGUGUCUCUUUUUUUUUCUUUUUUUUUUUUCCUCUUGUUGUAGUCAAAGAGUGACCAAAGAGUGAGGGGAACGUAGGAUGUCGAUGGAUAUGGAUGCCUGAAAUUUUAUCUGAAUUUGAAUCAGAAUUCAAACUGAGUGAAUUUAUCCAAUUCUAAAUAAAUAUAGUUUCGAAUAUGGAUAUCAAAAACGAAAAUCCGUAGAAUUUGGAUUCAAGUAUGAAUUUUGAUCGCACCCAACUCGAAACUGAACCCGAUCCAAACCCAAAAUUAUUUUACAUUAUUUAUAUAUAUAUAUAUAUAUAUAUAUAUAGAAUUAGGCUGGAAUACUAUUAAUAGUAAAACGCUCUUUUUGCUAUCAAGUUUUUAACCCUUGGAUGAAAAAUUGUAGGGUCAGGAUGAUAUUAGUCGGUUAGAGUUGAGUGGUAUAUAUAUAUAUAUAUAUAUAUAUGCAUGAUGUUAUAUUUAAAUUUGUAUUUUAAAAUUUUAAAUUUAAUAUAAUAUAUUUUGAAAUAUUGUAAAAAGACAUAAUUGUUUCGGGUUGGGAUUUUUCGGAUUCGGAUUUCGAAUUUUUGGUUGGAUUCAUGUUUGAAUAUAAACUUUUAAGAUAUAUCGGAUUCGGAUUCGGAUUUGAAUUUUGAGUUUAGUAGUCAGGUCCCAUUCAGGUUCUUAUAAAUCCACCACGGAUUGUUGACAUUCUUAGGACCACGAGAUGUUUCCAUUCAUGAACCGUACAAGAACGUCAUGCACGUGCUCGCUCCAUUCAGGAUAUGGAGAAAAGAAAAUCCUGCACUAGUUUUACUUUUAUAUGCCAAAUGAGAGAUGCAGUCUCAAAUCCGUCUUGAUCUGCAAAGAAAAUAGGGUUUAAAACUAGAGAUUCUUUUCUGUCCCCGCACGGCAUCCUGAAUAAAGCGGUAAAUAAGGUCAAAAAUGAAUAAAAAUUAAUUCAUCUUGAAUCCAUCCCGCUCUGCUUGAAAAAAAGGGAGAAUUAACGGGGCAAAAAAUCUGUUCUUAUCCCAACUUGCCCCGAAAAGAAUUACAGGCUGUAGUAUUAAAUAUAUAACUAGACUUAAUCAUUUUUGGCCGGUGUUUUAGGCCAAACAAAUUAUUAGUACUCGUGGGCUAGAUCAUUGCAUUUGAUAUCGGAAUCAAUUUGCACAUAAAAAGCGCGAGGGUGGUCUCAUAUAACUUGGUAAUCGUAAAUUACGAAACGAGACCUAACGAGAAUAUCAGGGUCUAAGCACAAAUUAAAAAUCGCAUUCCACAUUAGAUGGAAAAGAAAUUUUUGCGAAAAAUAUAAGGAUUAUGGACUCUAAUUAUAAUUAUUGAAUUUAAGCAUUUUAUUCUUGUAGUUUGGACCUACAAAGUUAUUAAUGAUAGUGAGCACGAUGAAUAAUUACAUUUGAUAUCAGAGCCAAUUUACCGAUCAGAAGUAUAUGAUGGUCUCACAUUGGCUGAUAAUCAUAGGUUAGCGAUGGAACCUAGUGAGGAUAUCAACAGUCAUAUCGAUUGAGAAAAAGGUUGUGAAUGUUUUUUUUUUUUCUUUUUGAGAGAGAGAGGGAGAGAGAUAGAGUCACACAUCGAAUGAGAAAAAGAUUAUGAACAUUUUGUUUUCUUUUGUUUUCUUUUUUUUUUUUUGAGACAGAGACAGAGGGAAAGGUAGCAAGCUACCUAUUUAGUUCAAUUUAUUAGAAAUGAACUCCAACUAAAAAGGUGAAUCAGCAUUUAGUCAAUUAUGAAAGGUACAAUAAAUUAAAGACUUUAUUAGCGAUUAGUCAUUAAUUACUAACAAAAUAUAACUAUCUUCAAUUGAAAUUGAAAUUCUAAUUACCAAAAAAAGGAGUUAAUUUCACACGACUCCCUGCAAAAGUGUCAAACGUGAAAUGACCACUUCACUCUUAUAAAUUUAUCCAUAUAAAAAUAGCAGAUAAAUCCAUACAAAACUUAAGUAAUCAGAUUUAUUUCUCUGAAAAUUUUAUGGUUUGCAAAUAUAUUCCUCCAAAAGUUCUGAUACAUUUAUAUUUGUUUCUGUUGUUUGAUCCACCGUUAAUUUUUUAAUGGUGGGGUGCGUGAAAUAACCACUUUAUCUUUAUAAAUUUGUCCAUAACAAAAGCUAUCUUCUUCCUCUCUCUCCUUUCGUCUUCGCCACGGACCGCGCAACAUAAGACGCUGCGACCAAGGGUCUCACCUCUGACGCCGUCGCCGCUGUAGGCCUCACCGCCACCACGAGCAAAGAGGUGGAAAGAAAGAUACGAGUUGUACACAUAAGAAGUAAAAAGGUCAUUAUGCCUCUUUCCAAACAGUGGUUAACUUUUUUAAUUCAUGGUUAUCCACAUAAUCCACAUUUUCAUAACAAAAGAAUAUAUUUGCAUACAGAAGGAUUUUUGGAAGAACAAAUUUAAUAUCUUCGAGCGAAGCGGUAUGCAAUUAUCUCAAAACAAAAAUAUGGGCCAUACAAACCAGGUUAUGUUUGGGCCAACCCAUCAAAAUGUUGGGCCACACAAACCAGACUAGUAAGUCAGGUCAAAUCGGGUCAGGUCGGGCCGGGUCGGGACGAAUAUGUUGGCCUUAAUCCCAUCAAGGCUUAUGGACCCAACAUUCUCUACACUUAUAUACAAAUUCCUACAACUCUCAUAUUUGAUCCCAUUCUCUUUACCUCAUGAGCAUCACCAACUUGUGACAAAAAAUUGUCACACAUAAUAUAGGUAUAAAUAUAUAGAACUUAUCUAAACUAUGGACGGUUUUGAAUCUGCAACUCAAUCUUUUACAAUUUUGAUUUUACUAUUCAAUCAUUCAAGCCAGUCAACGGUACUUUGACUUCAAAAUUUAAACUAAUCACUUAUUUUAAUAAUCUAAGUUGUGAGAAUUGUAUGAAGUAUACUAAGUAAAUUUGUAAAAAUAAAUUAUGCAUUUAAAUUUUAAAGUCAAAAUACCGUUGAUUGAUUCAAAUCAAACAAAUUAAAAUGUUUGACAGUAAAAUCCAAAAUUUAAAAGAUUAAGUAGCCAACUCAAAAUUAUUCGAAGUUCAGGUAAGUUUUGUACAUUUUUUACCCAUACUCGUAAAAUUUUAUGUGCUUAUUAUCCUGUAUCUUCAUCCAAACCCAUUGGAUCAACCCGACCUAAUCCGGUUUGGGUCGGCUUCGGAUAAAGGCGGGUUUAGUUUUGGGUUGAAAGAUAUGAAUCCAAAAAAAUUUCGGGUCGGUUUCGAAUUGGAUUUUCAGUCCAUUUCUGGACGAAAUUGAUCCGGCUCACAAGUUAGGUCAAGUCAACGGGUAGGGUUGUGUCGGCUUAACGGGUUGGAUUGGGUUACAACGGAUUGAUGGAUUUAACUUGACACCUCGGAUGAGAUUUACGAAGUUAAAUGGACAUUCCUGGAGGGCCCGUCAACCCGAAUUUCAAAUGACCCAAUAGGUCACCUAGGACUAACAUUAAUUUUGAGUUGGCUAAACCCUAGUCUGAAACGGGUUGGAUCGGGUCGGGUUGGGUCGAUCAGCUUCAGAUUUGACCUGUAGAGGUGUUAAUACCUAAUUUCAACCCGCACCGAAACCGACCUGAUCCAUUGCAUAGCACUAAUGAUCAAAAUACAAUCUCCAUGCCCAAAACUUAGUUUUAUAGGAUGGAUCAUCCCGCAAAGCCAAACUUCCUUUAACCAAACUCUAAACCAUGGAUUAAUCAAUCACCUUAAUUUUCACCGAAACGACAAAUACGCGUCGAUCGCAUAACUCCGAGCUUUUUCUUUGGGGCCUAAUGAUAGUUUCUUAUUCCUUAUUCCUAAUUCUUCAAUGGACCCCAUUUGGAUUAGUUAGAGAUCAUGCCCAAAACUGCUUGUUAGAUAAAAAGAAGAUUAAUUCUCACCUCAACAAAAUCAGUACCGUUUGCAGCAAAGAAAGGAAGUCCUGCUUCACCCGCAAUAGCUUUAGCAAGAAGAGUUUUCCCAGUUCCUGGCGGUCCAUGAAGAAGCACUCCUUUUGGACAGUAUAUUCCCUUAUCUUGAAACUCAUCCUCAUUUUUAAGGAUUCGCACGAUCUCUUGCAAUUCUCUUUUUAUGUACUCUUGGCCAGCAAAAUCAUCAAAUGUGACGCCGGUGGUUUCUUCUGCAGAUAUGAACUUCGCCCUACGACAAACCAAUUUCAAAAGCUUAAGAGAAAUUAACAAACCAAUUUUUUUUUUCCAUCAGAAUUAACAGACAGCUAGAACAGAUGCUACAUUUGGCUAAGCUGUUUUAUAUACCAUUCGGAAACAAGAGAUAAAAAAUCAGCAAAGAUAAUGAAUAUUCUGACCUUCAGAUUGCUCCCUUCAUAUUGACUGAAAAAGAGGCAAGGACACUGACAAUGCCGAUUCCUACAGACCUUUUUUUUCACUGGUGAUUCGUGCAAACUUGGAUAUUGACAAGAACGGUUGCAGUUCAUACAUUUCCCACAAAAUACACAAACCUAGUCGCAUAAGGAACAUACAUGGCAGAGGCAAAGUGACGAAAAAUGAUAGUUUAUGUACAAUUACAAACCUACAACUUUCUUGUAAAUGAAAAAAGAUGCAUUCUAGCAUUUCAAAACCAUAGUUUACGUACUAUAAUCAUGCAACAUAUAAGUCACAAAUUCACGUGCACUUCAAUAUGAAGUCUAGACAGCCAUGAACAUAAGUAUAAGCUGUUUAAUGAAAGUACACAUUUUCUAGUGUGAAAAUUUUUGCCCCUGGUAAAUGAUUCUAGGAAUUAAGUGCUGAAACUAAAUAAACAAGCUGAUAUAAAAAAUACUUCUGUAGAUUACCUGCUUUUACCUAGGGAUCCAAGAGCACGACGCUUGAGGGGCUGCCUUGCAUUUUUUUCAGGUUUUCCAAGGUCACAGGGAAUCAGCUUGGCAUAAAUUGGCCUUGUCACGCUAUCGAUCAAUAGGUAUAUACCAACUGAAAGGGCAAAACGCAUUGACCAUACAACAGCAGUUGCAAUAGUAGAGUAGACUUCAGCAGGCACAGCAUCCACGUUAAUAACAUCAACAUUUACCAGUUGUUCGUGCAACUUACUCCAAACAUCAUUCCAUCCAUCAAUAGGCAUUUUAUCAACAAUAUGACGGUGAAAUACUAUUUCUCUAUUGGGAUUGUUUUCUUUUUCUCCUCCAUCUUUGUAAUAUGGUAAAAUAACUGCAGAAGAGAUAGGAAGUCAGUGUCGCAAUACAGAACUUUUAGGGAUGCAUCAAUGAAAUCUAUGUGUCCCCUAACAGCCUUGCUCGAAAUAAAAUUUCUGCGUAUUUUGCACCUUCCAACUGUAGUCUCAAACAGAGAGCUUCGUUAAUAUUUUCAGCACCUAUCUAUUUGCAAAUGCUACCCACACACAUUUAUAUUUGUCAAACUACAAAACGAGGAUUAUAAAAGUAUGCUCUGAGGCAGCAAUUCAAAUAGAAGCAACUAAUAAGUUCUUAUACAUGUGAUGUAAUAAGAGAGAGCACAUACCAGAAAUGGUCUGGCCAAAGUUUGAGUAUUCCAUGAACUGAACAUUAUUCGAAUUAAGAAGUCUCCAAAAUUCACUAAAAUCAAUUCUAUGAGAGUUCUCAGGAUCCCACUCUGUACCCUUCAAUUUUCCCUGUAGAGUGAGCAAAGUGCGGCUCCAGCAGGAAGCCAUGAUUAACUGCCUCUCUAGUUGCAUAUCUGCUUUCUUCUCAAACUUCUCCAACUUCUCUACCCGCUGCCUCUCUGCUUCCUUCAACCUCUGAAAACAAUAGGUAUGUGACGUCAUAUGGGACACAAGCAAGAUAAAUGGCACAAAAGCCUAUUUGGAUACAGCAAUAAGUUAAAUGGUAAGUAAUUACAACUAUAACCAGGAAAAAUGACUUGCAGAGCAUAUAUGUAUACAGUUUAAGAACGUCAUCUUUCUAUACUCCCUAUGGAUCAUUUAAUGACCCAGCCCAUUAGCACUAAGUUCUUAAAUUCCAUGCAUAAUUACUUUCUCACCCAAUUUAGAAUUAUUGGGGUAUUUCAAACUCCCACCGUUCGUACUCACCAAGUCCAAUCACACACACACGUAGUCCAAGAUCAUUGGGCGAUGUGAGAAUUGUCUCGCAUUUUUGACUGGUAAUCGACUCCGAUACCACAUUUAACCAGUCAGCCCAUUAGCACUAAGUUCUUAUAUUUCCACAUGCAAUUCUCCAUUCCCAUCCAACACGAUGUCGGACUAUUAGGGCGUCACAGAUCAACAACCACAUGACCUCGAGUAAAUAACAGAGUACGCUGAACAAGAUACUGAUGCAUCAAAAGAUGCUAUUGAAUGAGACAAAUUUUUGAUACAAUGAUCAAUUAUAAAUGGAAACACAUUUUACUAUGUAAUUUACAGAAGCAGCAUAGUAUGUUUAACUGGAAUCACUUGCUACAUAGCUGUUAUUGCCUAGUUCUAAGGGCAUUUAGAAGCUACAACCCUUCCAUUGCUUCUUUUAAACCCCGCACGUAAGAACCCUACAGCUACGAAUUCUGACGAAACGCUAGAAUUCGUAAUAAAUUAACUCACAACUGUAGUAUAACUGUAUCCAUGUAUGCAUAGCUUGGUUUUUAUAGGCUGACGAGGGGUUAGUAAUUAAUAUAAGAGGCACAUUAACAAAUUAAAGAUUCACAGUUCAAUUUUAAUUAUUUGUGAAUUCUAAAAUAAAAAAAGUAGUAAAAGGUUUGAAAGAAGACUGAAAGAGAUCGCGAAUUAAUGACCAAACCAAGUGACAAGUCGCCGAGACUUGAAUCUACAAUCUCUAGUUAUUAUAUAUAUAUAUAUAUAUAUAUAUAUAUAUAUAUAUAUAUGCUCUUUGUCUACGCAGCUGCGUCCUACUUCUUAUUAGGGAUUGUUUAGUUGCGUAAAGUUGUAAUUAUAUACAGAUUUGAAUUUUUCUGUUUGGUUCAAUGCAAUUUGAGUAAGGUUAUUAUGAAUCAGCGAUUUAUCAUGAUACUAGAUUUGCUCUGAUACCAGUUUAUUGUAAUAAAAGCAGAAAAGACAGAGUUCGUCCUAUGUUCAUGGGCGAAAAUAGAGUGAAGAUUUUUGUUAUAUAUAAUCAAAAUUGUGUACAAAAUAUAUUUCUCUCACAAAACCUAGUCUAAAAAAUACUCGUAUAUGCUUCUAUCACAAACCUUAGCCUAAAAAAUACUCGUACCUUCUCUCAUCUGCUACAUUAAAUUUACAAAAUAAAAUGGUAUAUUUAUAAUAAUGGUUAAGUCCUAAUACACUUAGAAAUAAAAAUCUAUUGAGACUAGGAAUAAUCUUAGUAUAUUAGUCAUAAUCUAAACAGUACUUAAUAGGAAAACUGUAACGAAUAGGUUUAGAAAUCUUGCAGUUUUAGAAUUCAAAACAUAUCUAAAAAGUCCAAUUGAUGUAGUUAGAACUGCACAAAGAGACCUAAAUACUGCAAUUAGAACUACACCCAAAUUGAAUAUAGUUUCAACUACAACAGUUGGUGAGGGAUCGAAUCACCGCUCUGUCUGAAAGUUGAUAGUAUUCUCAAAGGUGAUUGCUAGCUUCAGGUUAUCAAAAAAAGGAAAUAUUACAUCUGCAACAGUUGCAUCUGUACAGGACCGAACAAACAAGGUAUAGCAAUUGCUGCACUUUCAGCUGCAUAUUUUUAAUUACACUGUGUUUAUAACUACAUCCAACUAAUUGGCCUUAGUACUGAGUUAUAAAUAAGCAUCUUAUUCGAGCCGUUAAGGCUUUUUUGUUUCACCAAAGAUAAAGUUUAAGUUGAAAUAGACUUUUGGGUAAACUAAACUAAACUUUAGGUGAAAUUUUUUUCUUUUCUGCUACUUAUUUGUAUAGCUGUAGAAUUAAAGUUCCCCCAGUUUUUAUCAUUUAUUUCACAGGAAGUGAAUUAAAUAUAGUAAAAAUAGAGGUUUGAGAGAUUAUUCAUAUANGGGCCCACAUUAUCCUAACCGCCCAUUUCUCAAUCCAAGAGCUAAAAAAUUAAUAGCACCAAUAGCUUGAUGCUAUUGAUAGUAUUCCAGCCUAGUUCUAUAUAUAUAUAUAUAGUUGAGCUAGGCUGGUAUUCCAGCUCAACUAUAUAUAUAGAGAGAGAGAGAGUGAGGCUACUAUGCUUCCGGAAGCACAAAGUCUUCCGUGCUUUCAGGUCAUUUUUAAUGUUGCGACUUUCGAAUCGUCGAUCGGCUCCGUUAAACUUGAUCUAGAGUAUUUGAAGUAGCUAGAAAAUAAAUUAUAUGAUUUUUCGAUAUUAUUUGCCUAGUGAACGAAGGGGCUCAAAAUCAACGGCUGAAAAUAAAAAUCUUACAAAACGUGAUAAUAUGACAUUAAAAUUUUAGAUUAAAGAUAUUGAUCUUGUUUUAUAUAGUAUAAAGAAUUUUCUAUCAAAAUUUCACGUGAUUUGGAUAUUUCUACACCGUUAAACUUGCAAACGGCUCACUACGGCCAUUAAAAUUAUUGAUUUUGAGCCCCUUCGAUUACUAGGCAAAUGAUAUCGAAAAAUCAUAAAAUUUAUUUUCUAGAUACUUCAAAUACUCUAGAUCAAGUUUAACGGAGCCGAUCGACAAUUCGAAAGUCGCAACAUCGAAAACGACCUGGAAGCACGGAAGGCUCCGUACUUCCAAAAGCAUAGUAGCCUUACACUAUAUAUAAUUAGGCUACUAUACUAUCUAUAGUACCGGAGCUCCGGUACUAUAGUCUUGUUUUCAAUCUUAGGGUGUUCAAAUUAAUGAUCCACACCGUUAAAUAUGAUCUAGGGUAUAUGAAAUUCUUAGAAAUAAAAGUUUAGUUUUUUUCGACAUCGUUUACUUACUAAAUAAAUUAUGUCAAAAUGGACGGUGAAAAUUGAAUAAUCUUUAAAAUUUGAGCAUAGGACUUUUAAAUUCAAGAUCAAGAAUGUUAACCUUAAUCUAGAUAGUUUAAAGUAUUUUCUAGUAAAAUUUGAAGAAAUUUAGAUUCUUCUACACCGUUAAACUUCAAACUCGCCAUAGAGGCCAUUAAAAAUUGAUAAUUUUGAAAUUGUUUGAUCAUAAAGUAAACUAUGUCAAAAAAAUAUAAAAUUUUAUUUCUAAAAACUUUAAAUACCCUAAAUCAGUUUUAAUGAUGUGGAUCAUUGAUUUGAACACCCUAAGGUCGAAAACGAGACUAUAGUAUCAGAGCCCCAGUACUAUAGAUAGUAUAGGAGACUAGCUCUCUCUCUCUCUCUCUCUCUCUCUCUCUCUCUCUCUUUCUAUAUAUAUAUAGGCCAUGGCUACUAUACUAUUAUGAGUAUUGGAGCCCUUGUACUCAUAAGUUGUUUUCGAUGCUGGAGCUUCCGAACCGACGAUCCAUUCCGUUAAAUAUGAUCUAAAGUAUUUGAAACUUCUAGAAAAUAAAUUUCGUAACUUUUCGAACUCAUAAUAAAGUCCAUCAAGCGGGCAUAAAAUGAACGGUCAAAAUCGAACGACGUCCUAAAAAAGGAUGAUCCGAUCAUUCAAUUCAAGAUCGGAGUUAUUGAUCUUUAUCUAGAUAGUGAAUAGAAUUUUCUAUCAAAAAUUCAACAAAUUCCGAUUCUUUUACACCGUUAAACUAGCAAGUACUCCAUACCGGCCAUUAAAAAUUAUUAAAUUUGUGACCUCUUGAUCGUAAGGUAAAUGAUAUCGAAAAAUUAUAAAAUUUGAUUUCUAGAAGUUUUAAAUGCUGUAAAUAACGUUUAAUGGUGUGGAUCGUCGAUUCGGAAGCUCUAUCAUCGAAAACAACUUAUGAGUACGAGGGUGAUCGUACUCAUAAUAGUAUAGUAGCCGGACCCUAUAUAUAUAUAUAGUUUGACUGGGCUACUAUCGGUAGUAAACUACUCGGUUUACUACCGAUUUGUUUUUGAUGAUAGAGCUUUCAAAUCAACGAUCGGCACUGUUGAACAUGAUCUAAACCAUUUAAAUUAUCUAAAAAUCAAAUUUCAUGAUUUUUUGGCAUCACUAACUGAACGAUCAAAGGGUCACAAAAUCUAUAAUUUUAAUGGCCGAUAUAGUGCGUUUGCUCGUUUAACGGUAUAAAAGAGUUCAAAUCAACUAAAGUUUUGUUAAAAAUUUUUUUAAACUAUUUAAAAUAAGAUCUAGACUCUAGAUCUCAAAUAUAAAAAUUGUAUCAUCACUUUUUGAAGGAUAUUCAUUUCCAGCCAUUCAUUUUUCUGUUCACUUGAUGGACAAGAGAACAAUAUCGAAAAUGUGUGAAAUUUGAUUUCCAGAUAGUUUAAAAUAGUUUAGAUCAUGUUUACAGCGAUGCCGAUCAUCAAUUUGGAAGGCUCUAUUAUCGAAAACAAAUCGGUAGCGGUUUACUACCGAUAGUAUUCUAGCAAAACUCUAUAUAUAUAUAUAUAUAUAUAUAUAUAUAUAAUAUAUAUAUUAUAUAUAUAUAUAUAUAUAGAGCCGACUACUAUACAAAUCGAUAGUACCAAGCCCUUGGUACUAUUGAGUUUCUACCGUUAGAUCUACCCUUUGAUCAUUUCUACCCGUUAAUUAUACUAUUAAACCAACCACCCACUCAACCCCUACGUGACCACUAUCAUCCCUAACGCGCACAUCCUUUCAUCACGGCCGAAAACUCAAUAGUACAAGGACUUAGUACUAUUGAUAGUAUAGUAACAUAAUUCUAUAUAGUAUUACAUAUAUAUAUAUAUAUAUAUAUAUAUAUUUUCGAAAUUCACUUUUUGCCCAGUGUAGACCAAAGUCAAUUAUACCAUAUAUUUUUGAGAAAUUUGAGUUUCGAACAAAGAUAAUGGUGCAAUGAACCAAACAACAAAAAUGGACAUUGACAACCAAAACUACUUCGCCCCUCUUCACUUUCGGUUAAAACAAAAGCAGUCAUUGUGCACAAUAAAGAGCAACAAUCAGCAUCAUGUUCGUGCUCAUCCAAAAUUGCACCUAAAUAUUUACGAGUUGAUUCAUAAAUAUUUCGAGCGUACUAUUCUAUAUGAUAAGUAUAUCAGUUCGUGUCAUUUUUAAGUAAACUAAUUAAGGCUUCUUUUGGUAUUCGGGUCCAUUGGCAUUAUUAGAUAAAAUAAAGUUAGGGUAAAGACAUACAGGAAUAUAUUUUUACAUUUUCCGGUGGGACAAUAGAAAUAUAUCGUAACCGACUUAUUGCGAUAUGCGGAACGCAAUAUUACGUAUAGAAAUAAAUAAAAUAUAUUUUUAUCGUACUUUCUUACCACACGUAACGCAAAUAUCUAAAUCGUUAUACAAACGCAAAAUAUCUAAAUCGUUAUACAAAGACAAGUCAAUGAACAACCUCACUAAACUACAAUAAUUCAAAUGUGACAAAAUUAAUUUCUCUACCAAGUAGAAUAUAUGUUACAUUUUCUUCCACGUGUCCAAAUUUUCCACUAGCAAAAAGGAAAAAACAGAGAAAUGAGGUCACAGUUGUAGCUCCAAAAGUUUUUGAAACGUCGGAUCCAUUAACAAUAAUAAUUUGUUAGGUCUACACUAUCGAUCCAAAAUAUUUAAGCCCAAUUAUUAUUACUAAUAUAUCUGUCACUUCUAAAUCUAUCAGGGUCGUGGGCCUUCGGGACGUCAGCGUACCAGGGGAUCCCGUCAGUAGGGGCAGACUCAGAGGACGCCACAGUGUGUGAUCUGCGGGGGACCACACUGGCCCCGGCAGUGCGAGCAGAGAGAGGGCAGGUGCUACGGAUGUGGUCAGCCGGGACACAUGAGGGCAGCUUGUCCCGGAGCAGCAUCUCCAACACCAUCAUCAGCCUCAGCACCACCAGCACCACAGCAGUCUUACGGAGCAGUAUCGAGUUACCGCCAGGAGGACAGAUCGUCUGUGCCGCGGUCAAGUGAGCGGCAACAGCAGGCUCCGAGUGGCAGGGUCUACGCAGCUCAGGUGGAGGACUCUACAGCAGCCGACCGAGUGGUAGCAGGUAUCACUUUGAUUUCUGGCAUUAGAGUUCGCACUCUUUUUUAUACCGGUGUAUCGCAUUCCUUUGUUAGCCGAGCAUUUGCACAGUUACAUGGUCUAGAGUUAGGAGCGUUAUCUCAGGCACGAGAGGUGCAGAUCUCAGACCAUGUUUUGCAGGUUGUGGAGUGUUGUUGGUCGUGUCCAGUGCAGCUAGACUUGUGGAUUAUGCCCGCAGACCUGUUGGUGGUAGGGCAGCUGCAGGACUUCGACGUCGUGCUCGGUAUGGAUUGGCUGGCGCUGUACUAUGCUACGAUCGACUGUGGAGCGAGGACGGUGACGUUCCGCAAGCCAGGCCAGGAGGAGUUCACUUUCAGAGGCUGCAGGAGUACGUUGUUUGCCACUUGGAUAUCUUCGGCGAGGGCUCAACAGAUGCUGAGUAGCGGGUGUAUCGCUUUCUUAGCGACAGUUGUGGAGAUACCUACGGCGGCGCCAGAACUCGAGGAUAUCCCUGUAGUCCGCGAGUUUCCAGAUGUAUUUUUCCCCUGAGUUGACGUCGUUGCCGCCGGAGAGGGAGAUUGAGUUUGUGAUUGAUGUAGUUCCUGAAACUCCACCAAUCUCGAAGGUACCUUAUCGGAUGGCGCCGGCAGAGCUGAGAGAGCUAAAGGCGCAGCUGCAGGAUUUGAUGGAUAGAGGGUUUGUGAGGCCUAGUGUGUCGCAUUGGGGAGCGCCGAUAUUGUUUGUGAAGAAGAAUGAUGGUUCACUUAGGCUGUGCGUGGAUUACCGGGAGCUGAAUAAAGUGACCAUCAAGAAUAAGUAUCCUUUGCCGCGCAUUGAUGAUUUGUUUGAUCAGCUGCAGGGAUCUUAUGUCUUCUCGAAGAUUGAUCUCCAGUCAUGUUACCACCAGCUGAGGGUGAGGGCCGAGGAUGUUCCCAAGACGGCUUUUCGGACUCGGUACGGGCAUUAUGAGUUCACGGUGAUGCCUUUUGGAUUGACGAAUGCCCCUGCCGCAUUCAUGGAUUUGAUGAACAGAGUGUUCAAGCCGUUCUUGGAUAGGUUUGUGGUAGUCUUCAUCGACGAUAUCCUGAUUUACUCCCGGAGUGAUGCUGAGCAUGAGGAGCACUUGAGGAUUGUGCUACAGCUUCUGCGCGAGAAGAAGUUGUAUGCCAAGUUAAAGAAGUGCGAGUUCUGGCUACGGGAGGUUGCUUUCUUGGGCCACGUGAUUUCAGCUGAGGGCGUAGCAGUGGACCCGAAGAAGAUUGAGGCGAUUCGAGAUUGGCCUAGACCGACGACGGUGACUGAGGUACGGAGCUUCCUGGGACUGGCAGGAUAUUACCGUCGGUUUGUGGAAGGCUUUGAGAAGCAUUCCACACCCCUCACACGCUUGACGCAGAAGGGGAUUCGUUUUGUCUGGAGCGACGACUGUCAGAGGAGUUAUGACGAGUUGAGACUGAGGUUGACGUCGGCUCCUAUCCUUGCCCUUCCGGUGAUGGGGGAUGGAUUCGUGAUCUACAGUGAUGCAUCGCACAGUGGACUUGGUUGCGUGCUGAUGCAGCAUUGUAGGGUGAUUGCUUAUGCUUCACGGCAGUUAAAGGAUUAUGAGAAGAAUUACCCCACGCAUGACUUGGAGCUUGCCGCGGUGGUUUUUGCUUUGAAGCUCUGGCGGCAUUAUUUGUACGGCGAGCACUGCGAGGUCUUCACCGAUCACAAAAGUCUUAAGUACCUGUUCAAACAGAGGGAGGCCUAUCCCUAUCUGUUUAAUACCUGAGCUGAGGUACGUUUAAGUUUCGGGGACGAAACUUUUUGUAAAGGGGGAGGAUGUGAGGUCCCUGGUGUACAGCUGUGGUGGCUUGUCGGCAGCUCUGGAGAGUGUCGGGACAAGUCCGAGUCGCGUUGGUAUCAAAUAGACGCAAAACGGACUCCGUGCGACGCGAGGGCAGCUUAUAGCGAAGAAAUCUGCAAAACAGCAGAUUUCUCGACUUGCUGUACCGGUACAACCAGCGUGGCUGUACCGAUACAACCAGCAAGGCUACGCACAAGUUGCUCUCGGGUUGGCUCUUGUACCGGUACAGUAGCCCGUGUACCGGUACAAAAGGGUAGGUAGAGGGCUAAUUGGGUAAUUUUAUCCCUCGUUUGUAUCACCAACUCUCUUUCUCUCUAUAUAGCUUUGCGUAGAGAGAGAGAUGAGCCAUUUUGCUCCAUCUUCAUCUCUCUCUCACUCUCAUCCGGUUGAAGGAAAGGAAGGGCUCGGUUGGAGCUUUCGUCGCCGACGUCGCGCCGCGGAGCCGUUCGAGGAUACAGUUGCCGGCGUUGCAUCGCAAGGAGGACGAGCGAGUGCGGAUUUUUGCCGUUUGUGACGUCGCACCAGUGCUAGUUGCGGUCGAGGUUGGUUAUCUAGCACUUCCUUCGUUUUGGCUAGUUUUUACUUCUUCGAGCUCCAGGAUGCUGUUUUGCUGAAAUUCGCCGUCGACCGUUAGUAUUUCAGCUCGUACUCGACGUAGGGGCAUCGGAUUGCGACGAGACUUGAUUUGUUGGAUUCGGAACUGCGAGAGGAAUCCACGAAGCCCUUACUUGUGGAUUUUGGUGAAGGUUAGCUUGGUCGAAACCCUUCUCUUCUCUACUACUGUGUAUUUGGACUGAAUUGUUGAUUUUCGAUGUUGAUAGCUUGGAGAUAGCUGAUUUCGAGACUCGGACAUUUUCAGUCGAUCCAGUAGGUUGUGCCGCAGCCGAGGGAGUUCCGUGCUGCCAGGGAUUAGCUUUGAGGUGGGUUACAUCGGUUUUGACUUCUAAGUUCUAAUCGUCGACAUGUAUAAAUUUCGAUUUUUGGUAUAAUCUAUUCUAACUCGAAUUCAUGGAUUAUAUUAUAGAUUGCAAAUCUCAAUUUGGAGCAUGUGGUAAUAAAUUGAGUAGUUUAUACAUGUUGGACUUGGUAUUGGAAUUAGGAGAAAACCUGCGAUUUGGACCUGUCACUUGUUUAAACUGCCUGAUUUAGCUCUAGGAGCCGUUAUAAAAUUAUACUAUCGCAGUAUCCUCGAGACGAGUACUCCAAGUAGUUUAGCAUACAUUUACACUCGUGUUGAUACGCCGAGUGAAUUUUUACAGGGUCGUUUGGGCUGUUCCGAACUGUUGGGUGCCGUCAGGUUGACGGUAGACCCGGAUCGCCUUUUUGGCGACAGAUUGUGCCGAGGGCACGUGAACGGUUGGUUGUUAGACCAGUUAGAGUCGGUUACUUGACUUUGGCUUUUCAAAGCCUGUUUGAGCUCGACAGAGAUACGCUGCAUACUCGGUUGGGUAGCGCCCACGAGUGCCACUCCGGAGACGAGCUUUGUGCUUUCGCGUUGGUGUCGCUCAUGCCGGUUGGACUUACUCUCCACGGACCAGUUAGUGUGGAGGUAGCUGGAUAGUCACAACUGGGCAGGGACGGGUGUAUUCACAGUCCCCGGGACGGGUAUGUUUACAGUCCCGAUUGGAUUGGGUCAGUCUUGACAUUUCCUACAGUGGGUUAGUAUAGAACAGGAUGGUGUAGUGACUAGUAGCUGUAGAGUUCAUUCCGGCAUUUUACUUUUACCAUUGCUCCCUUCUGUAGACUUAGUGGAUGGACCGAUGUUGUUUUGGGCGGCACCCACUGAGGACUACUUGUUUUUACAGUAGUUCUCACGCCCAGUUGUUACCCCUGUUUUGCAGAGCCACAGGUUUCGGCUGCUGCGCCUUCCGCGGAUCAGGAUCGAGGCAAGGGCGUCGCGAGUUAGAGCCCUACCCGCCGAGCAGAGCUAGAGGCACCCUACUGCAGGUAGUUGUUUUAUUUCGAGCUUAUGUACAUAGUACUUAACUCGCCAGUGCGAGUAACUCUGUAUUUAAUUUUUUAACUAUGUAUAUGAAGCUCAGUUUGUUUAGCUUUUGUUUACUAGAGCAGCUCUACACUACUGUUUGUAGUAUUGUAUGUUUACAGAUAUAGCUGUCGCUUCGUAUACAGGGGAAUCUCUUUUGUAUACGGCGGAUUUGUCGGCGUUCCCGGGGAACGUGUAAUCCGGAGAGUGACACUCUCUCUCACUCUCUCUCACUCUCUCUCACUCUCUCAUACACUCUCUCUUUCACUCUCUCUCGUACACUAAUUUAUUUAGUGAGGUCCACAUCAAUUUUAAAAAAAUUAAUUGCACAUUGGCCCUAAUUUUUUCACUCUUUUUUAUUUUGAUCCCUAAUCUACCAACUUUGCAUAUUUUUUAUUUUACUCCCCAAAUAAUUUUUUAUCAAUUAUUUUAUAUAAUAAUAUAAUAUUUGAUAGUUGAAUUAUUUUACAGUGUAAAAAAUAUCUAUUUUGAUUUCGAAUUCCUUUUGAUUAGUCAUAUUUUUUAUACUCCUGAUAAAAAUAUACAUUAAUUUUCAUUUUAAUUUAUUCUCACCUACUCUCUCAAACUCUCUCUAUCAUAAACUCUCUCGCUCACUCUCUCACGCGCUCUGUCUGUCUGUCUGUCUCUCUCUCUCUCUCUCUCUCACUCUCUCUCACUCUCUCUCAUACACUAAUUUAUUUAGUAGGGUCCACAUCAAUUUUUAAAAAAUUAAUUGAACAUUCGGCCCUAAUUUUUUCACUCUUUUUUAUUUUGAUCCAUAAUCCAUCAACUUUGCAUAUUUUUUACUUUACUCCCCAAAUAACUUUUUAUAAAUUAAUUUAUAUAAUAAUAUAAUAUUUGAUAGUUGAAUUAUUUUACAGUGUAAAAAAUAACUAUUUUGAUUUCGAAUUUUUUUUUGAUUAGUCUUAUUUUUUGUCUUUCUGAUAAAAGUAUACAUUAAUUCCCAUUUUAAUUUAUUCUCUUCCACUCACUCUUACUUUCUCUGUCGUACACUCUCUCUCCCGCUCUCUCUCACUCUCUCUCACUCUCUUAUACUCUCUCUCUCACUCUCUCUCGCACACUAAUUUAUUUAGUGGGGUCCACAUCAAUUUUUAAAAAAUUAAUUGCACAUUGGGCCCUAAUUUUUUCACUCUUUUUUAUUUUGAUCCCUAAUCCAUCAACAUUGCAUAUUUUCCACUUUACUCCCCAAAUAACUUUUUAUAAAUUAAUUUAUAUAAUAAUGUAAUAUUUGAUAGUUCAAUUAUUUUACAGUGUAAAAAAUAUCUAUUUUGAUAUCGAAUUUCUUUUUGAUUAGUCUUAUUUUUUAUCUUUCUGAUAAAAAUAUAUAUUAAUU
rnacentral:lncRNA from 1 species